GAAAACAAGAACAAGGACAGUAAUUUCACCUUUGAGGGGAGUAUAACCCCUUUCAACAAGAUCACGAUAGUGAGUGUAAGCUAAAACUCCGCAAGUACUCGGCGUCCAGAAUAAUACAUCUUUCAACCCAAACCUUUGGGCAGCUUUAAGCGUAAAGCUCAUGCACCCAUCGGAAAUUAUACAGCUCGGAGGUGGCACGUCAGACUCCUCGCCACCUUUUAGCCUACUGAUCAGCUCACAUAAAGGUUCUAAACUGUGCUUAGGAACAGAUUCACAGAGGGCUGGGAUUGACUGGGUGGCUUCGACAUCAGAGGGUGGAAGACCAUCGGGGAUGGAGUAGAAACGAAAAUCGGGCAAACCAUCAAGGGAGGAAGGACCUCGGGAUCUGAGCAGGCGCUUAUGGUUGUAGUGGGUGUUGACGAAGGAGAUAUGGAAGCCCUUAAAGUGAAGGAGCUUCGCAAGUUUCAUCAUAGGGUUGAUGUGGCCUUGUGCUGGAUAGGGGAUGCAUAUGGCAUGUGGCUUCUCCAUUUCUGCUAUGGAACCCAUCUGCUGUUGUAUUUAUUUAUGUGUCUCGAGGGAGAAAGCAAACUAGUGGUGGUAGUUUUUAUAGGAGAGGAAGGGCAUAUAUAAAUGGAUGGUUAGCUUAAUUACUACUUCGACCACAAUACCAACUUCUAUUCAGCAUGUGAUAUCUUAUAUUUUUUGUUCAUCGAACAUAUCUUAUGCAUUCUAUGAAAGUUAUUGUGUAUGAAAUUACCACUGAUUAUUGAGGUAAAAUUGACACCCUUUGUUUCGGUUAGUGUUAAAUCUUAAUUUUUAAAAACCUAUUUUUAAAAUUAAUAAAUAACUGUUCGUCUUCAUAAAGGUCUAUUUUUUUUUUAAUAUUUAUUAUUUUAUAUNAUAUAUAUAUAUUAUAUUAUAUAUUUAUAAUAAAAGAGUAGUUUUACUUUGCCACAUGUCAGUUUCUGAAACGAUUUGCUACGUGUCAGUUUUUAGUCAUCCCUGCGGUUUUUGAAUUCUAAUCAUGUAAUAUCAACACCAUGACAGCCUGGAAGAGAGAUAUAUACGUAAACGAGAAAUCAGCGAACACACACGCAUUGUAACGAUGAGAACGAGAAAUCAGGGAUUGAUCAGCGAAAAUUUGAUUUGAUUAGCAUUAUGAAGGUUAUCCUCUCCCAACUUAUUGCUAAAAGUCUCUAUUCAUUGAUAAAAUUUGAAUCCGAUAGAAAGAAAUCAGGAGUGAUAACCAAACUUAAUCACCAAAUUCUUGGAUGUAGAUUCGAUUUGUCGCAUGAACGUGUUUCUCCUUUGCUUGCUCCCAGGUUCAAGUUUUCAUCUUCGAGUUUAGGGUUUUCCAGUGAUGAAUUUGAACUGCUUCAACUAUUUGUAGAAGCAUCAGAGAUGAAAUAGGUGACUAGUUCACAUUGUGAAACAUAGAGAUUUUAGUGAUAACUGCUCUCAAGAUCCCCAUAUGUUUCUCCUUCGCUUAUCUUCUCAGGCGACUUUUUCUUUUUGGGGUUUGGGUUUCAUGUUAGAGUUGGUAUCUUGAUUCCACUUCCCCAUCUCCUUUUUCUAUCUCAUCGAAUUCAAGAUUUAUUCAAGUUCCAAAUCAGGAUAAACCUGAUUGGGUGUUUUCUAUUAGUUUGAUUUUGGAUGUGGCUUUAUUGAAGUCCAUGUAGAAAGUGGAAAAAGAAGCUGGAAAAGAGUAAGUUUAUGUAGAAUAUAGGACACACAUAAAUUUGAUCUACCUUUUCUUCAUAUCUAAUGUCCCUGGUUCGUAUUUUUGUCUUCCUCUUUUUUCCUCUUUCUGGUACUUUAUUUUUUUUUUUCGUUUGCUUUUGGUCUGAGACAAUUUUUUGUAGUUAUGAUGUUAACAAAAUCGGACUCUUGAUUUUCAUAUCUCAUCCUUUUCUGAAGAUAACAAAAAAGCUUUGAGUAUUUGCUCUGAGGGAAUCAUCACGACAACUGCUCAAGUCUUCUAAAUAAAAUAUCUCUAUCUUUGUUUCCUGUUUUUUUGAGUAAUACGAACUUAGGCCAUUUUCAUAAAUUUUUAAUCUAGCGGACUUUGGGAUUCCAUGCACCACAAUUAGGUUAGUCAUGAAGAUGUUGUUUUCUCUUUUCUACUUGAUGAAAAAUUGAAGUUUUUGUGUGAUCUGAUAUGUUACUUUAUUUGAUAUGUUGUGUGUGUGAUGUGAUAUGCGUGUAUGUCUUGUGGUGUGUUUAUUUGUAUGUGAAAGAAAAACUUCCAUCACAUGACAUCUAUCUCUCAGACUUUCACAAUGUUUCCUCCAUUACUUCACCGUUAUAUCCAAUGAAAAGCUAUUAUCUCCGGUUUCACAUCUUCAACAUUCGUUAAGGUAACUUCUAGAUCCCAUGUAUCUUAUCUUUGGUUUUUGUUUUGUAAAGUUGGAUUCUCUAAUUUCGUUUCAGUGCAUAAUGGUCAGAUUUUGGUUUUGGUUUGGGGUUUUACGUUAGAUCUGAGUUUGUGAUCUAAAGGUCAAAUAUGGAUUGUUCUUCCAACAAUCACGUGUUUUAUUUUUGAUGCGAUGGUUAGAUCUAUACUAAAUCAGACAUACAAAAAGUUAGAUUAAAUGUUGUGUUGUAUGCUACCAUUUCCUUUUCUGGCUUAAACAAAUAUCCAAAAUAAUGAACUCUUUGUCUUUAUGCAGCCUAUGGACAAUACAUUAAUGUUAAUGCAUUACAGCUAAAUGGUGUUCUUGAUGACAUUUUCUCUUAUGCGGGUCCUCUUGUUGAGAUUUCUACAAACAUAAUCGUCUCACUUUAUAUAUUGGCUCCAACUACUCAAUUAAAUUACUUUAAUUAUAAUCUUCUAUCUCUGUAUAAUUAUGUUGUUGUUCUUAAUGAAGUUGUGUUGGCUUCAUAUCCAGAAUAUCCAAUGAAUGAUACCUUACCUUCUUCAAUCAGAUGCAUGUGUAUGUAUGGUGCAUCUACUUCAUAACAAUAGUUAUAGAAUGGUGGAGAAAAGAAAAUAUUAGAGAGGAAUUGAUAAAAGAUACCUGGUGUACAAAAGGAUGUGUUCCAAAAGCAGAAAGGUACUUUCAUUCUUUUGUUUAUUAUUAACACAUCUUCUGAUGAUCGGUGUAUGUAUGUUUAUUAUAACACAUCUUCUAAUGAUCUCUGUAUAAUUAUUUAUUGUAUUUAGUGCAUGAUUGGGCUAAAUACAAUAAAUAACAAUUUACUUUCAUUUUUUGUCUAAUAUAACAUAAUACUUUCAUGUAACUACAUCAGGUACCAUUUAUGUAAUUUUAGUUUAUUAAGAACUGUUUAUGUAUUUUUGAUGUAGGAAUUAGUGAAACAUGGACCAUUUAUGUAAAUUUAGCUUAAUUACGUGAAUAUUUAUGUGAAGUUACUUCACAUUUACUGUAACAUGGAUCAUUUUCUAUAAAUAUUGCAAUUUAGUCACCGUGUACGUAUAUUUAUUGUAAUAGAGACUAAUCUUGUAAAAUUUUUAAAACAUAGAAUUUCUAUAAAUUUUCUAACGUAAGUGUAGCAAUAAACAUUUAUGUAAUUUAGUUUUAUCAUCUAUCAUUUAUUAAAAAUUACUUUCGAAGAUAUGGUAAAAGUACAUUGGUAUUUUCUAAAAAUUAUCUUUUUUCAUAGUAUUCUACUUUGUAAAAUGGUUUUUCUCGAACCUGGAAAGAGCAGAGAAUGUCAUGUAAUUGAAAAAUAGUUAGUAAAGAGAACAUUUUAUAUUCAGUAGUCUUGGAAUAAAUAAGUGUUUUUAUUGGAAUGUUGUAUACAAAAAGUAUUUGUAAUUUUAUGACAUGUAAGUAUGUUUUUGAUAUUAUCUCUGUCAAUUGAAAUAAUUGAAUAAUAACUAUGAGCUUUUACUAUAAAAAAAAUUAGUUGUUUUUGUAUCCGUGGUUCCCACGGGUUAUAACCUAGUAUAUAUAUAUAUAUAUAUUAAANNNNNNNNNNNNNNAUAUAGGGAAAUGAUCAAAUGAGAACACCUAAAAGGUUGAGAACGCGAGAACAAUUAUGUACCAAUCAAUAUAUAAGGGCUUAUUAGUAAUUGUAUAUUUUAAUUAAAUUAAAAUAAAAUAAAUUCAGUCAAAUUCCCUUAAAUUUAGGAUCAGUUACCAAAAAAGAAAUAAAUAUUCGAUUUUUAAUUUUUCUUAUUAAUGGAAUAUAAAUCUAUUUUUACGAAAAGAAAUUAGAAACUGAAAAAAGAAUUAAUUUUUUUUUCUUAAAAAAAUAUUUUUUUUUCUGUUAUUUUACGUUUUUUCCUUCAAUCGUAAGUGAAUAAAAAAACUAAACCAUCAAUCAUAAAUGAUUAUAUUGUAACCCGGACUUUGUACAUUUAUAUUGACACAAUCGUACUUAAUGAUUAAAAUCACUUUGAGACUUUAUUCAUAUAUGAAUGCACAUUUUCAUUCAUAAAUAUAAGAUAUUAUAGUUUUUUUAAUGAAUACAAAUAUCAUCCUAAUUGAAUAAAUAGCAUUAUAAAAAAAUCAAUACAUUUGUAAUCUUAAAUGACUAGAACACAAAUUAGAGAUAAAACAUCAACAAAACACAUUUACAAUCAUAUAGGAAUAAGAUGCAAACCUGAUUUCCCUUUGUAUGUAUUGUUGAUUUCGGAUUUGCAAAGGCUUCUAUUUUGUUAUUUGAACAUUGAUUGAUUUCUCAUCUUGAAUCGAAGAUGAUGAUGGAGGUUGGUGGUUAAACUCGAUGCAAGCGAUGGUGGUGGAUCAAUGAUAUAGGGCUGUGCAAAAUGGUGGCGUAGGGAUGGGAUGAUGAUAAUGGAAAGAUUGUGCUCUGCUGAAGAUGGAGACGGUGGAGGCAUACCUAGGUUUACAGAGAGAUGAAGAGAGACGGGAAAUGGAAGGAAAUAAGUGAGUGAUUGAGAAAUUAUAGGAAUUAACUAAUGGUGGAAAAUGCCCAAUUACUAUAGUACCCUUCUCACCAUUUGAAGUUACACUUUAAUACCUGUAACUUUUAAAAUUUUACAUAAAUUGCUUGUUUGAUAAUAGCCUUAGAUUUUAUUAUUUAAAUAGACCAGAUGUGUUCUCGCGUUCUCAACAUUUUAGGUGUUCUCAUUUGAUCUUACUCCUCUAUAUAUNNNNNNNNNNNNNNNNNNNNNNNNNNNNNNNNNNNNNNNNNNNNNNNNNNNNNNNNNNNNNNNNNNNNNNNNNNNNNNNNNNNNNNNNNNNNNNNNNNNNNNNNNNNNNNNNNNNNNNNNNNNNNNNNNNNNNNNNNNNNNNNNNNNNNNNNNNNNNNNNNNNNNNNNNNNNNNNNNNNNNNNNNNNNNNNNNNNNNNNNNNNNNNNNNNNNNNNNNNNNNNNNNNNNNNNNNNNNNNNNNNNNNNNNNNNNNNNNNNNNNNNNNNNNNNNNNNNNNNNNNNNNNNNCAUUAUGUGUGCUCUUUGUGAAGACGUGUUGGCAAUCUAUCAUCGCCUCCAGAUCCUUCCAAUGGUUAUUAUUAUUAUUAUUAUUAUUAUUAUUAUUAUUAUGGAACAACAUAAAAGGCAUUAAAUUUUUAAUAUUUAUUAUUAUCACUUGGUAAAAGAAAUUAAACGAUAUUUUUUGGUCAUUUUACAUUGGUAAGUAAACACUUAAUGUUAUUUUGAUACGACCGAACCAUUUAUUCGUUUUUACUCUCUUUGAAAGUUUUUUUUAUAGUGUAGAUUGGUGAACUUGUUAUUUGCCUUUUUAGGAGAAUUUACUUACCUUAUUUCACUGGUUAAACAAAAAUGAUGUGGCUGUGUGUUGCCAAUGCGACUUUUUUUAUAGGUUUAUAAUUAAAAAAAUUAAAAAAUAAAAAAUAAAAAAUAAGAACAAAUUUACAUUAUUAGGUUUAUUAACUACCACCAUAUUCGACAUCCAUGCUCAACUUUCAAAUAAAGACGAGAUCAGAAAAGAAUUACAAGAACAAUGCAAAAAUAAUGAAAAAAAACAAGUUUCCAAAUAGUGAAUAAAUCCAUAUUGCAGGAAAUUGACACAAUAUUUUGAAAAAAAAAUCGAUUUCAUAAUAAAUCCAAUACCAUGAGAAUGAUUCAAGCUUUUGAAUAAAUAAAUAAAUAAAAACUUAAAAAUGAAUUUCAGUGAAAAUCCAUAAACAAUAAAUUGAUUUCAAAUCUUCAAAAAACUCAAAAUCGAUUUAGUACAAAUCCAUACAAGGCAAUUGAUUUCAGAUCUUGUAAACAAAAAACCUCAAACAAACACUUCCUUUUCGAUGUGUUAUCGGCAGUGAAAAAAAAAAUAUGCGUGGUGAAAAACUGCUAGUGUUGAGGUGACAUGUAAUUAAUAGUGCACAUUUGUUUCGGUGAUGAACUAAUUUAACACAACCUCCAAUGAUGUUUGACAAUUAUGAUUGAGAUAUACAUAGAGUGAACUUUAAAUUAAAAAAUCCACCGUCCAUUCCUUUUGGUCCACCUACUACACUCACCGUGAAAAAUAUGCCACCCAUCGUAAGUUCGUAACCGAUCCUACUAUGGUCCACGACUAGGGCAAGGUGUUGGUGGUAUUUUUCAUCAUGGUUUUGAUUUAGACGACACAUCUCAUUACCCAUAUCUGAACUAUUAAGGUUUAUUGUAAAGCUUUAAAAACGUGACUUUAUUUAAAAGCUUUUAAGAAAUAUACAAAAAAAAAGUUAUAUCACUACAAGGAUACCUUUUCCAAACUUUGAAAACUUUGAAAACGUGACUUUGGACGUGUUUAGUACGGAACGUUUGGGAGCUUGUAGCUUUUAGCGUUUGACAAAACGCUUCGUUUAAAACAAAAAGUCUCGUUUAGCAUUACAAGCUUCUAGCGUUUAGUUUAAUUAAAACGCUUCAAAUCCAAGACCUACUUCAUUUAACGUUUAACAAAAUGCUACAAACUACAAGCUACCCGCUACCUGCUACAAGCUACCCGCUACCUGCUACAAGCUACCCGCUACCUGCUACAAGCUACCCGCUACUAGCUAGUUUUGCCAAACACGCUCUUUAUAUAAUAGCUUUUAAAAACGUGACAUGUCGUUGCCAUACCUUUUCCAAACUUUGACUGAUUUCCUUUGACCACGAUAUUUGUGCCGACGACAAGUCGCCGUUACAAGGCUGGCGGGAACGACAAAAUUGUUCGCGGUAUUCUGAAAGUCUAUACCGACGACAUGUCGUCGGGAUAGGUAUCAAAAAAUCUAUUUUCCGUUUAUCUUUACUCUAUGUGCUAGAAAUAAAGUACGACAUAGUUUUGUGUAUGUUAUACCGAUGACGAGUCGUCGGCAUGACACGUGGCAAUCCGCGUGAUACGGCUAUCCCGACGACAAGUCAUGGGCACAGGUUAUUAUUUUUUUCUUCUUUCAACAAAAAACGAAACGUCAUUGUUUAUAUAUAAACUUUCAAUACAGGCUUUAUUCACCCUAAAAAAACGCAGUCUUCUUUCAUUUGCACACAACAAUACAGACUUUAUUCACCCUCUCCGACGAAAAUUAACUUUCAACUUCCAUAACCGACUAUUAGCCCCAAGUAAGGUAUUUUCUACUCCUAUUUCGAUUUUUAUUGUUGUGUGGUAAUGAUUUUUACCCCAAAUUUGGGGUUUUUUUUGGUGUUUAUAUUUCUUCACCGGUGGUGAAGCACCACCGACCGUCUUCCACCGCCACAACCCUCCCCAUCGACGAGUCGUUCACCGUCGACCCUCGUUCCAGCUUCUCUCCUUCACCACCCUUCAUUUUUUAUUGCAGGUAACAAUGGUUUUUCAUGUUUAUUUUUUUUCUGAUUUUAUUUAUUUCCGGUGACCACCAGCCAUCACCGGAGGAUCACCAUCGACUUUGACAAGCGGAGUCCGUUUAUCACAGCAAGAAGAACGAAACACAGGUUAGUUUUUUUUUUUUUCUAAUUUUUAUUGAAAUUGAAAUUGUAUAUAUGUAUAAGUUUUCAUGAAAUUAAAUUGAAAUUAUCAUCUUUUGAUUAUAGAGUUGUGUUGUUUGUUUGGUAUAUGUGUGAUUGUGUUGUUUGUUUGUUUAUGUUUAUACGAAAUUGAAAUUGUAUGUAUAAAAUGUUAAUUUAGUUGGUUAAUAUUAUAUGAAAUUUAUAUUGUGGUUAAAAUAUUAAAUGAAAUUCAAAUUUGUUUAGGUACAUAUAAAAUUGAAAUUGUAUGUAUUCAAUGUUAAUUUACUUGUUUAGGUUUAUAUGACAUCGAAAUUUUUUAUGAUUGUGAAAUAUGUAUGAUUGUGAUCUUUGUUUAGGUUGAUAUGAAAUUUUAUGUAUAAAAUGUAAAAUAUGUAUGGUUGUGUAUUUNNNNNNNNNNNNNNNNNNNNNNNNNNNNNNNNNNNNNNNNNGAGGGUAAAAUGUUCUUUUUUUAAAACAUAAGUAAAUAUAAACAUGUAUAUAUAUAUAUAUAUAUAUAUAUAUAUAUAUAUAGUUGGGCCGAGAGGGAGAAAAGAAAGAAGUGGUAUGGGCCUUUAAUGCUUGAGUCCGAAAAUAUGAAGCCCAAAUUGAUGAUUUUCGGCCCAUUGGGCCCUUAGGUGGGUUUACGGCCCAAUCUUGCAUUAAAGAAUGGAUUUGUGGCCGAUUAGGUUAAAUUGGAUUUGUUAUGACCCAACAAGGCCCAUUAAGGUAAACCAAGUUAUUUGGGGUCCAUUAUGGCUUAAAAUGUUAAGUUUCAUAAAAGUGUGUCCAAUUAGGGCCCAUAUAAGGAUCCUAAGCCCAAAAUAGUCAGAUUGGAGGGUUAUUGGUCCAUUAGGCCCAAUAAGGAAAUCCUAGUCCAUAAUGGACUUAAACCGGGAUUUUUAGGGUUUCCAAUCUUUUGUUAACCAUUUGAAGUGUUUGAUGGAAUUUUGUAGUCACUGAAUAAUCAUCAUGCAUACUUUCAAGUUUUAGCCACAAAGGUUACUCUUGUUAAUGUUUACAAAAACCUAAGAAUUCCUAGUUGUGACAUCAUCCCCCCGUUAGAGGGAAUUUCGUCCUGAAAUUCUUUUUGAAGCUAGAUUUGAGAAUGCGAGAAUAGGUGAGGGUACUUUUGCUUCAUCUGGUCUUCGCGUUCCCAUGUGAAUUCCGGUCCACGUUUUGCGUUCCACCGAACUUUCACAAUCGGAAUGCGACUUUUCUUAGUAUACUUCAUUUCCAUGUCCAUGAUUUCGACUGGUUCCUCGAUGCGUAGCAGAUUCUUGUUUAUUUCGAUUUCUUCCAAUGGGAUGACGAGAGUUUUGUCGGAUAAGAACUUCUUCAAAUUGGAAACAUGGAACACGGGGUGUACACUACUGAGCUCGGAAGGUAGCUGCAGUCUAUAAUCCACUGGCCGAUUUAGGCAAGAAUCUCGAAUGGUCCAAUGUACCGUGGGUUUAGUUUUCCCCGUUUCCCAAAAUGAAUCACCCCUUUACAGGGAGAGACUUUUAACAGCACCCGAUCCCCGACUUGAAAUUCCAAGGGCUUUCGCCAUUUAUCAACGUAGCCCUUCUGUCGGUCUCGUGAUGCUUGAAGUCGAGCUCUGAUUUGAACUAUCUUCUCUGUUGUUUCGCAUAUGAUUUCUGGUCCUGUUAAUGCAUUGUUUGGUGUCUGUCCUCUUGCGAGCUGAGUGUCACUUACCUCAGCCCAACACAACGGUGAUCUACAUUUACGCCCAUAUAAUGCUUCAAAAGGAGCAACUUUGAUGCUUAUGUGAUAACUUUUGUUGUAUGAAAAAUCAAUUAAAGACAAGAGGGUAUCCCACGACGUUCCAAAGUCUAUCACUCAUGCGCGAAGCAUAUCUUCAAGUGUUUGAAAGGUUCGCUCACUUUCACCAUCCGUUUGUGGGUGGUAGGCAGUGCUCAUGUCGAGUUGUGUUCCCAUAGCUUUCUGAAGCGAUUAGCGUGAAGUGAAUCUACUAUCUGAACCUGAGAUGAUAGAUAUUGGUACUCUAUGGAGUCUCACAAUUUCCUUGAUGUAGAUUCUUGUCGAUCGUUCCAUCUUGUAUGAUUCCUUUAUUGGCAGGAAAUGAGCGGAUUUUGUUAACCUAUCCACUAUUACCCAUAUGGCAUCCAAUCCAUCAAUUGUCUUGGAUAAUUUGGUCACAAAGUCCAUGGUAAUCCUUUGCCAUUUCCACUAGGGUGUUACCAGUUGUUGUAAUAGUCCCGAGGGCUUCUGAUAUUCUACAUUCGCUUUGGCGCAAGUGAGGCACUUGCUAACGUAAGUGGCAAUUUCUUCCUUCAUGUUAGGCCACUAAUAAUGUUUCUUCAUAUCCAGGUACAUUUUAUCUGAACCCGGAUGGAUGGAGUAUCGUGUUUUAUGGGCCUCAUUCAUGACUACCUCUCUGAAUCCCCCACGUUUAGGGACCCAAAUUCGGUUCAUGAAAUAAUUUGCUCCGUCCUCCUUGACUUCGAAGUUCUUUUCCAUUUCACGUAACGCUUCGCUUGUUCUGUUUUCUGUCUCCAUGGAAUCCAACUGGGCUUCUUUGAUUUGUGAGGACAGAUGGGAUUGAAUGGUUAUUGAAAGAGUCUUAACACGAUGAUUUGAGUAUUCCUACCGAUUCAAGGCAUCAGCUACCACAUUAGCCUUGUCGGGGUGGUACUUGAUUUCGCACUCAUAAUCGUUUAGUAGCUCAACCCCUCUUCGCUGCCUCAUGUUUAACUCCUUUUGAUUUAAAAUGUGUUGGAGGCUCUUGUGGUUGGUGAAAACGGUGCACUUCGUACCAUAAAGGUAGUGCCUCCAAAUCUUCAAAGCAAAGACCACAACUCCCAAUUCGAGAUCAUAGGUGGUAUAAUUCACCUCAUGUGUCUUUAGUUGUCGGGAUGCAUAAGCUAUUACCUUCCCACAUUACAUGAGUACACAGCCUCAACCUUGAUUCGAAGCAUUGAAGUAAACUACGAAGUCCUCAGUUCCCUCUGGUAAUGAUAGUACUGGUGCACUACAGAGAGCUCGUUUCAGAGUUCGGAAGGCAACCUCCUGCUUUUCUGUCCAUUCAAAUGGUAUGCCCUUUUGUUUAAGCAUGGUAAGUGGUUUAGCUAUUUUGGAGAAGUUCUGAAUGAAUCUUCUGUAAUAGCCCGCGAGACCCAAAAAUUGACGAAUUUCUGUGGGUAUCGUUGGGACUGCCCAUCCUUCAAUGGCUUUGAUCUUAGAAGGGUCCACAUGUAUCCCUUCUCGACUUACAACAUGACCUAAAAAGUUUACGUUAGGGAGCCAAAACUCACACUUAGAGAGUUUGUGUACAACUUUUUGGUUCGUAAGGUUUCCAAGAUUUGCCGUAGAUGUCGACUAUGCUCCUCUUUACUUCGAGAAUAGACAAGGAUAUUGUCGAUGAAAACGAUGACAAAGUUGUCAAGGAAUGGUCGGCAGAAUUGAUUCAUUAGGUCCAUGAAUGCGGCAGAGGCAUUCGUUAGACUGAAGAACAUUACAACAAAUUCAUAAUGUCCAUAGCGAGUUCGGAAAGCUGUCUUGGGUAUAUCCUCUUCCCGGAAAGACAAGUAAAUUCCUUCUGAAUUCAAUGGAUUCGGGUCCAUAACCAUGGGUUCCGAUGCACGAGAUCUUGUAGCACUUACCAAUGAGGCCCUAUUUUUUCCUUCCUUUCUUCUUUUUCGUUUCGGAUUGAAAGAGGAAGAGUUGAGCAAAUGAAAAAAAAUUGCUGGUAUCCGGAUUGCAGAUCUAUCUUAGAGAAGUAGUUCGCUCCUUGAAGCUCGUCGAAUAGAUCGUCGAUUCACGGAAGUGGGUAGCGAUUUUUGAUAGUUAGCUUAUUCAGUUCUCUAUAAUCGAUACACAUCCUAAAGGAUCCGUCCUUUUUCUUAACAAAGAGGACCGGAGCUCCCCAGGGUGAGAAGCUAGGUCGGAUGAACCCUUUGCUCAAGAUUUCACUGAAUUGGCUUGAGAGUUCUUGCAUCUCCGUAGGAGCCAACCUAUUGGGUGAUUUGGCAAUGGGUGUAGCUCCUGGCACAAGGUCAAUUCGGAACUCGACUUGUCUUUCUAGGGGUAUCCCCGAAAGAUCUUCAGAAAAGACAUCCAGGAAAUCGAAAGCCACUAGGAUGUCUCGAAUAUUGACCUCUUCCUUGGACUUAUCCACUAUGUGAGCCAGAAACGCCAAGUCCUUCUUUUGUAGAUACUUCUAUGCCUUAAUGCACGGGAUAAGACGAAGGUUCGUACUGGGUUUGUCUUCGUAAAUAAUUAGGGUUUCGUGGUUAGGGAGAUGAAGGCGAACGACCUUCUCGCGACACAUAAUUUCGGCAUGAUGGGGGCUCAACCAGUCCAUGCCGAUAAUGACAUCAAAACCCCUAAUAGGUACAAGCAUCAAUUUUAUUUGAAAGACGUGGUGAUUUAAGGUCAUGGUACAUCCUAUGUAGAUUUCCCCAGUUGAUUAUGUUUUCCCAUUAGCCAUUUCCACCGUAAAGGUUUCAUUAAGCUUCUGGGGUUGUUGUUUUAGUAAAUGUUUGAAUUUAUUACUCACAAAGCUUCGCUCUGCCCCGGUAUCAAACAGGAUGCAUGCAUAUGUGUGGUUAAGGAGAAACGUACCAAUGACAACAACGAGAUCCUGAACCACUUCUCCUUGACCCAUGGCCAGCACUCUCCCUGCUCCUCCAUUCCGUUGGUUGUUGAUAUUGGAGCAGUUUUUGACGGAAAUGCCCAGUCCUUCCACAUCCAUAACAGGUAUGGCUAGCCCUAGUGUUGUUGUCGUUGUUGUUAGUGUUACUGUUGUUGUUUCCCUGUUGCUGGUUCUGGGGAGGAUAGGUUCUACAGUAUUUUGCCAUGUGACCCUUUCGGUUGCAACUGGUGAAAUGCAUCUCCAUGCAUUCGCCAUUGUGAUGGAGAUUGCACUGUUUCACUUUGGGAGAUUUCCAGAAUACUGCUUAGGGGCACUUAGGGUAGAUGAGGUUGGAACAUGUGGUGUGGAGGGAACAUGGGUGGCUGCAACAUGAACUGUCACUGUUUGUUGUUUUUUUGAUGACUCUAAGCCUUGUUGUCCUUUCCGCUUGUUAUUCUUUCCCUUCGUGUCAUCACUCUCCUUCUUGCUUUUAGGUUCCCCUGCUUUUCCCUUCUUUUGUCAUUGUGGUCGUACAACUUCUUGGCUAACCUCUUGGCAUUGUCAAAGGUUUCAGGAUUUGUGGCUAUUACGUUUCCGUGAAUUAGGGGAUUUAAUCCCCAAAUGAAUCAUUCGAUUUUCUUGCCUUCCGAGGUAAUCAUGUCAGGGCACAACAGAGACAGUUCUCUAAACCUUGAUAUGUAAGCAUCGAUGUUGGAGUUUCGGUUGUGAGGUUCCAUAACUCUUGUUCCAUUUUCUGAAUUUCGCCAUGCGGGCAGUACUCGGCCAUCAGCAUUUCUUUCAUUUCCACCCACGACAUGGCAUUGGCUACGGGAAAAGUCAUGGCCUCCACAUGUCCAUUCCACCAAGUGAGAGGUUGAUCAACAAAUGUGCAUGCUGCAAACUUCACCUUGACCUCUUCGGGACAAUCACAUAUCUCGAACACCGAUUCCACUUUUUCAAUCCAUCUCUUCAGGUUUAUCAUUCCCCCCCUGUGCCAUUAAAGGUUCGUGGCUUGGUGUUGGUGAAAUCUUUGUAGGAUCAUGUCUUGGUAGGCCCCUGGUUCAUUCCGUUUUUUUAGUUUCUGUGACAUCCCCAAAAUCUCGGCCAGAAAAGACCGAUUUUCAUUUAUGCUUUUAAAAUAAUUUCAGAGUAAAUCCUUUUGAUUUAAAAGACUUGCAGAAUUUGUUCCCAAAAACAAAACAUCUUUGUAGGAUCAUGUCUUGGUAGGCCCCUGGUUCAUUCCGUUUUUUUAGUUUCUGUGACAUCCCCAAAAUCUCGGCCAGAAAAGACCGAUUUUCAUUUAUGCUUUUAAAAUAAUUUCAGAGUAAAUCCUUUUGAUUUAAAAGACUUGCAGAAUUUGUUCCCAAAAACAAAACAUGGUAAAAUAAUAUUUACCAAAGCAUUUCAUAAAGAAAUGUAUUUUCAUUAUAUAAUCAAAACUCGGGAUGUCAUGUUCCGAUAUAGACCAUAAAGCAUAAAUGAUAACAUUACAUGUCAUUCAACAAAUAUAUACAUAUACAGACUUGUAAACAAAAUAACUUGAUGGUUCAUCCAUCCUACGCCCUUGCGCCACUACCUGUAAUACAAAUAAACUGAGUGGGUCAGGCUUGGGAGCCUGGUGAGCAUAUAGGGUUUGCAACCCAUAAUAAAUAAUUAUAUUUAAUUUCUACCAACCAACAAUAACCCAAUUACCCAUUCCCGUUAUUCUCACUUUACGUCCCUAAGACAACUAACAUAAGGGACCUAGUCUAUGAAUAUUUCAUCGGAGCGACAACACGUGCUUCGGGGGUUCCUCAGCAAUAUAAGUCAAAUAAGGCAACCAUGAGGGGGAUGGAAUACAGCGAAUGAACACCCAAGUUGAUUAACUCCUACGGGUUAUGAGCCUGCUAGCGUUCCACUGGACUAUCUAGAAAAGUCCGUGGCCGUCAUCUAAAUUCCGCUAGAUGACUGGAUCAAAACAACAUCGAGGCCGCUCAUCUAUUUAUUACACACCAACUAUCUACCCAUGUCCUACCCAACAUAUUAGUAGAUAAAAUAUACAUUUUUAUACAUAGUUUUAAAACCUGUAUAGCAUGCUCAAUCAAUACAUUUUCCACAUAACAGAUGAGGCACACACACAUAACACGUAUUUCAUAGAGAAAUAAUCAGAUCUAUAAGAUAGAAGAAAGUGAAUAUACAUUCACACACAUAACAACAAAAUAUACACAUAACACGUAUUUCGUAUAAAAUACUUCAUAAUUAUGCGUUAGAAGAAAGUAACUACACACUCACUUGAUCAGAAGAUGAUCGGACAGCACUACGGCUUAUAGAAGUAGUAUUCUUCGGCAGAUCUGGAAGAUCUUCACAAAAACCGGACUCCUCGCGGGCAGAGCUUCGGCUCGGGAAUCUUACUUCUCGGGAUCUUCGGGACCUCGGGACUUGCUUCGGGGCUCGGGAAUGAUACCGAGGCUUCGGGAUAAUUCUUGCACGAAAAACGAUGCAAAAAACGCGAGAAAAAGGGAAGAAAUGAGCAAACAACUCGGUUGCCCUCGACCUCUUUUUAUAGGGGUUGGUACUUCAAAUUACGCUGGGCGUAAUGACGAUAAGGUCGCUGACUCCCUCAAGGAUAAUAUCGGUUAAUAUAUAUUUAAAUUAAAUAUCGAAAAUAUUUAAUAAACUUCAAAAAUUCAUAUCUUCCUCAUACGAACUCCGUUUUCGACGUUCUUUAUAUCCCCGCGUAGGUGAGACUACGCUCUACAACUUUCGUUUAGACUCCGUCGGCUAAUUUUGAAUUUAUUUUUAUUAUUUAUUUUUAGUAGGCCGGGACAGGAAAACUCCGUUAUAAAAUCAUAACUUCUUCAUCCGACGUCCGUUUUCGCCUAUCUUUUUAUCGUUUUACUNNNNNNNNNNNNNNNNNNNNNNNNNNNNNNNNNNNNNNNNNNNNNNNNNNNNNNNNNNNNNNNNNNNNNNNNNNNNNNNNNNNUUUUCAUCGUUUCGCUACUAACAACGAGAUCUUCGAUUCUCAUUUAGAUUGUUUCGGCUAAAAACCGCUCGAUCUCAAAUCGAGUAUUCGGGCUGCAUACUGCCACGUCGAAACUUCAGAAAAUCAUAACUUCCUCAUACGAAGUCAGAUUUGGGCGUUCCUUUUAUGCACGCUCUCGGUUUAACGAAAUCUAUGACUUUCGUUUAGAUCGCCAAGGCUAAAUAUCACUCUAUCUUAAAUUCAUAUUUUACGUCAUUCGGCGUCGUGCCGGUUCUGUCACGAAACUUCGACAGGUCAUAACUUCUUCGUUAUAACUCGGAUUUUAGCAUUCCUUAUAUCUCCGGAAUCCUUGUUUCGACCACUACAACUUUAUGUAAAGAUAUCAGGCUUAUUUCACACUUCAAUUUUGACGCUUAGUUUUAUCAUUUAUUAAUUAUAUCUUUGUAAUUAAGUAAUAAGCACACAAAUACACAUAAUUCACAUAAUACUCAAAUAUUUCAUCAUUAAUACUUCAAAAAGACUUACAAGGGUUAACCUAGACUAUUACAUCAAUGAAAAUGCCUAGCCUGGAAACGCGGGCGUUACAAUUCUCUCCCCCUUAGGAUGAUUCCGUCCCCGGAAUCACACAUCAACAAACAAAUGCGGAUAGCGACUCAACAUGUCACUCUCCGUUUCCCAGGUGAGAUUUGGCCCAUUCGUAUGUUUCCAACGAACAAGCACUAAUUCGACCAUCUUGCGUCGAAGCUUCUUAGUCUUUCGGUCAACAAUUGCCUCUGGUUCUUCAAUUAACCUUUUGUUUUCAUCAAUUCUCAAUUCAGAAAUUGGAAUUAUAUCGGGAACUUCUCCCGUGAACUUCCUCAAAUAACACACAUGAAAAGUGUUGUGAAUUCCAUUCAGUUCUUCGGGUAAUUCGAGCUUGUAAGCUUGGUUCCCAACCCUCUGAAGAACUUUAAACGGUCCAAUAAACCUUGGACUCAACUUUCCCCUUUUACCAAAUCUUAUAAGUCCCUUCCACGGCGAGACUUUAAGAAAAACCGAGUCUCCAACUUCGAAAGUCAUCGGCCUUUGCUUCUUGUCAGCAUAGCUCUUUUGACAAUCUUGAGCUGCUAACAUUCUUUCUCUAAUUGUUUUCAACUUUUCAGCGGUUUGAUGGACCAUCUCGGGACCCAUAAACUGCUUUUCUCCAGCCUCAAGCCAACAAGACGACGUACGACACUUCUGUCCAUAGAAAGCUUGAUAAGGUGCCAUCUUUAUGCUCGAGUGGAAACUAUUCUUGUAGGAAAAUUCUACCAAAGGUAAGUGUUCAUCCCGAUUACCUAGGAAUUCCAAGGUACAUGCUCUCAGCAUAUCUUCAAGUGUUUGUAUUGUUCUUUCACUCUGACCAUCAGUCUGCGGAUGGUAAGCUGUGCUUAAACAUAACUUGGUACCCAUUUCCUCUUGUAGACUUUUCCAAAACCUUGAGGUGAAACGGCUAUCACGAUCCGAUACAAUCGUUAACGGAACACCGUGAAGCCUCACAAUUUCCUUCACAUAAGAAUUCGCAAGCUUAUCCAUAGACCAUUUCUCCUUGGCUGCUAUGAAACGCGCACUCUUAGUGAAUCGAUCAACGACCACCCAAAUCAUGUCGUGACCAUUCUUUGUUCGGGGUAGUUUAGUGAGAAAAUCCAUAGCAAUGUCUUCCCAUUUACCCAUAGGCAUAGGUAAAGGCUCUAAACUCCCAAAUGGUUUCUGAUGUUGUGUCUUGACUCUCGCACAAGUCACACACUCGGCUACAUACUUUGCAACAUCAAGCUUCAUCGUCGGCCACUAGUAGUAGGUCCCUAUACAUUUUAGUGCUACCCGGAUGAAUCGAGUACAUGGUCUUGUGAGCUUCUUCCAUCAGAAGAUCUCUAAUUCCUCCAGACUUAGGUACCCAAAUCCGAUCUUGGAACACCUUCAGUCCGUGACUGUUUAUACCGAACACUAACAUUUUACCCAAACGUUUCGCCUUUCAGUCAUUCUUCUCUAAAGCUUCUUCUUGAGCUUUCUUUAUACUCUCCACAAUUGUUGAGACAACUUCUAUUCUUAACGCUCUUGGCCUCUUCCUUUCAAGAUUGACUUUCCGACUGAGAGCAUCAGCAACAACAUUAGUUUUACCAGGAUGGUAAAGUAUCUCACAGUCGUAGUCCUUGAGUAACUCUAGCCAGCGUCGUUGCCUCAUAUUUAACUCUUUCUGAUUGAAGAUAUAUUAGAGACUCUUAUGAUCAAUGAAAAGUUUACACUUCGUGCCAUAGAGGUAAUGCCUCCAUAUUUUCAUAGCAAAAACUACCGCUGCCAACUCCAAUUCAUGAGUCGAGUAAUUCUUUUCAUGCUCCUUCAACUGUCGAGACGCAUAUGCUAUCACCUUUUCUCUUUGGGUCAAAACACAACCCAAUCCAACCCCAUACGCAUCGCUAUAAACAGCAAAGUCUUCAACUCCAUCGGGUAAAGAAAGUAUCGGUGCNAUGCUUCUCACCCCAAGCAUAAGUAGCUCCUUUGUGGGUCAAAGCUGACAAUGGACUAGCGAUCGAAGAAAAGCCUUGGAUAAACCUUCGGUAAUAUCCGGCUAAUCCUAAAAAGCUUCGAAUCUCCGUGGGACUUUUCGGUUGUUCCCACUUCGUCACAGCUUCGAUCUUCGCUGGAUCAACCAUUAUCCCUUCUUGGUUGACCACGUGACCCAAGAAUUGGACUUCACGAAUCCAAAAAUCACAUUUGGAGAACUUAGCAUACAGCUUCUCCUUCUUCAAGACUUCCAACACUUCUCGCAAGUGUCUGCCAUGCUCCUCCUGGCUUUUCGAGUAAAUCAGAAUGUCGUCUAUGAACACUAUCACGGAUUUAUCAAGGAAAGGAUUACAAACCCUAUUCAUCAAAUCCAUGAACGCUGCUGGAGCAUUGGUUAGUCCAAACGACAUAACCAAGAACUCGUAGUGUCCAUAUCUAGUUCUGAAUGCAGUCUUCUCGAUAUCUUGCUCUCUUACUUUUAGCUGAUGAUAUCCUGACCUAAGAUCGAUCUUCGAGAAAUAGCUCGAACCUUGCAAUUGAUCAAACAGGUCAUCAAUCCUCGGCAACGGAUAUCUAUUCUUUAUUGUUGCCUUGUUCAGCUCUCUGUAAUCGAUGCACAUUCUCAUACUUCCAUCUUUCUUCUUUACAAAUAACACCGGAGCUCCCCAGGGCGAUGAACUAGGUCUAAUGAAACCUUUGUCCAAUAACUCCUGAAGUUGCAUCAUCAGCUCCUUCAUCUCCGUCGGUGCUAAUCGAUACGGUGCUUUUGCUAUUGGCGUGGUCCCUGGUAACAAGUCUAUUCUGAACUCCACUUGUCUAUCAGGUGGUAAUCCAGGAAGAUCUUCGGGAAAUACUUCCGGAUAAUCACACACCACUGGAAUACUAUGCAUCACCUUCUUUUCCUUCUUAGCAUCGAUCAUGAAUGCUAAAUAUGAUGUACAUCCCUUGGUCAAACACUUUUUGGCUUUCAUUAGAGAAAUGAUUCCAGAAUUUACUCGUCGUUUGUCCUCGUACACCAUAAAUGAAUCUUUCCCAGGCCGGUUUACUUUAACUAUCUUCUUCUUGCAUAAAAUUUCGGCAUCAUUGGCGCUAAGCCAAUCCAUUCCCAGAACGAUGUCGAAACCAUUAAGUUCGAUAGGUAAUAAUUCCUCAUGAAACUUAUUCCCAUUAAGGUCGAAUAAGAUGUCUUUCAUACGAUGGCUAACAGGUACAAACUUGUCACUAGCAACUUCGACUAAUAAAGCAUUAUCUAGUCUAUUAACAGGCAAAACUAGUUUCCUACCAAACUCAUGCGAAAUAAAGGAGUAGUUGGCUCUAGAAUCAAACAAAAUUUGAGCAGGUAAUUCGUUUACGAGAAAGGUACCUGAAGCGACAUCAGCUUCAUCUUUCGCAGCUUCAAGUGUCAUCUGGAAGGCUCUCGCCUUCCAAAAGUGCUUCUUCUUGCACUUGUCACACCACUUCGCUUCUCCUCCUUUUCCUCCACCAAACUUUUUCGAAUCAGAUUUCGAAAAUUUGCUUUUCUUACCGGAACCAGAUGUUCCCUCAAAGUUUCUUUUCUCACCAAUCUCAACAUUGUUGGUGGUUCUCCCUUUAAUCAUGUUCUCAACAGACUUGGCAACUCAGAUAGCUGCCUCUAGAGUAUGUGCCUGACGUACUGGCACCUCGUACUCCCAUGGGAGUCCCUUCGCAUACCGGUCCACCUUUGUCAGCUCAUCUGGAACGAUGCGCAAAGCAAACUCCAUCUUAUCUGUAAAGUUAUUAGUGUAUUCAUGAACUGACAUGCUGCCUUUCGUCAAUGCCAAAAAUUUGUUCUCUAAUUCCAACAGAUUUUGGGCCGAGCAGAACUUGCGCUUGAACUGUACCAAGAACUCUUCCCAUGUCAAUUGCAGUGGCUCAUUAGGGCUUAACGUAUUCCCUAGCGUGUUCCACCAACGAACGACUCCACCUCGGAAUUGACGCACUACAUAGAUAGUCUGCAACUUGCCUCUGCAACCACAAGUCAUGAAGGCUAACUCCAUUUCGGAGAUCCAAUCCAUAACUCCAAUCGAAUCCUCCUUUCCAUUGAAGGUCGAUGGUUUGCAAGUUAGAAAGUCCUUGUACUUGCAUCCCAUUCCAUCAUUCCUUCCAUCAUGGUUGUUUUGCCUAACUAUCGGUGGGUUGGCUUGACCAACAGACCCACUGAAGUUUCCACCUUCCGAGUGCCCUUCAUUUAAUUCGGGCUCUUCCACACGAAUUGACAGUUCUUCACGAUUCUGUUGAAGCAACCGUCUAGUUUCAUCCAUCUGACGAUCCAACAUCGUCUGAAUCAUCAUUUGCACACCAGCCAUGGUUAUUGGCUCAGGUGCUGCUGCUACGACAGGUAUUUGUUCAAUCACUGGUGGUUGAUUCCUGUUUUCGUCAGCAUUUCCAACUCCACUUCUUGUUCUCACCAUUUUGAUCUACACACCGAAUAAGGUGAAAUUAGAUCCUCAAUCACGAUAGAUAUUCAAAUCAUCCUUAUCACUCCGAAACGUUUACAUGCUAGUUCUAAUAUCGUAGACGUACGCUUAGAAUCCUACACACAUAAGGUUUCUAGAUCCGGUCGGCAACAGACCAUAGAUCCGAACAAAUAAUAUCAUAUAUGGCAACAUAUAACAUUUAGCACAUAAAGCAUUUUAGGCAACUUUCCUAAAAUAAACUAGUGCUCGUGUCUAAAACAUAACAGACACACAUCUCAAAACUUCACUUAGCAUUCUAAGUUUAAGUCUAGAAAUCCUACAAAUUCCUAGUUCGCUUAAACUAAUGCUCUGAUACCAACUGUGACAUCCCCAAAAUCUCGGCCAGAAAAGACCGAUUUUCAUUUAUGCUUUUAAAAUAAUUUCAGAGUAAAUCCUUUUGAUUUGAAAGAGUUGCGGAAUUUGUUCCCAAAAACAAAACGUGAUAAAAUAAUAUUUACCAAAGCAUUUCAUAAAGAAUUGUAUUUUCAUUAUAUAAUCAAAACUCGGGAUGUCAUAUUCCGAUAUAGACGACAAAGCAUAAACGAUAACAUUACAAGUCAUUCAAAAAAUAUAUACAUAUACAGACUUGUAAACAAAAUAACUUGAUGGUUCAUCCAUCCUCUGCCCUUGCGCCACUUCCUGUAAUACAAAUAAAACUGAGUGGGUCAGGCUUGGGAGCCUGGUGAGCAUAUAGGGUUUUCAACCCACAAUAAAUAAUUAUAUUUAAUUUCCACCAACCAACAAUAACCCAAUUACCCAUUCCCGUUAUUCUCACUUUACGUCCCUAAGACAACUAACAUAAGGGACCUAGUCUAAGAAUAUUUCAUCGGGGCGACAACACAUGCUUCGGGGGUUCCUCAGCAAUAUAAGUCAAAUAAGGCAACCAUGAGGGGGAUGGAAUACAGCGAAUGAACACCCAAGUUCAUUAACACCUACAGGUUAUGAGCCUGCUAGCGUUCCACUGGACUGUCUAGAAAAGUCCGUGGUCGUCAUCUAAAUUCCGCUAGAUGACUGGAUCAAAACAACAACGAGGCCUCUCAUCUGUUUAUUACACACCAACUAUCUACCCAUGUUCUACCCAACAUAUUAGUAGAUAAAAUAUACAUUUUUAUACAUAGUUUUAAAACCUGUAUAGCAUGCUCAAUCAAUACAUUUUCCACAUAACAAAUGAGGCACACACACAUAACACGUAUUUCAUAGAGAAAUAAUCAGAUCUAUAAGAUUGAAGAAAGUGAAUAUACAUUCACACACAUAACAACAAAAUAUACACAUAACACGUAUUUCGUAUAAAAUACUUCAUAAUUAUGCGUUAGAAGAAAGUAACUACACACUCACUUGAUCAGAAGAUGAUCGGACAGCACUACGACUUGUAGAAGUAGUAUUCUUCGGCAGAUCUGGAAGAUCUUCACAAAAACCGGACUCCUCGCGGGCAGAGCUUCGGCUCGAGAAUCUUACUUCUCGGGAUCUUCGGGACCUUGGGACUUGCUUCGGGGCUCAGGAAUUAUUCCGGGGCUUCGGGAUAAUUCUUGCACGAAAAACGAUGCAAAAAUGCGAGAAAAAGGGAAGAAAUGAGCAAACAACUCGGUUGCCCUCGACCUCCUUUUAUAGGGGCUGGAACUUCAAAUUACGCUGGGCGUAAUAUGAAAUUACGCUGGGCGUAAUGACGAUAAGGUCGCUGACUCCCCCAAGGAUAAUAUCGGUUAAUAUAUAUUUAAAUUAAAUAUCGAAAAUAUUUAAUAAACUUCAAAAAUUCAUAUCUUCCACAUACAAACUCCGUUUUCGAGGUUCUUUAUAUCCCCGCGUAGGUGAGACUACGCUCUACAACUUUCGUUUAGACUCCGACGGCUAAUUUUGAAUUUAUUUUUAUUAUUUAUUUUUAGUAGGCCGGGACAGGAAAACUCCGUUAUAAAAUCAUAACUUCUUCAUCCGACAUCCGUUUUCACCUAUCUUUUUAUCGUUUUACUACAAUUAAUGAGAUCUUCGAUUCUCAUUUAGAUUGUUUCGGCUAAAAACUGCUCGGUCUCAAAUCGAGUAUUCGGGCUGCAUACCGCUAAGUCGAAACUUCGAAAAAUCAUAACUUCCUCAUACGAAGUCAGAUUUGGGCGUUCUUUUUAUGCACGCUCUCGGUUUAACGAUCUCUACGACUUUCGUUUAGAUCACUAAGGCUAAAAAUCGCUCUAUCCUAAAUUCAUAUUUUACGUCAUUCAGCGUCGUGCCGGUUCUGUCGCGAAACUUCGACAGGUCAUAACUUCUUCGUUAUAACUCGGAUUUUGGCAUUCCUUAUAUCUCCGGAAUCCUUGUUUCGACCACUACAACUUUAUGUAAAGAUAUUGGGCUUAUUUCAGACUUCAAUUUUGACGCUUAGUUUUAUCAUUUAUUAAUUAUAUCUUUAUAAUUAAGUAAUAAGCACACAAAUACACAUAAUUCACAUAAUACUCAAAUAUUUCAUCAUUAAUAAUUCAAAAAGAGUUCCAAGGGUUAACCCAGACUAUUACAUCAACGAAAAUGCCUAGCCUGGAAACGCGGGCGUUACAGUUUCCAGCCCCUUGCCCGUUGCGUCCACCAUUGUUUCUAUUGUGGAUCUGCGCCAGUGCCGCUGUGACUGCAGCAGAUACAACUGCUUGAAAUGCAAUUCAGUUGAUUUCUGGUGGUGUUGGCUCUGGGUUUCCUCGGGUGGGUCGCUGAGGCAUCCUUCUGUCAUGGAAUGGAAAGAUGUUGAGUGCCUAUAAUUUUUUGUGAGUUUGUGGUCCUGUAAAAUAGGUGUAGAGCAUAUACUUAAGUAAUUUUACAUAUUGACAUACAACAUAGAAAUAUAGCACAUAGCAGAUAACAACAUCACGAGAGAAUAUUUUCCACUAAUAAUAUUUGUACUUUGAUAAAUGAAGUUUUUGCUCGAAAGAGCAUAGAUAAAGGGUACAAAGUUCGGCAGCAUAACGACUAUAUGAGUAGUGUAAUCACUUAAACAUAAAGUCGAUGGAUACAUAAUAGAGUGCACAUAAAAGAAACAUAACACUAGUAGGGAGGUCUACUGGUCCGGAGUACUCUGAGAUGUGUGGGAUGGUGGGCUGAUAAUGUGGAUGCGCCCUGAAGACGCGCCACCUGUCGUUCUGUGGCUCAUAGUCGGUCCUCUCAAACUGGUUGACGUACCUGAAAGUUAUGGAUUACCUCUUGAGUUUCUCGUUCCGCUCUUGCCACUGCGGCUCGCAUCUGAUUCAGCUGCUCGACAGUACCAUGGGCUAGGUCGCCAGUGUUCUGCAACCGCCUCACCAUAACAGGAAGUGCCCGGUCAGCUGGUCCUCCGUCUCUCAGAUCAUAUAACUCCAUGGUCAUCCCAUAUGGGGGUCACUGCCCCUGCUGUCUGCUCCAUUUCCAUAUAUCAACACCCCAUGGAGGCGUGGGGCCAGUCGAGCCCAUCCGAUGAGCGGGCACCCUAAUCGGGUCAGGUGGGUUGAUGACUUCGGACUCUGCGUCCAAAUCACCAUCCUCGUCUUUACCGGUUUCUUCCUCGGACUCCCCCUCGGGGUCUUCUUCGGCUUCUUCUUCGGCUUCUUCUUCUUCUAAGUCUACCACUGGCUCGGCAGGUCUGCCCUCGACUUCCACUUCAGGUUCUUCUUCGGACUCCUCCUCGGUGUCUUCUUCAGGCUCUUCUUCAGACUCCUCCUCCAGCCAUCCGUUAUUCCCCUUGUUAGGGAAAUACGGAUCUCCAGGAUGAUUGAAGCUGGCCAUACUGUCUGCAGGGGUGUGUAUAAACUACUAUUACUCCUAGGAUGUUUUAGUUGUUAUAUAACUUAAGUUGAUGUUCUCUUAUUGGUUAAUAAAAGGGUAUACCUUAGGUUUACUGACCAUCGCGAUCGCCCUAGGGCAUGUGAUAGUUGUAUUCUGAAGAAAUGUAGUUGAUCAGGCUACAUUUAUCCCUAAUACAACUGUAAACAGUACUGGCUUAACCAAGAUGUCAAGUUUUUUUUUUCAAAUCAUCUUAUUUGAUUUGGUAUUAUGUUCAUUUUCCUAAGUCGCACAAGUAAGAGUGUUUAUUAUUAUAUUUUAUUUGUUUUGUUCAGAGUUAUUUAGUCCAUCUUUGGGUUUAUAAUUGCAUAUCAAUGUGUGGUUAGAUAUGCCAGUUCACUAUAAACAGAGCUAUGAUACCAACCUGUCACACCCCCGAACCAGACGGUGGAAACGCCCGAGGGCUCGCAUGAGUUAAUUUAAAAUAUCAUCACAAUGAAUAUACAUGAAACAUUACAUAAACAUCACCAUGCCUUAAUACAUUACAACUGACAUUGUUCACAUCAAGUACAUUGUCUAAAUAUUACAUAUCCUUAGCAUAAAUUGUUUGAGAGUCGCAAAACGUAACAUCCUAACAUACUCGGUAAUUUUCUUCAGCUUAUCUGUUACCUGAGAAUACAAGUUAUUUUGAAAAUGGUCAACAUAUAUAAUUUUGGUGAGUUCAUAAGCAGGUUUGAUAUGAAAAUGUUUUGUAUAGUUUGUAAAACCCAGAAAAUCUGAUAUUUUAUGAAAUGGCAAUUGUUAAAGAAAUAAGUAUGAUGAUCCAUAGUAUAUGCGUGCAUGAUUUCAAAACGUGUAAAAGUGAUAUGUUUCUCAUAAUAAAUUCUUGUAAUAUAUUUAUUGAAAGUAAAAGUGAAUAAUGUUGUUCCCCUGGAAAACCCCGAUGUUUUCCGAUAUAAAUAGUAUGAUCUUUUUUGUAUUAUUGUAUCGUCGCAAUCGAAUGAAUAUGAUUCCCCAUGAUUACUUAGAUGGUAUUGGAUUUCUAUGUGAGUCGUUAUAACCAUGCAUAAUAAUGACUAAUUCGUCUGUCUUGGCAUUCUUGCGAAUGCCGGUAUUGAAUUAAGAUUUUGUCACCCUAGACUGGCUAAGUCUAACUGUAGUGAACAACUUAGGUGUUGGGGAGUAACCCCCGUAUAGAUCUAUACACAAACUCUCGCUCUCCCUCCAGGAGACUUUGAUUAUAACUACAGACUAUGACGACACUUAUUGGUAUCGCCCGUUAUUACUCACUAAAUCCAAAUGAAAUUGAAUAACCUUGUUUAACAACCUAAAUUAUGUUUAAUUGAAUAAAAGGUAAGCCUAACAGACGAAGAGAAGAGGACUACGGGGCCCCACUAAUCACGUAUGUUAUCAUAGGAUGUCGAGUAUGCGACGAACACGUUAACCCAUCAAGCAUAUGAUUGAUUUGGACCUUACUAGCAAUGCAAAUGGGCCACUACGGCCCAAUAGCAUGUAAAUGUUGGGUUUUGAGCAUUCUAACACUCCUAAGUGUACAUGCAACCCUAAAUAUCUUGGAUCUAUGUUUUCUCUAUUAUACAUGCAAAUAUGAAUAUCCAAGGUAUUAUCCUAACUAGCAUACCAAAAUAUUGAUACAUAGUAAUAUAAAAAGUUAGAAUACAUACCUCUUUGAUGUAGCUUGAUUUCAUGGAGCUUAAGAGCCUAGUGCCCUAAGUGUGAUACCUCAAAUGUUUCACACAACACCAAAUGUACAUGGAAUAACUUGAGAUAAAAUGCACAUUUCAUGAAAUCGGCUUGCCCUCUACAUACAGACAUAGUCGCUGAUUUUGCACAAGAAUAUGAUGCUUAUAUAGUUGUUACAGUUAGGGUAAACCCUAAUUGUCAUGGCUUUCCAUUUCCUUGGAUCCAUGGGUUCAAAUACACCAUGGAGCAUCCAUGGAGUAUCCUAUGGGUUUUAGCCCAACUUGAUAAUCCAUGGAGUCUUAGCCCACUAUACAAGUAUGGAUGAUUUAAACAAUCAACCCAUAUAUUUAAUUAGUCUACUUUUGACCACUUAGUUAAUUCUAGAUUAAUUCUUGAUCAAUACUAAUUAAAUAGUCUUAUUAAUAUAUUAGAACUUAUAAUAUAUUAAUAAAGCUUAAGUAUUAUUUCUCUCAUUUUAGUUUAUCCAAAUGCAUGAUGCCAUGCAACCCAAAUGGACCAUGUCGGGUCGGGUCAAGAAUAUACCAAUUAUAGUUAUGGACUUAGCCAGUAAUCCAACAGUCUCCCACUUGGAUAAGUAUAAUAAAUAUUAUUGCAAAUAUAACUUCACAACCUGACCAGCAAUCCUAGCUCUUAAAAGCUGCUGCCGAACUCUGAACAAAUCUAUGACGCGUCCAUUAGAUAAGUGAUCAUAUAUUCCUCCAUUCUAGAUAUCAUAUGGAAUGAGACAUGGAUUAUAAUCAUUCUCUCUGUCUAUUUGUUGUUUCCCAAUUUCCGAUUUAUGACGACCGACUUAUUGAACAAAUCAAAUCAGUCCAGGCUUGGCCAAACACUUAAGGGUGCCAUCACUAAAUCAUCGAGGGGCCCACAUAUAUCGCUUUUAUCCCAUUAAGAGUAAAAGGAAUGGAUAAACUUCGACUCAUAUGCUUGUACUAACUACUUGUUGAAUUAUACACAAAGGCACUUUUUAUAUCAUCGAGUUACCAAUGCGUUUUCGUGCAAUCAAUGUAUAACCAACUCAUAGUCAACAACUCAGAUAUCUAGGUUUGAAGAAUAUAAUAUAUUAUCAUCUCAUGAUUCACUUGUGAUAAAAUCCAUUAAGUGAUUCAAAUGUGCGUGGGUUUAAUCCAAUACCCAGAACAUAUGAGCACUCAUGAAUGUUGUAGCAACCAUUGCUAUGUCUAAUGCACAUUAGACAAAUCUUACAAGCUAGAUUCAUGACAGUCUUGAUUCAUAUCUACUUCCAACAUAUGACCGAAUAUGGAUGGUUUGAAUAACUUAGUCGUUCGGGAAGAAUGACCUAAUUAUUCUGGAAGUCAAAACAUGCAAAGUGAAACACAAAAAUAAUAUUAAUAUUGUAUAGCCUCAAAACUUUGAGUGUAAAUAAAACAUCUUUUAUCUAAGCACCAUAUGGAUUAAUCAUUAUUCAUGUUUCGAUUAAUCAACUUAAUACAUGACUUAAAACAGUAGUGAUGCCAUGCUCCAAGCAUGCACACUAUGUUUGUCUAAACAAUAGUUAUGUCGUACUCCAAGUAUGCACACUAUGUUUACAUAUGGUCCUCUCUUUGUGAAACAGAUCGAUUGACAACAUUUCAAUGAUUCUUAUUUCACAAUUCCAAUCCUUAUUGUAAAUGUAAGAAUACCAAACUCUUGCCAUUUACUAUAAUCUAUUAGAUUCUAAACUUAUAUGCAAUGAUCCCCUUGUAAUGACUAUGCACAAAAUCACAAAGACUUGGCAAAAGACAUUACAGAGUAUUCCAAUGGAAAUCAAUCCCAUUGAAAUGAAAUUUCAAAUUCAAAGUACAUUCCUUUGAACAUCCUUCUCUGCAUUAAGUUUUCUAAUCUUACACAGAUUCAAAGAAUAACCUCCACUUAUGGAAACAAUUCCACAUUACCAUUUUGACAAUCACUUCUGAACAAGAGUUGCCUCUUUUCAGAACAUGUCAAUAUGGUCCUAACCAUAUACUUCCAAUUUUCCAUGAGCAACCAAUCUUUGGUAAACCUCAGAUUGUCGUCGACAAUUGCUUAAUCAUUUUAGUCAUAUCCAGUUCUAUUCCUUUUUCCAUCCUAAUGUCCUAGGAAUUUGGAAAAUUUAGAAUGGAUAAAUAUUAUAGCACAUGUAAUCAAACCUAUACCAAAAGCAUAUGGGACAUUAUUCAUGCUAUAAAAGUUUUAUUUUCCAUGUUCUCACAAUUCAAACUAUGAAGAGGUAUGUCGUAAUCAUAAUCANACCAUUCCAACAUAACAUAUAUAUAUAUAUAUAUAUAUAUUCUUGACUAAAGUUGAUUAAAAUCUCAAUCUAAGCUUGUAGAAUUGGAAUGAAUUAUAAAAUCUUCUCCCUUAAUUAUAGGAAAACAACUUUUCAAAGUGAAUUGAACCUUUUGUUUUCUAUAAUUAACAUUGCUAACUUGCAACAUAAUCAUCAUGCUCCCACUAGAAUAAUGAUUAUUAUGUUACUAGCAUAAUACUUAUGCUCCCACUAGCUUUGACAUGUACUCAGAAAUCAGCUGGACUUCUAGAAAAAACAAUACUUUAUUGACUUUCUUACCAAAGUUCAGAUUUUGAUACGAGAUGCUUUGAUAAGACUUUAUCAAAAUCAUACACCUUUCCUUAGAUAGCUCACAUGUUUUUCAAAAAAAUUAUGAAGAGGGAUGCCGUAAUCAUAAUGUUUAAACAUACUUCCAUUCUCACAAGUCCAUGCUAGUGUGUCAGUUAACCACACGUGCUCGACUAAUGACUUUGAGAAUGCAAAUAUCACAAUUCUUAUCUACUUAAAAUCUACUUAGUAAAGGAGUUUCCUAACCAUCAUUUUCAUGAAUCGGAGAGAAACAUUAUGACACUUAGAUUUUAUGUGGUCUAAGUGUUCCUAUCCAUGUGAAUUUUUCAUAACCAUAAUCACAAGACAAGGUCAGUGGCAAAUCCAAACACAUAUGGAAUGAAGGUCGUGGGCUAGUGAUUAACAAUACUCUUGAUUAGUUCUUCAAAUUGUUUCAGGAACUUUUAGACUCCCACUGUCCUCUUGACAUAUAAGAGUCUCUUGUCAAGAACCAUUCCUUGACAAAAAAAAUAUUAAAGAGUUAGUGUGGAUUCUUAUCAAGUCAAACACUUCUCACAAUUGGUCUUAGUUGGUCUUUGUUUUAUCCAAAACAUCACGACUUACCAAUCUCAAAUGUACAAGAAUAGGAAACAUCUUACUCUACAUUUGACAAGUGUUAUAAACUUUGUUAAGAUUAUGUCACUCAAAGCUCAAUCUUGGAGUAUGACUCUAAGAUUUGAUUUGGAACGAAGUAUGAUUUAACUUUUGAUUUAACCAUUUCAACAAUUCUUGAUUCCUCUCCUUAGUCAAACAAAUGCACUAAGGUUUCCUUAGAGAAUCAAUUGUGAUAUGGUUUCAUAAUUACUAAGAUAGUCAUAAAAGAAGAUACUCAAGUACUCUCCCAUCUCUUCAGAUUGGAGAAACUUUUAUCUCUCUGCCUUAUUUGAUUCUUCUUAUUCAUUCUGCCAUACAUUGAAACUUUUCCAAUGUUUCAGAAUUACACUUAAACUUGUAAGUAUAACCAUAUUUACUAAACUUUAGUAAAUCAUAACGAAUAAUCUUAUCAACCUUUUUGGUGGACCUGACCGGCACACAACCAAGUGUACCCAAUCCUUUAGUCCUUCACUUGGCUCACACAUACAGGUGAACAAGGUCUUAGUCUUAAUUUCCCAAAGUUGAAAACUCUCAUUCAUCACACAAUACAACUUGCAUGAUUCCAAGUUUCUAUCCAACUAAAACUUGGGUGAUGAGAAUCUUUCCUUAUUUGGUAAAUUAUGACACUACCAAAAAUGAAAGAAUCAAAUCCAUUUACCAAUAUUUCUUAUCAAGGGAAACAUAUAAACAACCAUUUUUUUCACAAAUGCCAUUGUAAGGAUACUUAAAAUAAAUAAAAUAAAAAUUUUCUUUUAUUUUAAAAACUUUGCGGAAAAAAUUAUCCUUACAAUGCGAAUACAUAUGAAAAACAUUUUGUUGUCUAUUCCUAAGCAAUAUAUAUCAUAACUCUUAUGCAGCAGCUCAAAAUUCUGAUCAUCGGACCAUGCGAUCGAAUUCCAUCUUUGCGAUCAGAAUCUGCAUAAUCAUACUAUAAGCUUCCUUUGAUUCUUCCAAAACAUCAAAAUGUAAUUAUAUUACAUCAUGUAUUAAGAAUCUCGAAAAGAGACUUAAUAGAGUUAGAUAAUGGAGUUUACCCAAAGCAAAGUCAAACCCUUUUGACUUUACCUUCCUUAUGAAAUUUCAGGUAAAUUGGCCAGCUUUGCAAACAAUGUCCCUUUUAUUGGAAAAAGAAAUAUAUGGAGUCUUUGGAAAUGGUAUACGAGACUAUCACAGACUUAGAAUUUCUCCUUACCAGUAGGUCAAACGACUUGACCAUGGCCGAUCCCUUUCAAUUGGGAAGAGAAAUUUUUAUGGACUUCCAAUGUCACCAUUGUCAAUAUCCAAAUAGGUUUGGGAAGUAGAUAUUCCAAUCUAAUUUUCUUUACCAAUGCUCCAAAUCAUUGCUGAUUCAACAUCAUUAAGCAAAUAGGUAAGAUCAUUAAGGGUCAUGUCGUGAUCUGUCGUCAGGGAGUGACUGAAGAACCAAGUCAAUAGCCAGCUACCUCGAGACUUCGACACCCGACUCUCCCGGCUUGUCAAUAUGUGAUUUAACCUCUAAGAUGUAAGCACAUAUAGACUUUGCUUUUCAAUAGGGAUUGAGUGACUUAGAACUUAUCAAGUCUUGAAACUUGUGGGAUAGGGAGGAUAAUUGGAGGAGGUGGAGGAAGUGAAGUAUGAUUCCAGUCCCAUCAAUGCACAACAAAGGGAUUAAUCUUUCACCAUGAUUGUCAUGUGGGAUAUCAUCUUCAUCAGGAAAGCUUGUUCCUGAAGAUUUGGGAAGACCAUAUUUGUCUUAACUAGACAUAUAUAAUGGGAGAAAUUCAAGUUUAGUUGAUAUAAAGUCUUUAGGAUAAUACCCAAUAUGAAAUAUUAAGGCUAGGAUCUAACAACCUAUUUAUAACCGGAAGAGGGAUGCCGUAAUCCAAGCUAUAAAAUAGUUGAAGGUAGGUAAAUGACGAUUUAUAAAUUUCCACCAUCAAAACGAAAUAUAAUUAAGUUUUAAUUGGAUUUUAAAAUCCUAGAUCUUUUGAGAUACAUUGAACUUUCAAUGGUAUGUUUAAAUCUCGAUUGUGCCCUCUCAAGUUUCUGACUGGGAUGCCGAGGAUCACAAACAAGGUGUGAAUAACCAUGCAAAUUGACUUGGUACCCUUAACUUUAUCACCUAAUCGAUGUGUCGGUUAACCACACACGCUCCACCGAUCUAAAAUAAAGUCAAGUUACCCUUUUCCACUAUUACUAGUCCUUAUUAGUGUGUCGGUUAAGCACACACGCUCCACUAAUGACUUGGUAAGGUACAAAGUGUAAUUUCAUGGGUUAGCACCUUUUCACAUUUUCCUAAGUAACUAAGAUUGGGAAUUUAUAAGUGUUUAGAGACUUAGUAUUUAUCAUUAUACUUUUAAUGAAGGGUGAAUUCUAGUCCUUGUCCUACUCGUUCAGCUAAUGACCCUCCACUAGUCAAGGAAGCGGUGGGUGAGAGUGGACACCCAUUAAACUGCCAUUUUAUAGGCAGUAACCUUAUACCCCCCUUAUAGACCGGCUUCGCGAAUGAUGCCUACUAAUGGUUAGAUUGACUUUAUCUUAUACAUAUCUAUAUAAUUAAAAUUAUAAUAAUAGUAUAAGGGUUGAAUUUUAAACUUUUAAAAUUCUAAGGUUUAAUUUGGAAUUGAAGCAUACAUGAGGAGGUCACUUUACAAAUUCCAAAACUUGUGGGCAAGUUUUUGAAACCAUUCAAAACUCUUGGAUUUUCAUAACUUAUGAGUUUAAUGGUUCAUUAAAAUGAAGACUUUUCACUUUAAUGUAACCUCUUAUUCUUUAAUAACACUUUUAAAGAAGUGACUCUUCAUAAAACAAUUUAAUGAAAAAGACUCUUCAUUUUAUGUAACCUAUGGCACUUUUCUGAGUUUUAAGAUUCAUAAAUAUGACUUUUCAUGUAACUUGAGGAAAAUUUACACAAACACCUUUUGUGAACUACUUUUAGAUUAAUUUGGAUUGAAAACAACUAAAACACAAAUUUUUUUUUUAUUAAUCUAAACUAACUCAUAAAUCAAUGAAACAUAAAACUCUUGGUAAUCCAUAACUUGAGGACAAAUUAUGGACUCCAUUAAAACAAAUUUAGAUCAAGAAUUAACUAACAAACACAUUUGCAAAUAAUUCCUAUGAUCUACCAAAACUCAUAAGCAUGAAUAAUCCAUAUCAACAAUUUUUCAAGAAUCAUAUAAACAUAUAUAAAACUCAAAACUUGGAUAAUUAUCCUUUAUUUGGAUGAGAAUAAACAUUACCAUAACAUCAAAAUCAAAUUUUAUGAACAAAAACACUUUGUGGUAAUGAAAUCAAUCAAAAACAGGCCAAAAAACUAAUUUUUUUUCACUAAACAGUCACCACCUCGUGGUAAAUUUUAUCACCUCGUGGUGAACUGGCAGAUUCCACAAAAAUGAUUUUUCUUGCAAAUAGCAUCAAUUAUAAUAGAAAACAAGCCUUGGCUUUGAUACCACUAUUGGGUUUUAAGAAUUCUAACACUACUAAGUGUACAUGCAACCCUAAAUACCUUGGAUCUAUGUUUUCUCUGUUAUACAUGCAUAUAUGAAUAUCCAAGGUAUUAUACUAACUACCAUACCAAAAUAUUGAUACAUAGUAAUAUAACAAGUUAGAAUACAUCCCUAUUUUAUGUAGCUUGAUUUCAUGGAGCUUAAUAGCCUAGUGCCCUAAGUGUGAGACCUCAAAUGGUUCACACAACACCAAAUGCACAUGGAAUAACUUGAGAGAAAAUUCACACUUCAUGAAAUCAGCUUGCCCUCUACAUAUAGACAUAGUCGCUGAUUUUGCACAAGAAUAUGAUUCUUAUAUAGUUGUUACAAUUAGGGUAAACCCUAAUUGUCAUGGCUUUGCAUUUCCUUGGAUCCAUGGGUUCAAAUACACCAUGGAGCAUCCAUGGAGUAUCCUAUGGGUUUUAGCCCAACUUGAUAAUCCAUGGAGUCUUAGCCCACUAUACAAGUAUGGAUGAUUUACACAAUCAACCCAUAUAUUUAAUUAGUCUUCUUUUGAUCACUUAAUUAAUUCUAGAUUAAUUCUUGAUCAAUACUAAUUAAAUAAUCUUAUUAAUAUAUUAGAACUUAUAAUAUAUUAAUAAACCUCAAGUGUUAUUUCUCUCAUUUUAGUCUAUCCAAAUGCAUGAUGCCAUGCAACCCAAAUGGACCAUGCCGGGUCGGGUCAAGUAUAUACCAAUUAUAGUUAUGGACUUAGACAUUAAUCCAAUAGUCUCCCACUUGGAUAAGUCUAAUAACUAUUAUUGCAAAUAUAACUUCACAACCUGAUAAGCAAUCGUAGCUCUUAAAAGCUGCUGCCGAACUCUGAACAAAUCAAUGACGCGUCCAUUAGAUAAGUGAUCAUAUAUUCCUCCAUUCUAGAUAUCAUAUGGAAUGAGACAUAGAUUAUAAUCAUUCUCACUGUCCAUUCGUUGUUACCCGAUUUCCGAUUUAUGACGACCGACAAAUUGAACAAAUCAAAUCAGUCCAGGCUUGGCCAAACACUUAUGGGUGCAAUCACUAAAACAACGAGGGGCCCACAAAUAUCGCUUUUAUCCCAUUAAGGUUAAAAGGAAUGGAUAAAAUUCGACUCAUAUGCAUGUACUAAUUACUUGUUGAAUUAUACACAAAUGCACGUUUUAUAACAUCGAGUUACCAAUGUGUUUUCNGUGUUCCAUAAAUUAUACCUAUUAUAAUUUAUCAUGUAUGUUCUUGUAUGGUUCUUGUACUAGUAAGGUAGUAUGUAUGUUUCAUAAGCUAUACCUAUUAUAGUUUAUAUGUUACAAAACUAUUUAUGAAAAUACCCCUUUUGCUCAGCAUGUUACAAAAGGAUUAAAGUUUUAUACUCAUAUAUAUAAACAUACAUAAUUGUAAUUAAAAGACAGUCGGACACAUGAAUUUACCCUAAGCCCCCACAAUCAAACAAGGAGCAGGAGUUAAGGCGAAAACACCAGUCCUAAGGCUGUUGAAUCACAUUUAUAUGUAUAUAUAUACAUAUGUAUAUAUAUAUAUAUGUGUGUGUGUGUGUGUGUAUAUAUAUAAUUAUGUUUGAAUAAAGCAAUAGUUCAAACAGUUGAAAUAAUUCAGGUUAGCUUGAAACAGUUUAAAAUAGCUUGAAACAGUUUGAAAUCAUUUGAAUGUUAACACAAGAUUCCUUGUGUUUUACUUGUAUUCUCCCUCCCUCCUAAAAACAUUGAAAAAUAGUAAAACAUAGGGGUAUGAACUCACCUCGAAUGUGCGUUCUCGAUUAGGUACGAAGUAGUAGUGAUAAUCCUCGGGUUAGAACGCACAUGUGUAGUCGUGUCCUAAUAAUUAUUAUACAUGAUAUCGUGUUUAAAUUAGUAAGAUAUUAAUUUAAAUAAUAAAUAAUAAAUUAAAGUGUUAGACAAUAGUUAAUAAUGUAAGAAAUACUUACAAAAAGUAUUAGGAAUUAUUUUGAAGGUAAUCUAGGCGUUUUCGGUGUAAGCUUGGGUGUUUUUGGUGUGUGCUUCAAGAUUUGAAGAUUGUUCUUGGUGUUAUUGUUGAAUUUAUGAAGAUUUGAAGGUGGGAUAAUGAUUUCGAUUGAAGAUUUGAAGGCUUUCAGGUGAUACUUAAGAGCAAAUGGGAGUGUUUACGGUUCGGAAAGUUGGGAAAUGAAUUGUCUUUACGGUUGAACACGUAUUUAUAGAAGAGUUUUCGGCCGAAAAGUAGCCUAAAAUAGGGAGAUUUCUGUGUAAGUGUGGGACCUUGCUAUCCGAAAUCUGUUUUCGGUCCGAAGAGGGUAGCCCAUGCGAGAGUUUUCGGUUGGAGUUUUCGGUUCGCAUGGAUUAAUUUAGGGUUUUCGGUCAAAGUGUUUUUAUUACCAAAUACUUAAAACAUUUAUAUAAUAGAAUAAUUUUUAUAUAUUAAAUUAUAUUUAAACCUUAUAAAUUUAACCAAUUGACAAAUUGACUUUUAUUUAGCAAGUUUGACUUUUGUUGACUUUUAUUGACUUGAAGAUAAGGGGUUGUUACAUUAUUCCCCUGUUAGAGGGAAUUUCGUCCCAGAAUUCUUUCUAUAGAGAGCACGCAUGGACUAGGGAAAAGAUGCGGGUACUUUUGUUUCAUUUGAUCUUCUCACUCCCAAGUGAAUUCAAUUCCUCGUUUGACUUCCCUAUCCACGAUUUAUACUAGUUCUUCCACGAAUUGCAGACUCUCGUUUAUAUGAAUUUCAUCGAGUGGAAUCACUAGAGUCUCGUUGGAUAGACACUUCUUUAUAUUUGAGAUGUGGAAGAUAGGCUAUACGUUAUUAAGUUCUUGAGUUAGUCGGAGUUUGUAAGCUACUUUGGAUUUAGUUUUCACGCUUUCCAAAGUGUAUCAUGCCCUUCUAAGGUGAGAUCUUCAACUGAACGCGGUCACCCACCAGGAAUUCCAAGGGUUUUCAUCUCUUAUUUGCGUAGCUCUUUUGUCUGUCCCUAGAAGCUUCACGGAUUUGAACAAUUUUCUGAGUCGUUUCUCUUAUGACAUCCGGGCCAGUGAGAGUGCUGUCAGGAACUUGCCCUCUGGCUAGUUGCGUGUCACCUACCUCAUCCCAACACAUAGUGGAUCUGCACUUGCGGCCAUAGAGGGCUUCGAACGGGGCAACCUUGAUACUAGAGUAACAACUAUUGUUGUAGGAGAACUCAACAAGUGGCAAAUGGGUAUCCCGUGCUUUACCAAAUUCGAUCAUGCAAGCUCUUAGCAUGUCUUCCAAGGUUUGAAUAGUCUCUCACUCUGCCCGUUGGUUUGUGGAUAGUAGGCUGUACUCGUGUCCAGUCUAGUUCCCAGAGAUUUCUGUAGUGACUGCCAGAAUCUUGAGGUGAAUCUACUAUCUCUAUUAGAGAUAAUAGAGAUUGGCACACCAUGCAGUCGUAUUAUCUCUUUGAUGUAAGUUCUGGUUAAUUUCUCCAUCUUGUCUAUUUCUUUUAUCGGUAGGAAGUGUGCGGACUUGGUUAAUCUGUCGACGAUUACACAAAUGUUGUCAUGACCAACCGGGGUCUUAGGCAACUUGGUUAUUAAAUCCAUUGUAAUCCGCUCCCACUUCCACUCAGGUAUCUAUGGUUUCUGCAAUAAACCCGAGGGCUUUUGGUAUUCUACCUUAACUUUGGCGCAAGUUAAGCACUUGCCCACAUUGGUAGCAAUUUCCGCUUUCAGGUUCGGCCACCAAUAGAGUUUCUUGAGAUCCAACUACAUCUUAUCUAAACAUGGAUGAACGAAAUAUCGAGUCUUGUGGGCUUCGUUCAUGACAACUUCUCUAAAAACCAAUCAACUUCGGUGUCCAGAUCUGGUUCAUAAGGUAACAAACUCUGUUGCCCUUUAUUUUAUGUGCUUCUCCAUUCCUCUUAAGGCUUCAUCCGCCACAUUUUCAGGCUUCAAGGGUUCUAGCUGAGCCUCUUUGAUUUGUGUGGACAGAUGUGAAUGGAUGGUCAUGGUUAGUGCUUUUAAUCUACGACAUGAGUACUCCUUUCGACUUAGGGCAUCUGCAAUUACAUUGGCUUUGCCGAGAUGAUGAUGAAUUUCUCAUUCGUAUUCAUUAAGUAGUUCUACCCAUCGUAUUUGUCUCAUACUAAGCUCCUUUUGGUCAAUUAUGUGCUGGAGAAUUUUGUGGUCGGUGAAAAUGGUGCACUUUGUACCGUAGAGGUAGUGCCUCCAGAUCUUCAGAGAAAACACUACUGCUCCCAACUCAAGAUCAUGAGUGGUGUAGUUGACUUUGUGUGCAUUUAGCUGUCUCGAGGCAUAGGCAAUAACUUUCCCUUGUUGCAUAAGCACACAACCUAGACCCUGAUUGGAUCCAUCGCAGUAUACUAUGGAAUCCUCUGUCCCCUGAGGAAGAGAAAAAAUAGUUGCACUGCACAGGGAUUGCUUCAAUGAUUGGAACGUAGUGUCUUGUUUCUCUCCCCAGGUAAAGGUUAAACCCUUCUGAGUUAGGGCGGUAAGCGGUUUAGCAAUUCUGGGGAAGUUUUGUAUGAACAUGCGGUAGUAGCCAACAAGUCCUAAAAAUUGGCGGAUCUCUGUUGGCGUUUUGGAUGCUGACCAGUUCUCGAUUACCUUUAUUUUGAAGGGGUCCACGUGUAUUCCUUCUUUGCUGACCACAGGACUAAGGAAAUUUACCUUCCUAAUCCAAAACUCGCACUUUGAGAAUUUCGCAUAAAGCUUCUCCGCCCUUAAUGUUUCUAAGACUUUUCUCAGGUAAUGGCUAUGUUCUUCCUUACUCCAUGAGUAUAAGUAUAUCGUCUAUGAAUACUAUCAAGAAUUUUUCUAGGAAGUGACGCAUACCAGAUUCAUUAGGUCCAUGAAUACUACAGGUGCAUUUGUUAGACCAAAGGGCAUUACUACAAACUAAUAGUGACCAUAACGAGUUCGGAAUGCUGUCUUGGGAACAUCAUUUUCAUUGACUCGUAACUGGCGAUACCCCAAUCUUAGGUCGAUCUUUGACAAGUAGCUUGCUCCUUGGAGUUGAUCGAAUAAAUCGUCUAUUCGCAGGAGAGGGCAUCGGUUCUUAAUGGUAAGCUUGUGUAGUUUGCGGUAAUCAAUUCACUUGUGGAACGAUCCAUCUUUCUUUUUCACGAAUAGGACCGGUGCUCCCCUGGGUGAAGAGCUCGGUUUGAUGAAUCCCUUAAUGAGCAAUUCAUUUAAUUGGUUAGAUAACUCCUGCAGCUCUGCUGGUGCUAGGCGAUACGGGGAUUUGGCUACGGGGGUAGCUUCAGGAAUCAAUUCGAUUUGGAGCUCGGCUUGGCGUUCGCGAGGAACUCCUGGAAGAUCUUCAGGAAACAUGUCAGGAAAAUCACAGACUUUAGGAAUGCUCUCGACGACUUUUACUUCUUGCUUUUCAUUCACUACAUGAGCCAAGAAUGCAUGAUAUUCCUUGCACAGGUAUUUUUGGGCUUUGAUGCAAGAUGGAGGCGAAUGGCCUUUUCGUAGCAUAUGUCCCACCCCCAAACCGGAAUGGCGGAAACGUUUGGUGGCGGAGGACGUCAUGUAUAGUAUCAUAACAAUUGAAUAAUAGUAAUCAAAGCAACAACAACCAUUCUAUUAAGGUUAAAGUGUUACAUUAAAUUCAUAUCAUAGUUGGAUAAUAUCAAAAAUAUAUAGCACAAACAAAGACUUGAAGCUACUAUGCUCUGUCUUCACAAAACAUGUGUGUGUACCUGUCUACUGGUUUCCUAAGAAUACAAGUGGUUUGGAAAGUGUCAACAUUAAAGUUGGUGAGUUCAUAAGCAUUUUUGUUAUAGAAAGUAUAUUCUUUGUUCUUUGAAAAUGUUCGUGUGUUCCUCCCAAAAGUCCUAUAUUUUCUUCGUAAAAUGGAAUGUAGUAUUAGGCCUUAAGACCAAAAUAUAUAUAUGUUUCUUAUGUUUAAAGAAUAAAAUAUGAUGCUUUGAAUUUAUAUAAGUAACCAUAUUUGUUUCUAGAAAGUUGAAUUGUAAACUGUUUUCUUGUAAAAUAAUGAUGUUUAUCCUAGAAAAUCCUAUAUUUUCCAUAAAACCGAAUUGUAGUCUUAAACUUUCCAAGACCGAAAAGUACAAGUAUAAUUGUAAUACUUAAUUUAAUGAUACAUAGUUUUAUUCAUAAGUAAAACUAGUCGAAGAUGUGUUUUCCCUGUAAACUAGAUGCGAUGUUAAUACCCUCCUAUGAUCACUUAGUACAUACGAGUUUAUAUAAUCGAGAUCGAACUGACAGUCGAAUGGGUGAUCCUGCCCUAAGCCCACAACCAUACAAGGAAUAGGAAGUAUGGCUGAAAUCACACAUUUCAUUGCCUAUUAGAUAUUAAUUGCAUAUAACCAUGAUGUAUAUGCUAAGUAAUCACAGAGUUAAUACCCCCUUAAAAUUUUUCUCCACGUGAGUUCUUAUAACUAUAUUGUAACCUGAGAUGGCCUGAGUCACGAUGUGCAUCAAGCGUCGGAAUGUUAAUGACAUUUGUCACCCCAUGCCUGCCGGCCUACCUGUAGCUAAUAGUUAACGUGCGGGAUUGUCAGUCUCGUAUAGAUCUAUACACAAAUAUCUCGCUCUCCCUACAAGAGACUCUGGUUGUAAGUCAAGACUUCAUUGGUACUUAGGUAAGUACGCGAAGACGUCUCACAAAUUGCAUCAAUGAUUUUACUAGUAUUAAGUGAAAAACCUUUUAGUAAAUAACAUAACUUAUCCCUAGAAAGGUCUAUGAUGACAAAUAUUGUGAAAAGACUCAUAAAUUAUACCUAUUAUAAUUUAUAUGUUUGUUUUGGUAUUGUUAUCCGACUUAGUAAAAAUGGUAUAUAAGUUCCUUAAACUAUAUCUAAUAUAGUUUAUAUGACAACAAUAAAAUAUUUAAGAAAGAUACCCUUUUGCUCGGCANAAUAAUUUUUAUAUAUAUAUAUAUAUAUAUAUAUAUAUAUAUAUAAUUUAGAUUAAAAAGGCAGUCGGACAAAUGAUUCUUCCCUAAGCCCACAACUAUCACACCCCCAAACCAAGGAUGGCAGAAACAUCUGGGGGUGGCGGACUUCAUGUAUUGUAUCACAACAAUGAGUAUAAUAGCGCUCAAAGUAAAUACAACCAUCAUAAAUAUAAUUGAAAAAGUUACACCAAUGUAUAUGUUUACAUGUUUCAAAUCAAUUACAUUAUGAUGACAAAAUGAACUGUUUGACGAUUUAUCGUCCCAUCCUCAAAACGCUGUUGAUUUCCUGUUUCACUGAAUUCCUGAGAAUACAAGUAGUUUUGAAAAAGUGUCAACAAUUAAGUUGGUGAGUUCAUAAGUUUUUGAGAUAAAGAGUUUGGAAACCGUUCUUUGUAAUGUGUUGUGUGUCACCAAGAAAAAUCCAAUAUUUUCCUUAUAAAAGUUAUGUGGUCCUAAAUCCCAAGACCAAGAAUAAACAAGUAUUUUCCAUACUUAAUGUUAUAAUCGUGGUUUUAAAUCGGCAUAAAACCCUUUUUGAUUUGAGGGAAAAUCCCGUAAUGAAUGACAUGUAGUCUUAAACACCAAGACCGAAAGUGUACAGUAAUAUCCGUACAUAUUGAGGUAGAAAGUUAUUUUAAAUUGACAUAAAACCCCUUUUUAUUAUGAAAAUUUCCGUAAACUUUAUGAGUUGUUAACUUCUUAUGUGAGUCUCUAUAACCAUACUAUGACUAAAUGAACCUGCCACCACGUUUCUUAGGCGUCGCGAAACUGAUAUGACAUUUGUCACCAUAGACCUGCCGGUUUAGCUGUUGCAUGCAUCUCAGGUGUGGGGUGUCUAACCCAAUAUAGAUCUAUACACAACUAUCAAGUUCUCCCUACAAGAGACUCUGGAUAUAACUACCAGGAAUUUGGAUCCCGCACUGGGACGUACGGGAAGAGAAUGUCUCACAAUUUAAGUUAACAAGUUUACGUGUGGUGUGCAUGAGAGUAAAACCUUUUUCUGUGGGAAUAAAACCUUCCGAAAUAUGUUUGAUGUGUUAAUGGAAACAUAAACCAUACCUAUUAUAGUUUAUCAAAACGUUUAAAUGUAAUAGUUAUGACUUUGUUUAUUAUGGUUAACUACUGUAUUUAUGAAGUUAAAAACCCUUUUGUUUACCGAUAUGUAUAUGUAUUUUUUUUUUUACUAAAGUGAAGCAACAUGCAUUAUAACAACAAAUUAAUUACCACACUUUUGUAGGUAAAAAUCCAUUUGUUUUCUGAUGUAUGACUAUAUACUAAGUCAAAAUGUCAUCUAUUUGUAAGAACAUAUUUUCACAUAAAGAUAUACACCUUGCUCAACAUGUUACAAGGUGAAAUGAACUUGAUAGCAUUUUUCUGUUGUUAAUACUUUCAUUUACUGUUUUUAGAAAAUUUAUAGAAAAAUCAUCAAAGGGCCAAAUUAGAAUCCGUAAAUUCUGAGAGUUUGGGAAAUGAGUAUAGUUUGUUCAUAAUUUUUAUUAUGAAUUUUAAUGACCUCCAACUUGUGUGAAAAAAUCCAUAAUCACAGACUGGUCCAGAUUGAUGUUUGAAAUGAUAGGCAGUUUUGUAAAAAUCACCAUAAAUUAUAGAAAAAUUGUAUAGAGAUGUGCAAGUAGUCAUUUUAAAGCUAAGAACUGGAACUACUUUCAUCUAAAACGGUUUUGAAAACUAAAAUGUUUAGUUUGUCCAAAACAGUCGGUAAAUGGAGUCCAACUUUUCUGAUGAAGGUUGUUUGAAAAGUUUAGUUAUGUUCUUAGUGUUUUAACUUGUAUUCCCCCCGCCCCCNCUUGUAUUCCCCCCUUAAAACUUAAGAAAACAAGAAAAUGAAGGGGUAUGAACUCACCUUAUGUGAUUUCAGUAGAUGAAUGUUGGAGAAAGGAAGUGUUCAACUCAAGAACACUUGAAGAUAUUCGAGAAUUUAACAUCAAAUUGAUGGAGUUUGAGUAAGCAAUCAAUGAUUUGAGUAGAAUGAAGUUUAAUAAUCACAAGGAGAAUGAUUAUACUUACCAAGAGUAUAAUAAAGCUUGAUUAUCAGCCUUGGAGUCUCGAAAUAGAGAGAAAAAGUUUGAGAGGAAAGUGUUUGAUCUUUUGGUGGAAAAUGAGAGAAUGGAUGAAGUGUGAGGAGAGAGGAUGGAUGUUCCAUCUCUAAGAACGUGGGAAAUGGCUGAUGAUUGAUGGAAAGGUACAAGGAAGUGACUAGGGAUGGUGGGGAGGAGUGUGGAUUAGUCAUGGAGUGGGUAUGGUGGUUGCUUGUGUCAUAAACUAAGGAAAAGUCAACACUCCACCUCUUGUACUUCACCCACUCUUAUUGGAUAAGGCAUAUCCCAAAAAACGUGAUUAAUUAAUAGAUAUGGGGCCUUAUCUGUUAAAAUAAAGUUUUGGGUGAAAAUCCCGCGUUAAAACAAUUAAAAACAGGCCUAAAACACAAAACUAGUCGAAAACCGGGUGAAAAAAGAGCUCCCUGCGAGGCCUCUCGGUCCUAGGCCGAGGUUCGGUCCCUUCUGUUGCUGGGCCGAAGGCGAAAUGGAGCGAAAGGGGUAGGAGGCGAAAUGGACCAAAGGUACCUUCGGUUCCUUGUGCGAGGUUCGGGCCCGAGAGCACCCUUCGGGUUCAGUCCAAGAGGGUUCGGUCCGAGAUAAGCCUUCGUUUCUGAUGCCUUCGCUUCUGACAAGUUCGCUUCUGACAAGUUCGGUUCCUAAGAGGGGUUUCGGGUCCUUAAGAGGGUUCGGCUCCUUAAGAGGGGUUUCGGCUCCUUAAGUCAUUUUUUAUCCGUUUUUGCCCCGUUUUUAGUGGUUUUUGACCUGGUUAAGGGUCGGGAUGGCCCGAAAGACUACAAAAAGUUUAAGGAACUUUUGAGAGAGAUUUGGGAGAGAUUUCACAUUCUUGGAGAGAUUUCUCAUACAAAGAGGGAUUUGGGAGAGAUUUGACAUAUGUGGAGAGAUUUGACAUAAUUGGAGAGAUUUCUCAUACGGAGAGAGAUUUGGGAGAGAUUUGACAUACGUGGAGAGAUUUCACGUACUUGGAGAGAUUUGGGAGAGAUUUCACAUACUUGGAGAGAUUUCUCAUAUGGANGGAGAGAUUUCUCAUACUUAGAGAGAUUUGGGAGAGAUUUCUCAUACUUAGAGAGAUUUGGGAGAGAUUUCACAUACGUAGAGAGAUUUGGGAGAGAUUCUAGAUAAAGAGAGAUAGAGUGAAAACGAUUGAGAGAGGUUUUGUGUGUGACAUUUGUGAGUGUUUGGCUCCGCAACGCAAGGUCCGUAAGCCCCGUAAGCCAUGUUCAAGGACCUUACACACUCCCGAUGAGUAUACAACAUUGUUUUAUCGGUUUGGUUCGUGACUUACCAGAUUCUAAGGUUAAGGGAAUCUAGAUGUGCGGACUUUUUCGAUUAAUGAUUUCUCAUUAGCAUAGCGGGUUAUAUAGUAAUUACCUAACGUAAGCCCUAGUACACAAGGGUUAGUUGAGUCGAUUGGUUUGACUUGUUGACUUUAGUUGACUUUGACUUGACNUAUGUUUUUAAGACAAACAAGAAUAGAAAUAAUUUUAAAUAACUUGAAGUAGUUUGAAGCAGUUUUGAAAUAAUUAAAAAUCUUCACACAAGAUUUCUUGUGUUUUACUUGUAUUCCCCCCUCCCCCCCUUUAAAAACAUUGAAAAAGCUUGGAAAAAUAUGGGGGGUAUGAACUUACCUCGAAUGUGUGUGCUAGUUCGGCCGCGAAGUGGUUGCGAAGGAUCCCCGGGUUAAAAUAUGUGAAAGUAGUCGUAUCCUAAUAAUAUUUAUACACGAUAUCGUAUUUAAAUUAAUGAAAUAAUCUAAAUAAUAAUUUAAAGUGUUAACAACACUGAAUUAUGUAAGAAAUACUCACAAAAAUUCUAGGAAUUAUUUGAAGUUAUUCUUGGUGUUCUUGGAUGAAAUAUGAAUAUUUGAAGAUGUGCUUGGUGUUCUUGAUGGAAACUUGAAAAUAUGAAAGGAUAAUAUGAAUGUUCUUGAGGGACUUAUGAAGAUUGAAGAAAACUGGGUAAUAUCCUAUUAAGUUAUGAAGGUUUUCAGAUGAUACUUGAGAGCAAAUUUGAGAUGUUUUAUUUGAAGUUAUUCUUGGUGUUCUUGGAUGAAAUAUGAAUAUUUGAAGAUGUGCUUGGUGUUCUUGAUGGAAACUUGAAAAUAUGAAAGGAUAAUAUGAAUGUUCUUGAGGGACUUAUGAAGAUUGAAGAAAACUGGGUAAUAUCCUAUUAAGUUAUGAAGGUUUUCAGAUGAUACUUGAGAGCAAAUUUGAGAUGUUUACGGUUUGGAAAUUGANNNNNNNNNNNNNNNNNUAUAUAUAUAGUAAUGUGGUUUCGGCCUUAAAAGGCCUUGGCUCUUGGGUUAUCGGUCGUAUGAUGGGCCUAAGGAGGUGAUUUUGGCCAUAGCAAACUGAAAACACACUUUUAUAUCCAUUUCACAACCUGAAGACUACAUUUGAUUAGAUUCCUUGGCUGAAAACUCAAGGUUCUUGGAUUCUUUGGACGGCGAGCUCCUUGUUUCUUGAAUUCUUGGCCGAAAACUCCAUUGUGGGGUCGAUUUGAAAAGAAUAGUCGUUUAGAGUGAGGGUAAAACCUAUGCAUAUUGUGACAUCCCCAUAUUUCUCGGCCAGAAAAGACCGAUUUAAUUUAUGCUUUUUAAAAUAAAAUCAGAGAAAUCUUUUUAUAAGAUAUUGCGGAAUUGGUCCCCAAACAAUAUAUGAUAAAAGUUUAUCAAAAUCCUUCAUUAAGAAGGUAUAUAUUUUCCAUAUAUAUAUCAAAACCUCGGGAUGUCAUGUUCCGAUACAGAUCAAAAGCAUAAACAAGACAUUAUAAGCCUUUCAACAGUUAUUUACAACUACUGGCCUAUAAUCCAAAAAUCUCUCGUCAUCCUCCAACUAUGCUCAGGGUCCACUACCUGUAAUCAUAAAACUGAGUGGGUCAGGCUUGGGAGCCUGGUGAGCAUAUAGGGUUUUCAACCCACAAUAAUAAUAUACUUAUUAAGUUCACCAAUCAACAAUAACCCUGAUUACCCAUUCCCGUUGUCCUCACUUUACGUCCCUAAACACCUAUCACAAGGGACCUAGCCUAAGGAUUAUCAUCGGGAUGGACACUACUGCUAAGGGGUUUCCUCAGCCAUACAUGUCCUUAAGGAAACCAUGAGGGGGAUGAAGUACGCCAAUGAACAUUUAAUUCAUCAACACCUACAAGUUGCGAACCUGCUAGUGUUCCACUGGACUAUCUAGAAAGUCCGUGGUCGUCAUCUAUACUUCGCUAGAUGACUACAACAACAACAACAACAUCGACAUCGAGGCCUCUCACCAUUUUAACACACAUCAACUAUUUCAUCUACCCAUGUUCUACCCAACAUAUUUUGUAGAUAAAAAGCAUAUACAGUUUAAAACUUGUAUAAAACAUCAAUUCAACAGUCACCUCAAAUAAACAAUUAACAUAUUUACACAUAACACGUAUUUCAAGGUAAAUACUUCAUAUCUAUGUGUAAAUUGAAAGUAACUACACACUCACAUAUUUUGGUGAAAAUCGGGCAGCAAUUCGUUUCCUAAAACGAUCGUUUCUAAUAAAACCGGGAGUUUUAUUGAGAAACCGGGCUCUGCAAAAGUCGGGCUUCGAAACCGAAAAGAUAAAUUUUCCGGGCUUCUCGGGCACUUCGUGGGGUAUUCCGGGCUUUACAAUUGAUACCGGGGCUUUGCGGGAUGUUAAGAUGAAGAAAAUAUGGAGAGAGGGGCUAAAAAUGGCUAAAUUCCAAAAGUAACCGGAAACCCUCGCAGGUACCCUUCUAUUUAUAGGGUCCGAAGUUUGAUCCAACGGCUGAGAAGUCUCCUGAUCCGACGGCUAAGAGGCUUCGCAGGGGGGGUCUCGCACAUGGCUCGCACAUGCGAGGGCUCGCUGUCGGCUUCUAAGUGGACCGCGGCUUGCUGGCGCACCUGCGAGGCUCGGAGCUAGGCUAUGCGAGGCUCGGACACACGCGGCAGCUGGGCGAAGCUUCGGCUGGGGAGCUGGCUGCUUCGGAUUGGGCCUCCUCCUCGGUCGAAUCAGAAGAGGGCACGUGGCUCGCAUGACUCAGCAGCCUCGGUGACUCAGCAGCCUAAUGACUCAGCAGCCAGGUGACUCAGCAGGACACGUGUCACUUUCUAAGCGAGGGUGACGUGGCAAUUGUGACUAUGCGAAAUUUCUCGGUUUUCGUGCCAAAACUUCUAAAAUCCAUAACUUUCGCAUACGAGCUCCGUUUUUGACGUUCUUUAUAUGCACGCGUAGCUAAAAUUACGAUCUACAACUUCCGUUUAGACUUCGUCGGCUAAUUUUGACUUUAAAUUUUAUAUUAUUAUUUUUAACAGACCGGGACAGGAAAUCCGUUAAAAAUUCAUAACUUCUUCAUCCGACGUCCGUUUUCGUCAGACUUUUUACCGUUGUGCUCCUAAUGACGAGACCUUCAAUUCUCGUUUAGGUUGUGUCGGCUAAAAAUCGCUCGAUCUAAAAUUCGAGUUUUUAGCUGUCUACUGCUACGCUGAAACUUCGAAAAAUCAUAACUUCCUCAUACGAAGUCAGAUUUGGGCGUUCUUUUUAUCGAACUUCUCGGUUUAACGAAUACUACGACUUUCGUUUAGAUUACUAAGGCUAAAAAGUAGUUUAUCAAAAACUCACUUUUUACGACAUUCAGCACCGUGCCGGUUUUGUCGCGAAACUUCGACAGGUCAUAACUUCUUCGUUAUAACUCGGAUUUUGGUAUUCUUUAUAUCCCCGAAAUCCUUGUUUCGACCACUACAACUUUAUGUAAAGAUAUCGGGCUUAUCUCACACUUUAAUUUUGACGCUUAUUUUUAUUCUUAAUUAAUUAAGCCCUAAUAAUUAAGCAUAAAACACAUAAUUCACAUAAUAUUCACAUAAUUCCUUUUCAUUUCUUCAAAAUGAGUUACAAAGGUUAACCUAGACUAUCAACUCAAUAUAAAUGCCUAGGCUAGAAACACGAGUGUUACAAUUCUCUCCCCCUUAGGAUGAUUCCGUCCCCGGAAUCACAUAUCACCAAACAACUGCGGGUAGCGACUCAUCAUGUCACUCUCCGUUUCCCAAGUGAGAUUUGGUCCAUUCGUAUGUUUCCAGCGCACAAGCACUAAAUCGACCAUCUUGCGUCGUAACUUCAUAGUCUUACGGUCAACGAUUGCCUCAGGUUCUUCGAUCAACCUCUUGUUUUCAUCCAACCUUAACUCAGAAAUCGGAAUUAUGUCGGGCACAUCUCCUGUGAACUUUCUCAAAUAACACACAUGAAAGGUGUUAUGAAUACCCUCUAGUUCUUCCGGUAACUCUAGCUUGUAAGCUUGAUUCCCGAUUCUCUGAAGAACUUUAAAUGGUCCAAUAAACCUUGGACUCAACUUCCCUCUCUUACCAAAUCUUAUAAGUCCCUUCCACGGCGAGACUUUAAGUAAAACCGAAUCUCCAACAUCGAAGGAUAUCGGUUGUCUUUUCUUGUCAGCAUAACUCUUUUGUCGAUCUUGAGCAGCUAACAUCCUUUCCCUUAUCACUUUCAACUUUUCAGCAGUCUCAUGGACUAUUUCAGGUCCCAUAAACUGCUUUUCCCCAGCUUCCAGCCAACAUGAUGGCGUUCGACACUUCUCCCCAUACAAAGCGUGAUAAGGUGCCAUCUUAAUGCUUGAGUGGAAACUAUUAUUAUAGGAGAAUUCUACUAAAGGUAAGUGUUCAUCCCAGUUACCUUGGAAUUCUAGGGUACAUGCUCUCAGCAUAUCCUCCAAUGUUUGAAUCGUUCGCUCGCUCUGACCAUCGGUUUGCGGAUGGUAAGCUGUACUCAAACACAACUUGGUACCCAAUUCCUCUUGUAGACUCCUCCAAAACCUUGAGGUAAAACGGCUGUCACGAUCGGACACAAUCGUUAACGGAACACCGUGAAGCCUCACAAUUUCCUUCACGUAAGAAUUCGCAAGUUUAUCCAUAGACCAUUUCUCUUUGGCCGCUAUGAAAUGCGCACUCUUAGUGAAGCGAUCAACGACCACCCAAAUCAUGUCGUGACCGUUCCUUGUUCUGGGCAGUUUAGUCACAAAAUCCAUGGUGACGUCUUCCCAUUUACCCAUGGGUACGGGUAAAGGUUCUAAACUCCCAUACGGUUUCUGAUGUUGUGCCUUAACCCUAGCACAAGUUACACACUCGGCCACAUACUUAGCAACAUCGAGCUUCAUCGUCGGCCACCAAUAAUAGGGUUUUAGAUCCCUAUACAUUUUCGUACUGCCGGGAUGAAUUGAGUACAUGGUCUUGUGAGCUUCUUCCAUCAGAAGAUCUCUUAUUCCGCCCGUCUUAGGUACCCAAAUUCUAUCUUGAAAUACCUUCAACCCUUGGUUGUUUGUACCGAACACUAACGUUUUGCCCAAACGUUCUUCCUUUCGGUCAUUUUUCUCUAAAGCUUCCUCUUGAGCUUUCUUUAUACUUUCCACAAUUGUCGAGACAACUUCAAUUCUCAAUGCUCUUGGCCUUUUCUUUUCAAGGUUUACCUUCCGACUGAGAGCAUCGGCAACAACAUUUGCUUUACCAGGGUGGUAAAGUAUCUCACAGUCGUAGUCCUUGAGUAACUCUAGCCAGCGUCGUUGCCUCAUGUUCAAUUCCUUCUGAUUAAAGAGAUAUUGGAGACUCUUAUGAUCAGUGAAAAGUUUACACUUGGUGCCAUAAAGAUAAUGCCUCCAUAUCUUCAAGGCAAAUACUACCGCUGCCAACUCCAAAUCAUGAGUGGGGUAGUUCUUUUCAUGUUCCUUCAAUUGCCUCGAUGCAUACGCGAUCACUUUAUCCCUUUGGGUCAGAACACAACCUAACCCAACUCCGGAUGCAUCGCUAUAAACUGCAAAGUCAUCAACUCCUUCAGGCAAUGAAAGAAUCGGUGCUUCACACAAUCUCUUCUUCAACUUCUCAAAGGCUUCCUUAUGCUUCUCAUUCCAAGCAUAAGUGGCUCCUUUGUGGGUCAAAGCUGUUAAUGGAGUAGCAAUCGAAGAAAAGCCUUGGAUAAACCUUCGGUAAUAUCCAGCUAAUCCUAAAAAGCUUCGAAUCUCCGUAGGACUUUUUGGUUGUUCCCACUUCAUUACAGCUUCAAUCUUUGCUGGGUCAACCAUUAUUCCUUCUUGGUUAACCACAUGACCUAAAAAUUGGACUUCUUGAAUCCAAAAUUCACACUUGGAGAACUUUGCAUACAGCUUCUCCUUUUUCAGGACUUCUAGCACUUCACGCAGAUGCUUUUCAUGCUCCUGCUUGCUUUUCGAAUAAAUCAAGAUAUCAUCUAUGAAUACUAUCACGGAUUUAUCUAAGAAUGGUUUACAAACCCUAUUCAUCAAAUCCAUGAAAGCUGCUGGGGCAUUGGUUAGUCCGAACGACAUAACCAAAAAUUCAUAGUGUCCAUAUCUCGUUCUAAAAGCAGUCUUUUCGAUAUCCUGCUCUCUCACCUUUAGUUGAUGGUAUCCCGACCUAAGAUCGAUCUUCGAGAAAUAGCUCGAACCCUGCAACUGGUCGAACAAGUCAUCGAUCCUUGGCAACGGGUACUUGUUCUUUAUCGUCACUUUGUUCAGCUCUCUGUAAUCGAUGCACAUUCUCAUGCUUCCGUCUUUCUUCUUUACAAAUAACACAGGGGCUCCCCAGGGUGAUGAACUAGGUCGAAUGAAACCUUUGUCCAAUAACUCCUGAAGUUGUGUCAUAAGUUCUUUCAUUUCGGUUGGCGCUAAUCGAUAAGGUGCUUUCGCUAUCGGCGUCGUUCCUGGUAACAAGUCGAUACGAAAUUCUACUUGUCGAUCAGGGGGCAAUCCGGGAAGAUCUUCGGGAAAGACUUCCGGAUAAUCACACACCACCGGAAUAUUCUGCACCUCCUUCUUUUCCAUCUUGGCAUCGAUCACGAAUGCUAGAUAUGAUGUACAUCCCUUGGCCAAACACUUUCUGGCUUUCAUUAGGGAAAUGAUUCCAGAGUUUACUCUGCGUUUGUCUCCGUACACCAUAAACGACUCUCUCCCUGGUGGGUUUACUUUUACUAUCUUCUUUCUACAUAGUAUUUCUGCAUCGUUGGCGCUAAGCCAAUCCAUUCCUAAAACUAUGUCGAAUCCAUUUAACUCGAUAGGCAAUAAUUCCUCUUGGAACUUAUUCCCAUCCAAGUCAAUGAGGAUGUUUUUCAUACGAUGGCUAACAGGUACAAACUUGCCACUAGCAAUCUCGACUAUUAUAGCAUUAACUAGCAUAUCUACAGGCAAAGCUAGCUUUCUACCAAAUUCAUGCGAUAUAAAGGAGUAAUUGGCUCCAGAAUCAAACAAAAUUUGGGCAGGCAAUUCGUUUACGAGAAAGGUACCUGAAGCGACAUCGGCUUCUUCUUUCGCAGCUUCGAGGGUCAUCUGAAAGGCUCUCGCCUUCGGCUUUGGUGGUAGAUUGGGUUUUGCUGCGUCCUUCUUCUUCGGGCAGUCCCUCAAAAUAUGCCCUUCUUCAUUGCACCCAAAACAUACGUUCUUAUUGAAGGUGCAUUCAUUGGCAUAAUGCCCUGGCUUUCCACAUUUGUAACAAGUGACUUCCACGCUGCACUUCCCAGCAUGUUUCUUCCUACACUUGUCACACCACUUGGCUUCGCUUCCUCCUCCAAACUUUCUCGAACCAGUCUUCGAGAAUUUGUUCUUUUUAUUGGAACCUGAAGUUCCUUCAAACUUUCUCUUUUCGCCAACUUCAACCUUGCUGGCGGCUCUCCCUUUUAUCAUAUCUUCAACAGACUUGGCAGCCCAGAUAGCUGCCUCCAAAGUAAGUGCCUGACGUACUGGCACCGCAUACUCCCAUGGAAGUCCCUUUGCGUACCUGUCUAUUUUUGCCAACUCAUCUGGGACAAUACGCAAAGCAAACUCCAUUUUGUCUGUGAAGUUAUUUGUAUAUUCGUCAACGGUCAUACUCCCCUUCUGCAACGUUAGAAAUUGGUUUUCUAACUCAAGUACGUUUUGGGCCGAGCAGUACUUGCGCUUGAAGUGCACUAAGAACUCUGCCCAAGUUAAUUGCAGUGGCUCGUUAGGGCUUAGGGUUUUCCCCAAAGUGCUCCACCAACGGGCAGCACUACCCCUGAACUGACGUACUGCAAACGUAGUUUGUAACUUGCCUUGGCAAUCACAAGUCAUGAAAGCCAACUCCAUUUCCGAGAUCCAGUCCAUUACUCCGACAGGAUCUUCUUUUCCAUUGAAGGUCGAUGGCUUGCAAGUCAUAAAGUCCUUAUACUUGCACCCAUUUCUCUCCACUCUACCCUCGUGGUUAUUCCUCCCAACCACAAGCGGUUCACUAUGACCAACCGAUCUGCUAUUGUUCCCUUCUUCAGAUCGAUCGUCAUUUAGUUCACGUUGUUCAACAGGAACUGAAGGUUCAUCCCUGUCGUUCAGCAACAUUUGCCUCAAUUCCUCCCUCUGUUCAGCCAACAUGGCCUGAAUCAUAGUUCGUACUCCAGCCAUGGUGAUGGGUUCGGGUGCAGCUCCUACUAUAGGCACCUGUUCCACCACUGGAGGUUGAGGUUGUUGGUUUCUGUUUGCAUUUCCAGCUCCACUCCGAGUUCUUGCCAUUACAAUCUAUAUACCGAAUAAGGCGAAAUUUAGGUCUUUAUCCUUGUUAGACAUGUCAAUUCCCUUAUCACUCCGAAACGUUUACAUGUUAGUUCUAAUCUCGUAUUCAUACACUUAGAAUCCUACACACAUAAGGUUUCCAGAUCCGGUCGGCAACAGACCAUAGAUCCGAACAAAUAAUGGCACACAUGGCAAACACAUAGCAUUUAGCACAUAAGGGCAUUUUAGGCAUCUUCCCUAAAAUAAACUAGUGCUCGUGUCUAAAAUAUGGUAGACACUCAUCUCACAAUCAUCACUUAGCAUUCUAAGUUCAAGUCUAGAAAUUCUACAAUUUCUUAGUUCGCUUAAACUAAUGCUCUGAUACCAACUGUGACAUCCCCAUAUUUCUCGGCCAGAAAAGACCGAUUUAAUUUAUGCUUUUUAAAAUAAAAUCAGAGAAAUCUUUUUAUAAGAUAUUGCGGAAUUGGUCCCCAAACAAUAUAUGAUAAAAGUUUAUCAAAAUCCUUCAUUAAGAAGGUAUAUAUUUUCCAUAUAUAUAUCAAAACCUCGGGAUGUCAUGUUCCGAUACAGAUCAAAAGCAUAAACAAGACAUUAUAAGCCUUUCAACAGUUAUUUACAACUACUGGCCUAUAAUCCAAAAAUCUCUCGUCAUCCUCCGACUAUGCUCGGGGUCCACUACCUGUAAUCAUAAAACUGAGUGGGUCAGGCUUGGGAGCCUGGUGAGCAUAUAGGGUUUUCAACCCACAAUAAUAAUAUACUUAUUAAGUUCACCAAUCAACAAUAACCCUGAUUACCCAUUCCCGUUGUCCUCACUUUACGUCCCUAAACACCUAUCACAAGGGACCUAGCCUAAGGAUUAUCAUCGGGAUGGACACUACUGCUAAGGGGUUUCCUCAGCCAUACAUGUCCUUAAGGCAACCAUGAGGGGGAUGAAGUACGCCAAUGAACAUUUAAUUCAUCAACACCUACAAGUUGCGAACCUGCUAGUGUUCCACUGGACUAUCUAGAAAGUCCGUGGUCGUCAUCUAUACUUCGCUAGAUGACUACAACAACAACACAACAUCGACAUCGAGGCCUCUCACCAUUUUAACACACAUCAACUAUUUCAUCUACCCAUGUUCUACCCAACAUAUUUUGUAGAUAAAAAGCAUAUACAGUUUAAAACUUGUAUAAAACAUCAAUUCAACAGUCACCUCGAAUAAACAAUUAGCAUAUUUACACAUAACACGUAUUUCAAGGUAAAUACUUCAUAUCUAUGUGUAAAUUGAAAGUAACUACACACUCACUUAUUUUGGUGAAAAUCGGGCAGCAAUUCGUUUCCUAAAACGAUCGUUUCUAAUAAAACCGGGAGUUUUAUUGAGAAACCGGGCUCUGCAAAAGUCGGGCUUCGAAACCGAAAAGAUAAAUUUUCCGGGCUUCUCGGGCACUUCGUGGGGUAUUCCGGGCUUUACAAUUGAUACCGGGGCUUUGCGGGAUGUUAAGAUGAAGAAAAUAUGGAGAGAGGGGCUAAAAAUGGCUAAAUUCCAAAAGUAACCGGAAACCCUCGCAGGUACCCUUCUAUUUAUAGGGUCCGAAGUUUGAUCCAACGGCUGAGAAGUCUCCUGAUCCGACGGCUAAGAGGCUUCGCAGGGGGGGUCUCGCACAUGGCUCGCACGGCUCGCACAUGGCUCGCACAUGCGAGGGCUCGCUGUCGGCUUCUAAGUGGACCGCGGCUUGCUGGCGCACCUGCGAGGCUCGGAGCUAGGCUAUGCGAGGCUCGGACACACGCGGCAGCUGGGCGAAGCUUCGGCUGGGGAGCUGGCUGCUUCGGAUUGGGCCUCCUCCUCGGUCGAAUCAGAAGAGGAAACGUGGCUUGCAUGACUCAUCAGCCUUGGUGACUCAGCAACCUAAUGACUCAGCAGCCAGGUGACUCAGCAGGACACGUGUCACUUUCUAAGCGAGGGUGACGUGGCAAUUGUGACUAUGCGAAAUUACUCGGUUUUUGCGCCAAAACUUCUAAAAUCCAUAACAUUCGCAUACGAGCUCCGUUUUUGACGUUCUUUAUAUGCACGCGUAGCUAAAAUUACGAUCUACAACUUCCGUUUAGACUUCGUCGGCUAAUUUUGACUUUAAAUUUUAUAUUAUUAUUUUUAACAGACCGGGACAGGAAAUCCGUUAAAAAUUCAUAACUUCUUCAUCCGACGUCCGUUUUCGUCAGACUUCUUACCGUUGUGCUCCUAAUGACGAGACCUUCAAUUCUAGUUUAGGUUGUGUCGGCUAAAAAUCGCUCGAUCCAAAAUUCGAGUUUUUAGCUGUCUACUGCUAUGCUGAAACUUCAAAAAAUCAUAACUUCCUCAUACGAAGUCAGAUUUGGGCGUUCUUUUUAUCGAACUUCUCGGUUUAAUGAAUACUACGACUUUUGCUUAGAUUAAUAAGGCUAAAAAGUAGUUUAUCAAAAACUCAUUUUUCUACGACAUUCAGCACCGUGUCGGUUUUGUCGCGAAACUUCGACAGGUCAUAAUUUCUUCGUUAUAACUCGGAUUUUGGUAUUCUUUAUAUCCCCGGAAUCCUUGUUUCGACCACUACAACUUUAUGUAAAGAUAUCGGGCUUAUCUCACACUUUAAUUUUGACGCUUAUUUUUAUUUUUAAUUAAUUAAGCCCUAAUAAUUAAGCAUAAAACACAUAAUUCACAUAAUAUUCACAUAACUCCUUUUCAUUUCUUCAAAAUGAGUUACAAAGGUGAACCUAGACUAUCAACUCAAUAUAAAUGUCUAGGCUAGAAACACGAGUGUUACACAUAUGUUGUUAGUGCUCUCUGUUUUCCUGUUUGCCAUCUCGACGGUGAAUGUAUCGUUUAGUGAUUAUGGUUUUCGUUUAAGUAGAUAUUUAAAUUUAUGGAUUACAAAAAUCCUCUCAGCACCACUAUCAAAAAGUAUGCAUCAAAAAGUGUUAUCGAGAAGGAACGUACCCGAGAACACCGUGGGAUCUGCUAUGGCUUCUUCCUGUCUAAUAGCUAGCACUCUUCCCACACCGCCAAUAUUCUUUGCAUUCGGGAAAUCCCUCUUGUAGUGUCUUCUUUCGCCACACCCGUAACAAGCCUUGCUUACUCCUCCGCCGAUGGUCUGGGUGGUAGGUUGAGCUGCUACCUUACAGAAACGGGCAGUGUACCCAUUUCUAUUGCAGUUAUUGCAAUGAAACUCCCGACAGGGUCCGUGAUGAUGGAAAUUGCAUUUGUUGCACUUUGGGAGAUUCCCAGUGUAUCGAUUGGGAGGUGCAGAGUAGUAGGUGAUUGCCCCUUUCUUUUGUUCCAAAAUUCCCUUUUGUUGUUGCUUUCCUUGGGUUGUUCGGGGAUGUCUGUCAUGAAGCCUUGACGAACUCCAUGAUCCACGAGUGUCUGUGCCAAACGCUUGGCACUAUAAAAAGUAAGUGAAUUUGCAUCUAUUACAUUCCCUUGGAACAGAGGAGAUAGCCCCCAGAUAUACCUUUCCAGUUUCUUACUUUCUGGGGUGACCAUCCCGUGACACAUAGUAGCCAGGUCACUGAAUCUAGCAGUGUAUGCAUCAAUAUCAGAGCCCUUCAUCAUCAGCCCCCAAAGCUUUUGCUCUUGCUUUUGCACUUCGCCCCUCGGGAAGUAUUCAGCUAGCAUAAUUUCCUUUAAGUCUUCCCAUCUCAUGGCAUUGACCACUAGGAGACAAUGACUUUACAUAGCUAUUCCACCAAGAAAGGGCUCUGUCCAGGAAAGUGCAUGCUGUAAAUUUCACCUUGCUAGCUUCAGGGCAUGCAAAGAUCUCAAACACCGAUUCUGUCUUUUCGAACUAACGAGUUAAAGCAAUAACACCUUCGAUGCCAUCAAAGGUUUUGGUUUUUGCAUUUGUGAAGUGUUUGUAUGAACACUCCGUUGGGUGUCCAUGGCUUUCUCCGUGGUUAGAAGGGUUGGCACCACUACCCGUCCCACUAGUCACACUCACAUUAAUUUGCAUCAUGGCGGCCGCCACGACGGCUGUUACUGCUGCUUGAAAAAUAGUAGGAUCAUAUUAAAGAGGUGGUGGCGGUGGUGGAGUCGGUGUAGUGUUAUUGGGACGCCUUCUUGAUUUAUGUGGAGGCAUCUUUUUUUGAAUUAGUUUCUAAGUCCAUAACUAUUUUGGUAUGUACUUGACCCGAUUAUGAGCAUGGUCCUUUUGGGUUGCCUUCACCAUAGCAAUAUGUAGGAUGAAUUAAGGAGAGAAAGGUUUAAUUAUGAUUUAGUAAUAUAUUAUGAGAAAAUAUAUUAAAGGAGAAAUCAUAUUAUUUAAUUAAUAUUAGUCAAGAAUUAAUAAAGAAUUAAUUUUGUGGCUAAAAGAGAUUAAUUAAACUUAGGGGACUGGAAUUGUAAUUAUAUGAUAAUUGCAAUUGAGCUAUGGAUCACCUUGGAAUAAUAGGUUGGAUGAAUUAUAUGGGGAAGCCCAUUAGAAAUCGUCCAAGGCAUGUUCCAGAAGGGGUUCAUGGGAUGCUUAGGGCUUAAGCAGUCAAAUUAGGGUUUCCUUGUUAGAUAACCCUAAUUUCCUACCUAUUUAAGGAGCCCCUAAGCCUCAAAAAUGUGUUGACUGAAUCCUUAGGGUUUCCUGGAUGUUUUGGAGCUUCCAUUCUCUUCUCUUCUUCAUCUUGUUGCUUAGUGGUGUUUGUGACUCCAUUAGAGGCAUUACAUUUGUGGUGCUAGGCUUCCAAGAAGAUCAAGUUCAAGAGGAUUAUCAAUUGUUUACUAUAACAAUUGAAAGGUAUGUAACUAUUNGUUUGUAAAUUUCGAUUAUAGCCUCUCUCCUCUAGGGUUCUUGUUUUGCAAUUCAAAGUUGUAUGUUCAAUAGAUAAAACAUAGAUCCAAAGUAGGUUGCAUGUGAACUUAGGAAUUGUUUUCUAGUUUAUUUGUUUUACCUAAAACCCAUCAGUGGUAUCAGAGCCUAGGGUUGUUUAUUAGUGAAUUGAUGCUUAUUUGAUAAUUUAUUGGCUGAAAAAUCGGUUUUUUUGCACCUUCUGCUUGACUGACUCGGCGAGUCUGUUGAUGAACUCGGCGAGUCAGGCUGACCCGGUGAGUCCGAGGGUCUGUCAGUGUUUUUUGGCGAUUUUCUUGCUGUUUUGGCUUGGGAUACUUACCAUAAACGUUUUUAAUUAAUAAAAUCCGAUUUUUAUUUAUUUUGGCUGAAUAUCCUUACCAAAAUAGUAGAUAAUUACCAUUUAAUCAAAUAUUUGUUACCUUAUAAGAUAAUGUUUAAUUAUUUGAGUUAUUUGAUGAAUUAUCCUGCAAGAUAUUUGACUAGGUCAAAAUUAGAUAAUUGCCUUAUUUGAAUAGUUUCAAAUUACUCCCUUUAAGUUUUAUAGUUUAAAUUUGAAAUUAAAAGUUUUGUUCUUUGAAACUUAAAUAGUUAAACCCAAAUUUUUUGAAAAGUUUCAAAACUUGCCCUCAAGUUUUGGAAUUUAAAUUUUUUAUUAAAAGUUUAAUUUUGAAAUAUUUAAAUUCUAAACCCUAAUGUUUUGAAAUGUUUCAAAACUUGCCCUCAAGUUUUGGAAUUUAAAAUUUUGAUUGAUAGUUUAAUUAUGUAAUAUUUAAAUUCUAAAACUCUAGUAUUUUGAAAAGUUCAAAUUUCACCCUCAUGGUUUUGUUAAGUUAAUUAANUAUAUAUAUGUAACAUUAAAAGUCUAAUAUUAUAUAUAUGAGUAAAGAGUCAGUCUUACCGUUAGUAGGCCUCAUUCACGAAGCUGGUCUAUAAAGGGGUGUUUAAGGAAAUUACCUAUAAAAUGGCGAUUGAAUGGGUAUCCACUCUUACCCACCGCACUCUUGACUAGUGGAGGGUCGUUAGUCGACGGGUAGGAUAGGACAGAAAUCUUCCAUUAUAAGUAUAAUAAAGUACAAAGUAACUAAAUAUUUUUUAAAAUUCCCAAAUCAUAGUUACUCUAGGCAAAAUGUGAAAUUGUAUGCUAAUCCAUGGAAUGACACUUUGUACACUUUUCGAGACGUUAGUGGAGCGUGUGUGGUUAACCGACACACUAAUUUGGGUUUGGCAUUGGUAGCGAAGGGUGACUCGAUGUUUAUCAUAUUUCAAUGGAGCGUGUAUUGCUAACCGGCACAUUGAUUAGGUGAUAGUAGCAUUGAGUGCUCCAUGUACAUUCACAUGGUUAUUCACACCUUGUUUGUGAUCCUCGGCAUCCCAAUUGCAAAUUGGUUAAUCGUCAUUUACCUGCCUUCAAAUANUUGAAAAGUUCAAUGAAUCUCAAAAGAUCUAGGAGUUUCAAUUCAUUUAAAACUUAAAUUUUUUUUUUCGUUUUUCAUGGUGGAAAUUAGUAAAUCGUCAUUUACCUACCUUCAAAUAUUCUGCAACUAGAUUACGGCAUCCCUCUUCUAGGUUGUAGAGUAUUGUGUUGGAUCCUAGCCUUGAUGUUUCAUUUGGGUGUUGCAUCAAGGAUUCUAAUCAACUUGACUUAAAUUUCUCCCGUUUUGUAAAUGUCUGAAUCUUACAAUGGUCUUCCCAAGUCCCAUGGAACAAGUUUUCAAAACGGAGAUGAUAUUUCAUGAUAUGAUCGAGGAACCAGAGAUCAUGCUUCACUUCCUCCACCUCCUCCAAUUAUUCUCCCUAACCCACAAGUUUGAAGGCUUGAAAAGCUCAAGCUCACUCAAGCCCUUUUGGCAUGUAAACACGAAAAUGGGAAACCUAUGUGUGCACACAUCUUAGAGAUGAAGUCAUUCAUUGAUAGGUUAAGGAUGAUGGGUGUCGAUAUCUCAGAGAUGUUAGUUGUUGAUUGGGUCCUUCAGUCGCUUCCUGAAUCAUAUAGUGAGUUCGUUAGAGAGUACUAUAUGAUGGACCACGACGUGACCCUCAUUGAUCUCACCUAUUUGCUUAUAGCUGCUGAAUCAGUAAUGAUUUGGCGUGCUUGCCAAGCAAAUUUGUCUGGUGAAUCAAACUCCCAAACUUCAAUGGAGACUGGCAACUUUGGAAGUCCAGAAAGGACUAAGUAUAAGAUUGUCCCAUGUGCUGUGCCAAAGGAUUCCAUUUUCUUUUAUUGCUAAGAGAAGGGGAAUUGGAGACAAAGCUGCCCAAACUACCUGAGAGAUCUAAGAGAUGGGAGAGUCAAGACGUAUGGCUCUACUUCAGGUAAAAUCUAAUAACUAACUCUAUAAGUUCCUAUUCUUUGAUUUUCAAUAUUUGAUGUGAUAAUAUUACACUUUGAUGUUUUGUAGGAUCGAAGAAAAGAGAGGAAUCUUAAGGGAAGAAGUAAGCUGAAUCUGAUUGUGAAGAAAUGGAUUUCAAUCGCAAUGCUUGAAGAUCGGAUUUUUGAGCUACUACUUUAGAGUUAGAAUAGAUUGCUUAGAAAUUGAAAUAGCGUGGGUUUCAUUUGAAUAGCAUUGCAAGGACAAGUUUGUUCCGCAAUAAAAUGAAUUUUGAUUUCGUCUUAUUUAUUUAUCCUUGCAAUGGCAUAUGAGAAAAUGGAUGUUUAUGUAUUUCUAAUUUUUGCAAUCUUGAAUUGGAUGUGAUUCUUGAUUAUGUUAUUUAUGAAAUGUCGAGAAUUUACCAAAUAGGGAGAGUUUCUCAUCGCCCAAGUUUCAAUUGGACAGAAACAUGGAAUCAUGCAACAUGCAUUGCGUGAUGAAUGAGAAACUUCAUAUUUUAAAAUUAGACUAAAUCUUUGACAAAGUGUCAAGUGAAGGACUAAGAGAUCGAGUACACUAGGUUGUACGUUGAUCAAGUCCACCACAAGAGUGAUAAAGAUUCGUCAUGAUUUACUAAAGUUUUGGUAAAUAUGAUUAUACUUAUAAGAUCAAGUGUAAUUCUGAGUUGGUUGAAAGAGUUCCAAUGAAUAGCAAAACAAAUAAAGAAGAAUCAAGUAGGCAGAAAGAUAAAAGUUUCUCCAUUCUAAGAAGAAAGGAGAGUACCUUUUAUUGUGUUUUAUAAUAAGUCUUAAUGAUUAAGAACCAUACCUAAAUUGAUCCUCUAAGUGAGUCUUAAUGCAUUUGUAUGUCUAAGAAGAGGAAUCAAGAAUUAUGGAAAUGGUUAAAUCAAGAAGUCAAUCAUACUUCAUUCCAAUAUCAAGUCUUAGAUUUAUACUCCAAGCUUGUGAAUUGAGUGACACGUCUUUAGUAGGUUUAUAACACUCAACGAAUGUGGAAUUGGAAAUAGUCUUCUUAUUCAUGCGCAUUUGAGAUUGGUAAGUUGUGAUGUCUUGGAUAAGACAAAGACCAACUAAAACCAAUUAUGUGAAGCAAUAGUCUUGAUAAAAACUACACUAACUCUUGAAUAUUUGUUUUGUCAAGGAAUGUUUCUUGACAAGAGAAUCUUAUAUGUCAAGGAGUUAGUGGGAUUCUUAAUGUUCUUGAAAGGUUUCAAGAAAAAAUCAAGAGUUAAACCUAGUUGAUCAUCACUAGCACACGACUUGAGGUUUAAAGCCUAUCAUGGAUGACAUACUCUUUUUCUGUGCCAUUCAAAUUGAGUUAAUUAUGCAUGUGAGUUCUAUGAGUUCUCAUUUAUAUGCAUAAAGACAAAGCACCUUGAUCAAUGGAAAGUACAUUGAUAUGAAAGGGUGAGUUGCUUAGAAGACAUGGUGGGCAUUCAUGUUACCAUGAGGAAAGAAAUCGAGAUUGAGCACGUUCGGUCCAUAUGAGUUUGGAUUUGUCGCAAACUUUGGUUUUGGCAAAUUCACAUGGAUAGGAACACAUACACUUUAAAAUAUAAGUGUCAUGAGGUUUCACUCCUUCAUGAAAAUGAUUGUAAGGAAAUGCUUUCACUAAGAGGAUUUUAACAAGAUUGCAAAUGUGAAAAAUUGUAUUCCCAAAUUCGAUUAUGAUUACGGCAUCCCUCUUCAUAGUUUGAAUUGUGAGAUUUGGCAAUUAGUCUGAACAUUUUGAGACCUAGUAACAUGAGUUCUAAAAUUGUUUAGACACACAUAUAAGCUAUCUAAGAAAAGGUGUAUGAGUUUAAGAAACUUAGAUAAAGGAUUAUCGAAGCAUCUAGUAUUAGAAAUAUGGACUUUGGAAUUCAAUAAGUAUUGUUUUUCUAGAAGUUNUGGAAGUUCAGAUGUUUUCUGAAUAUAUGUCAAAGCUAGUGGGAGCAUAAGUGUUAUGCUUGUAUGGUAAUAAUCAUCGUGUUAGUGGGAGCAUGAUUAUUAUUUCAAGUAUUGCAAGUUAGCAAUAUUAAUUAUAGAAAACAAAGAUUCACUUUGCCAAGUUGUAGGGGUUGAAAAGUUGUUUUGUUAUAAUUAAGGGAGAGAAUAUUAUACUUCAUUUCGAAUCUAAAGGCUUAGAUUGUGGAAUUUUAAUCAAAUUUAGUCAAAUAUAUAUGAAUGUUGUGUUGGAAUGGUUCAACAUGAGGAAAUUCAAUAUAUGGAAAGGAAAAUUGCAUUCUCAAAAUUUGGUUAUGAUUACGGCAUCCCUUUUCAUAAUCAAAAUUGUGAGAACAUGGCAAUUAGAAAUAUUAUAGCAGAAGACUGGUAAAGUAUCACGUCUUCACGUGAGACAUUAUGAAUCGUGUUCCAUACGCUUUGGGUAUAGGAUCGAUUGCAUAUGCUAUAAUGCUUGAUCAUUCUAAAAUUUUCCAAAUGCUUAGCGCAAUAAGAGGGAAAAGUGACUAGAACGGUUUUUGACUAAAAUAAUUAAACAACUAUCAAAGAACGAUCCAAUGUUCGCCAAGGAAUUGUUGCUUGUGAGUAGCUAGACGUAUAGUGUUAUAUGGACCAUAUCGACAUUAUUAUGAAUAGAUAAGAUUCUAUUAAGAAUGAGUUGUCAUAUGGAAAAUAUGGAAAUGUUUCCAUAUUGGGAGUUGGAAAUUAAGAAUUUAUGUCUAGAUUAGAAAAUUUAUGCAAAAAGGAUGUUCAAAGGAAUGUACUUUGAGUGAGAGACAUCACAUCUAUAGAAUUGUUUUGUAAAAAUUUCUGAUAGAGAACCUUGUAUUUUCAUUGGCCAAGUCUUGGUGACUUUUGUGCUAUGACUUUACGAAAGGAUCGUUGCAUAAAAUGUUAGAAUCUGACAUAUUCCAAAAGUGGCAAGAAUUUGGCAUUCUUACACUAAUGAUGAGGAUUGGGAAUUGUGAAAUGAGUUUCAUUGGAAAGAUUUUCAAUUGAUCUUUUUCACAAAGUAAGGAUCAUAGGUAACAUAUUAUGCAUGCUCGGAGCAUGGGAUAGCUAUUUUAGUAAUUCAAGUAAUAAGUUGAUUAUCCAAAACAUUAAACAAUUAAUAAUGAGUAGUCUAUGGUGUUUAAAUAAAAGUGUUUUGUUUAAGCUCAAAAGUUUUGGGGCCAUAUAGGAUUAAGUAUUAUCGUUGUUUUUCGUUUUGCAUGUUUUGACUUCCAGAAUAACUGGGUUAUUCGAACCACCACAGUCGGUCAUACUUUGGAAGUAGGUAUGAAGGAAGACUAUCAUGAAUCUGUCUGUAGAUUGUCUAAAGUGUUUAGACAUAGCACAAGUUUGCUGCAGAGUUCAUGAGUGCUUCGAUAAGAUUAAAGUAUUGCAUUAUACUCAUGCUCACUUGAAUCACUUCAUGGAUCUAUCACAUGUGAUUAGUGAGACGAUAACAUUGCAUAUUCUUGAAACUGAGACGUGUGAGUUGUAAUUUGCUGGUCGGUUGCACAUUGAUGAUAAUUAAACGUACCAGUAACUUGGUGUUAUAAAACAUAUUGUUGUGUGUGAUUCAAUUAGUAGGUGCAAGCAAGCAUUUGAGUCAAACUUUAUCCAUUCCUUUUACCCAAAUUGGGAUAAAAGUGAUAUAUGUGGGCCCCUCAAUGAUUUUUUGAUGACACCCUAAGCGCUUGGCCAAGCGGAGACUAAGUUGAUGUGUUCAAUUGUAGUUUGUUGUCGGUCGUCAUAAAUUAGAUGUCGGGAAACAAUACAUAGACAGAGAGAAUGAUUUAAAUCCAUGUCUCGUGUCUAUACGAUAUCUUGAGAAUGGAGGGAUAUAUAAUCCCUUAUCUAAAGGACACGCUUAUCUGAUAAGAUCAGAGCUGACAGCGGCUUUUGAAAGCUACGAUUGCUGAUUAGGUUUUGAAGUUAUGCAAAAUAGAUAUUAGACUUAUCCAAGUGGGAGACUGUCGGAUUAGUGUCUAAGUCCAUAACUAUUUUGGUAUGUACUUGACCCGAUUAUGAGGAUGGUCCUUUUGGGUUGCCUUCACCAUAGAAAUAUGUAGGAUGAAUUAAGGAGAAAAAGGUUUAAUUAUGAUUUAUUAAUAUAUUAUGAGAAUAAUAUAUUAAAGGAGAAAUCAUAUUGUUUAAUUAAUAUUAGUCAAGAAUUAAUAAAGAAUUGAUUUUGUGGCUAAAAGAGAUUAAUUAAACUUAGGGGACUGGAAUUGUAAUUAUAAAAUAAUUGCAAUUGGGUUAUGGAUCACCUUGGAAUAAUAGGUUGGAUGAAUUAUAUGGGGAAGUGCAUUAUAAAAUGUCCAAGGCAUGUUCCAGAAGGGGUUCAUGGGCUGCUUAGGGCUUAAGCAGUCAAAUUAGGGUUUCCUUGUUAGAUAACCCUAAUUGCCUACCUAUUUCAGGAGCCCCUAAGCCUCAAAAAUGUGGUGAUUGAAUCCGUAGGGUUUCCUGGACGUUUUGGAGCUUCCUUUCUGUUCUCUUCUUCAUCUUGUUGCUUAGUGGUGUUUGUGACUCCAUUAGAGGUGCAACACUUGAGGCAUUAAGCUUUCUGAAGCCAAGGAUUAGAUUGUUAUUUCUAUAUAACAAUCAAAGGUAAUUACUAAACCCUUAUUUCAGUUCUUAUAUGAUAGAUCUAGGGUUUAUAGCUUUGGAUAUUCAAUUGCAUGUUCAUUAGACAAACUAGAUCCAAAAGCUAUUAGGGUUUGCAUGUACACCAUAGGAAUGAUGUGUUGCUUGAAACCCAUCAAUCUUUUCUAAAAUAUUUAAAAGGAAGUGACAAUAAGUCCUCUAUAGUGAUCAUGAGUCAGGUGAUAUUGAACAAGAUAUAUCUUAGUCCAAAAUGCAUCAUAACCUGACUUUUAUAGUGUUCUAUCAGCCAUUUACAAUAGAGGUUUACUAAAAUAAGCAAACAAUCGCAAAUUUCAAUUGUGACAAUUAGCAAUACUAGUAAUGAAUUUUGCAUAGUGUUAUAGUGCCAUAAAAUACUCAUAUAGUAUUUUAACUUUAUGUUUGGUUCUGGUGUUCUUCUGGUAUAUAGAGUUGGUAAGUUCUAGACUUGUUGCAACACCAUGGUCACUCCCAAACACAUGUUGGUGGUAUCUCAGAUAAAUAUAGUUUAUCAGGCUAUAUUUAUCUCAUAUAUGAUUACAUAACUGUCAAGGUUUAACCGUAGUGUCCAACUGAUCCAAAUACUUUUAUGUAGCUCUUACUGUGACAGUUUCUAGUAUGUAUGCAUGUUCGUAUACUUCUUACAAAAUACUUAUAUUUUAAAAGUAUACUUUUAGUUCAGAGCGCUUCACGCCCAUUGUGCUUAUAGUUGUAUUUUUUUCAUGGUUCGAUAUAUUUAGUUCACUAUAAACAAUGCUAUGAUACUAAUCUAUCACACCCAUAAACCGAAACAGAGGAAACGUAUGGGGGAGGAUGACGUCAUGUACAGUAUCACAACAAUUGGAUAAUAGUAAUCAAAGUAACAACAACCAUUGCAUUGAUAAUAUAUUGUUUACAUUAUUUGCAACAUUAUUUGUAUAACAUCAAAUAGUAUAGCAAAAACAAUAGACGUGACAUCAUGAAUACUCCGUCUUCUCAAAAACCUGUAAUGUACCUAUCUACCAGUUCCCUGAUAAUACAAGUGAAUUUGAAAGUGUAUCAACAUUUAAGUUGGUGAGUUCAUAAGCAUUUUUGUUUUAGUGAUAUGUCAUUGUUCUUUGAAAAUGUUAGUGUGUUCAUCCAAAAAUCCUAUAUUUUCUAUUAUAAAUGAAAUGUAGUCUUAGACCUUAAGACCAAAAUGUAUGUUUUUUAUUGAACAUUGAAAUAGCAUAGUGUAGUCUUAUUAUUAAAUAAAACCAUAUCAAUGAAUGCUUCCCAAAAUUGUAUGAUAUACUGUAUUAAGAAAAUAGUGUACUGUAUUGAGAAAAUAGUGUACUAUAUUAUAUAUGUAUGCAAACCCUUUGUAUGUAUGUGCCUGGAAUCCACAAACUGAACUGUAAAUUAUUGUAUUGUAAUGUAGUUUUAUAAUAAAAAAAAUCAAACCCUUCAAGAUAUGAUUGUCUCGUAAACAAAACGUUUAAUUAAUACUUUUUGUGGGAGAGGAUAUAACCAUGCUAAAAUGACUAGUGGCAUGCGCGACGUUCUUCAGGCGUCAGAAUGUUAUGAAAUUUGUCACCCCAUGCCUGUCGGCCUUACUGUAGCUAACCGUUUAGGUGUGGGAUUGUCAGUCUCGUAUAGAUCUAUACAUAAAUUCACUCUCUCCCUCCAGGAGAUUCUAGUUAUAAUUAGGACUUUAGUGCAUGCCCUAAUAGGUACAGUGAAGUAGUGCCUUACAAUCCUGUAUUAACUUGUUUACCUAUAGUGUGUAAAUGUACUCUCUUGCUCUUGUAAAUGUAUGUAUAUCUCUUUUGUAGUGUACUCGUAGUGUAAAAUAAUUAUACUUAAAUAAUUAUUUUAGUAAUGUAUCUUUGAACUUAGUAAAACAAUGUAAGUGCUCCAUAAAUUAUCCCUAUUAUAAUUUCUCAUGUAUGUUCUUAUAUGGUUCUUGUACUAGUAAGAUAGUAUGUAUGUUCAUAAACUAUGCGUAUUAUAGUUUAUAUGUAUGUUCUGUGUGUACUGAAAUAUUUAUGAAAAUACCCAUUUUCUCAACAUGUUACAAAAGGGUUAAAGUUUUUUNNNNNNNNNNNNNNNNNNNNNNNNNNNNNNNNNNNNNNNNNNNNNNNNNNNNNNNNNNNNNNNNNNNNNNNNNNNNNNNNNNNNNNNNNNNNNNNNNNNNNNNNNNNNNNNNNNNNNNNNNNNNNNNNNNNNNNNNNNNNNNNNNNNNNNNNNNNNNNNNNNNNNNNNNNNNNNNNNNNNNNNNNNNNNNNNNNNNNNNNNNNNNNNNNNNAUAUAUAUAUAUAUAUAUGUUUGAAUAAAUAAAUAGUUGAAACAGUUGAAAUAAUUCAGGUUAGCUUGAAACAGUUUGAAAUCGUUUGAAUGUUAACACUAGAUUCCUUGUGUUUUACUUGUAUUCCCCCCAUAAAAAUAGUGAAAAAUAGUGAAAACGUAGCGGUAUUAACUCACCUCGAAUGUGUGUUCUCGAUUGAGUACGAAGUGGUAGCGAUGAUCCUCAGGUUAGAACCCACGUGCGUAGUCGUGUCCUAAUAAUAAUUAUACACGAUAUCGUAUUUAAAUUACUAAGAUAUUAAUUUAAAUAAUAAAUAAUAAAAUAAAGUUAUAGACAACACUUAAUAAUGUAAUAAAUACUUACAAAAAGUCUUAGGAAUUAUUUUGAAGGUAAUCUAGGCGUUUUCGGUGUUCUUAGGUGUUUUCGGUGUAAGCUUGGGUGUUUUCGGUGUGUGCUUGAAGAUUUGAAGAUUCUUCUUGGUUUUCUUGGUGUUCUUAGUGAAUUUAUGAAGAUUUGAAGGUGGGAUGAUGAUUUCGGUUGAAGAUUCGAAGGUUUUUGGAUGAUACUUGAGAGCAAAUGGGAGUGCUUACGGUUUGGAAUGCUGAGAAAUGAAUUGUGUUCACGGUUGAACACGUAUAUAUAGAAGAGGUUUUCAGACAAAAAGUAGCGUAAAAGAGAGAGAUUUCAGUGUAAGUGUGGGACCUUCGUAAGGAUUUCGGUGCUGACCGAAAUCUAUUUUCGGUCCAAAGAGGGUGGCCCAUACGUGGGUUUUCGGUUGGAGUUUUUGGUUCACAUGGAUUCAUUUAGGGUUUUCGGUCUAAGUGCUUUUAUUACCAAAUACUUAAAAUAUUUAUAUAAUAGAAUAAUUUCUAGAUAUUAAAUUAUAUUUAAACCUUAUAAAUUUAACCAAUUGACAAAUUGACUUUUAUUUAGCUAGUUUGACUUUUGUUGACUUUUAUUGACUUGAAGAUAACGGGUUGUUACAACUACCAAGCAUAUCUGGGUGCUGACCUAUCCCUUCAGUCUAUUUCAACCGGAUACUGGGUCUAUAUUGUCCCCUACCACUACCAAAUAAUAUAAUAACAAUAAUCAUAGAGUCAUCAAACAUAUACAGACAUAAACGACAAUUAGCACAAAGAAAAUCAUCACGCUAUAACACAAACUAGUGGGCCGGCCUUGGUGCCUUCGACCCACGGCUAUCGUGAAGGAAGACUGACCUCAGACUGUGGGUAUCAAAUUGCACUCAGCGGAUGACUCGCAAACUCCUCUCCUUAUUGCACAAGAACAAAUUACUAAUUAGAAAUUAGGUUACAAUCUAACCCGAAGGUCCAACGCCCUAGUCCUUGACUUAAGAAAAAAAGGCUCCUUCAUGUUUAUCUUAUUGGGCCUCCUUCUCUCCAAGGCCCAAAUCUACAAAACCCAAAAGCAUCCAAGCCCAUCAUAGGGACUCUAAGGCCCAAUAUGGCCCAAGAACCCUAAACAUGGACUUAGGCCAAAAAUGACUUGCCACACUUAGGUGGGCUCGAGGCCCAACUUACUCAAUUCUAAAGCCUAACUCCAAAAGAGCCCAAAAUCUUCCAAGCCCACAUAUAGCACACACAUGGUGUACUUGGCUUGUACACCCAACGUAUGAUGGCGUUGACCAGGGGUGGAGGUGCUGACCCAGUAGGUGCAACGUGCACUUGAGUAUGCAUGGCGUACUAGUCUGCCACCCCAUUCUUACUUCCACGACUUAAUCCUUUAAGACCUAACAUCUAAAACUUAGAUCCAGACCCCUAGGAACAUCAUAAACCAUAAAGUUUCAAACUUUAUGCUUUUGCAUGCAAGAAUGAGACUCAAAACAACUUUCAAGUCCAUAAGCACCCAUGGAUGGUUCCUAGCACUUGCAUGGUUGAGGCUUAACCAUCUAGGUCCAAUUUUUAUGACUCAAAACACCUCCAGGAGCACAAAAGGACAACUCAUAUUGUCUGAAGUUGCUCAACUCCAAGAAUCAAAACUUUGGGACUAAAAUUUGACACUUUCUUCCCUAAAACUAGAUCUAAGUAUGAAAUGCUAAAGGUUCAAGAUUUAUACCUUUAAUGGGUCAGAAAUGGUGCCAAACUUCUGGAUCUACAAGCUCUUCCCACAUCCUAGCUUUCUCCCAAGUUCCCUUCUUCUUCAAAACUGUAAAGAAUCACCAUAAACUCUCAAGGAGGCUCAUAAUGCACUAAAGGUGGCUUAGGGUUCGAGAUUUGCACUUCAAUGGAAAUGGAGGCUGAAAAGGUAAGGGACUCGGGGGGACUUAAGGUCCUUAAAUUAGAUGUAAACCCUAAAAAAUAAGGUUUGUCGCAGGCACAUGUAUUCCAUGUGUACUCCACAUACGUCCAUCGUAUGUGGCUUAGACCCGUGACCAUAUUAGUGGCUAGUAUGCUAAGUGUACUCAAUGAGUACGCCCUACAUACUAACCAUGGGACCAAAAUGAAAGAAAUUUCUUUUAUUAUGGAAUUAAAGUGAAACUAACCAAACUUGGAUGUUAUACGUUAUAUGGCUAAUUAUUAUUUGCAUCUGUUGACAUAUUCGGAUGGUUGGGUCGAGGCGGAGAGCCAACAAACCCGGAUGGUUGGGUUGAGUUACUUCUCUGUGUGGUGGACCAACAAACCCAGAUGGUUGGGUUAAGACUCUAUGUCAACAAACCCGGAUGGUUGGGUUGAGACUCUAUGUCUAAAAACCCUGAUCGUUGGUUGGAGGUUAUGGCCAACAAACCCCUUUAUGCAUGCAUUGCAAUUGUAACUAUAUUUCUGGAGUGUUGGGUUUUUUUUGGGGGAAACUUACUAAUCUUAGGCCUACAGUUGUGGAUUUCUUGUUUCAAGUACUUUAGUUGAUCGGGAAAGGCGAAGGCUUGAUUGAACCCUAGGAUCAGAUACCACAAAUGGGUUUUUCAGGGUACAAUGAAACUAACUAUAUAACAUAAACAUCAUAAAAUCUAAUUAUGGGCACAUGUAACAUAGAGAUCUAUGUAUUUUCCUCAUUAUAGCAACAUACUAUUGAAACAAUCUGAAAACCUAGCCUAGAUCGAAAUUAAUAGAUUUUAUUACAUACCUUUAGUGUUACAAUCGUAUGUAGCAUCCCAUAAUCAUCAAAUUUGCAUCAGAAAUCUAGCACCAAAAAUAUAGAAGCCUCUAAUGGCUCACACCCAAAAUCUAAGAAAACCUAGAAUGAACUAGAAGAGAGAGCAGAAAGAGAAGGGAUUUUUGGCUCUUGAUUCACAGAUUCAGUGACCAAAAAUCCUAGUUGUAUCGUUCUAUUUAUAGUUGUUAGAUAUUCGAAAUAAACCCUGAUUUAAAUAUUAAAAUAUGCAGAUUUAAUCAGAUAUCCCUAUCAGCUAAAGGAUGGUUCCAGAACCAUAUUUGACUUCUCCCAACACCGUUCACUCUUAGGAGGGUUCUAGAAUUAUUUCAUUUGUUCAACUAUUGAACAAUUGUGAUUCAACCCUUAUACCUAUAAUUAAUUCUAACUAAUUCCCAAUUAAUUCAGAUUAAUGCUAAAUUAAUUUUAAUCAAUUUCUAAUUAAUUUAUUAAUCAUAUAAAAAAUUAAUAAUUUAAUCUCCCCCUCUCUUUCUAUCUCUAUCUCUCCUAAUAUCAUUCCUUGCUAUUUUUGGUUAUGAGGGCAACCCAAAAAAACACUUUAUGUUUAUUCGUAAGAUUAUAUCAAUUUAGUUAAGACCUUAGACACCUUAAUCCAACAUGAAGGACUCUCUCCACCUUUAAGGAGGAGGGAGUCCUUCCCUCCCAACCCACUCAACCCACUGCUACUUCAGUCUUUAUCUCCUCUCUCUCUCUCUCUCUCUCUCUCUUUCUCUCUCUCUCUCUCUCUUCCAUCUUUCGUAAACCACAACAAAUUGAAACACUAUCUUUCCCCACCCACUUAACCCAAUUAAUUUUUAAUUUGGAAAUCAAGUAAAACUAAUAAAAAAGAAGUAUACAAAACUAAUGUACAAAUAUUAAAAAUGUACAAACUAAUUAAAAACAUACAAAAUUGUUUUUGAAAAAGAUUUGAUGCACAACAUACAAAUAAGUCAUAACAUGAAGAUAAACAGAAAGAUAAACAUAAAUUCUAUAGAGAGACACUUUUAGCGGGUUGGGUAACCCAAUAAAUCCUCUAAACUAGUGGCACCACAGAAGGACUCCCUCCACCUUUAAGGAGGAGGGAGUUCUUCCCUCCCAACCCACUGCUACUUCAGUCGUUAUCUCUUCUCUCUCUCUCUUCCAUCUUUCCUAAACCACAACAAAUUGAAACUCUAUAUUUCUCUACCCACUUAACCCAAUUAAUUUUUAUUUGGAUAUAAAGUAAAACUAAUAAAAAAGUAUACAAAACUAAUGUACAAAAUAUUAAAAAUGUACAAACUAAUUAAAAACAUACAAAAUUGUUUUUGAACAAGAUUUGACGCACAACAUACAAAUAAGUCAUAAUAUUAAGAGAAAGAGAAAGAUAAACAGAAAUUCUACAGAGAGACACUUUUAGCGGGUUGGGUAACCCGCUAAAUCCUCUAAACUAGUGGCACUACAGAGGAACGAGCCCUCAUCUCCCGGUACCUCCAACCCAAACUAAAAAAAUACCCGACUCUAUCCUCCCUUAGAGUUUUGAAAGAGAAUAAAAACAAAUUACAACCACCCAUGUCAAACAUCAAGCUAAAAAAAUGCCCACCUAUAACAAAUUAUACCUAAAACAUGAAAGUCCAAAAAAAACAUUGCUAAAAUAGACCCUAAAUCUUGUAAUACCUUUUCAUUGGGAGACAAGGUAUCUGUGUGAAAAAGGUAAAAAAAAAAAAAGGAGAAUUGCUAAAGGUUGGAGCUGUAGAGUAUGCCAGAGAAAUGGAGUGGAUGUGUAACGUCCCAAAAUUUAAGACGAAAAAUUUCAUUUUCAUAAUAAUAAAACCAUCAUCCAAAACGUGUUAAUAAAACCAUAAAAUAAAAUCAUAGUAUGUCAAUAACCUUUAAAAUACAUAAAGUCAACAAAAUGCGGAACAACAUGGUGUGUGCGAUGCGAUCAUCCCAAGCCUUUCCCCUUCGAUCCGGAAGUACCUGAAACAUAAACUGAAAAUCGUAAGCAUGAAGCAGAGUUCGGUCCCCAAAAUACCUCAUACCAUACAUAUCAAACAUACAAUGUGCCAUGCCCAAAAACCAUCAGGCCAUGCUCUAUAUUGGGCCCUGCCCAAUAUCGAGUCUCGCUCGGAACAGAUCUGUCAGUAACAUGAAAUGGGCUCCACCCCAUCACAUUCAUUAGGCCCCGCAUGGAAUCGGGCCCCACCCAACAUUCAUAAGGAUACAUAAAAUAUAUGCAAGAAUCACUAAUAUAAAUCUCAUACAACACACUCAUCAGGCCUCGCCCGGUUUACAUAUCACAUAUUGCUCACACAAGAGUUACGGAGACAAAUAACAUCCUACUCAUAUUAAAUCAUCGGCUGAUAUUGGUACCUUCGACCCGCCAAGCACAAUGAGGAGACUCACCUCAAACUAUUGAAAAUCAGAUAAAUGCUCGGACUGCUGAUUCGGAAAAUCCCCGCGUUUAAAUAGCUUUUCAAGAUGGUGAUGAUUCUGGAUCCACAAGGUCUAUCCUCACCAAUGAAAAUUCCAAGAGUUCUUCUUCCUUCAAAAUCACCAAAAACACUCCCAAAGUUCACUUCUAAGCUCAAAACACUCAAACGGAAAUUUGGGUUUCGUACAUAGGGUUUGGAGAGGUGGAGGUUGGUCAUAAGAGAGUCUAGGAGCAAGUUAAGGUGUUUAAAUAGGGCGCAAACCCUAAAAAUUAGGUUUUUCCCCAGUCGACCGUACCCCCUACAUACUACCACGUACGCCCCAUGUACGUUGGCUCCUUUGAAGAAUUUCAGUGUAUUAUGAUUCGAGAACUCAAGAUGUUUUUCAGACUUUUGAAGCCGAAGUGUUUCUUUUAUUGGAUCUUCUACUUGCUCAUGGUGACCUCCUUCUUCAGGUGAUUAUGACUGGUUUGAAGAUUUGGAUCUUAUUUUUCUGCUUCAUUGGUUGUGCUUUGAAGCUGAAGACCUUCAUUUUAGACAUUCAUGGCCAGUUUCAGACCUCACAGACACUUUAGAGUUUCAGAGACAUUUCAGCACUUGAUUUCAUUUUAUUACAACACUUGCUAGUCGGAUUACUAUAUUAUAGCCUUAUAUCACUUAUUGAAUCUCUCAUCAUUUGUAAUCAUUUAGGGAGAGUAUGUUGGUGCAUGGAAAUGCUCCACAAAUAAUGAGUGUUUAUUAGGUUGUAUUUUCCCUUUAUUGUAUUUUGUGGUGUAAAUACUCUCCCUCCUAUAUAAAGGGAGAGUUGGUCAUUUAUUUCUUAAGCUAGGAACUUUUACUUUUCUUAGAAGAUUACUUUUCUCACAAUGUAAUCUAGAGAGAGAGAAAGUUGGUGGGUUCUCCCACCCAGGGAGAGUUUCUCUCCCACCAUGUUCUUCAUGCUUCAUUAAUAUUAUUAUUCUCUCUUGUUCUUAGUUUUUUUUCAUGAACUCAUAAUAUGUUCUUCGUGUUCAUACUUACAAAAAAACGAUUAAUCUCGAGAUAUUAUUUCUUCUGCAUCCACUAUGUGUAUCAAAAUGAGUUCCUACAAUUGGUAUCAGAGCCAUACCUUGAAGAUCUCACAAUUAGUUCAAGGGAACGACUCCUGUUCGGUGAUUAUCUUGUGAUUUUUCCGUAUUUCUGCAAGAAAAAAAUUUCGGGCUUCUUAGCAGAAUUUUUUUAUGAGUUCUUUCUUAGUUCUAUCUUAUGGGUGAUUCUAUCUUAGUAAAAAUAAAAUGUUGUUGCUGCUGCUCAUUCUAUUUGUUGCUGGAAAAAGAUGUUCUUAAAGUUCGUACUAUUUUUGUUGUUGAAGAAAUGAAGAAAAAUGGGAGAAGAAAUUAUUUUUGUGGUAUCCAUAUUGUUGAAGAUAUUGUUCUAGGAAGUUCUUUUUCAUGGAUGAGAAGACACAAAAAUUAAUGGGCUUAUUAUUCAUAAAGAAAGUGGAGAAUUUAUGUUGAAGAUGUUUUCCCAGCACUUUUUGCUCAUCAUAAGAGGUAUAAUCUUCAUAUCUCUCACUUCUAAAAUUGUUGUUGUGGAUCUUUGAUUUGAAGAAAUUUGAACUUAUUAUUUGUUUGCAAAAAGCAUAUUGUCCUUGUUACACUUUUGGGUAAAGAGUGCUCCACUUUUCACUCCCUCAAAUAGACAAAAACCAUGUGACAUUGUCCAAUCCAAUCACUUUUUGUCCCUAAAACCCACUUACACACUCCUCUUUUUUCCUUCCCAAGACCCACUUGUUGACAUAAAUGCUUUAUAAAAUAUUUCCCUUAUUAAAAUAUGAAUAAAUGACCUUUUUGGCAUCAUUUUUUCAUGAAAAAAAAAACAUUUUUCGUCACCUGUUCAGCCCUUUCCGGACCCCCCGAACCGCAGCCAAAAAAAUGCCUACCGGAGUCCCUUGAAAAGCCUCUCAGUAGCCCUUCUCAGCCCUUGAUCUGACAUCCUCAAUCUCCCCAUCCGCAGCCAAGGUCAGUAAUGAAGAGACCGCAACCCACUCUGCCUGACUAAUGAACUGAAGUCAGAAGUCUAGGACCGCAGUCCUUCUUGGACCGAAGUUCCAGUCAGUAGUUUCGGACCGCAGUUACACCUUGCCAAUCUCGCACCGCAACCGCUUGCCUUCCUUCCCACCCGCAUCCAAACCUUUUCCGCACCCAAUCCGUUCCAUCCGAAGUCACCCAGACCCGCAAUCACCCACCUGAUCCGCAACCAAACUCUUCAUCCGCACCCGCCAUUUUGUCCGCAACCAUCACCUCCCACUCGCAACCCUCCUGACUUCGGCCCCUCCCCUCCCUCCUUCUUCUCCUUUUUCCUUCACUCCUCCCUUCCUCCUCCUCCCCCUCCUUUCUUCCUUCUUUUUUCCUCCCCUCCCCUCCUUUUUCCCUUCCUUUUUUUAAAAAAAAAAAUUAGACUUUAUUUUUUUUAUUAUUCAGUUUUUUUUUCUACAUUAUUCCUUUAAUUAAUUUUUUUCCAGCAAAUUAUUUUUUUAGCCAAUUAUUUUUUAACACCAAUUUUUUUUUUUAUUUAGCCAAUUAUUUUUUUUAACACCAAUAUAUUUUAUUUAGCCAUUUUUUUUUAUUAUAACCAAUUUUUUUUAAAACCAAUUAUUUUUUUAACACCAAUUUUUGCCACCACCUACCCAUGGAUUGUCACAUUGGUUAUUCAUUUCAUGCCGAUUAUUAUUAUUGGAAAAAUACUCCUACCGCAGUCGGACUUCAUAUUAUCUUUUUGUGAUGGUUGCACCGCAACGACGAUUGAUCAACAAAGUUGUUUCACAUUCUCACUUUAUGGGAUAUUAUGACUUGGCGCUCUUGAUUUUUUGUUGACGAAUCAUGUAUCUUGAGCAUGUGGACUUUAUUCUCUAUUGAAGACCACUUCAAGUGUUCCGGCAUCGCAGUUUGGAUAUUUGGAUAUAUAUUUUUGGCACAACAGAUUUUCUCAGCACUGCUUCAGCAACUAUGUCACCCUCUUCCUCAUGACCGCAAGAGUAUUUAUUUUACUCUUUCUCAUUUCUUAUCGAGACCCUUCAUACAUCUAGGGAGAGCUUCUCUUAGCUCUUGGUAUCCGACACUCUCCAUCCAAUGAUUUGUUGAUUUUUGAUAUCCAGUCAUUGGUUAUCAAAAAUAGGGAGAAAAUAUCAUCCGGAUUUGGUUAUUAUUGUUUAAGUUUGGAUUUUUGAAGACUUCUAAAGAUGAUUAUUUAUUUAGUGAUGUGAUGUGGCACUUAUUUUUGGUCUUCACGGAUCAAAUUUUUGGCAUUACUCGACGUUUUCCAAUUCAGAUUAUUUAUUAUUCAGACUCUACCACAGGAUGAUUUUGUGUUCGCGUCUAGUUCAGAUCUUAUGGUUUCACGAGUUUGGAUUUGUGAUAUGUUGAAGACGAAGAUUAUUUUGGCGAUGUGACGUGGCACUUAUUUUUGAUCCUUAGAUCAAAUUUUUGGCAUUGCUGGACCAUUUUUUGGACUCACGUUAUUUUUAUCCGGACUUCAUUUUAUGGAUGCUUCACAUUUUUAGCAGGUUAUUCUUUGAAGAAUUUCGUUGUAUUAUGAUUCGAGAACUCGAGAUGUUUUUCAAACUUUUGAAGCCGAAGUGUUUCUUUUAUUGGAUCUUCUACUUGCUCAUGGUGACCUCCUUCUUCGGGUGAUUAUGACUAGUUUGAAGAUCUGGAUCUUAUUUUUCUACUUCAUUGGUUGUGCUUUGAAGCUGAAGACGUUCAUUUCAGACAUUCAUGGCCAGUUUCAGACCUCACAGACACAUCAGAGUUUCAGAGACAUUUCAGCACUUGAUUUCAUUUUAUUACAACACUUGCUAGUUGGAUUACUAUAUUAUAGCCUUAUAUCACUUAUUGGUUCUCUCAUCAUUUGUAAGCAUUUAGGGAGAGUAUGUUGGUGCAUGGAAAUGCUCCACAAAUAAUGAGUGUUUAUUAGGUUGUAUUUUCCCUUUAUUGUAUUUUGUGGUGUAAAUACUCUCCCUCCUAUAUAAAGGGAGAGUUGGUCAUUUAUUUCUUAAGCUAGGCACUUUUACUUUUCGUAGAAGAUUACUUUUCUCACAGUGUAAUCUAGAGAGAGAGAAAGUUGAUGGGUUCUCCCACCCAGGGAGAGUUUCUCUCCCACCAUGUUCUUCAUGCUUCAUUAAUAUUAUUAUUCUCUCUUGUUCUUAGUCUUUUUCAUGAACUCAUAAUAUGUUCUUCGUGUUCAUACAUACAAAAACACGAUUAAUCUUGAGAUAUUAUUUCUUCCGCAUCCACUGUUCGUAUAAAAAUGGGUUCCUACACUGGCUUUGUAUGAAGUAGUCAUCAUUCGUGUUGACUUUGUUGAUUCCCGACCCGAAAGCUCUUGGUAAGGAUAUGGAUGUUUUCCUUAGGCCGUUGGUGGAAGAGCUUAAAGAUUUGUGGCACUCAGACGUACGUAUUAAAGAGGUGGCAACAAACACAUUCUUGACGAGGAGAGCUAUGUUGUUGUGGACAAUAAACGACUAGCCAACUCAUAGUAGUCUAUCAGGUUAGAGUGGGCAAGGGUAUAGAGCAUGUGCUACUUGCAAUGAAGACACUCCUUUGUACUGUGCAACAAACAAAGUCGUAUAUAUCGGUCAGCAUCAUUUCCUAGAUGCUAAUGAUCCGUUAAGAGAGAGGUUGGACUUUAACGGGAUGGAAGGGACAAGACCUGCUCCGAGACACUUUAGUAAUGACGACAUACAAGAGCAACUAGGUCAUCUACUAACUCGUAAACCGGGUAAACAUCCUGAGCAUGGAGGCGGGGAGCCAGAGCGGCAAGAUUACGAGUUGAACUGGUCGAAAAUGAAGCAUUUUCUUUGAACUCGAGUAUUGGUCUUCUCUACAGUUGAAACACAACAUAGAUUUUAUGCAUGUCGAGAAAAAUGUGGACGAGAGUUUUUUAGGUACUCUUCUAAUGAACGAUAAAAGAAAAGACACAUCAAAUGCACGAGAGAACUUGAGAAUUCUAAACAUUCGGAGAAAUGCAUGGAUGCAAAAAAAUGGUGACAAGUUUCUUAGACCCCGUGAAAGAUACUCUUUCACGAAAUCUAGUCGACAACUCUUUUGUCAAUUUAUAAAAGAUAUUAAACUGCCGGAUGGGUUUGGUUCUAACAUCAGUAAGAAAGUGAACGGUACCAAUACUAACAUUAUUGGGUUGAAAUCGCAUGACCACCACAUUCUUAUGCAACAUUUGAUACCGAUUGGAGUAAGAGGGUUGUUAUACAAAGACACUUAUACACCUAUUGUAGACCUUUGUACGUUUUUCAAGCAAUUUUGUUCCAGAACAUUGAAGGUGGAGGAUAUGAGGAAAGCAAAAGCGGACAUUAUUGCAAUCUUGUGCAAGUUAGAAUUGAUUUAUCGUCCAGUGUUUUUUGACAUUAUGGUUCAUUUACUUUUGCAUUUACCUGAUGAAGCGAUUGUCGGAGGCCUGAUAUGUAUGAGAUGGAUGUAUCCCUUCGAAAGGUAUAUGAAAAAACUAAAAAACUAUGUUAGAAACAAGGUGAGGCCGGAAGGUUCUAUAGCUGAGGGUUAUGUUGCUGAAGAAGCUUUAUCAUUUUGUCCGAUGUACCUUCGAGAUGUAAAGAAUCGUCCAGAAAGAAAUGAAGAUGUUUUCAUUGAAAAAACAAAGUUUUGGAUGUAUGAGUCUAAAUGUCGACCGACCAGCACAACUCAAAUCAAAACUCUUAACUUAACGGAAAUGUGUAAGAUGGAAUGGUUUGUAUUGAAUAGCUGUGAAGAAGUCACACAAUAUAUAUGAAGCAACUAAUCUUAUCUCUAACUUUCAUCCUUAAUUUUUUUUUAAUCUUUUUAAAUCUAUAUCCUUUGGUCAUCAACAUAGGAAAUUCAAAUCUGAACAUCCCCAAAGUGAUGAAAAGAGAGAAUUUCGUAAUUGGUUUCGUGAAAAGGUAAUAUAAAUUAAUAAACAAAUUUGUUUCAUUGAUCUAACAAAUACAUAAUACAUAUUACUUUAUAAUUGCAAGGUUCAUCAAAUGAAAAUAGAAAACUCUCCAGAAUUCCACAAAGAUUUUUCGGCUCUUGCAAUGGGUCCGCAAAUGAAUGCUUAUUCUUACACCGCAUGCAUAGUUAAUGGUGUUAGGUUUAUGGUACUUAGUCGUGACGCACAACGUACAAGACAAAACUCCGGGGUUUUAGUGGUGCGUGAGAAAAGCGAGAAAUAUUAUGGCCAGUUAGAAGAGAUUAUAGAGUUGAGGUAUGCACAUGAUUAUUCAAUUGUACUAUUUCGUUGCAAGUGGUUUGAUACUCAAACAUGAGUUAUUACUAGUGAUAAUUUCACCAGUAUCGACACACGACGCGAAGCAUACAAAGAUGAUCAACUCAUAUAUGCUUCACAAGCCAAACAAGUGUUCUACAUCAGAGAGCCAAACAAUAACCAUCAGUGUGUUGUCAAGCAUGUUAACCAUCGAAGUAUUUGGGAUCUACCAUCGAACGAUGAUCGUGUCCAAAAUGUUGACAAUGGCUCACACAAAAAUGUAGACAAUGUAGAUGUACUUCAAAAUAUCUCUUCAUCCAGUGCUCCACUUUUUAUCGAUUUCAGCAUGUACUUUCAAAACAUUCCUAGAGUCAUUAUUGAUGUAGAAAGUGCGACUGAAGUUCCUCCGCCAAGUGGUAGAGUCAAUGAUGUUUCUGAUUGCGAGACUGAUUACGAUGAGACUGAUUCUGAUUAUGAUACCGAAGAAUACACUGAAGGAUAUGAGGAAGAUUCUGAUUAGAAUAGUUCUUAUGCAAUACUUGUUUGUAAUAUGAACUUUAUUUGGAUUUCUUAUUUAAAUAAAAAUGUUUAUUCCUAUGUAAAUGUUUAUUUCUAUGUAAUGUGUAUUUGUAAUAAAAAUUGUAUUUGCAUAUCUUAUAAUUUUUCACGAAAUGAUGACAAUAUGGCUGUUGUUUAUGUAUACCAUGGCUGUUGUUUUGGGUCGUGGACACGGGGGUGAUGGAGCUGAGGACCCACCUCUCCCAGGUAGCAGAGGUGCUGGUCAUCACGAACAGCACGGUAAGUCUUAUUAUGAAUUUUUAUUUACUAUUUUUGUUCAUUUAUUAUAAAUUAAAUACUGUUUCUAAUAAUUUUUAAUUACAUUUGUAGUUGAGCAACCUACACGAAGGAAAGUUCGAGGCAAAGCAAAAAAUAUAAAGCCUGAAAAAGCGAUCUUACGGAACCAGGGCAAACCGAUUAGCAUGGAAUAUGAUAUGGAUAUCACAUUUGAUCUCAUAGGAGAGCCGAAAGACAUGUUUUCCCGAGAAAUUGGAGAAACAAUUGUUGGAUUAGUGUCUACGUNCCAUAACUAUUUUGGUAUGUACUUGACCCGAUGGUGCAUGGUCCUUUUGGGUUGCCUUCACCAAAGCAACUUGAUAGGAUGAAUUAUGGAGAGAAAGGAUUAAAUAUGAUUUAUUAAUAUAUUAUGAGAAUAAUAUAUUAAAGGAGAAAUCAUAUUGUUUAAUUAAUAUUAGUCAAGAAUUAAUAAGAAUUAAGUUUGUGACUAAAAGAGAUUAAUUAAACUUAAGGGACUGGAAUUGUAAUUAUAAGAUAAUUGCAAUUGGGCUAUGGAUUGCCUUAUAUUAUAAGGUUGGACGAAUUAUAUGGGGAAACCCAUUGGAAAUCAUCCAAGGCCUUUAAGGAAAGGAGUUCAUGGGUUACUUAGGGCUUAAGCAUCCAAAUUAGGGUUUCCUUAUUAGAUAACCUUAAUAGCUUCACUAUAUAUAGAACCCUUAUGCUUUAAAAACGUGGUGAACUAGUUGUCUAGGGUUUCCACACGUUUUUUGAGAGCCUCCUUCUCUUCUCUUAUUCAUCCUCUUGCUCUUGGUGUUUGUGAUCCAUUAGAGGAGUGACAUUUGUGACUCUAAGCUUUCUAAAGUCAUUACAAGGAGGAUUUGAGAUUGUUAUUGCUACAUAACAAUCAAGGUAUGAUCUAAACCCUAAUUAUAUGUUAUAUUGAUUAUCAUAUGCUAGAUCUAGGGUUUAUAGUCUUGGAUAAAUUGCAUGUACAAUAGAGAAACCUAGAUCCAAGCAUUAGGGUUUGUAUGAGCACAUAGGAUGUUCUUAUGACCAAAACCCAUUAGUGGUAUCAGAGACAGGUUGGUUUCUAUUGUAUUGAUGCAUUAUGUAGCUGGAAAUCGAAAUCUGGCUUACUGUUCGACCUGACUCGGCGAGUCACUACUUGGACUUGGCGAGUCAGCCCUACUCGGCGAGUUCCAGAGUGUGACUCAGUGAGUCGGAGCAUCAGGCAAAGGAAAUUUCAGAUUUUUUUGCUGUUUUGCUUAAGGAUAAUUACCAUAUUCGUUUCAAACCUAUAAAAUACGAAUUUUAUUGUUUCUUAAAGAAUAUCCUUGCCAAAACACAAGAUAAUUACCAAUUGAUUAGAUAAUAACUUCCUUAUAUGAUAAAGAUUCGAUUAUUUGUAUUAAUUGGGUAACUUAUUUUGCAAGAAAUUGAAAUUAGGUCAAAUAUAGAUAAUGAUGAAAUUAAUUGUUUAAUUUAUAUUAUUUGUUAUUUGAUCCUUGUGUUAUGAAAAGUUUCAAAUUUUCCCCUUUAGGUUUUAUAGUUUAAAUUUGAACUCAAAAGUUUAGUUUUGAAAUUUAAAUAGUUGAAACCCUAAUGUUUUGAAAAGGUUUCAAAACUUGCCCUCAAGUUUUGGAAUUUAAAUUUUGAUUAAAAGUUUAAUUUUGAUGUAUAUUUAAAUUCUAAACCCUAAUGUUUUGAAAUGUUUCAAAACUUGUCCUCAAGUUUUGGAAUUUAAAAGUUGAUUAAAAAUUUAAUCUAGGAAUGUUAAAUUCUAAAACCCUAGCAUUGUUUUGAAAUGUUCACAUCACACCCUUAUGGUUUUAUUAAUUAAUUAAGGCGUAUAAUUAAAAGAGGUUUGAUAAAUCCAUAAAAGUUUUGGUUUACAUUUAAUUGAAUUAAAAGUAUAAUCGUUAAAUUUUGACAACCUAGUAUUUUAAAAGUGUAAAAUACACCUUAUACUAUAUAUAACAUUAAAAGUCUAACAUUAUAUAUAUGUAUGAGUAAAAGUCAGUCUUACCGUUAGUAGGCCUCAUUCACGAAGCUGGUCUAUAAGGGGUGUUUAAGGAAAUUGCCUAUAAAAUGGCGAUUGAAUGGGUAUCCACUCUUACCCACCGCACUCUUGACUAGUGGAGGGUCGUUAGCCGAACGGGUAGGAUGGGACGAAACCUUCCAUUAUAAGUAUAAUGAAGUAUAAAAGUAACUAAAUGUUUUCAUAAAAUUCCCAAUCUUAGUUACUUAGGCAAAAGUGAAUUGAUGCAAUUCCAUGAAAUUACACUUUGUGCCCUUGCGAAGACGUUAGUGGAGCGUGUGUGGUUUACCGGCACACUAAAUGGUUCUAAGCAAAGGUAGCAAAGGGUGACUCAAUGUUUGUCAUAGUUCGGUGGAGCGUGUGUGGUUUACCGGCACAUCGAAUAGGUGACUGUAACAUGUGAGGGCACCAUGUAAGUUUGCAUGGUUAUUCACACCCGCUUUGUGAUCCUCGGCAUCCCAGUCACAAACAAGAGGGGCAUAUCGAGAUUUAAACAUGCCAUUGAAAUGUUCAAUGAAUCUCAAAGGAUCUAGGAGUUUUCAUAGAUUUAAAACUUAAAUUUCUUUUUCGUUUUUCAUGGUGGAAAUUAGUGAAUCGUCAUUCACUUACCUUCAAAUGUUCUGCAAUUUGGGUUACGGCAUCCCUCUCCCGAGUUGUAGAAUAUUGUGUUGGGUCCUAGCCUUAGUAUCUCAUUUGGGUGAUUUACUAAGGACUCAAUCAAUCAACUAACUUGAAUUCGUUUUCUCCCGUUUUGUAGAUGUCAAAGUUCGACAACUAUGGUCUUCCCAAAUCCCGUGGAACAAGCUUUCCACAUGAAGAUGAUAUUCCACGAUUCGAUCGAGGAACAAGAAAUCAUGCUUCACUUCCUCCACCUCCUCCAAUUAUUCUCCCUAACCCACAAGUUCAAAGGCUUGAAAAGUUCAAGAUCACUCAAGCCCUUUUGGCAAGUAAACAUAAAGAAGGAAAGUCGGUGUGUGCACACGUCCUAGGGAUGAAGUCACACAUUGAUAGGUUAAGAAUGUUGGGAUCCGUUGUCUGUGAGGAAAUGGCUGUUGAUUGGGUUCUUCAGUCACUUCCUAACUCAUAUAGUGAGUUCGUAAGAGAGUACUAUAUGAUGAACCGCGACGUGACCCUUAUAGAUCUCACCUAUAUGCUUAUUGCUGCUGAAUCAGCAAUGGUUUGGCGCAAUAGAAAAGCAAAGUUGAUUGGUGAAUCUGCCUUCAAGACCUCUAUGGAUAUAGACAAUGGCAACGAAAGACAUGCUAUGAUCGAAAAGUUUGAUCAUAAGAGAAAGGCAAUGUCUGAAGUAGUUCCAUGUCAUGUUCCAAAAGAGUCAAUUUGCUUUUAUUGCCAAGAGAAAGGGCAUUGGAGACGAAGCUGCCCCAUUUACCUAAGAGAUCUAAGAGAUGGGAGAGUCGAAACGUAUGGCUCUAAUAUAGGUAAAAUCCAUUAACUAACUCUUUUAAGCUUCUAUUCUAGAUUCUUAAUACAUAAUGUGAUAAGAUUACAAUUGAUGUUUUGUAGGAUCGAAGAAAAGAAAGGAAGCUUAAGGGAAGAAGUGAGCAGAAUCUAACCGUGAAGGAAUGGAUUUCGAUCGCAUUUCUCGAAGAUUAGAUUCUUGAGCUACUACUUAGAGUUAGAAUUAGAUUGCUAAGAAAGAUGUAUUAGCAAAGUUUUUCAAUGAAUUGCAUUGUAAGGACAAAUUUUUCCGCAAUAAAAUAAAUUUUGAUUUUAAAUUUUAUUUAUUUAUCCUUACAAUGGCGUGUAUGAAAAAUUGAUGUUAAAAUGUUUCUAUUAUUAGCAAUAAUGGAUUUGGUUCUUAUUAUGUUAUUUAUGGAAAGUCGAGAAUUUACCAAAUAGGGAGAGUUUCUCAUCGCCCAAGUUUCAAUUGGACAGAAACUUGGAAUCAUGCAACUUGGUUGCACGAUGAAUGAGAAAUUUCAUAUUUGGAAAUUAGACUAAUUCAUUGACAAAGUGUCAAGUGAAGGACUAGGAGAUCGAGUACACAAAGUUGCGUGUUGAUCAAGUCCACCAUAAGAGUAACAAAGAUAUUCGUCAUGAUUUACUAAAGGUUUAGUAAAUAUGAUUAUACUUAUAAGAUUAAGUGUAAUUCUGAAUUGAUUGAAAAGGUUUAAAUCAAUAGCAGAACGAAUAAGAAGAAUCAAGUAGGCAGAAAGAUAAAAGUUUCUCCAUUCUAAGAAGAAGGGAGAGUACCUUUUAUGCUUUAUGAUAGGUCUUAAUGAUUAAGAACCAUAUCUCAAUUGAUCCUCUAAGUGAGUCUUAGUACAAUUGUAUGUCUAAGAAGAGGAAUCAAGAAUUGAAGAAAUGGUUAAAUCAAUAAGUCAAUCAUACUUCGUUCCAAUAACAAGUCUUAAAGUUAAGAUUGUGACAUUGAGUGAAAGGUAUUAAGAAGGUUUGUAACAUUCAUUAAAUGUGGAAAGUUGUGAUGUCUUGGAUAAGACAAAGACCAACUAGGACCAAUUUAUGAAGUGUUUUGAUAAAAGCUACACUAACUCUUGAAUAUUUGUUUGUCAAGAAAUGGUUAUUGACAAGAGAAUCUUAUAUGUCAAGGAGUCAGUGGGAGUCUUAAUGGUCUUGAAAGGUUUCAAGAACAAAUCAAAUAAACCUUAUCGAUCAUCACUAGCACACGAGUUGAGGUUUACAACCUAUCGUGUUGACAUUAUUUUGAUUCUGUGCCAAUCCAAUCGAGUUAAUUAUGCAUGUGAGUUCUAUGAGUUCUCAUUUUGAACGCAUAAAAGGCAAAGCACCUUAAUCAAUGAAAGGUACAUUGAUAGGAAAGGGUGAGCUGCUUAACUACUUGGAAGACAUGGUGGGCAGCUGUGCUACCAUAAGGCAAGAAAUCAAGAUUAAGAAAGUUCGGUCCAUAUGAGUUUGAAUUUGUCGUAAACUUUGGUUUUAACAAAUUCACAUGGAUAGGAACACAUACACCGUUUAAAUCUAAGUGUCAUAAGAUUUCCUCCUUCAUGAAAAUGAUUGUGAGGAAAUGCUUUCACUAAGAAAGAUUUUAAGAAGAUAGUGAUUGUAAAAUUGCAUUCUCGAAUUCAAUUAUGGUUACGGCAUCCCUUUCCAUAAUUUGAAUUGUGAGGUUUGGCAAUUAGUCUUAAUUGUUUAGACACACAUAUGAACUAUCGAAGGCAAAGGUGUAUAAGUUCAAGAAGCAUUGAUAAAGGAUUAUCAAAGCACUAAGUAUUAGAAACAUGAACUUAAGAAAUUCAAUAAGUAUUGUUUUCUGAAAGUUAAGAUGUUUAUGAAUACAUGUCGAAGCUAGUGGGAGCAUAAGUGUUAUGUUUUAUAAUAAUCAUCAUGAUAGUGGGAGCAUAAAUGUUAUGAUUGUAUGAUUAUUAAGGAAAGUAUUGCAAGGUUAGCAAUAUUAAUUAUAGAAAACAAGAGUCAUACUUUGCAAAGUUGUAAGAGUUGAAAGGUUGUUUUGCUAUAAUUAAGGGAGAGAAUAUUAUGCUUCAUUUCAAAUCUAAAGGAUUAGGUUGAGAAAUGUUAAUAAAUUUAGUCAAAGGUACAAAGUGUGUUCUUAAAAUUUCGAUUAUGAUUACGGCAUCCCUCUUCACAAUUCGAAUUUUGAGAACAUAGCAAAUAAAACAUUAUGCGUCGUGUCCCAUACGCUUCGGGUAUAGGAUCGAUUGCAAAUGCUUUAAUGUUUGACCAUUCUAAAAUUUUCCAAAUGUCGAGCGCAUUUAGAGGGAAAAGGGACUAGAAUUGGUUUUGACUAAAACAAUUAAACAACUAUCAAAGGACAAUCCAAAGUUCGACGAGGAUUGGUCGCUUGUGAGUAGUUGGAAGUAUAGUAUUGGAAAAUAUGGAAAUGUUUCCAUAUUGGAUGGACCAUAUCGACAUCAUUACGAAUAGAUAAGAUUCUAUUAAGAAUGAGUUGUCAUAUGGAACAUAUGGAAGUGUGUCCAUAUUGGGAAUUGAAUAUUGAGAAAUCUAUGACUAGAUUAGAAACUUCUAUGCAAAAGGAUGUUCAAAGAAUGUACUUUGAGUGAGAGACAUCACAUCUAUGGAAUUGUCUUGUAACAAUCUCCGAUAGAGGACUUUGUAAUAUCAUUGGCAAUAGUCUUUGUGACUUUGGUGCAGUGACAUUACGAAAGGAUCGUUGCAUAGAAUGUUAGAAUCUAGCAUAUUCUAUAAGUAGCAAGAAUUUGAUAUUCUUACACUUAUGAAAAAGGAUUUGGAGUUGUGAAAUGAGAAUGAUUGGAAAUGUGUUCAAUUUGAUCUAUUUCACAAAGUAAGAACCAUAGGUAAACAUUGUGUGCAUGCUAAGAGCAUGGGACAAGUGUAAUAAUUCAAGUAAGAAGUUGAUUACCCGAAACGACAAAUAAUGAGUAAUCGAUAUGGUGAUAAAUAAAAGGUGUUUUAUUUAUACUCAAAGGUUUGAGGCCAUAUGGGAUUAGUAUUAUUCUUGUGUUUCACUUUGCAUGUUUUGACUUCCUGAAUAAUUUAAUUGGUUUAGAACAGUCAAAUUAUUCGAACGGGCCACAGUCGUUCAUAUGUUGGAAGUAGGUAUGAAUGAAGACUGUCGUGAAUUGGUGUGUGGAUUGUCUAAAGAGUAUUAGACAUAAGCAAAUGUUUGCUGCAACGUUCAUGAGUGCUUAUGAAUAUGAUUUGAGCAUUGGAUUAAACCCACGCUCACUUGGAUCACUCCAUGAAUUGUAUCACGAGUGAUUGGUGAGACGAUAACAUCUUAUAUUCUUGAAACCGAGAUGUGUGAGUUGUAUCUUGCAAAUCGGUUGCACAUUGAUAAUAUGUAAACGCACUAGUAACUUGGUGUUAUAAAACAUAUUGUUGUGUGUGAUUCGGUGAGUGAGUGCAAGCGAGCAUUGAAUCAAAGUUUAUCCGUUCCUUUUAUCCAAAGUAGGAUAAAAGCGAUAUCUUUGGGCCCCUCGAUGAUUUAGUGAUGACAAACGUAAAUGCUCGGUCGGGCUAGGGCUAAUUUGAUUUGUUCAAUUAGUCAGUCGUCAUAAAUCGGAAGUCGAGAAAUGGUACAGAGAGAAUGAUUAGAAAUCAUGUCUUAUACGAUAUCUAGAAUGGAGGAAUAUAUGAUCCCUUAUCUAAAGGACACGCGUAUCUGAUAGGAUCAGAGUUGACAGCGGCUUUGGAAAGCUACGAUUGCAGAUCAGGAUCUGAAGUCAUACGCAGAAUAGUUAUUAGACUUAUCCAAGUGGGAGACUGUUGGAUUAGUGUCUAAGUCCAUAACUAUUUUGGUAUGUACUUGACCCGAUGGUGCAUGGUCCUUUUGGGUUGUCUUCACCAAAGCAACUUGAUAGGAUGAAUUAUGGAGAGAAAGAAUUAAAUAUGAUUUAUUAAUAUAUUAUGGGAAUAAUAUAUUAAAGGAGAAAUCAUAUUGUUUAAUUAAUAUUAGUCAAGAAUUAAUAAGAAUUAAGUGUGUGACUAAAAGAGAUUAAUUAAACUUAAGGGACUGGAAUUGUAAUUAUAAGAUAAUUGCAAUUGGGCUAUGGAUUGCCUUAUAUUAUAAGGUUGGACGAAUUCUAUGGGGAAACCCAUUGGAAAUCGUCCAAGGCCUUUAAGGAAAGGAGUCCAUGGGUUGCUUAGGGCUUAAGCAUCCAAAUUAGGGUUUCCUUGUUAGAUAACCCUAAUAGCCUCACUAUAUAUAGAACCCUUAUGCUCUAAAAACGUGGUGAACUAGUUGUCUAGGGUUUCCACACCUUUUUUGAGAGCCUCCUUAUCUUCUCUUCUUCAUCCUCUUGCUCUUGGUGUUUGUGAUCCAUUAGAGGAGUGACAUUUGUGACUCUAAACUUUCUAAAGUCAUUACAAGGAGGAUUUGAGAUUGUUAUUGCUACAUAACAAUCAAGGUAUGAUCUAAACCCUAAUUAUAUGUUAUAUUGAUUAUCAUAUGCUAGAUCUAGGGUUUAUAGUCUUGGAUAAAUUGCAUGUACAAUAGAGAAACCUAGAUCCAAGCAUUAGGGUUUGUAUGAGCACAUAUGAUGUUCUUAUGACCAAAACCCAUUAACAAUGUGGCACAUCGUCCCUUUUGAUAAAUGGACUUGGAAAAAAGUUUCCCCUGCAAUACAUGACACCGUAUUACAUCAUUUAGCGGUAAUUAUUUAUUUAAAUAUAUUUCAUAUGGUGAACUAUAAUUGUUUUUUACUUGGUUAACUUUUUUUGUAGACAAAGUUUGUUUUGGAUCAGAUGUAUCGGGAUGCACAUGCUAACAUGUUGACAGAGAGUUUUCAAGCAACUUUGUUAAAAGGUUAUCGAGAACGUAAAGCUGACACAAAAGAAUAUUUAUGUUAGUCGGAGGGUAUGAAGAUAUCUCGGGAGCAUUAGCCAACCCUCCAAAGGGUAUGGAAGUUGAUAACUGGAAGAAAGUAGUUGAAUAUUUCCAAACAGGCGAAACAGAAUUGCUUCAGAAAGGAACAAAAAAAUCCGUGAAAUGCAAACAAAUGUGAAUCGUGGGGCGUCGAGCUGGUAUAGCAGUACUUGCUAUAAGAAGGUAAUGUAAGAUACAUGUAAUUCUUUAUUUAAAAUAUAAUCUAAUUUUUAAAGUUAAACAGAACCUGAAGAGAGUGGAAAACUUUUGCAAAGCUCAUACCAAUAAGAAUGAUGUAUUUGUUACUGCUGAGGCGGAACAACAAUAUGUAAGUAUUUAAUUAUAACUUUAUCAUAUAAUUAAAUGUUUCUUUAUACUUAAUUGUUACUCACUUUUGGGAGUUACAAAAUCGGUUAGUUGAAGGGCUAUAAGAACAAACUCAAGGUGAAAGUGAGUUAACACCCGCUCAAGAAAGAGUUGCGUUUGAGAAAGUAUUAGGAGAGCGACGUAGUCAUAUUAGAGGCAUUGGCCGUAAACCUUCUGCUCUCUUGCCGAUUUCACGGCCUUCGCAACCAUCACCACAACCAUCACAGGUACUUUGGUUUUUUGUCUUAGUUUAAAAAUAGUCAUCUACUUUUGGCAUCGUAAAAUGUAUGUUGAUUUGGUAAUUUUGGUUUUAUGGUGAUUAUUUACUAAAAAAUUUGGUAAUUAGGUUUUUGUCCCAAGUGCAAAAAAUAACAACGUACUUUGGUAAUUUUGGUUUUGUGGUGAUUAUUUAACUUAUAAGUUUAUAUAUGUUGUUAUUAAUUAUGUAGUUGGAAAAUCUUCGUGCAAUGCUGAAAGACCCGGCAUGUAGGGAUGAGUUGUAUUCGUUUUUUCAAUUCCAAAAUAAUCGAGGAAACAAUGGGAACGAAGAUGAUGGUAUGUACGCCAGGAUGAGUUUUAUUUGCAUACGUUGUCAUGCUUUGCUACUUGGUAGAUUAUAAAACUUUGGUUGUUUUUUGUAAUUACCGGUGACACUAAGACUGUGCGACAUUGUUACUUUUUAUAUUUAAUCGGAUAUUAUGACUUGUGAUAUUUAAUUAAUUAUAAUCGGAUGUUUGUUUUGUAAUUAGAGUCGACACUAUUAUUUUUUUUAUUUAAUCGAAUGUUGUUAUGUAAUUACCGACUACAUUAUUACCGGCAAACAAAAUCAUUAAUUACAAAAAAAAAAUAAAAAAUAAUAAAAAUUAUAAUUACCGGCGACACUAUUACCGACGACAGACUUAUUACCGGCGACAUAGUCAUUAGCGGCGACACAGCUCAUUACCGGUGACAUGGUCAUUAGCGGCGACAUCUAUCAUUAGUGGCGACAAGUUCAUCAAUAGUGAUGAAGUGAUAACGACGACUUAUUACCGGCGACGCGUCGCCGCUAUUACUAUUACCGGCGACAACUUGAAUUAUUACCGACGAUUUUUGUCGCUGCUAACGAUCGUUUUCCUUUUGUAGUGUAAGGUUAGCCUAACCACAGGUAUUAACUAAUGUUAUUGAUCAAAUGUGAUAUCUAAUAUGUCCGAGGAGCAUAUAGCAUGUUGCCCUUUAUCGAAAAUUUCUUAUAAUUAUUUAUAGAAUGAAUUACUGUUUUAGUCCCUGUGGUUUACAUCAAUGUACAUUUUUAGUCUAGUUUUUAAAUUUUUUACAUUUCUCGUUCAUGUGCUUUGCAAAAGUUACAUGUGUGGUCUCAUAGACUAUAGACUAACUCCGUAAAAUCUAAUCCGAUAAAUACAUGUAAAAUUAAAAUUAUAUCCCUCAUUAUUUUUCUCAAUUAUUAUGGCAAUAUUUUGAUAAUUUAGGGACCAAUUUUAUAAAUUAGUGGAAAUAACAACACAUAGAGGCUUCAACCCUCUCUCUCUUAUGUUUUUGGUAUAAAGGUCAAGGUGACUGCUCUUUCUCACCUUCAGCAACACCAUGUAAGCCACUACACUCUCUCCAGCCACUGUGCCGCCCUUCCUCGUUAUUUAUUGAUUUUGAUUUAAGUUGGAAGGAAAAAUUUUGGUUCUCAUUUAGGGUAACCCUUUUUAGGGAUUUGAAACUUGAUGAUGGUUGUUGGUUGGUGGGGUGACAUAGUGGUGUUGUCUCUAUGUAGUGGUAAUGAUUGGUGCUUGGUUUUUAGGUGACAUAGGAUGGUACUUUUUGAAAGGUUUGGUGGUUGUGAUUGUUGAUGAUGGUGGUCGAUAUGGUGGUUACGACUGAUAAGUGACAUGGUGGUGAAUGGUGAUGGUUGGUGGGUGAUGUGGUGUUGAUUGCUAAGGACGGUGGUGGGUGAUUUGGUGUUGAUUGGUGAUGGCAGUGGCUAUUGAUUCGGUAGUGAUUGGUGUUGAUUAGUGAUGGCGGUGGUUAUUAGUGAUAGCGGUGUUGAUUAGUGAUGAUGGUUGUUGAUAGUUGUUGAUAGUGGUGGUGGUUGACUAGCAUGGUGGCUGAUGGUGGUUAGUGAAAUUAAAUCAUCAUUUUCAAACAAUAUUUCAUAUAUGUUUAUCUAUACGGAGGUAAAAAAAAAUAGUAUCUACUAUAUGACAAAUAUUGUGUCUAAAUUUACCUAAGCUUGUUGAGCUCAAAUCCACACCCUUUGUUUGAAUAAUUAUUAGUCUUAACUUUUCAAAACCUAUUUACAAGGUCAAUAUUUUCAUGUCUUCAUGUCUCUGUAUUGUCGAACAUAUAUCGCGUUUUGUACACUAACCAUAUUGUACUUUUUGUUCACCAAACAUAUGUUACGCCAGUGCUCCAUAAAUAUAUGGUGUCCAAUGUAUUAAACAUAGUUGGUGCUACAAGUCUCUAUGUUGAGCUCAAAAUGACACCCUUUGUUUCAAUAAGUGUUGAAUCUCAAUUUUUAAAAACCUAUUUUUUGAAUCUUAAAUUUUAAAAUCUUAUUUUUAAGAUUAAAAAUAGAUAUCUGUGUGUAUAAAAAGCAUAUAUUUUUAAAUUUAUUAUUAUCACUUGAUAUAAGAAAUUAAAUGUUAUCUUUGGAUCAUUUUACAUUGUUGAGUAAAGAUUUAAUGUCAUUUUAACAUGACCCGCCAUUUGUUGGUGCUUACUCUUUGAAAGGUUUUUUGUAGUCUAGACUCCAGAUUAGUAAACUAGUUAUUAAUUGCCACAGCAACUUUUAAUGCUUCUAUGGAAAUAAAAUAUAAAUCGACAACUAUGCCCUUGACGUAAUUACAAAAGACGGCAAACUAUAAUUUUUUAUGGUUUUAUUAUUUACUAGUUUAUAAACCGUGAAACUAUAAUUUUUUAUAGUUUUAUUAUUUACUAGUUUAUAACCCGUGAGAAUCACGAUUAUAAAAUUAAUUAAACUUUUAAAGUAAAAACUUAAAAUUAUUAAUCAAUUAUUCAAAAUAAUUAUUUUAAAUUAAUUAUUAAUUAAAAGAUAUUUUUUUAAUUAUAUAAAAUUAUAAACGUUGAUUUAAAUAAAUACAUGAAAUUAUAUCACUUUAUAAUAUAUCUUAAUGUUAUUUGAUUUUUUUAUUCUAAUGUUAUUAAGUUAAUGUAAUUAGGGUGUGAAAUUUAAAAUUUAAAAUUUGAAAUGAAGAAUCAGUUAUUAAUUUAAUAUAAUUAGAGUGGAAAAUUUAAAUUUUGAAAUUUGAAAUUGAUAAUUAAUAUAUUGGCAUAUGGCAUGAUAGAUGACAUAUAAUAUUAAUGAUGAUUUCUAAUAUUAUGACACUUAUUAAUAGGAGAAGAAACUUAUUCAUUUAUUAGAACAGGGACUAGUUUAUAACCCAUGAGAAUCACGGUUAUAAAAUUAAUUAAACUUUCGUAGUAAACACUUAAAAUUAUUAAUCAAUUAUUUCAAAUAAAUUAUUUUAAAUAAAUUAUUAAUUAAGAGAUAUUUUUUUAGUUAUAUAAAAUUAUAAUCGUUGAUUUAAUUAAAUACAUGAAAUUAUAACACUUUAUAAUAUAUCUUAAUGUUAUUUUAUUUUUUAUUCUAUUGUUAUUAAUUUAACGUAAAUAAAAUGUGAAAUUUAAAAUUUGAAAUUUGAAAUGAAAAAUCAAUUAUUAAUUUAAUUUAAUUAGAGUGGAAAAUUUAAAAUUUAAAUUUUGAAAUAGAUAAUUAAUAUAUUGGCAUGGGGCAUGAUAGAUGACAUAUAAUAUUAAUAAGUGUUGGGUUGAAGAUUCGUUUGAAGAUUGCGUCAAUGGGCUCGGCUGUUAGUCCAUUUAUUUUGUACUCCGGUUUUGGGCCUGUCCAUACCGUGAGCUUGCUAGGUUUAUUAUAUAAGUAUAUGCUUGCUUGCAUAUUAGGUUAAUGAUUAAUCGAUCUAGAGAAUAACGAUUACGAUAGCAUUACAGAUUUCUUUGAUCGUUCUUGUAAACCUCCAACCCUCUACAGUUGAUGUUCUUGAUCGAGCUCUUCUGAGGGUUAUUUUAUAAUCAUUCGACACGUUUGAUUCAUUCCUUGACUUGUUCUUUACUUUCGUGUUCUUGCUGUUUAAUUAUUAUUUACCUGUUUGAGAUCUAAUCGAUCUUCAAGAUUAAGUUUUAAUCUCUUCAAUUGGUAUCAGAGCAGGAGGCUGUGUAAUCGAUACACUUCUUUUCUGUGAAAAGGUUUCAAUUAGGGUUUUUCCGCAAUUACUGAUAUUUAUUGAGCCGUCAUCUCAUUAUUGACGUAUCUUGAUAUUUAUUGUUUUGCCCUAAUCUGAUUUAUUACAAGUCUGAUCUUUGAACGGGUUUUUCGAUCAUAAUGGACGAGUCGCAAUCAAAUCCCAUCAAUAUUUCCAACAGCAUCGGUUCAACCACGAAGAUUCCAAUCCUAUAUACCCAUGAUUAUGAAGUCUGGGCGCAUCACUUCGAAGACUACGUUAUAGGAUCUGAGGAUAAUGGAUACCUCAUAUGGGAAGCAAUCAUUAAUGGACCUUUUUCUCAUUCUGCAACGUCAAGGAUUAUUAAAACUCAAAAGGAGUAUAAUGAUCUGCUGAAGGAUGUCAAAGAUAUUGCGCAAGAUGAAAAGGAUAAAUUCCAGUGUAAUAUCAAGGCGUUAAGAUUGAUAAGAUUCGCCCUUCAGUCCGACACCUUCAGGUUGGUCAGCUCAUGCACGACGGCAAAGGAAGUUUGGGAUAGACUUCGCGAACUGUACUCUACAGACGAGGAUCUUGAACAUUCUAUCCAAACCUUGCUCUUAUCUGAGUUUGGAGAAUUCAGGCAAGGAGCCGAAGAAACUGUGACCCAGACGUUCGAUCGCUUCAAUCAUCUUCUCAGCAGGAUGAUCAAACAUGACAUCGAAAGGAAGCUUAUCGAGCAGAAGGUUACGUUCUUAAAUGGUCUAAGGUCAGAAUGGAGAGCAGUGGUGUCAACAGUUAAAGCCCAUGAGCAGUUUAAAUCAUACUCUUUGGCGAAACUGGUGGGUAUUCUCAAGUCUCAGGAGAAGAUUGUGCUGCAGGAAAAGAAUGUUGUUUCAAGCCUAGGUUCGCUGGCCCUCCUGUCAAAAAGUAAAGCUGUGAUGGAGGAUGAAGACCUCAACUUGGAGGAGUAUGACCUCACGUCUGAGGAUUAUGCUAUGAUGGUGUCUAACCCCAAGAGGUUCAUUAAGAAGAGAUUCCCCAGCAACAAAAACCGAAACUGGCAGGGGAGUUAUAGUUCAGAAAAGGUUAAUAAUGAACCGAAGGUUGAAGAGCCCAAGAAGGAACCGAAAGCAGAUGGUGAUUCUGGAGUAAGCUGUUACUACUGUGGAGGGAAAAAUCACUAUGCUAAGGAUUGUGUCCUCAAAAAGAUGGCUGAAAAAGAUGAGGAAAAGGAUGAGGAAGCUUUGCUACAGAAAAAGCUUGAUGAGAUGAGGAAGAAGAAAUCUACCGCUAACCCUUCCAUGAAUGCUCUUAUUGUGCAGGGUUCGGUUGCUGAUGACGAGUUCGGUGGAGUGGAAGUUUGGUCAACCGACUCUGAAGACGAUGAAGUGAGGAAGCCUUCUCAUGGAAAGGCUUGUGUGGCAAAGGAGGAGAGCAGUGGAGGAAGGUGCUUCAUGGUGUCCGAUGUAUCUCAGAUGAGGGGAUACAACACUGAUGGUGGAAGCAAUGAACCGAAGGAGCAGCAGGAUAUGUGCUUUACGGCCAAACCGCUCAGCGUGCAGUUCAACGAGCUCGAUGAACUGAUCAAGAAGGUACAAUCGGUUUUCGUUUCAUUUAAAGUACCACAAUCCUCAUAUGAGAAAGAACUAAAAAAUGUUAAUACAAGAAUUUCUCAUCUAGAUAGUAGUUUAACUCAAACUCGAGUCACCAAUUCUAACCUAACUGAUCAAUUAAGCAGGGUGUCUUCGAAGAGUGAGGAGCGGCGCAUGUGGAUCGAGUUGAAGGAGUCUGAAUUAGUUAAAAUAAAAGACGAAAACAUUUAUUUACAAAGAGACAAUUUAAAGUUGUUAAAACAGCGGAAUGUUUUUUGUUUAAUUGCAAAACGUCUUUAUUCUAAUAUUACUCAGCUUCACUUGGACUGUGAAAUAGGCCAAAAGAUCCAUCGCAUGAUUUUGCCCUUCCUUGAGUUUAAGGAGGAUGAAAUCGAUGCUGAAGCUUAUAAUUGUGAGAGUGUGAUAUCAUCUGAUGACAUUAAUCCGACCUACAUGUAUGGACUGGACAAAAUAGAAUCUUUCAUUAAAUCCAAGGACCACAAGGACAUGCUUAAAAACCUUUUGGAUGAAAAUGAUAGACUUAAACUGAGAACCGAAACCAUACAAAAAUUUGACUCUUUAAACGCCAACUUGAGCUCAGAAAACAAAAUUGAUGUUGAAAAUGCAUCUGAGCUUAAUGAGGACGACAACAUGAGUGAAAUUUCUGUAGAGGACACGGUUGACUGCUCAGAAUUUGUAAAAAACGAACCUGAAAACCACAAGAAUCUAAUUUCUGAAAAUUCAGUGGAGUUCGCUCGAUUGUCCCAACAAAAGUCCCCGAUCUUAGCAGAGAAAGCGGUUGUAUAUCAAAAGGUCAGGACCACUCCAAAUCAAGUGUACAAGGUCACUGGAGUAACCGAACAUCAGACCGCUGAACUCACAGCUAUUGUAAACGAAGACAAUGCUGAUGGCUGCGAUGAGUACUUCUGGUCAGCUCCAAUAGAUAAUGCAAACGAAACGGUAGGCUUAUCAGAAAGAACCUCAUGGAUGAGUAAAGGUAGAUACAUACCAGAACCCUUGAAUAAGCCAGAUAAUUUCGAUGAGCCAAGUACUAGUGGUACGAAAGACAUUCCUCAAGAGAAUGGAAGUUCGGCAAAAGAAGACAUUCCCUCUAGUUCCUCAGUUCAAAGUGAAACUCCUACAGUUCAAAGUGAACCAGCCAAGGAGAAACCGAAAAUGAAAGCCAAUAUUCAUCAUCAACCGAAGCAGAUGAGGAAUAAGAAACGUGAAAGGAACCAGAGAUACAGGAAGAAUCUCUCUGAAAGGAAACAAUUCUGGCAAUCCCAAAAUGCAUAUUUCUCACAUCAAGACAAGAAUCUGAAGUUUGAGAACAAUCCUGUCAAAAAGCAUGAAAGCCACAACAACCGAAAGCCAAGGUUCGGUUCAGAAGAGAAUACCAACCGAAAGCAAAGGCUCGGUUCUGAGAAUGACUCCAACCGAAAGCAUAGGUUCGGUUCAGAGAACUGCUCCAACCGAAAGCAAAGGUUCGUUUCUGAAGUCAAAAGAGAUCAAAACUCUAAGGUCAGUCCCACCAAUGAUCAAAAGCAAAAGGGUCACCUAGAGUCUCCAGCCAAGAAGUCAUCUCAAUCUAAGCCCACUCCUUCUCAUUCAUCUAAUUCUUCUAAUUCUUCCAAUUCAUCUCCAUCUUGCUCUAAAGCUCAUUCUGUUCGUUCUCAAAAAUCUCAUUCGUCAGCUGAACAAAAAGGCAAACAGAAGGUUAAUGCAUCCAAUCCAGAGUCUAAACCGAACGCACCUAAUCCUAAUAAAAUAAAAGUCUUUACCAUCAAAAAGAAAGAUGAAACAACACUUAUAAAACGAACAUAUCUUGUUGACAUCUCUCUUACUAUUCCUGUUCCUAUGAAAAGCUCACGUGGACCCAAGAAACUUUGGGUUCCUAAAUCUGCUUAAUUUUUGCAGGUUAUAAGUGACGAGCAGUUCGACGAAGAAUGGUACAUCGAUAGUGGUUGCUCGCGUCACAUGACAGGAAGGAAAGAAGAGCUCAGGGAAUACAGGUCUCUUUCAAACGGUGGCAACGUCAAGUUCGGAAACAACUCUUUCGGCACCAUAAAGGGAUACGGAAUGAUAACUAAUGGUGAUUUUACUAUAAGGAAGGUGGCUUAUGUGGAAGGACUACAACACAACCUCAUCAGUGUAUCUCAGCUUGUUGGAGGUACAGGUCUCAAAGUCUCAUUCGACGAUGAAGGUUCUGAAAUUAUUGAGAAGAAGACGAAGAAAGUAAUUCUCAAAUCGGAGCGUAAGGGUGAAAUGUUUCCUCUAAACCUUAAACCCAUCAAAGGAAACCCAGCUAUAUGCUUGUUAUCAAAAGCUCAAUCUGACGAAAGCUGGUUGUGGCACCGAAGACUCUCUCAUCUCAACUUUAAAGAUAUCAACAAACUUGUCACUGGAGGUCAUGUUCGAGGCCUUCCAUUGCUCAAGUUCGACAGAGAUCAUUUGUGUGCUGCAUGCGAAAUGGGGAAGCAGAGUCGUCAAAGUCAUCCAUCUAUAAUUAACACAAAAGUUGUUGAACCACUCGAAUUACUUCAUAUUGAUUUGUGUGGUCCAUCAUCUAUCGAAAGCAUCGGUGGUAGCAAGUAUAUUCUUGUUAUUGUUGAUGACUUUUCACGAUUUACAUGGGUGUUCUUUCUAAAGCUCAAAUCUGAAGCGACUCAUAAGCUGAAAGUGUUCAUCAAGCAGAUUGAAGUACAGCUCAAGAAGGUCGUUCGCAACAUCAGAAGCGACAAUGGUCUGGAAUUCAAGAACAGGGAAUUUGAAGAAUUUCUAGCAGAAAAGGGAAUAAGUCACAACUUCUCAGCUCCCUACACACCUCAACAGAACGGAAUUGUCGAAAGACGAAACCGAUCUUUGUGUGAAGCUGCCCGAACUAUGCUAAGUUUCGCUUCCUUACCUCUUUAUUUUUGGGCUGAUGCAAUUUCUGCUGCUUGUUUUACACAGAACAGGUCUUAUCUCAACAAACGAUUCACGCUCACACCAUACGAGAUUCUCAACAACAGAAAGCCCAAUGUGAAAUUUUUCCAUGUGUUCGGCUCACGGUGUUUCAUCUUUAACUCUAAAGAACACCGCAACAAGUUCGAUGUCAAAGCCGACGAGGGAAUCUUUCUGGGUUACUCUCUCACUUCCAAAGCAUACAGAGUCCUAAACAAGCGUUCGAGAAAAAUCGAAGAGACCUAUUACGUGACUUUUGACGAUAGCUAUGUCAAAAAGCUACAGGCCAAAGAAGACACAGCUGGGGAAAUCUUUCCUCAAACUGGCCAAGUCACAGUCUCGAUCGCUAAUCUAUACGAGAAGUUUCUGGAGCUAUUUGACGAACCAGAGAAAGCUACUCUCUCAGAAGCAGGUGCAGCAGACAACAAGGUAGACCACAUGAAGCAAAUUGUCGAAGAAGCUGCCAGGAGAAUGAAUGAAGGAGGAUCGAAUUCUGAUGAACCUCCAUCCAACGAUGCUUCAGUCGAGGGGGAGCCAAGCUCACAUGUUGAGGGGGAGCCAAGCUCUACAACUGCUACCGAAAGUCCAACUGCAACCGAAAGUGCUUCUCCAACCGAAGGUGCAUCAACGCCUGAAAGUCCAGCACCACAAGAAACCUCUGAACCUCAAGUUUCUCAUAGCUCAUCAAUCGAGGGGGAGCAUGGUGAUAUGUCGCUUGACUACGAAAGCCAAUCCGAGCCAGAAGAAAUGAUCAAUGCUGAACUAGACCCAACCUUUGAUCCAAAUUAUCCUCCUCUUACCAAAUGGACCAGAGAUCAUCCUAUCUCUCAAGUGGUUGGUGAUGUCUCUGAAAAGGUUCUGACCCGAUCACAACUGAAGGCAAAACAGACAUCCUUAUUUUCAAAGGUUGAGUUUUGUAUGUUUAACUCAUUCGUAUCAAAAGUUGAACCGAAGACAGUUAACACUGCUCUCGAUCACUCCGAUUGGGUUCAAGCAAUGCAAGACGAACUGAACGAAUUUGAAAGGAACAAAGUCUGGCGCCUCAUUCCAACUCCUCCAGAUGCCUCGGUUGUUGGUCUCAAAUGGGUCUUUAGGAAUAAAAUGGACAAGGAAGGGAAUGUUAUAAGGAACAAAGCUCGUCUGGUAGUAAAGGGAUAUUGUCAGGAGGAAGGGAUUGAUUAUGAAGAGACUUUCGCUCCUGUAGCUAGGCUGGAAUCUGUAAGAAUAUUUCUUGCUUAUGCUGCCCACAAAAACUUUGAAGUUUUCCAAAUGGACGUCAAGUGUGCAUUUCUUAAUGGAGAACUCGAAGAAACCGUGUAUGUGGAGCAACCUCCUGGGUUCGUGAACGAAAAAUAUCCAAAUCAUUGCUACAUUCUGGAUAAAGCUGUGUAUGGCCUCAAACAAGCUCCGAGAGCCUGGUAUGAAACGCUAACUAAAUUCUUAAAGAUGUCUAAAUUCAAACAAGGUUCGGUUGACCCAACCUUCUUUCGCAAAAAGGAAGGUAACCACCUUAUGAUAGUUCAAAUUUAUGUCGAUGACAUCAUCUUUGGCUCUACGAAUCCCAGCCUAACAGCUGAAUUCAGAAAGCUGAUGGAGACUAAAUUUGAAAUGAGCUCAAUGGGUCCUAUUAACUUUUUCCUUGGUUUAAAUAUUAGACAGGGACCCGAAGGCAUCUUUAUCAAUCAGGAAGCUUACACGAAGACUCUCCUAGCAAAGUUUGGUAUGAUGGGAGACUCCAAAGUCAAAGUCCCAAUGGCAUUCGGCACCAAGCUAACUCCAUCCCUAGACAAACCGGCUGUUGAUAUCACGCUCUAUCGUCAAAUGAUAGGCUCACUAAUGUAUCUUACUGCUAGCAGGCCUGACAUCAUGUUUUCUGUGUGUUAUUGUGCUCGAUUUCAGGCAAACCCACGCGAACCUCACAUGCUUGCAGUGAAGAACAUUUUACGCUAUCUCAAGCGAACCACCUCCUUAGGUCUAUGGUAUCCUUCCAACUCAGGCUUCUUCGUUCAAGCCUAUUCAGAUGCAGACCUUGGAGGAUGUGGACUCGACAGAAAAAGCACCACUGGCGGCUGUCAAUUCCUUGACGGGAAGUUGGUUAGCUGGCAAUCCAAGAAACAAACGUGCGUGUCGUUGUCUACUGCCGAAGCGGAAUACAUAGCCGCUGCAUCCUGCACCUCACAAGUGAUUUGGAUCCAGAGUCAACUUCGAGACUAUGGACUCAAUAUGAAGAAGAUCCCACUAUAUUGUGACUCUGAAAGUGCAAUUAGGAUCUGUCAUAACCCAGUGCAACACUCUAAAACCAAACACAUAGCACUGAGGUAUCACUUCAUCAAAGAUCACGUGGAAGAUGGAAACGUCGAAGUACACUUUGUAAGAACCACUGAUCAACUGGCUGACGUCUUUACCAAAGCUCUUCCUGAAGCAUCAUUCAACAGAAUAUUGCAAGGGCUAGGUAUGAUGGAAUCAGAGUCAGUACCUCAAACUACCUCUCAACCUCAAACGUAAGAAGCGAAAUUGACCGAACGUUCAGGUUCGGUUAAAUCAUCUGACUCGCUCAUCACCACAAAGGUAGUUUUCUUGGUUGUAUAUUUCUUGUACAAAGUUGUUUAUCUUAUUGUUAAAAGUAUUUUCUGAUUGCAUGUCUAAAUUCCUUGGUUUUUUAAAAUUUUCCAAAACCGAAACCUACCGAAGGUUCGGGUUCGGUUUCUCAAAAUUUUCCAAAACCGAAACCUACCGAAGGUUCGGGUUCGGUUUUUCAAAAUUUUCUUGAACCGAAACCAACCGAACGCUCGGGUUCGGUUUUUCAAAAUUUUCUUGAACCGAAACCAACCGAACGCUCGGGUUCGGUUUUUCAAAUUUUUCCCAACCGAAACCAACCGAACGUUCGGGUUCGGUUACCAAAUUUUUCAAAAGUUUUUUUUACUCUUUCUAAGUCUAUUUUUUUCUUGCUUAUUUUUUUUUUAUCUUUUAAAUUUUUUUCUUUUUAAUUUUUUUUUUUAUCUAUUUCAAAAACUCCAAAAAUAUUUUUCUCUUUUUAUUUUUUUUGUGUUCGUUCGUUUAUGGGGAUAUAAUUGUUGGAUUACUUAAGUGUCCCUAGAAGCAUGCUGCUGUAUGUGUCCCAAGCCUCAUAAGAUUUUGAAUAAUAGCCUUAAUGACCUGGUAUAAACAAACCUUGUCUUCCCAAUUAGGCUACCACAUUUAUUCUAAUCGUGAGCUACCUCACUCUCUUCUCACAUGAGAUAAGAGUUUUCUGCUUGGUCCUUAUUUUCGCAGCAGAGGUACUUUAAUUUCUUACACCAUCUCCAUUACAUUUCUCCAUUACAUUCGUUUCAUCAACGUAACCCUUGAGACUCUCAGAAAUUACCACUGAGGUUUAUGGUUACACAACAUCUGUGUUUAUGAUCUUAGUUUCGUGCCACUACGAGCUGAGUGAAACCCAAAAUUCAACACCAAAUCUGAAUUGACGGUGAACAAUUAAUUUGCUCAAGUUUUCACCAAAGAAUUGACGGAUGUACCUUCAUGAAAUCUCAAAUUUUUUUUUGUGUGAUUCCUAUGAAAUUGUUAAACACCAUAACAUUUCUUCCCUUGGGAUCCAGUUUUAAUUUUUUUUUUGAGAUUUUAUAUUUUCCAAGCUACUUAAAAUUAAUUCCUACCUACUUGUUCAACAGACUACACCGGUCUCACAAGUACUUUGUUCACUUUCUUUCUUAUUUCAUGAUUAGAAUUGCUGAAUCAAAGCGAAAGCCACCCUUACUUAGCCUAAUUAAAAGAAGCCUUUCAACAUUUAUUAAUAAGUGUUUGAUCGUAAUUCAACGGGAAUCCACAUUAACACUUUAAGGUCUCUCUUGACCUUGAAGGAAGAGAUUCGUGCCCGGGAUCAUUUGUUUCGUGUCAUUAUUGACAUCACAUUUAUUCCUAAAAAGAGUUGCUUUAUUUCUUUUUUUUUUACACUCUUAGCACGAAAAUCUUUGAUUUUCCAAAAUUCCGUUACUAAUUAUUACAGGCUGUAUUAUUACUUUGGUGGUUAAUUAUCAAGCUGUGGUCAAAAAGCAUCCACGUGGGCAAUUAAUUCAAAAGACGCCAUUUAAAAGAUAAGACGAAAGGUUGCUGACUUAGGCGGGAAUUAAAAGGAUUGAAUUUCAAACGACGGUAAAAAGGGAGCGCAUGUGAAUUUGAAACGCCCACUCUUUUACUGACAUAAUGGACGCGUGUGCGAAUUUCAAGCGAUUCCUCUCUGGCACUUAAAGGCGCGUGAGGAUUUGAAACGGUUUGUUCUGAAACGGCGCUUGUUGGGCGGCGUGUUCCUAGGAAUCUGACACUCUCUCUCCUACGUGAUCAUCGCAUGCCUUAACUGUCACGCAUCUGUCAUUCCGGGAAACCUUUUCGUAUUUCCAUAGAAGAUUUGAACAGAUUUUUCUCUCUCCUUACAAUCACUAUAAAAGGCAGUCUCCACUCCCAUUUACCUCUUUACUGCAUCCGGAUUUCCAAGAGAGCAAAAAUUUCCCUAAAGCUUUCCUGUUCAUCUUCUUCUUCCUACCUUCAACAAUGGCAGAAUCAUCAUCCGUCCAUGCCACCUCACACAUCCUUCCCAUUCGUCCUCAACAGUGCUUGGUGAUUGACCUAACACCUCAGGCGUAUGAUUCUUACAUGUUUCCGAUCAUCGAGUGCCUGAAGUACUCGCAAAUCGCUCCUGCACUAUCUCGGGUUGAGUCUGUGCCCAUGGUGCUUCUAUCGCAGGUGUAUGCGACUGCUCAUUACGAUAAAGCAGUCGACAGGGUGUUCUUCGAGGUGUCUGAUCACAAUACCUCGAUUUCAAGGCAACGGUGUAGUACACUGCUAGGGUUUGCUGCUGACCCUUCAAGAAUCAAUCCGGAGACGAUUCCGGUUGGGCAUCUGUACAGCAUGUUCUAUAAUAUGGGGUACACGGAGGUGCUCACCUCCGUUGCGAAGUUCAAGAAAUCCUGCUUGCCGCCACAGUGGAACGGCAUGUUUACAGUCCUCUUCAAGGGCUUAUCUGAAAGGAGCUCAGGAUCCGAUGGUUCAAGUCGACUGUUCCUGUCGAUUAUGUAUGCAAUUUACAACGGAGUCAACCUAGACUUUGGGUUGGUCCUCUGGCAACAGCUCAUCCAGAGCCUUUCUUCUUCAUCACGACAUUCUGAGGUGUCGUUUGCCCGGUUCUGGAUUCUUAUCACCAAAUGGGCGAUGGAUAAGUUGGAUAUUCCCACUGCUGCUGGUGCAUCGAUGUCUUCGGUCGGUACUUUUCAUACCACGAAGAUCAUCGUCUCUGAUGCAUCCAAGUUUUCUUUCAUUGGCUCUAUUCCGGAGACAAUGUACGGCGAUGUUCCUUCUGACAGCAGGAUCAUCCGGACGAUUAAGGAGUUCAAACCGACUGGACCUAGGCAACUUACACCGGAAAUGCUAAAGUCCAUCCAUGAUGCUGACAAACCGGUUAACAGGGGCAAAAAGGCGGAAAAAGGGAAGCAAGUGACCAAAGCUCCUAAAGGUCCUUCUCCNNNNNNNNNNNNNNNNNNNNNNNNNNNNNNNNNNNNNNNNNNNNNNNNNNNNNNNNNNNNNNNNNNNNNNNNNNNNNNNNNNNNNNNNNNNNNNNNNNNNNNNNNNNNNNNNNNNNNNNNNNNNNNNNNNNNNNNNNNNNNNNNNNNNNNNNNNNNNNNNNNNNNNNNNNNNNNNNNNNNNNNNNNNNNNNNNNNNNNNNNNNNNNNNNNNNNNNNNNNNNNNNNNNNNNNNNNNNNNNNNNNNNNNNNNNNNNNNNNNNNNNNNNNNNNNNNNNNNNNNNNNNNNNNNNNNNNNNNNNNNNNNNNNNNNNNNNNNNNNNNNNNNNNNNNNNNNNNNNNNNNNNNNNNNNNNNNNNNNNNNNNNNNNNNNNNNNNNNNNNNNNNNNNNNNNNNNNNNNNNNNNNNNNNNNNNNNNNNNNNNNNNNNNNNNNNNNNNNNNNNNNNNNNNNNNNNNNNNNNNNNNNNNNNNNNNNNNNNNNNNNNNNNNNNNNNNNNNNNNNNNNNNNNNNNNNNNNNNNNNNCAGUCCUCUCUCUCUGAAGCCGCUCUUCAGAAGAUUGUUGAUGCCUUCUCCAGGGCUCAGCAUGAUUCUGUAGCUUCAGCCACAGCCGCCAUAGACGCCUCCACAAAAGCCUGUGAGGCUGCGACCGCAAAAGUCGAUAAACUAUUCUCAGACGCCUCUUCCCUGUUGAAGUCCUUACAGGAGAGCGCUGAUGCCACCAAGACAACUUUGGAACCAAUCGUUCAGCAAUUGGCAAAGUUCGUCUCAACGGAGUUACAGUCAUUCGCUAACCUUCGCCAAUCCAUUAGCGAUGACAACUCGGCCCUUCGUGCCUCCAUUGAUGAGCGCCUCGCUAAGCUUCAAGAGGAUCUCGCAGCUGAAAACUCAUUAAUGGACGUUCUGGCAAGCAAAACCACCGCCCUCAAGGUCAAGAGCACUCAGCUUUCAAACUCACAACAACAGCUUGAAGCUCUUCGAUCCGAAAGGGAGGUCAUAAAAACAUGUGUUUCGGAUGUACACGCUGCCCUAUCUAACAUCCUAGAAGCACACGAUCCGAUUCUCAAUCAUUCGGUGAGGCGAACCCUUGCUGAAAAACUUGCUCCUGCCAUGGACCUUCUCAGCAAAAUUGAAGGCUUACCUAGUUUCGUGUCCGAUCCGAAACAAGGGGGAGAAGUGAAGUCCGGAUCGAAACCACCUCCUUCCUCCAAAGCUACUCACACAACCGAACCACCUCCGACUGGUCAAGCUUCGGGUUCGGGUGUGAAGGAUAAAGGGAAAAACAUAGCUGAGGAAGAAGAUGAAGAUGAAGAUGAUGAAACCAUUGCGGACAUGUUGAAACGUAAAAACAGUCGCAAUGUUGAUGAUGAUGUCAAUCGUGUGGCGCGAGAGGCUGAAGAAGCCGAACGCAAGAAGAAAGAAGCCCACGAUCUCCUUGAGAGCAGGAAGACUCUCUUCCCUGCCUGGACUCGGGAGCGAAUGAUUAAGGAGGCCAUAGAUACUCCUAGCAUCCUAUGGCUCGAGCCGGUGAUCUCCUUCGACUGCUAUAAUUCUGUCGAUUCGCAGUUCGACAUGCCGUUGACUCGAAAGGCGUUUAUCUUCCACGCCUUCUCCAAUAUUUUUGAAGUCCCUCAUCCGAACCCUGAGGUUGAUAGGGAGUUGAUCGAAUUCUAUCUGAAGGCUGCUCGUCCUCAAUAUCAAACAUGGAGCGCCCAAAAGAUAGUGAACGUUCGGGUCUUGAAGCCUUAUACCGAAGGAAGGUUCAUCAACGUUCGGUUCAAGGUGAUUCGAGGGUCUGCAAGAACUGAACAUCCUAUAUCCCUGGCAGAUCUACCGAAUCUAAAUCCUCAUGAUUGGAUUGUCUUGCAUAAUAUCCUUUUGACUGAUGAAGCCGAAUAUGGUCCAAUUAUAGACCAUCUCAAAAGGAUGUUAGUCUGUUACAUCAUGGAGGUUGCCCUAAUGGAUCAGGAGGUUGCCACAGUCUUCAAGAAGAAACCGAAGAUAGCUCCUGUGGGAUCGGCCAGUGAUCUCAAUCAAAUGCAAACGGGCAAGAUCGACCCGAGACGCAAUUCGGUUAUGUUCACUAGAGCAGAAGGACAAAAAUGUCUCUUUGCUUUAGCUGACAAACAUCUUUACACCACUGCUUGUCUAGAGCACGUGUUAUCGAUCAUCCGAAGGUGUAAAGAGAAUGCAGCGGAUGAUGUCAAGUACUUCAACGACAUGAUCCAAUGGUACAUCAGGUUUAGACAGACGAUACUUGCUCUCAUCUCGCGUCUGUUUAAUACUGUGAAGAAGAAGGUACCUGCCUUGGCUGCUGGCCCAAGUAACAAGUGAAGAUCUCGCUCCAAUUGACGCAAAGGGGGAGAUUGUUGGGUUGAAGAUUCGUUUGAAGAUUGCGUCAAUGGGCUCGGCUGUUAGUCCAUUUAUUUUGUACUCCGGUUUUGGGCCUGUCCAUACCGUGAGCUUGCUAGGUUUAUUAUAUAAGUAUAUGCUUGCAUGCAUAUUAGGUUAAUGAUUAAUCGAUCUAGAGAAUAACGAUUACGAUAGCAUUACAGAUUUCUUUGAUCGUUCUUGUAAACCUCCAACCCUCUACAGUUGAUGUUCUUGAUCGAGCUCUUCUGAGGGUUAUUUUAUAAUCAUUCGACACGUUUGAUUCAUUCCUUGACUUGUUCUUUACUUUCUUGUUCUUGCUGUUUAAUUAUUAUUUACCUGUUUGAGAUCUAAUCGAUCUUCAAGAUUAAGUUUUAAUCUCUUCAAUAACGAUUUCUAAUAUUGUGAUAUUUGUCAAUAGGAGAAGAAAUUUAUUCAUUUAUUAGAAUAGAAAUUGUAAAUCUUCAAUUACUGUUUAGAUCUAUCAUCCUUGGUUCCCCACCAGUUGCUUCAUUGUUUUUGGGCAAAAUAAUUUAUUUUUUCUGGUCAUCAUUUAAUUUCCGGCCACAAUUACUGUUUUCUCAGCUACUAAGAGUGCGUUUGGUUGCUGAAUUUUUUUUAGUUUUUCAUGAAAAUUUUCAAAUGAACAAGAAAAUUUAGAAAAUGCAUUUGGUUGAUUGAGUUUUCAAAUUUUUUCCAAAAAAAAAAAUCUUGUUUUCUAAAUUGUAUGUAAAUUAGAUAAAUUAUUUUUAUAGUUUUCAAAAGUUUUCUAAAUUUCUAAGGUGAAAAAUGGAAACUCUACGGAUUCCAACCAAACACAUUUUAUACAUUUUUCAUUGAAAAUUGAAAUGCAAACUCAAUUGUAUUUUCUGACAAUAUUUUCUUGGAAAAUAAAAACAAUUUUCUACAACCAAACCACACUAAAUUUCCCCAAUGCUACAGCUUAUUCAUAAAAUAGAGAAAACGAUAAUUCAAUCAUGGGCCAACCAACGUUAGAAUUAUAGCAAAACCCUCCAUACCUAACAAGGCACCACCUUCUUUGUCCUAGUUGUCUCUUUCAUUGCUGAAAGAAAAAACAGAUCAUGCACUCACAUAGGCACUUAUCCUAUUUAUCACAAGCAACCUUGCCAGAGAUGAUGACCAGAACCAAUAAACUAUGUCACCCUUCUCAUCACUUAUAUCUAUCUCUUCCUCAUCGAGUUGAUAGACACCACACACAAGCUCGAUCCUCCCUAAGAAAAGAUGGCUACCAAGGUAGGAACUUUAUCUCUCUUGCAACGCCUAAAAACCUAGAGAUACUAAAAACAAACUCUGUUUCGCAUAGAACCACAUGUUAUUUAAAAAAGCUUCGAAUUUCAGACAAACCAGAGAAACCUACGGCCGUUUCGCCGGAGAGAAUCAUAUCGUUGAAAAGGGUACCGAUGGCAGGAAACCCCAUGCUCAGAAUUUGUUUCUAUAAAAGAUAAAUAUAUUAAAGUUAUAAAAAUACGAUGCUAUAUUUUGUGUUUAAUGACGAAAGUUUACAAAUUCCAACUUUGCAUAAAACUUUACAGCACUUGGAUAAGAACGAUUUUGUGUUUAAUGAAAAUUAGAUCAAGAUCAUUGUUUAUUUUAAUAUUGCUGUCACAUUUAAUAUAUAAUGUUGUCCCAUUUGAUAUAUCUUCCUGGUUGAUUAGUUUUGGUUGGAAUGCAAAUAGCAAUAGGCCUAAACACAAUAAGGAAUGCUUGGAAAGGAACCACAAUGAGUAGGAAAGGAAUGGGGUGGGGAAAUGAAUGGAUGGAAAGCAAUCAAGAAUAAUCGGAAAAGAAUGUGGAAGGGAUACUGAGUAUGGUUCUAUAAGUGAUAUCUAAUACGGUGUGAUUAUAAAGUAUGGCUAAAUAGUCGUACUCUAUUAGAUAAUGUAAUAUAAUACACUUGUAAUGUCCAGGUUUUCAACCCAAAAUUUUCAUUUUUAUUUAUUCAAAAUAUUCAUUCACAUCAGAUUAUUUAUUACAUUAUGCGGAAAUAUGAUUGCGAAUGCGCAUAUGUAUAGUCGAACCUUACCUUUUUAUGAACCAAUGAAGCUCCUAAAAAACAUUGAUAAACAAAGUGAGUUCCCCAAUAUAUCAUAUACCACAAUACUUAUACAUGCAUACAACUAAUGGCUCCCAUAUUUUAAUCGUUCUACCAUAAAUCUACGUGGGUUUAUAGGCUCCCGUACUUUAUAUGUUCUACCAUCAACCCUAACUACACAUACGCCAGUCCAUAGGCUUUCGAACUUUAUUCUUUCCACCAUCAACUCUCACAAACUUUUAUGAAUACCAACAAUUAUGCAAAUAGAUACGACGCAUUCGGUUCUAUAGGCACAUAUAAAUUGCAUUAUGGGCUCUACUUUAUUGGCCCCUAUAUNNNNNNNNNNNNNNNNNNNNNNNNNNNNNNNAUAUAUGUCAAAACAUACCUAGUAAAGAUCUCCUUAUCACCUGGCUCCAUCGAAAAUGCAAGAACUAUCCAGUUAACUUCAAGAACUUCUUGACAAACGUUUUAUCCAACCAAGGUUUGUCAAAAAGAAGGAUGGAUCAUUCAGGAUGUGCAUCGACUGUCGAGAGUUGAAUAAACUCAUCAUCAAGAACCGAUAUCCACUCCCGAUGAUCGAUGACUUGUUUGACCAACUACAAGGAUCCUGCUACUACUCCAAGAUCAAUCUAAGAUUCGGUUAUCAUCAACUCAGAGUUCAAGAAGCAGAUAUUCCAAAGACGGCAUUUCAGACUUGAUAUAAUCAAUACAAGUUUCUACUUAUGCCAUUUGGACUGACGAACGCACCAGUCGUAUUCAUGGAAGUUAUGAAUCGGGUGUGUAAACCAUACUUGGAUAAAUUUGUGAUUGUUUUCAUCAAUGAAAUAUUGAUAUAUUCAUGAACCAAGGAAGCACAUGACCAACAUUUGUAUUUAAUCCUGGAACUAUUAAGAAAACAUAAAAUUUAUGAAAAGUUUUGUAAAUGUGGGUUCUAGAUUAACAAAGUGCAUUUCCUCAUCCACAUGGUCAGUAGUAAAGGGAUUCAUGUCGAUCCCACAAAGAUCAAAGUGGUUAAGGAUUGGAAGGCACAAAAGACACCAACCAAAGUACUCUAAUUCUUAGGGUUAGCAGGAUAAUAUUGGAGAUUCAUUGAGAACUUGUCCAAAAUAGCCAAGCCUGUCACUGCACUAACUCAAAAGGGCAAAAAGUUCGAUUAAGGAGACAGCCAAGAGUCUGCCUUCCAGAAAUUGAAACAAUUGUUGUGCAGUGCACCAAUUUUGUCUCUUCCGAAUGGAACAUAAGACUUUUUAGUAUUCUGCGACGCCUUGCACCAAGGGUUAAGAUGCAUUAUAAUGCAAAGAAAUAAGAUCAUUGCAUACACAUCUCGACAACUUAAACCAAACAAGACAAACUACAUUACUUGUGACUUAGAGUUGGGAAUUGUAGUGUUUGCUUUAAAGAUUUGGAGGCACUACAUGUAUGGAAAACAGUGUGUCAUAUUCACUGACCACAGAAGCCUUUAACUAAUAUUUGAUCACAAGGAGCUAAACAUGAGACAACGAAGAUGGGUCAAAUUUAUAAAUAAUUACGAAUCGAAAAUUCAGUAUCAUCCUGGCAAAGCAAAUGUCAUGACAAAUUCUUUAAGCAGGAAAGAGUGAGCAAAGCCACUUCAUGUAAAAUCUCUAACCCUAACCAUCCAUUCCAAUACCACCACUGAAAUUCAUGGUGCUCAGCUAGAAGCACUUAAAUCCAAGAAUAUCAUGGAGGAAAAUCAACGAGGUAUAGAAAAACUGUUCGACCUCAUGGAAGAUGGAACAUGAUAUUUCAUGAACCGAAUUUGGACCCCAAAGUUUAGUGAAGUCAGGAGUUCAGUUUUGAACGACGCCUAUAAAUCAACAUAUAUUCAAUACAUCCUGGAUCAGAUAAGAUGUAUCUAAUGGGUUUUAGCAUAAACAUACAGUCCUAUGUGUGCAUGAAACCCUAACUUCAUCUAUAUAUUCUCCAAUUGAGCAUACUGCAUAAACUAGAACAUGCAACUCCUAGAUCUCUAGACCAUAAUCGAAAAUCAUGGAUAAGGGUUAAGAAAAAUACCUUUGAUUGUUGUGUAGUAACAUCAAUGUAAAACCUAGUAGAUCUUGGAGCUUCAGUACAAGUAUCAUAAGUGUAAUACCUCUAAUGAAUCACAAAGACACAAACACACUUAGAAAGAAGGCGAUAUAUGAGAGGGAUGAGGAAGCUAUAAAAUUCGACUUUAACUCUUCUAGGGUUUCUAUUGGCCGAUUUUCAUCAAGGGUAUAGUUCCUUUUAUACUGAGGUCGCUAAGAGCUAAAUCUAGGGUUAGGAUUAAGAAACCCUAAUUACUUUGCUUAAGGACCAAGCAAGCCUAAUCCUAUCCAUCCAAAGCACUUGGAUGAAAAGUCUAGGGCUUCUCUAGAAGAUUUUCAUCCAAGCCUCUUAAGGAGGGUUCUAGAGCUUCUUUCCUCAACUAUCAUAAAUUACCAAACAACCCCUAUACUUUUAAUUAAUUCAAUUAAUCCCAAAACUAAUUCCAUUUACUUUCUAGUUAACUAUUAUUUAAAUAAGAUGAUUUCUAAUUAAUAUAUUAUUUACAUAAUACAUUAGUAAAUCAUUCAUUUCAAUUAAUUAAUCAAAUUAAUAAGUUCUUCCUGUUUCUUAAUAAAUCAUAUUGUUUAGUUGCUAAUAUGAAGGCAACCUAAAGGACUGUGCUACUAUCAGUUCAAGUAUAUACCAAUUAUAGUUAUGGGCUUAGACAGCUAAUCCAACAGUCUCCCACUUGGAUGAGUUUAAUAGCUAUAGUUUUCAAUAUAAGUUCAAAACUAAUUAGCAAAUUGUAGCUCUCAAAGUCGAUGUUGAACUUUGACCUAGUCAGUUAUGUAUCCUAAGAUAAGUGAUCAUAUAAUCCUCCGUUCUGCAAGAUAUCAUGUGGACAAACAACAUUUAACUAAGUCAAUAUCAUUUUCCAAUCCUUUGUUUCCUGAUUUCGAUUUCAAAUGACAAAUAACUACUAAUCGAACACAUCAAUUUAGUCCUGGUCGGGCCCGACACUAUAAGUCAACAUCAAAUCAUCGAGGGGUAUCUCUUUUUCCGUUAGGGUAAAAGGAAUAGAUAAACUUGAACUUAUAUGCUUGCACUGUUUACUAUUCAAAUCAUGUACAACAACACGUUUUAUAACAUCAAUUUACUGAUGCGUUUACGUAAACCAACUCGUAAACAACAACUCACAAAUCUCCGUUUAAAGAUUAUACAAUAUUAUCGUCUCAGAAUUAUUCGUGAUAAAUUCCAUGAAGUUAUUCCAAAUUCUGAUUCCUAUUUCCUACGCCGUGGAGAAUCCAUUUCCAAGACAUAGAAAAUCAAAAAAAAAAUCGUGCACGCGAAGAUUCCAACACUUAUCGGUGUGACGACUUUGGCAGCCUAUAUAUGUGACUUUUACUUCGUUUUGAUGUAUAGAAACCCUCUAUGGGUCGAAUUUGAAGCUAGAGAUUCAAAUGGAGAAAGGAAUUAAAGAUUCAAUCUAUAUUCGCAUCAAGAUUUCACUUCGGUUUUGCUUAAUGAUUGUGUAUCACAACCUUUUAGCGAUGUAUUUUUUCUUUUGUUUACUGAAUAUGGUGUAAAAACCUUUACUUUUACUAUAUCUUGAUGAACCAUCGUUAAUAUGUUUUGAUUACGUUAAAAGGAUUAAUUGAGUUUGGUUUUUACUUGUGUUCACUUGAUCGCUUUACCUUUCAUGUGAAAGUUGUGAUUUUUAUUGCCUAUUGCUGAGUAUUAUUAGGAUUAGAUGAUCAUUCGAUCUUGAUAUAGUUGAAUCAUAUGAAUCUAUGAUUAUUAGGUUUGUAUGACUGAGACUUUAAUCAUAAGCCUAGGGUUAGGUAAUAUUAAUCGGUGACAUUGAUUGUGUUAGAGAGUAUUAGAUAUCCCUGCUCGAUAGAUUGUCAUGACCAUUGACAUGAAAUCACUAGAUCAUAUCGUUUGUAGUUCAAAUAUAUUUAAUUAAUUAUAUAUUCACUGAUUGCAUAAUCAUUAUGUUAGUUGUUCAUUAAUUAUUAGUACAAUGACAUCCAACCUAGAUAACUAGUCAUAUUACAAUUCAGUAAUCAACUCAUUAGUCCAAUGCACUUAUAUUGAAUCAAACAUAGAAACUUGGGGUUGGUCUCUCUCAGUACACUUUCUGUUAAACUCAAUAAAAUAGCAUUAUGCACUCUCGCCAGAAUAUCUACCUUCCUUUCAGCCAUCGUGUCUUUCGGCAGUUUCGCUUCUCCUUCCAGUGCCGCUACACAUCCUCGUUGAGCCAGAAGAGCCUUCAUCUUAACCUUAAACAAAGUGAAAUCAUUUAAACCACUGAACUUCUCCAAAUCAAAUUUGUAAAUAGACAUCUUCAAUCACAGUAACACAAACCACAACACUGAUACCACUUGGUAGGAAAUCAGAUGAUAGUUGUCAAGAAUCAAAACAGAUCUGAUGACAUUUGCUAAGCUCUGAUGACCCUUGUUAGGAAGUAAUGUGAAUAACACACUAAACUAAAAGCACACAAAGACAAAAUAUUUACCAGUUUUGGUCAAGGUGACCUACGUCCAUGGGCAGGAGGGGAAUAUUAUUUAUUCAUAGAGUUCUCAAACAGAGAUUACAAGUACAACACAUUGGAGACUCAAACUACUCACCAAGGAUAAGAAAAGACACAAAUAGAAGACUAUCAUGCACCCCUAUCUAAGGUGAAGGGAUCAGUCCUAAAACCCAAAUGGUCUAAGGCCAUUGGCCAAUAGGUCCAUGAAUGGUGUCAACCAAUCAUAAUCUAUAAUGCAGCAGCUCUUGGAAUCUUCAACCUCAUUAUCAUUAUCCAUGAGCAUCAUCGAUGAGCAUGUCCAUGAGCAUCGUCGAUGAGCAUCUUCCAUGGGCAUCAACAAUGAGCAUCUUCAAUGUGAUUGUCCUAAAUUCUCUAGUUACAUUUAACUUUUAUUUAAUGAUCAAAGUUUUUAACAUGGUUUUUUGGUCAUAAAAGUUGUAUUAAAAAACAAAGUGUUGUUUUUUAUAUAAAUAUGUGUAUGAUGUGUAUAAAAUAGCCAUUGACCAUUUGUGAUAAUGUUUUUGUUCAUUUGUUAAAAUGGUUGUAUUAUUUAGUUAUUUAUAUGGUACGUAAUAGUUAAAUAGAUAGUUUUCAUCUUGUUAUUUUUGUAUGUAAUAGAUUAUUUUUAGAAUAGUUUAUUAAAAAAUUAACAAAAAUGAAGAUGGUCGCCACUUUGAAGAUCGAAUGUUCACGUACUUGAUUUUGUUAAAGUGUUAUAAACUUUAUAAAAAUCAUUUCAUGAACUUUCUACAGGGUGUUCAAGCAAGUGGGAGCAUGAAGAUGUCAUUGAAGUUUUUGGUCCCUAUAUGUCCGUAAGGAAUGAACUUGACAUUUUUGUGAUGACUCACAAUGUGUCACUAGUUUAUGGUUGGUUUAUGCAAAUAUGCUUUUAUGCUUUGUGAUGCUUUUUUUGAUGUUAAUAUUAUGCAUGUUUGUAAAAUAAUAUUUUAAAUUCUACAUAAUAUUUUUAACAUAAAAUGUUCACAUAGAGUUUGGUUUUAAUGAAAUUUGUCUUUUAAUAAUGGUAAAAAAGUUUUAAAAUAAAAAUGAAUUUUAUCAUCUAAAACUAGCUGCAAAUUUCGAUGAUUAAAACUUUAUAAGUUUAGAAUUGGGAUUUUAGAGAAUUAUCAAGUUCCAAACCUUAAAUAAUAAAUUAAAUUUUAUUAAAAGGUUAAUAGAUAUUCUUAGCACUCAAACUUCAAACCUUAAUACUAGAUGUUAGAUUUAUAAUUGUUCGCAUCAAUUAUAUAAAAUUGUAUUUUAUAAAAGAACAUUGCUAUAAACAGUGAGUUUAAUUAAAGGUUACCAUGGCUUAUUAGAUUCAUGCAAUAACCAUGAUAACAUAUGUUUUUAAAACUAUAAUUAUAAAGCAUAUAAAGUCCUUUUAUAUAUAUGCAAAUCUAUGUUAUCCACUUGGAGGUCAUUCACACGUCACUUUUAUAAGUUUCUGCGGAAAAAUGUCACCUAACCGUUAAUGUUUUCUUUUGAUGACCAAGGUGUAUUCGUGAUUUAUAUAACCAGUUAUCAGCCGAUUACACAUGUUCCUCAAACUAGAUGAUUUGAUCAUAAAUAUUUUAUGGUAAAGGUCUCCUAAUUAUUGAAUAUUUAAGUAUUGAAAAUACUAAAUUAAUUCUACUAAGAUUUGUAAAUGAAUACAAAUAUCAAUCUCAAUAUCAUGCAUUAUCUUUCUAUUGUUAAUCUACAAUAGAUAAUAACAUUCGAUGGAUAUAAUUUCUAUGAAUAGUUUCGUACCUUGAUAACCAUUCUUAAGAAAGAUUAGAAAUUGUAUAUUCAUAAAAAUCAUAUUCCUAAACCACUUGCUUUAAGUAGUAGGCCUGAGCAUGGCAUCUGGUGGAAGCGUCACUUUGAUGCUAAAGAUGUAUCAAACAUCAUACUGGGAACUUGUAGUGGUGUUGAUUAUGAUGGCAUGUGCGGAAUUAGAAAAGAUCUAGUGAAUCAUCAUGUAAACUCAAGAACACAAGGAGUAAAUAAAUAUGUGUAAGCUCAUAUUAGAUCUAGAAAGGAUAUACAAAUGGGUUUUGUACAAAUUCUCUCUCUAGACUAACACUCCAAAAAGGUCAUUCUUAAUAUGAGUGUCACUCACAUCCUAUUUAUAGGAAAGACAACUCCUUUACAUAAUACAAGUGGGUAAAGCACAAAUACAUCCAAACGUGACUUCGUACACUAACAUUCUCCCCCUCAAAGUUAGGAUUGGAUGUUCGGCUUCAAUAUCCAAUGAGCUCGCGCGAUCAAGACCAAACUCCACCUUGAAGUAACAUUGGUCUUAAAAUCCGCAAAUGAAUACCCGAAAAACUCGCUUCGAAUACCCAUCAUUCUCCCAUUUUUUAUAAUCAAAAAAUGACUAUAAAACCCAUUAAGGGUGAGAAGCGUCCGAGGAAUGAACUUCACAAUACUCCCCGUUGAUGUGUACCAAAAUGAAUCACAAAAAUCUUACACGGAAAAACAAUCGCGAAAAAGCCUCCAAAAAUUUCCAAAUUCGUGAAAAUUUUUGACUUUUUGGGUGAAAGUUGCUAGAUUCUCCAAAAACCGGGUAAAAACUGUCAAUAACAAAAUUCUACAGGGACCUGUUGCGCCAAAAGCAGCUAAAGACGCGAAACAGUCCCCCAUUUGCGAAACUGGGCAUAAAGUGUAAGUUCGCACCAACUGCAGGGAACAUAAAUGCACAUUCUUCAAUUUCUCAGCUUUUGUGAGCCCAUUUUCGAAAUUUGGUAUAAACUGCCAAAAUUUCGAUACUUCAGGUGCUACUUUCGAAACUUCUGCACACUUCUUCAAACUUUCAAAAGUUUUAGUCCUUAUUUCAAAAGUGGGUGCAAACUGUCAAUCUUUCAAAAGUUGCAAGGACCAAUUCGAAAAUUUUGUCUUAUUUCUUCCAAAUUCAUGAAACCUUGAUUGUUCCAGUCGCAAAUCACCAAAAUCUUUGCUUUUUGAAUUCGUUAGUUAACAUCAAUGCUCAAAUUUUCGACAGUAAGGCAAAAAUCUUCGUUAGUGAACAUCAAAUUUUUGAAACUUUUUAACCCACAGUUAUUGACACCAAAAACGAAUUCAUCAAUAUCUUCGCUUUUUCAUUCAUGAACCCAGUCAGUAAAAGCUUCGUUACGUUAAUACAAGCCAUCGAUUCCAAAAUCAAUAUCAAAACCUUCGUUAGUUCAUGUUCCAGUUCAUCGUCUUGUAAAAAGCAAUUGACAAGCAACAACUUUCGAAAUCAUAGUUCCAAUUUCCUUCGCUUAUCAUUCACCAAAAACACGACUUUGAUAUAUCGACUCCAAAUCGAGUUGGAUUCCCAAACGAAAAUCAAAUACGUUCAAACCAAUCAUCCUAUAGUGAACCAUCUCCUUCCCAUUCGAUUCCAAAUUAUAUUUUACAUCCAACUUACCUAUCACCAUCGAAAUCGAUUUCAACAUCUAUCAAAAUCGUUCUUGGUUCACAAGCCAACAAAAUUGAUAUCAAGCAUUAGACUCAAUGAAUUAGAACACCAGUUGAAAUAUCAAUACAGAGACCCAAUUUCAAAAUCUGGUCAAUCUUCCUAAUCCAUCCACAUUGAUUAGCAAUUUCCAAUUACAAUUCUUCUCUUCCCAAAUCGAUAUUAAAAUAAGUUUUCAUCACAUAACUCUUAUCGAAGCAAAAGAAAAACAAUUUUGACUUUCAGUUGAAUUUCACAUCACGAUUUUAAAUUCAAUGAUUUUCAUAGCAAUUGAAAUCGAAUGCUUCAACAAGCAAAAUCCCACUAUCGACUCUUUUCCUUCGUUUUUAGUGAUCAUUGACAACAAACAAUUGAUAUCAAAUCAAGUUCUAAAUCAAUAACCAGACACAAAUUCGACUAAUUAGAUACAUACUAAAUCGAAUGUGAUUUGUAAACCAAAAGUAUGUUGACUCAAGCAAGGUGAAUCAAAGUCUCGAUUUGGUCACAAUCACAUAAUCAAAAGUCAAUUUUGACUUUUGAUUCACUUUCGAUUUCAAUAGUCAACUCACAAAUCAGAUUGAAUUGCCAACAAAACAAAGUUGAAAUAUCAAUUUCUGAUUUCGAUUUUGAUGUGCCAGUCGAAAUCAAUUUUAAACACCAAAUAUUAAGACUUGAUUGAUUCACAGAGAUAGAUUCACAGCGAGAGCUCCGAUCUUAAAGAAAGUCAAGAAUGUGCAACACCUUUAUAUGUAUUGUGCAUAACAAAGAACUGCGAGUGAAUCAAAUGAUUUAUAGACUAGAUCUCUGAAUGAUUUUAUCAGAUCAAAAUAACAGAAUGGGCUUAAGGAAUGAACAGUGAUUCGAAUUCUUGUUGGACUAAAAAAUUGUUUUAAAGAAAAAGUAUUUAAUCAAAUGAUUUUGAAUUUGGUUUGGGCUUGAUCUAAACAAAUAUAAUUGGAUCAAUAAUGGGGUUGAAACGAAUUUGAUCCAAUGAGGCAAAUCGAUCAAAAAUGAAAAACAAAAAAUACGAAUCGAAAUCAUGGAUGUUUUGGAAUCCAUUUGAGAAUUUGUGAUACCUUUUUGACGAAUCGAGAUCCAUUUGCAACAAACGAAAUCGAAUUUAGAAGAUCUUGGUUCAUUUGUUGGAAUGAGAAAAUCUCCAAUUUGAACAUUGUACCACCCAUGAUGCCUGUUGUACAACUUGUUCUUCGUGUUCUUCAACAAUCCAAGAACAUAUUCAUAAGAACCACCAACACUUUUGGGUUUUGACUUCAAAUUCAAUACAACACUUCGAGAUUGUUGCUUUGGAACCCAAAUUUGUUUCAUGGCAACAUUUGAUGAUUUUUUAGAAUAAACCCGCUUCUUCUUCCGUUUAAUCUUCUUCUUCUUUUUCUUUCUCAUCUUUUUGCAUCUUGAAGACUUGAUUUCAUGAACAAACCCACUUUCCACAACUUCAACAUUGUGAAUUUGAAUCAAAUCUUUUGGAGUUUGAUACUUGUGAAUUUCUUGGAUCACCGGCUUCCAAUAAGGAAUCAUUCCUUCAAACGAAUCACAAGAACACAAAAUAUCAUCGGUUUGAACUCCAAUCGAGAAAAAAAGUUUUUCAUCUUCAUGAGAAUCAACAAUGAAAAUUCUUAUCAUGAACUUCAAGAACAUCAAGAACAUCAAAUUGAACUCCAUAGUCUUGAACCUCAACAAACAUAAGAGCACGAAGAUCAUUUGGGUUUCUAAUUAGAGAAAUGUAUUUCUGAUGAAACAAAUCUCUUUCUUCUACUUCGUUUUGAUUUCUACUAUGGACUAUUAUGCACAAGACAAUUUUAUUCAACCAUACAAUCUUAAAAAAGUGGUUGAAAAAUCAAGCUUCCAUUAUCAUCCUUCAAAUCUCCAUAAGAAACCAUAUUACCCCAUGAAAUCAAUUCGCUUAACACCAACCCAUAAAAUUGAUCUUCAUUGACUUUGUAUUUGAUAUCAUCAACGAUUACAAUCCAAGAAUCAUACGGCAAAUCCACCAUGAUCACAAGAACUUGAAAAUUUCUAGAGAGAGAAAGUGAUUUUGAAUGGGUUUUCUAGAGAAAGAAAGUAAAGUCACUUGAAUUCUAGUGAAGAAAAUCGAAUUAUGAGUAGAAUCAAAGAUGAAUUCGAAUUCUAAAAUCGAAACUCUCUAAAACACGAAGAUCAAUAAGAACAUGAAGAAUCGUUAAAUCAAGAUUGCCACCAUGGAUAAAUUCUUGAUCAAAUCAAGAACUCCCGCUCUGAUACAAAUUGUAGUGGUGUUGAUUAUGAUGGCAUGUGCAGAAUUAGAAAAGAUCUAGUGAAUCGUCAUGUAAACUCAAGAAUACAAGGAGUAAAUAAAUUUGUGUAAGCUCAUAUUAGAUCUAGAAAGGAUAUACAAAUGGGUUUUGUACAAAUUCUCUCUCUGGACUAACACUCCAAAAAGAUCAUUCUUAAUAUGAGUGUCACUAACUUCCUAUUUAUAGGAAAGACAACUCAUUUACACAAUACAAGUGGGUAAAGCACAAAUAUUACAAAACAUGACUCUGCACACUAACAUUCUACCCCUCAAAGUAAGGAUUGGAUGUCCGGCUUCAAUAUCCAACGAGCUCGCGCGAUCAAGACCAAACCCCCUCGAAGUAACACCGGUCUUCAAAUCCACAAUUGAAUACCCGAAAAACUCGCUUCGAAUACCGAUCAUUCUCCCCCUUUUUUAAUCCAGAGAUGAUUACAAAAUCCAUUAAGGGUGAGAAGCGUCCGAGGAAUGAACUUCACAAUACUCCUCCUUUAUGUGUACCAAAAAUGAAUCACCAAAAAUCUUGCACGGAAAAACAAUCACGAAAAAGCCUCAAAAAGUUUCCAAAUCCGUGAAAUUUUUUUACUUUUUGGGUGAAAGUUGCAAGAUUUUCCAAAAAACCGGGUAAAAAAUGUCAAUAACAGAAUUUUGCAGGGACCCAUUGCGCCAAAAACAGCUAAAGACGCGAAACACUCCUCCAUUUGUGAAAAUGGGCAUAAAGUGUAAGUUCGCAUCAACUGCAUGGACCAAAAAUGAACAUUCUUCAAUUUCUCAGCUUUUCUGAGCCAAUUUUCGAAAUGUGGUAUAAACAUCCAAAAUUUCGAUACUUCAGGUGCUACUAUCGAAAGUUCUACACACUUCUUCAGACUUUCGAAAGUUUUAGUCCUUAUUUCGAAAGUGGGUGCAAACUGUCAAUCUUUCGAAAGUUGCAGGGACCAAUUCGAAAAUUAUGCCUUAUUUCUUCCAAAUUCAUGAAACCUUGAUUGUUCCAGUCGCGAAUCGCCAAAAUCUUCGCUUUUUCAUUUCGUUAGUUAACGUCAAUGCUCAAAUUUUCGACAGUAAGGCAAAAAUCUUCGCGAUGUAAAAUCUUCGUUAGUCAACAUCAAAUUUUCAAAACUUUUUAACCCACAGUCAUUGACACCAAAAACGAAUUCAUUAAUAUCUUUGCUUUUUCAUUCACAAACCCAGUCAAUAAGAGCUUCGUUACGUUAAUACAAGCCAUCGAUUCCAAAAUCGAUAUCAAAACCUUUGUUAGUUCAAGUUCCCGUUCAUCGUCUUGUAAAAAGCAAUUGACAAGCAACAACUUUCGAAAUCACAGUUCCAAUUUCCUUUGCUUAUCAUGCACCAAAAACACGAAUUUGAUAUAUCGACUCCAAAUUGAGUUCGAUUCCCAAACGAAAAUCAAAUAUGUUCAACCCAAUCAUCCUAUAGUGAACCAUCUCCUUCGCAUUCGAUUCCAAAUUAUAUAUGACAUCCAACUUAACUAUCACCAUCGAAAUCGAUUUCAACAUCUAUCAAAAUCGUUCUUUAGCCAACAAAAUCGAUAUCAAGCAUCAAACUCAACGAAUUAUAACACCAGUUGAAAUAUCAAUACAAAGACCCAAUUUCGAAAUCUGGUCAAUCUUCCUAAUCCAUCCACAUCGAUUAGCAAUUUCCAUUUAAAAUUCUUCCCUUCCCAAAUCGAUAUUCAAAUAUGUUUUCAUCACAUAACUCUUAACGAAGCAAAAGAAAAACGAUUUUGACUUUCAAUUGACUUUCACAUCACGAUUUUGUAUUCAAUGAUUUUCAUAGCAAUUGAAAUCGAAUUCUUCAACAAACAAUUGAUCUCAAAUAAAGUUCUAAAUCAAUAACAAGACACAAAUUCGACUCAUUGGAUACAUACAAAAUCGAAUGCGAUUUGUAAACCAGAAGUAUGUUGACUCAAGGAAGGUGAAUCAAAGUUUCGAUUUGGUCACAAUCACAUAAUCAAAAGUAUUUUGACUUUUGAUUGACUUUCGAUUUCAAUAGUCAACUCCCAAAUCAGAUUGAAUUGCCAACAAAACAAACCUGAAAUAUCAAUUUCUGAUUUCGAUUUUGAUCUUCCAGUCGAAAUCAAUUUUAAACACCAAAUAUUAAGACUUGAUCUAAUCAUAGCGAUAGAUUCACAGCGAGAGCUCCGAUCUUAAAGAAAGUCAAGAAUGUACAACACCUUUAUAUGUAUUGUGCAUAAUGAAGAACUGCGAGUGAAUCAAAUGAUUUAUAGACUAGAUCUCUAAAUUAUUUUAUCAGAUCAAAAUAACAGAAUGGGCUUAAGGAAUGAACAGUGAUUCGAAUUCUUGUUGGACUAAAAAAUUGUUUUAAAGAAAAAGUAUUUAAUCAAAUGAUGUUGAAUUUGGUUUGGGCUUGAUCUAAACAAAUAUAAUUGGAUCAAUAAUGGGGUUAAAACGGAUUGGAUCCCAUGAGGCAAAUCGAUCCAAAAUGCAAAACGAAAAAUACGAAUCGAAAUCAUGGAUGUUUUGGAAUCCAUUUGAGAAUUUGUAAUACCUUUUUGACGAGUCGAGAUCCAUUUGCAACAAAAAAAACGAAUUCUGAAGAUCUUGGUUCUUUUGUUGGAACGAGAAAAUAUCCAAUUUGAACAUUGUACAACCCACGAUGCGUGUUGUACAACUCGUUCUUCGUGUUCUUCGUGUUUUUAAACAAUCCAAGAACAUCUUCAUAAGAAUCACCAACACUUUUGGGUUUUGACUUCAAAUUCAAUGUAACACUUGGAGAUUGUUGCUUUGGAACCCAAAUUUGUUUCACGACAACGUUUGAUGAUAUUUGAGAAUAAACUCGCUUGUUCUUCCGUUUAAUCUUCUUCUUCUUUUUUGUUUUCAUCUUUUUGCAACUUGAAGACUUGAUUUCAUGAACAAACCCACUUUCCACAACUUCAACAUUGUGAAUUUGAAUCAAAUCUUUUGGAGUUUGAUACUUGUGAAUUUCUUGGAUCACCGGCUUCCAAUAAGGAAUCAUUCCUUCAAACGAAUCACAAGAACACAAAAUAUCAUCGGUUUGAACUCCAACCUAGCAAAAACGUUUUUCAUCUUCAUGAGAAUCAACUUGAAUCUUUUUAUCAUGAACUUUAAGAACAUCAAGAACGUCACAUUGAAAUCCAUAUUCUUGAACUACAACAAACUUAAGAGCACGAAGAUCAUUUGGGUUUUUAAUUAGAGAAAUGUAUUUCUUGUUAAACAAAUCUCUUUUUCCCCUUCCUUUUGAUUUCUACUAUGGACUAAUAUGGACAAGAAAAUUUUAUUCAACCAUAUAAUUUUACAAAUUGGUUGAAAAAUCAAGCAUCCAUUAUCAUCCUUCAAAUCUCCAUAAGAAACCAUACUACCCCAUUAAAUCAAUUUGCAUAACACCAACCCUUAAAAUUGAUCUUCAUUGACUUUGUAUUUGAUAUCUUCAAAGAUCACAAUCCAAGAAUCAUACGGCAAAUCCACCAUAAUCACAAGAACUUGAAAAUUUCUAGAGAGAGAAAGUGAUUUUGAAUGAGUUUUGUAGAAAGAGAAAUUAAAAAUCACUUGAAUUCUAGUGAAGAAAAUCGAAUUAUGAGUCGAAUCAAAGAUGAAUUCGAUUUCUAUCAUCCAAAAUCUCUAAAACACAAAGAUCAAUAAGAACAUGAAGAAUCACCAAAUCAAGAUUACCACCGUGGAUCAAUUCUUGAUCAAAUCAAGAACACCCGCUCUGAUGCCAAUUGUAGUGGUAGUGAUUAUGAUGGAAUGUGCGGAAUUAGAAAAUAUCUAGUCAAUCAUCAUGUAAACUCAAGAACACAAGGAGUAAAUAAAUCUGUGUAAGCUCAUAUUAUAUCUAGAAAGGAUAUACUGUCACAACUAGGAAUUUUAAUGCUUUGUAAACAUUAAACAAGGAUAACAUUGUAACUAAAACUUGAAAGCAUGUAUGAUGCUUAUUCAAUGACAACAAAAUUCCAUCAAACACUCUAUACAAACACUCAAAUAGUCAACAAAAAGAUUGGAAAUCCUAGAAAUCCCGGUUUAAGUCCAACAUGGACUAGGAUUUCCUUAUUGGGCCUAAUGGACCAUUAGGCUUCCAAUUUGACUAUUUUGGGCUUAGAACUCUUAAAUGGGUUCUCAUUGGACCCACUCUCAUGAGACUUAACCUUUUUGGUCCAUAUAAGUCUAAAAAGGCCUAGUCUACCUUUAAUCGGCCUUGUUGGGCCAUGAUAAAUAGCCUUAAUGGACUCAAAUCCAUUCUUUGGUGCAAGAUUAGGUUUGUGAACUACUCUAAAGGCCCAAUGGACCAAAAACCAUCAAAUUGGGCCCAUAUUAUGGACUCAAGCACAAACGGCCCAAACCAUUCUUUUUCCUUUACCCUCUCUGGGCCAAAGUACAAAACAAAAAAGGGGGAAAGUAAGGGAAUUAAGGAGGGUUAGCCACCUCCUUAUUACAUAUUGGACUUCCAUGCAAUUUCACAUAUCUCCAUGCAUCCAUCCCUUCACAUGUCUCUCUUUUCUCCUUCUUCUACUCAGGGGUCGUGGGUAUCAACACACACGCACACACACACUUAAGUCACUUCUAAAUCCUCUCAAGAACACCUUCAUUCCUCCUUCAAAAUCUUCGAGAUUUAGGGCAUUUCAAGAAGGUUUUUCCACAAGAAUCAUCAUCCUAGGUAAGUUGAUGCUUGGAUCCAUAAUCUAGUCUCUUUAUUUCAUCAAGAAUAUUUUCUAAACUUACACAAACUCAUGAUCAUACUCCUAGAAAACUCUAAGUUCGAGAUCCACCUAAGAAGGCCUACUAGGAUCAAAAUCUUCUUCAUUUCUUUCUUCAAAACUGUGAGAAACAAAUCAAUAUGAGUCCAUAUCCCCUUGUUUUCGAUUUUUACUUGUUUUUUGGGGGAGAAUACAAGUAUUAUGUGAUGAUCUAUGUGUCUUUGCAUGCUAUAUGUGAAUUCAUUAGUUUUUGGUUGUGAUAAUAUGAAAUAUAUAUUAUAUUUCGAGAUCUAUAAUAAAAGGGUGAAAUAAUCAUGAACAAGAACACAAUGAAUAACAUACAUCAUGGAUCUAAGGGUCUCUAAGUUUAAAAAGUGAAAAACAAAACCAAAAAACCUUACAAGUUUCAUUUUUGCAAAAAUAACAAAGAUUGGGAAUAAAUUGUAAUUGGUCGGUUUUAUGAGGGUUAUAAGUUGUUUAUUUGUAUAAAAGCUGAUUUUUAUGAAAAUAACACUUUUUAAAGGAUAAAAAACAUAAAUUUUAGCUUAAUGGGCUUAAAAGUGGGCCUAAUGAGUUUUGGGCCCAAAGUUGCGAAAAAAAUGAGAAUUAGAGGGGCUGAAUUGGAAAACUUAACAAACUAUGGGUCUAAAAUGUAAAUAAACUUUUUCGGGGGUUAAAAAUGAGUUUAUAACCAAAUUUGAACUAAAAAUGCAAAGUUUUUGAUUUUGGGGUCAAAAUUGUAAAACUUACGGAAAUUGGGCCAAAACUGUAACUUUUUGCAAAAGAAGGUUGGAAAUGGAAAAUGCAAUAGUUUUGGACUGAAAUUACUAUUUAAAUAAAGUUUCGGUGGAAAAUGUCAAUAAAAAUGGUUUAAGGACCAAAAAUGUAAAUUUUCGUAAAAUGGGACUAAAACUGUCUUUUUUAUAGAAAAAUGUGUCAUAAUGGUUAAUCUAAAUGUUUUAGGCCAAAUAAACGAUUAUAACUUUUGGGGUUAAAAAUAUCAAGUUUAUAACGCAUAGUUUUCAAAAAAUAUAUACAUAUAAUAAAAACUUCAUUAUAAAUCAAACGUUAAAAUGUUUUGUUGUUGUGAAUAAACAUUUAACAUACAACAAAUACCAACAAUACGAACUCAAACUCGAUAAAACAUAAGCGAUUCAAAAGUUGGGCUCAAAUACGUUCUAUAUGAGCUAUUGGGCCUUUAUGGCCCAAUAUCAUGUUUAAUUGGGUCCGAUAUAUUCACACAUGUUUAUUGGGCCUCCUGUGACCCAAUUACAGGCCUAAAGGACCCUUAAUGGCUUUUACAUGUUAUUGGGCCUCAGUGGCCCAUUGGUAUUGCUAGUAAGGUCCAAAUCAAACAUAUGCAUGAUGGGACAACGUGCCCGUCUCAAACUCGACAGCCUAUAAUAUCAUAUAGGAUUAGUGGGCCUCUGAUGUCCUCUUCUCUUCGUUUGUUAGGCUUAUCCUGUUAUUCAAGUAAACAUAAAUUUUGGAGGAUAAACAUGGUUAUUCAAAUUUAGUUGGAUUUAGUGGGAAAUAACGGGUGACACUAUUAAGUUUCGGUCAUAAUCUGUAGUUAUAACCAGAGUCUCCUGGAGGGAGAGCGGGAGUUUGUGUAUAGAUCUAUACGAGGGUGACUCCGCAACACCUGAGUCAUUCGCUACAGUUAGACUCGGCCAGUCUAGGGUGAUAAAAUCUUAAAUCAUUUCCGGCAUUCGCUAGAAUGCCAUGACAGAUGAACUAGUCAUUAUUAUGCAUGGUUAAAACGACCCACAUCGAGAUCCAACACCAUCUAAGUAAUCAAAGGAAAACAUAUUCAUUUGUUGUGACGAUACAAUAACAUAAAACUAUCAUACUAUUUAUAUCGGAAAACAUCAGGUUUUCCGGGGGAACAACAUUAUUCACUUCUAUACACAACUAUAAUAUGAUAAUAAAUUUUGAAUAACAAUCACUUUCACUUGUGUUUUAAAAUCACAUACACAUGCACUUAUGAGAUCACCGCAUCUUUUCGCAACAGUUGUUGUACAGAAAAUGUCAGAUUUUAUGGGUUUUACAACAAAACAAACAAGUUUUAUAUCAAACAUGCUUAUGAACUCACCAACAUUAUAUAUGUUGACGUUUUCAAAAUAACUUUUAUUCUCAGGUAACAGAUAAGCCGAAGAACAAUACCAAGUGUGUUAGGAUGUUAUGUUUUGAAAAAUUCUCAAACAAUUUAUGUUACGGAUGUGUAAUGUUUAAACAAUGUACUUGAUGUGAACAUUUUCAGUUGUACUAUGUAAUGUUGGUGAUGUAUGUGUUGUUCAUGUAUAUUCAUUGUGAUGAUAUUUCAAUUUAUGUCAUGCGAGCUAUCACACGUUUCCGCCGUCUGGUUCGGGGGUGUGACAGGUUGGUAUCAGAGCUCUGUUUAUAGUGAACUGGCAUAUCUAACCACACAUUGAUAUGCAACGAUAAACCCAAAGAGGGACUAAAUAACUCUAAACAAAACAAAUAAAAUAUAAUGAUAAACCCUCUUUCUUGUGUGACUUAGUAAAAUAAACAUAAUACCAAUUCAAAUAAGAUGAUCCCGACAUCUCGGUUAAGCCAGGACUGUUCACAGUUAUAUUAAGGGGUGAAUGUAGCCUGAUCAACUACAUUUCCUCCAGAAUAAAACUAUCACAUGCCCUGGAGUGACCACGAUGGUCGGAAAACCUAAAACAUACCCUUUUGAUUACCACAAAGAGAACAUUAAACUCAAUUUAUAUAACAACUAAAACAUCUUAGGAUUAAUAGUAGUUUAUACACAAUCCUGCAGACUGUAUGGCUGGUUUACAUCAUCCUGGAGAUCCAUAUUUCCCCAACCCGGGGAAUAACGGAUGGUUGGAAGAGGAGUCUGAGGAAGAGCAUUAAGAAGACCCCGAGGAGGAGCCCGAAGAAGAACCUGAAGUGGGAGUCGAGGCCAGACCUGCCGAGCCAGUGGUAGACUUGGAAGAAGAAGAAGCCGAAGAAGACUCCAAGGGGGAGUCUGAGGAAGAACCCGGAGACGACGACGACAAUGGUGAUUCGGACGCGGAGUCUGAAGUCAUCAACCCCCCUACCUGAUUAGGGUGCCCGCUCACCGGAUGGGCCCUACUGGCCCCACGUCUCCAUGGGGUAUUGAUAUAUGGAGAUUGAGUAAAUAGCAUGGACAUCGACCCCCAUUCGGGAUGGCCAGGGAGUUCUAUGAUCUGAGAGAUGGAAGACUAGCUGACCGGGCACUUCCUGUUAUGGUGAGGAGGUUGCGGAAUACCGGCGACCUAGCCCAGGGAACUGCCGAGUAGAUGAAUUAGAUGUGAGCCGCGGUGGCAAGAGCGGAACGAGAAACUCAGGAGGUAAUCCAUAACUUUCAAGUAUGACAUGCAGUUUGGGAGGAGCGACUACGAGCCACAGAACGACAGGUGGCGCGUCUUUCAGGGCGCGUCCACGUCAUCAGCCCUACCACCCGACGCAUCCCAGAGACCUGCGGACCAAUAGACCUCCCGACUAGUGUUAGAUUUAUUUUGUACGCAAUAUAUUAUGCACUAUUGACUCUAUGUUUAAGUGAUUACACUACUCAUAGAGUUGUUACGCUGCCGAACUUAGUACCCUUUAUGCAUGCUCUUUCGAGCAAAUUUUCAUGUAUCAAAGUGAGAAUAUUAUUAUUGGAAAAUAAUAUGUGUUCUAUCAUGAUGUUGUUAUCUGCUAUGUGCUAUAUUUCUAUGUUGUAUGCCAAUAUGUAACAUUACUUAAGUAUAUGCUAUACACCUAGUUUAUAGGACCACAAACUCACGCAAAUUAUAGGCACUCAACAUAUUUCCGUUCCAUGACAGAAGGAUGCCUCAGUGACCCACCCAUGGAAACCCCAAGCCGAUACCACCAGAAAUCAACUUAGUUGCAUUCCAAGCAGUUGUAUAUACUACGGUCACAGCGGCACUGGCGCAUAUCGACAAUGGAAAUAAUGGUGGAGGCAACGGACAAGGGGCUGGAAGCUCAAAUAACGGAAUGAACCAAGGGCCUACCAAGACAUGCUCCUACAAAGAUUUCACAAACGCCAAGCCACGAACCUUUAAGGGCGCAGGGGGAAUGAUAACUGUAAGGAGGUGGAUUAAAAAGGUGGAAUCGGUGUUCAAGAUAUGUGAUUGCCCCGAAGAGGUCAAGGUGAAGUUUGCAACAUACACAUUUGUUGAUCAAGCUCUCACCUGGUGGAAUGGACAUGUGGAGGCCAUGCCUCUCCCCGUAGCCAAUGCCAUGCCGUGGGCGGAAUUGAAGGAAAUGCUGAUGGCCGAGUACUGCCCGCAUGGUGAAAUUCAGAAAAUGGAACAGGAGUUAUGGAACCUCACAGUCCGAAACUCCGACAUCGAUGCUUGCAUAUCAAGGUUUAACGAACUGUCUCUGUUGUACCCUGGCAUGAUUACUUCGGAAGGAAAGAAAAUCGAACAAUUCAUCUGGGGAUUAACCUCCCCAAUUCAAGGAAAUGUGAUAGCUACAAAUCCUGAAACAGUUGACUGUGCCAAGAGGUUGGCCAAGAAGUUGUACGACCACAACAACAACAAGGGUGAGAAGUUAGGGGAAACUGAAGCCAAGAAGGAGAGUGACAACAAGAAAGGAAAGAAUAACAAGAGGAAGGGACGACAAGGCUCAGAGUCAUCAAAAGAAACAACAAACAAUGACAUUUCAUGCUAUAACCACACAAUUUCCCUCCACACCACAUGUUCCAACCUCAUCUACCCCAAAUGCCCCUAAGCAGUAUUCCGGAAAUCUCCCACCGUGCAAGAAGUGCAAUUUUCAUCACAAUGGUGAAUGCAAGGAGAUGCAUUGUAACAGUUGCAACUGAAAGGGUCACACAACAAAAUACUGUAGAACCUAUCCUCCUUAGAACCAGCAACCGGGAAACAACAACAACUGCAAUAACAACAACACCAACAACAACAACUACAAUAACAAUUACAACAACAAUAAUAAUGCAGGAGCAAGCCACACCUGUUAUGGAUGUGGAAGGACUGGGCAUUUCCGUCGAAAUUUCCCCAAUGCCAACAACCAAGGGAAUGGAGGAGCAGGGAGAAUGCUGACCAUGGGUCAACGAGAAGCGGAUCAGGAUCCCGCUGUUGUCACUAGUACGUUUAUCCUAAGCCACACAUAUGCAUGCAUCUUGUUUGAUACCGGGGCAGAGCGGAGUUUUGUGAGUAAUAAAUUCAAACACUUGUUAAAACAACAACCCCAGAAUCUUAAUGAAACCUUUACAGUGGAAAUGGCUAAUGGGAAAAUAGAAUCAACUGGGGAAAUCUACGUAGGAUGUACCCUAACCUUAAAUCACCACGUCUUUCAAUUAAACUUGAUGCUUGUAACUAUUAGGAGUUUUGAUGUGAUUAUCGGCAUGGACUGGUUGAGCCCACAUCAUCCCUAAAUUAUGUGUUGCGAGAAGGUCGUUUGCCUUCAUCCCCAUAAUCACGAAACCAUAAUUAUAUAUGGAGAUAAGCCUAGUACGAACCUUCGUCUUAUCUCGUGUAUUAAGGUGCAUAAGUGUCUACAAAAGAAGGACCUGGCGUUUCUGGAUCACAUUGUGGAUAAGUCCAUGGAAGAGGUCAAUAUUCGAGACAUUCCAGUAGCUUGCGAUUUCCUGGAUGUUUUUCCUGAAGAUCUCCCAGGGAUACCCCCAGAAAGACAAGUCGAGUUACGAAUUGACCUUGUGCCGGGAGCUACACCCAUUGCCAAAUCACCCUAUAGGUUGGCUCCUGCGGAGAUGCAAGAACUGUCAAGCCAAAUUAGCGAACUCUUGAGAAAAGGAUUCAUCCAACCUAGCUUCUCACCCUGGGGAGCUCCUGUUCUCUUUGUUAAGAAAAAGGAAGGAUCCUUUAGGAUGUGUAUUGAUUACAGAGAAUUAAAUAAGCUCACUCUCAAAAAUCGCUAUCCAUUUCAGCGAAUGGACGAUCUAUUCGACCAGCUUCAAGGAGUAAGUUACUUCUCUAAGAUAGAUCUGCGAUCCGGAUACCACCAACUCAAGGUCCGGGAAGAGAAUAUCCCCAAGACUGCUUUCCGAACUCGGUACGGACAUUAUGAAUUUAUUGUAAUGCCUUUCGGUCUAACGAAUGCCCCUACCACAUUCAUGGACCUAAUGAAUCAAAUCUGUCGACCAUUCCUCGACAAUUUUGUCAUUGUUUUCAUCGACAAUAUCCUAGUCUAUUCUCGAAGCAAAAAGGAGCAUAACCGACAUCUUUGGCAAAUCUUGGAAACCCUAUGAACCGAAAAGUUAUAUGCAAAACUCUCUAAAUGUGAGUUCUAGCUCCGUAGCGUAAACUUUUUAGGUCAUUUUGCCAGUCAAGAAGGGAUACAUGUGGACCCUUCUAAGAUCAAAGUCAUUGAAGGAUGGGCAGUCCCGACAACACCCACUGAAAUUCAUCAAUUUUUAGGUCUCGCGGGCAAUUAAAGGAGAUUCAUUCAGAACUUCUCCAAAACAACCAAGCCACUUACCAUGCUUACACAAAAGGGCGUGCCAUUUGAAUAGACAGAAAAGCAGGAGGUUGCUUUCCGAACUCUAAAGCGAGCUCUCUGUAGUGCACUAGUACAAUCAUUACCAGAAGGAACAGAGGACUUCAUAGUUUACUGUAAUGCUUCGAAUCAUGGUUUAGUCUGUGUACUCAUGCAACGUGGGAAGCUGAUACCUUAUGCGUCCCGACAACUAAAGACACAUAAGGUGAAUUAUACUACUCAUGAUCUCGAAUUGGGAGCUGUGGUUUUUGCGCUACCUUUAUGGUACAAAUUGCACCAUCUUCACCUACCACAAGAGUCUCCAACACAUUUUAAAUCAAAAGGAGUUAAACAUGAGGCAGCGAAGAUGGAUUGAGCUGCUAAACGAUUAUGAGUGUGAAAUCAAGUACCACCCAGGAAAGGCUAACGUGGUAGCUGAUGCCUUGAGUCGGAAAGAAUACUCAAAUCGUCGUGUGAAAAAUCUUUCAAUAACCAUUCAAUCCCAACUGUCCUCGCAAAUUAAAGCAGCCCAGUUCGAUGUCAUGAAGACAAAGAACAAAACAAGCGAAGUGUUACGUGGAAUGUAAAAGAACUUUGAAGUUAAGGAGGAUGGAGCACAUUAUUUCAUGAACCGAAUUUAGAUUCCUAAACUUGGGGGAUUCAGAGAGGUAGUCAUGAACGAAGCCCAUAAGACACGAUACUCCAUCCAUCCGGGUUCAGAUAAAAUGUACUUGGAUAUCAAGAAACAUUAUUGGUGGCCUAACAUGAAGGCAGAAAUUGCCACCUAUGUUAGCAAUUGCCUUACUUGCGCUAAAGUGAAGGUAGAAUAUCAGAAGCCCCCGGGACUAUUACAACAACCGGUAAUACCCGAGUGGAAAUGGGAAAGGAUUACUAUGGACUUUGUGACCAAAUUACCCCAAGACUACAGAGGGAAUGGAUACCAUAUGGGUAAUAAUGGACAGGUUGACAAAAUCCGCUCAUUUCCUACCAAUAAAGGAAUCUUACAAGAUGGGACGAUUGACAAGAACCUACAUCAAGGAAAUCGUGAGACUCCAUGGAGUACCAAUAUCUAUCAUCUCAGAUCGAGAUAGUAGAUUCACUUCACGCUUUUGGCAAUCGCUUCAGAAAGCUAUGGGAACACAACUCGACAUGAGCACUGCCUACCACCUACAAACGGAUGGUCAAAGUGAGCGAACCAUUCAAACGCUUAAAUAUAUGCUUCGCGCAUCUGUGAUAGAAUUUGGAAGGUCGUGGGAUACCCACUUGCAUUUAAUUGAAUUUUCGUACAACCGCAGUUAUCAGUCAAGCAUCAAAGUUGCUCCUUUUGAAGCAUUAUAUGGGCGUAAAUCUAGAUCACUGUUGUGUUGGACUGAGAUAGGUGACACUCAUCUAGCAAGAGGACAGACACCAAACAAUGCAAUAACAGGACCAUAAAUCAUACGCGAAACGACAGAGAAGAUAAUUCAAAUCAGAACUCGACUACAAGCAUCACAAGAUCGACAGAGGAGCUAUGCUGAUAAACAGCGAAAGCCCUUGGAAUUUCAAGUCGGGGAUCGGGUGUUGUUAAAGGUCUCUCCCUGGAAAGGGGUGAUUCAUUUUGGGAAGCGGGGAAAACUAAAUCUACGAUACAUUGGACCAUUCAAGAUUCUUGCCCGAAUUGGUCCAGUGACUUAUAGACUGCAGCUACUUGUUGAACUCAGUAGUGUACACCCCUUGUUCCAUGUUUCCAAUUUGAAGAAGUGCUUAUCCGACGAAACUCUUGUCAUCCCUUUGGAAGAAAUCGAAAUCAACGAGAAUCUCCUGUUCAUCGAGGAACCAGUUGAAAUCAUGGACAGGGAAGUGAAGCGUACUAAGAAAAGGCGUAUUCUGAUUGUGAAAGUUCGGUGGAACGCGAAAUGUGGACCAGAAUUCGCAUGGGAACACAAAGACCAGAUGAAGCAAAAGUACCCUCACCUAUUCUCGCAUUCUCAAAUCUAGCUUCAAAAAGAAUUUCGGGACGAAAUUCCCUCUAACGGGGGGAUGAUGUCACAACUAGGAAUUUUAAUGCGUUGUAAACAUUAAACAAGGAUAACAUUGUAACUAAAACUUGAAAGCAUGUAUGAUGCUUAUUCAAUGACAACAAAAUUUCAUCAAACACUCUAUACAAACACUCAAAUAGUCAACAAAAGAUUGGAAACGCUAGAAAUCCCGGUUUAAGUCCAAUAUGGACAAGGAUUUCCUUAUUGGGCCUAAUGGACCAAUAAACUUCCAAUUUGACUAUUUUGGGCUAUAACUCUUANUUUGGGCUUAUAACUCUUAAAUGGGCUCUCAUUGGACCCACUCUCAUGAGACUUAACCUUUUUCGGCCUUAUAAGUCUAAAAUGGACUAGUCUACCUUUAAUGGGCCUUGUUGGGCCAUGACAAAUCCAAUUAGCCUUAAUAGACUCAAAUCCAUUCUUUUGUGCAAGAUUUGGGCCUUGAACUACCCUAAAGGCCCAAUGGGCCGAAAACCAUCAAUUUGGGCCCAUAUUAUGGACUCAAGCACAAAAGGCCCAAACCAUUCUUUUCCUUUACCCUCUUUCGCCCCAAGUAGAAAACAAAAAAGGGGAAAUUAAGGGAAUUAAGGAGGGUUAGCCACCUCCUUAUUAUAUAUUGGACUUCCAUGCAAUUUCAGAUAUCUCCAUGCAUCCAUCCCUUCACCUCUCUCUCUCUCUCUUCUCCUUCUUCUACUCUCUGUCGAGGGCAUCAACACACACACACAUACUUAAUUCACUUCCAUAUCCUCUCAAGAACACCUUCAUUCAUCCUUCAAAAUAUUCGAGAUUUAGGGCAUUUCAAGGAGGUUCUUCCACAAGAAUCAUCAUCCUAGGUAAGUUGAUGCUUGGAUCCAUAAUCUAGUCUCUUUAUUUCAUCAAGAAUCUCUUCUAAACUCACACAAACUCAUGAUCAUACUCCUAGAAAACUAUAAGUUCGAGAUCCACCCAAGAAGGACUACUAGGAUCAAAAUCUUCUUCAUUUCUUUCUUCAAAACCAUGAGCAACAAAGCAAGGUGAGUCCAUACCCCCUUGUUUUUGAUUUUUACUUGUUUUUUGGGGGAUAAUACAAGUAUUAUGUGAUGAUCUACGUGUGUUUGCAUGCUAUAUGUGAAUUCAUUAGUUUUUGGUUGUGAUAUGAAAUAUAUAUUAUAUUUUGAGAUCUAUAAUAAAAGGGUGAAAUAAUCAUGAACAAGAACAUAAUGAAUAACAUACAUCAUGGAUCUAAGAGUCUUUAAGUUUAAAAACUGAAAAACAAAACCAAAAGAACCUUACAAGUGUCAUUUUUGCAAAAAUAACAAAUAUUGGGUAUAAAAUGUGAUUUGUCUGUCUUAUGAGGGUUAUAAGUUGUUUAUUUGUAUAAAAGCUGAUUUUUAUGAAAAUAACACUUUUCAAAGGAUCAAAAACAUAAAUUUUAGCUUAAUGGGCUUAAAAGUGGUCUUAAUGGGUUUUGGGCCCAAAGUUGCGAAAAAAUGAGAAUUAGAGGGGCUAAAUUGGAAAACUUAACAAACUAUGGGUCUAAAAUGUAAAUAAACUUUUUCAGGGGUUAAAAAUGAGUUUAUUACCAAAUUUUAACUAAAAAUGCAAAAUUUUGAUUUUGGGGUCAAAAUUGUAAAACUUACGGAAAUUGGGCCAAGAAUGUAACUUUUUGCAAAUGAAGGCUGGAAAUGAAAAAUGCGAUAAUUUUGGACUGAAAUUACUAUUCAAAUAAAGUUUCGGUGGAAAAUGUCAAUAAAAAUGGUUUAAGGACCAAAAAUGUAAAUUUUUGUAAAAAGGGACUAAAACUGUCAUUUUAUAGAAAAAGGUGCCAUAAUGGUUAAUCUAAAUGUUUUUUGGCCAAAUAAACGAUUAUAACUUUUGGGGUUAAAAAUAUCAAGUUUAUAGUGCAUAGUUUUAAAAAUAUAUAUACAUAUAAUAAAAACUUCGUUAUAAAUCAAACGUUAAAAUGUUUCGUUAUUGCGAAUAAAUAUUUAACAUACCAUGAAUACCAACAAUACGAACUCAAACUCAAUAAAACAUAAGAGAUUCAAAAGUUGGAUCAAAUAACUUCUAUACGUGCUAUUGGGCCUUUGUGGCCCAAUAUCAUGUUUAAUUGGGCCCGAUAUAUUCACACAUGUUUAUUGUACCUCCUGUGACCCAAUUACAUGCCUAAGGGACCCUCAACGGCUUUUACAUGUUAUUGGGCCUCAGUGGCCCAUUGACAUUGCUAGUAAGGUCCAAAUCAAACAUAUGCAUGAUGGGACAACGUGUCCGUCUCAUACUCGACAGCCUAUCAUAUCAUACAAGAUUAGUGAGCCUCUGCUCUCCUCUUUUCUUCAUAUGUUAGGCUUAUCUCUAUUAUUCAAGUAAACAUAAAUUUUGGUUGAUAAACAAGGUUAUUCAAAUUCAGUUGGAUUUAGUGGGAAAUAACGGGUGACACUAUUAAGUGUCGGUCGUAGUCUUUGUUUUAACCAGAAUCUCCUUGAGGGAGAGCGAGAGUUUUUGUAUAGAUCUAUAUGGGGGUGACUCCCCCACACCUGAGCUGUUCACUACAGUUAGACUCGGUCGGUCUAGGGUGACAAAAUCUUAAAUAAAUUCCGACAUUCGCUAGAAUGCCAAGACAGACGAACUACUCAUUAUUAUUCAUGGUUAUAACGACUCACAUCGAGAUCCAACACAAUCUAAGUAAUCAAGGGAAAACAUAUUCAUUCGUUGUGACGAUACAAUAACAUAAAACAAUCAAACUAUUUAUGUCGGAAAACAUCGGGUUUUCCGGGGGAACAACAUUAUUCACUUCUAUACACAACAACUAUAAUACGAUAACAAAUUUUGAAUAACAAUCACUUUCACUUGUUUUCGAAGUCACAUACACAUGCACUUAUGGGAUCACCGCAUCUUUUCGCAACAGUUUUUAUAUCAAACAUGCUUAUGAACUCAGCAACAUUAUAUAUAUAUAUAUAUANNNNNNNNNNNNNNUAUAUAUAUAUAUAUAUUGACGUUUUGAAAAUAACUUGUAUUCUCAUGUAACAGAUAAGCCGAAGAACAAUACCAAGUGUGUUAGGAUGUUAUGUUUUGAAAAAUUCUCAAACAAUUUAUGUUACGGAUGUGUAAUGUUUAAACAAUGUACUUGAUGUGAAGAAUGUCAGUUGUACUAUGUAAUGUUGGUGAUGUAUGUGUUGUUCAUGUAUAUUCAUUGUGAUGAUAUUUCAACUUAACUCAUGCGAGCCCUCAGACGUUUCCGUCGUCUGGUUCGGGGGUGUGACAUAUACAAAUGGGUUUUGAAUAAAUUCUCUCUAUAGACUAACACUCCAAAAAAUCAUUCUUAAUAUGGGUGUCACUCACUUCCUAUUUAUAGCAAAGACAACUCAUUUACACAAUACUAGUGGGUAAAGCACAAAUACAUCCAAACGUGACUUUGUACACUAACAUUCUCCUCCUCAAAGUUAGGAUUGGAUGUCCAACUUCAAUAUCCAACGAGCUCGCGUGAUCAAGACCAAACUCCCCCUCGAAGUAACACCGGUCUUCAAAUCCGCAAAUUAAUUACCAAAAAACUCGCUUCGAAUACCCAUCAUUCUCCCCCUUUUUAUAAUCAAAAAAUGAUUAUAAAACCCAUUAAGGGUGAGAAGCGUCCGAGGAAUGAACUUCACAAUACUCCCCCUUGAUGUGUACCCAAAAUGAAUCACAAAAAUCUUUCACGGAAAAACAAUCACAAAAAGCCUAAAAAAUUUCCAAAUUCUUGAAAUUUUUUGACUUUUUUGGGUGAAAGUUGCAAGAUUUUCCAAAAACCGUGUAAAAACUAUCAAUAACAGAAUUCUGCAGGGACCUGUUGCGCCAAAAACAACUAAAGAUACGAAACACUCCCCCAUUUGCGAAACUGGGCAUAAAGUGUAAGUUCACACAAACUGCAGGGACCAGAAAUGAACAUUCUUCAAAUUCUCAACUUUUGUGAGCCCAUUUUCGAAAUUUGGUAUAAACUGCCAAAAUUUCGAUUAUUCAAGUGCUACUUUCGAAACUUCUGCACACUUCUUCAAACUUUCGGAAGUUUUAGUCCUUAUUUCGAAAGUGGGUGCAAACUGUCAAUCUUUCGGAAUUUGAAGGGACGAAUUCGAAAAUUCUGCCUUAUUUCUUCCAAAUUCAUGAAACCUUGAUUGUUCCAGUCGCGAAUCACCAAAAUCUUCGCUUUUUCAAUUCGUUAGUUAACAUCAAUGCUCAAAUUUUCGACAGUACGGCAAAAAUCUUCGCGAUAAAAAAUCUUUGUUAGUCAACAUCAAAUUUUCGAAACUUUUUAACCCAUAGUCAUUGACACCAAAAAUGAAUUCAUCAAUAACUUCGCUUUUUCAUUAACAAACCCACUCAAUAAAAGCUUCGGUACGUUAAUACUAGCCAUAGAUUUCAAAAUCGAUAUCAAAACCUUCGUUAGUUCAAGUUCCAGUUCAUCAUCUUGUAAAUCGAGUUCACCAAAAACACGACUUUGAUAUAUCGACUCCAAAUCGAGUUCGAUUCCCAAACGAAAAUCAAAUACGUUCAAACCAAUCAUCCUUUAGUGAACCAUCUCCUUCCCAUUCGAUUCCAAAUUAUAUUCGACAUCCAACUUAACUAUCACCAUCGAAAUCGAUUUCAACAUCUUUCAAAAUCGUUCUUUGUUGUCAAGCCAACAAAAUCUAUAUCAAGCAUCAAACUCAACGAAUUAGAACACCAGUUGAAAUAUCAAUACAGAGACCCAAUUUCAAAAUCUGGUCAAUCUUCCUAAUCCAUCCACAACGAUUAGCAAUUUCCAUUUACAAUUCUUCCCUUCCCAAAUCGAUAUUCGAAUACGUUUUCAUCACAAAAAUCUUAACGAAGCAAAAGAAAAGAAAUUUUGACUUCCAGUUGACUUUCACAUCACUAUUUUGAAUUCAAUGAUUUUCAUAGCAAUUGAAAUUGAAUUCUUCAUCAAGCAAAAUACCACUAUCGACUCUUUUCCUUCGUUUUUAGUGAUCAUUGACAACAAACAAUUGAUCUCAAAUCAAGUUCUACAUCAAUAACAAGACACAAAUUCGACUCAUUGGAUACAUACUAAAUCGAAUGUGAUUUGUAAACAAGAAGUAUUUUGACUCAAGCAAGGUGAAUCAAAGUUUCGAUUUGGUCACAAUCACAUAAUCAAAAGUCAAUUUUGACUUUUGAUUGACUUUUGAUUUCAGUAGUCAACUCACAAAUCAGAUUGAAUUGCCAACAAAAAAAACUCUAUAUAUCAAUUUCUGAUUUUGAUUUUGAUGUUCCAGUCGAAAUCAAUUUUAAACACCAAAUAUAAGACUUGAUCGAUUCACAGCGAGAGCUCCGAUCUUGAAGAAAGUCAAGAAUGUACAACAGCUUUAUGUGUAUUGUGCAUAACGAAGAACUAUGAGUGAAUCAAAUGAUUUAUGGACUAGAUAUGUGAAUGAAUCUAUACAAACAUAAUUGGAUCAAUAAUAAGGUUGAAACGGAUUUGAUCCAAUGAGGCAAAUCGAUCAAAAAUGAAAAAUGAAAAAUACGAAUCGAAAUUAUAGAUGUUUUGGAAUCCAUUUGAGAAUUUGUGAUACCUUUUAGACAAAUCGAGAUCCAUUUGAAACAAACGAAUCGAAUUUAGAAGAUCUUGGUUCUUUUGUUGGAAACAGAAAAACUCAAAUUUUAACAUUGUACCACCCACGAUGCGUGUUGUGCAACACGUUCUUCUUGUUCUUCGUGUUCUGCAACGAUCCAAGAACAUCUUCAUAAGAACCACCAACACUUUUCAGUUUUGACUUCAAAUUCAAUGCAACACUUUGAGAUUGUUGCUUUGGAAGCCAAAUUUGUUUCACGACAACAUUUGAUGAUUUUUGAGAAUAAACCCGCUUGUUCUUCCGUUUAAUCUUCUUCUUCUUUUUCUUUCUCAUCUUUUUGCAUAUUGAAGACUUGAUUUCAUGAACAAACCCACUUUCCACAACUUCAACAUUGUGAAUUUGAAUAAAAUCUUUUGGAAUUUGAUACUUGUGAAUUUCUUGGAUCACGAGCUUCCGAUAAGGAAUCAUUCCUUCAAACAAAUCACAAGAACACAAAAUAUCAUCGGUUUCAACUCCAAUUGCGCAAAAAACUUUUUCAUCUUUAUGAGAAACAACUUGAAUCUUCUUAUCAUGAACUUCAAGAACAUCAAGAACAUCACAUUGAACUCCAUAGUCUUGAACUUCAACAAACUUAAGAGCACGAAGAACAUUUGGGUUUUUAAUUAGAGAAAUGUAUUUCUUAUUAAACAAAUCUCUUUCUUCUCCUUCUUUUUUAUUUCUACUACGGACUAAUAUGGACAAGGCAAUUUUAUUCAACCAUACAAUCUUAUAAAGUGGUUGAAAAUUCAAGCUUCCAUUAUCAUCCUUCAAAUCUCCAUAAGAAACCAUAUUACCCCAUGAAAUCAAUUUGCUUAACACCAACCCAUAAAAUUGAUCUUCAUUGACUUUCUAUUUGAUAUCUUCAACAAUCACAAUCCAAGAAUCAUACGGUAAAUCCACCAUGAUCACAAGAACUUGAAAAUUUCUAGAGAGAGAAAGUGAUUUUGAAUGGUUUUCUAGAGAGAGAAAGUAAAAAUCACUUGAAUUCUAGUGAAAAAAAUCGAAUUAUGAGUAGAAUCAAAGAUGAAUUAGAUUUCUAGAAUCCAAGCUCUCUAACACACGAAGAUCAAUAAGAACAUGAAGAGUCACCAAAUCAAGAUUGCCACCAUGGAUCAAUUCUUGAUCAAAUCAAGAACACCCGCUCUGAUACUAAUUGUAGUGGUGUUGAUUAUGAUGGUAUGUGCGGAAUUAGAAAAGAUCCUGUGAAUCAUCAUGUAAACUCAAUAACACAAGGAGUAAAUAAAUCCGUGUAAGCUCAUAUUAGAUAUAGAAAGGAUAUACAAAUGGGUUUUGUACAAAUUGUCUCUCUAGACUAACACUCCAAAAUGAUCAUUCUUAAUAUGAGUGUCACUCACUUCCUAUUUAUAGGAAAGACAACUCAUUUACACAAUACAAGUGGGUAAAGCACAAAUACAUCCAAGCGUGACUUUGCACCCUAACAGAACUGUAAUUAUGGACUUCCUAGAAUCUUGGUGAAUUUAAAAAGCAUAUCGUACAUUUAGUUAGGUGAAGUAGAUAUUCCUAAAAUACAAUGCUAUUUGGUUUCAUUUAGUUCAAACAUUGGAAGUUUACAAGGAUGAAAAGAGUCACCAUUUGUGCUCUAAGAGGCCUAUGGUUCAUGGAAAUGACACCUGUAGAAGGUUCAAGACCAAGAAAUUCAGAAAGGCCCUUAAAGAAGGAUCUUGUUUCUAUUGUCAACAAACAGGACACUGGAAGAGGAACUACUCCUCUGAUCCUAGAAAAAUUGGUCAGAUCAAUAAUUCAUGUAUAUAUUAGUUUGAACUUAUACUUUUUAUAUAAAACUCAAUUCCUUGAUACUUAAUGUUAAUGUAAUAUUUAUAAAUGUUUACAUAUAUUCAAGAAGAGUAAACAGGUUAGAACAAACAAGUUGGUACCACCAUUCUUAGAGUUUAUUAUUUAUGUUUUGAACAUAAAAUACUUCUAUUAUAAAACAACGUUUGUUUUGAACAAUGUAUGUUUGAAUUUAGCUUGCCAAAUAUAUGUCUCAGUUGAUUAAUUAGAUGAUUGAUUAUUUUCUUAAUUGUUUUUCAUAAUGAUCAUAAUCAUAUUCUGUAAUGAUUUUAAUUUCAAGAUUUAGAUUUUUUAAUACAAUUAUAAAGUAAAUAUUAGUAUUUUCUAAGAUAAAACAUUCUAUAAGAAAUCUCUUCAGAUUCAAAUAUGAUUCAAAUCUAACUUAUAUGACAUUAUCUUUAUUAUAUAUACAAAAUACACAUAUUCCAACUUCAAGAAAUACAUUUUGAAGGAAAAUUAAUAUAUUUUAUUUCACAUAUUUAAUGUUAUUUAUAUAUAAAAGAUUACUAAUUUUAUUGUCACCAAACAACAGAGAAAAUAAUUAUUAAGAAACUAUGCAUAGUGAUGUAUGACUUGCUUUAUAAUGAAUGUCUAAUGCCUUAGAAUAGUAAAGGAUGAACUAAAUAUUACUAGAUAUAAUUUACUUAAUAAGUUGAAUAAAACUUCUAAACCCAAAAUCUACUAAAUACAUAUUUGUGGAAUAUACUAAAAAGUUAUUUAGGAUAUUAUUAACAAACUCAUCAAGAAUAAGAUCUCUUAUUUCUCUUAAUGUUGAGUUGUUAGCAGGCAGCUUCUAAUUGACAAAGCAAGUGGGAGGCAAAUGGAUCUUGAAAUAGCUCGAGAACCAUAGCCUGAUGUAGCGAAAUUUGGCAUUAUUUUUAACAAGAAAUUGUUGAACAUGAAUAAUAGCUAUUCAGAAAUACAAAUUGUUUGCAUAUAUAUGGUAGAAAUCAUCUAUAACAUGAGAAGUAUGGAAUCACUCGUUGAUGAGUUUUUAUUGAUAGUUUCUAGUAAACCUAUCAACUACCAGAAUGUUAUAUCAGGUUUAAACCUGGUAAUGAAUUAGAUCCAUGAACACUAAGACAAUAUCCAUCUACAAUAAUCAAGUAUCUACUUCAUUAAUCUUCCUCCCCAGAGUAAGACAAAAAGGAGUAUGUGAUUAUUUCAUAAAGAAAAAACCAUGGAGAUUUAUACACACUUAGCAACAGUUAUUAUAAAAGGCUUUACUUGUACUCAUGUCAUUGACUAUGAUCAAACAUUUUCUCAAGUAUCUAUAAUUAGAUAAAAAAAAGGAUAUUAUUUAUCAUAACUACAUAUUAUGAUUAUGAUAUAUAUGGUAAUAGAUUUUGGGAAAACCAGUUUCCUUAAAAGAUACCUACUUGAAGAUGUUUAUAUAGCUUAGCCUGGAAGUUUCUUUAAUCCACGAUAUUCUAACAAAAUAUGUAUGCUUUAAAGAUCCAUUUGUGGAUACAUCAAACAUCUCAGAGUUGGAAUCAUCAUUUUAAUUAUGAAAACACAAAGUACGUUUUUUACAUCUACAAAAAGAUAACAUAUGUGUUUACUAAGAACUAGUGGGAUUAUAGUGAUAUUCCUAAUCUUGUAUGAAUAAGGCAUACUUAAUUAUGAAAAAUUGAAAAUUCACCAAACCCGAUAUAUUUAUAUAUUGUUUUCUCUCUUCGUCUUUUUAAAUAACAUUUGAAGCCCUAAGUUAGUUGAGUUAAGUCAAACCAAGUUUAUCACUUUGAGAAUCUUGGUCCAAAAUGUCUUAUUUCUUCUUGCCAUGAUUCUUAUCCAUAUUUCCAACCUAAUAACUAUCUUUUAAUCCUUUAAGUAUUAUUUUAUCACAAUUUAUCUUUUUUACUUGGAGUUUUACUAAUUAAAAUUAGAAUUGGACAAGGUUCUUCAACUUAUCUCUAUUAGCCCUUUGAUAUUAAUCUUUAAUUUCGUACAUUUAAAUGUCUUGGAAUUUGAAAACCACUAACUAGCAUUUUACUAUUACCUUUCUAUAGAUUUAUAUUUGUUUAACUACACUUUGUUUACAUAUCAACUUUAAAUGAAAUUUUAAAUUUCCCAAAAAUUCUAGCCCAUAAAACUGGAUGUUACAUCUAAAGUAAAAUUUUAGUUGCAAUAGUACUUCCAUUACAUAAAAAUUCUAGAAGGAAAUUAGAAAAGUAACAUCCGUGAUUAUUUAAACAGAACAUAAGCCAGGUAAAGAGAUUAUCACAACUCCAAGUAAAGAUCCAAAAAUUUGAUAAACCUUUUAAAAUAAGAACAUUACAUGCAAGCAUAAAAAAAACAUGAUUAAAGAAAUUAAAAGAAUUGUACCAAUAGUAAAAUGCAAGAUUGACCAAAACUCACACGAUUCACCAACUAAUAGGCUUCACCCUAACUUAACAUCCUCUUUCUUAUGUUGAAUUACUUUGAUGGUCAUUGUAUGAUGUAUCCAUUUAAUGCCAACGUGACAUCCACUAUGAUUGAAAUUAAUCCAUAGAAUGCCAUGUAGGUAUUCCAACUCAUUCAACCAUUCCAUUAAACAAUGUACUGUAGAAUCUCUAACUAGUGUCCGUAAUGUAUGGUUUAAUAAGAUGAUUGAAUAAGAUGCACAAUAGAGGAGCUAGUAGUACGUAGGCUGGUGUUGCCCCUUCCCAAUCUAAUUCUUUUAAUUGGAUCACAAGUCCACAACCUGCGAAAGCUACCAUACCUAUAGGAAAACGUCUAUUUUAAACAUACCUUAUUCUUAAAUCCAUCUAUUUUAAACCAAUAUUAUUCUAAAAUACUGACUUUGUCCCUAGAGAUGGAAAGCUUAGUUGGCUCUCAAUGGUUUAAAUAUAACCAUGGUGGGAUGUCAAGUUAAAAUUCAAUUAAUUUGAAACUUAAUGACCAAUAACUUUCAAUGAGAAUAAUUUUUUUUAAUUUUAAAAUAUUUUCUAGUUAACUAACUUUGUUGAUUUCGAUCCAUUGUAUACAUACCUUAUUCUUAAAUCCAUCUCUUUUAAGCCUAAAUUAUUCUAAAAUAUUGAAUUUGCCCCUAGAUAUGGAAAGCUUAGUUAGCAUUUAAUGGUUUAAACAUAACCAUGGUGGAAUGUCAAGUUCAAAUUCAAUGAUUUUGAAACUUAAUGACCAAUAAGAACAUAAAUAAUGGAGAGUUAAAUGGAAAAGUUGAAUAAGAUGUCAAAUCUUGUUGUCAUUCAAUUGAUUAAACUCUACAAUUAUGAGAUGUCACAUUAGGAUUUAAUAGAUUUGGAGUUCAAUAAACAUUUAAUCCUUCUAUGGAAAAAAAUGAAAUUUCUAAUUCUUUUAUAUAUAUAUAUAUANCUAACUCUUAAAUAUAUAUUUAAACUAGAUUACAUCCCGUUAGAACCACGGUCAGAAAAAUAAAUAGUUUUAUAAUAAAAAAUCAUAAUUGUUAAUCAAUUAUUUUCAAUAAAUUAUUAAUCAAGAUAUUUAUGUUUUUUAUAUAUGUAAAAUUAUAAUCGUUGAUUCAAAUAAGUAUGUGAAAUUAUUUUUUAAGUUGUAUGACACAAUUUAUAUUUGUGAAUUAAUGAAAAAAUAAUGAUAUUGUAUAACAAAUAUUGAAUUACUUUUAAAAAUAAAACAACCUCAAUAAAUAAAGUAAAUUAAAAUUGGUAUAAAUGGAAAAUCAAAAAAUUAAGUUGUUAAAAUAAAAAAUAUAUGAAAAAUAUAACAAAUUACAAAUGAAAAUUAACAAUAAAGUUAUAUUAGUAGAAAUAUACAAUGUUGUGAUUCUUUAUUUGCUUUUCGGUUAUCUAAAUAUACUUUUUUUCGCUUUUAGCAGAAAUAGAAUCCAUGUUACUUUAUGAAUACGUAAACAAAAAUAGUUUAAUCAAAAUUUAAUAAUGAACUAGUGAAGAAUCCCGUGUUGUGGGUGUUGGAGUUGCGGGGGUUGGACGGUAUUUCAUAGCCUUUUAUUAAAAAACUGUAAAUAGCAACAAACUUUACAAUGCUUUGCAUAUAGUGGCUCUAAUUUUUCAUAAGUUGCUAUACGGAAAUGUAAUGUUAAAUGUUGGUAAUUAUACAAAGUAUCAAAUUACAAUGUUCUAUAUGCAAUAACUGGUAUUUCUAAAUAUACAAUGCAAUAUGUUGGUAGAUUUUCACAUUGCCACAUUAUAUCAUCUCUUACAUGUAAUCAACAUAAACACAAAUCAUAUGUGCCCACAUGAAGUCCAAAAUGUCAUAUUUUCUACAUGGUACUCUUCUGGUUAGUUGUUCACUUUGUAUUUGACAGCAAAUGAUAAAUCAUCCUCAAUAUAAAGAAUGGAAGUUAAUCUUUUAGUAGAGUCAACGACUUAAAUUAAAAGUAUAAUCAUAUAAUAUAACCUUUAAAUUAUUAGUUUUUCUCUUGUGUCACAUCGUCCCAUGUUUUCUCCAUAAGUUUCCUGAUUAAUGAAGACAUUAAUGGAAGUUAAAUCUCUUAAACUUAAUUAUUUCAUGAAUUACACUAUAAUACAAACUUUUCUAAACUGGUUUUAUAAUAAAAAAGUAAUGAUAUUAUAAUUACAUAAUAAGAUAUCAUUACCUCAAAUGAGACAGUCUGAGUUUGUCAUGGAAGGAGUUGGUUGAUGUAAAAAGAGCUUCCAAGUUCCAACUGCAAAGGAAUCUCCAUAAAAUUGUAUUAAAUAUAUAAUAUUGAUGUGAAAAUGCAUUGAACUCUAUAGAAUUAAAUGAAUUAUGGAUUCAAUGAAUAAGAAACUUUUUUAAAUUUUAAAAUAUUUUCUGGUUAUCUUUAUUUGCUUUCAAUCCGUUGUAAGAUUAAAUGCUAUAGUAACAUAAAAAGUAGAAUGUCGAUAUAACAAAUAAACUUUAAAAAGUUGCAGGUACUAUGCCGUAAAGAAGUAAAGUUCUAUGCAAUGGUAAUUAAAUAGAAUGUUUUUUUAAGUUAAAUUUUUUUUACGUUUCAUUAUAUGGCUUUGAGUUCAACUUCUUUUAGGGAUAAGUUGAAACAUUAGAGGUUUUCCGGCGGAAGGGGAUUGUGUAUCAUGAUUCCGAACAUAUAUAAUUUGGAUGGAUAAAAACCUUUCGUGGAUAACGGUUAGAAAGGAAAACAGAUGAACAUAUAUAAUUUACAAAAUUAGAAAGGAAACAGAUAUUUUAUCCGGAUUUUUGUGGUGCAUAAUUGCUCUAUAUCUUGAUUGUACGUGUAGUAAUAUUCAACAAAUGCAAGUUGAUCUCAGUCAAAUUUGACGUUUUGUUGUAUUUAUGAUAAGUCUGGGUAUCCGAAUCAAGUCACAUGAUAUCAUCUAUAAUUAAUAUCGUCUUUAACGCUAAGAAUAAAGGAUCAUAUUAUUUCUCAUAAUAUUACAUACAGUGUGAACCAAAGACAUACAUGUUGUACGUAGUAAAUAUCUAGUUACGUUGAAAUCUUUUUAAAGUGAAUAUCAAGUGAAGUUUUCCAAUACCUUUUAUGACAAUAUUAAUAACUACUAGAAUAGAAUAUUGAUUUCACUUUCUCAAGAGAACCUCAGUAACUAAUUUAUCAAAGUUGAGAUAAGACGACCCCCCAAUAACAAUAGCUUCUUCCGCUUUCUUCUUCCAUUCUAAAGCCUUACAUUUCAUCAUUUUCCCUUUCUUCCCAUCCAUCAUCUCCCUCACCUGAGCUUCCACCUCCUCUCUCUUUACACUGGAAUCAAUUUCCAUUCCAAUUUCCCACUCUACACAACUAUAACGACAAUUGGUUUGUUGCUCUGCAAAAAACGGCCAACAAAUAACUGGAACACCGCUGCUAAUACUCUCAAUAGUCGAGUUCCAGCCACUGUGAGUCAGGAAUGCUCCAAUUGCUAGGUGCUUUAAAACCUUCAAAUAUAGAUCAAUAAAGAAACUUUUUAGUGACAGAUUUAAAUUUAUGCGUGAUAUGGACAUAUGGUAAGUAUAUUCCAACAAGGUUAAAUGACUUGAAUGCGUGCUUAAAUAAUGCUUCUGGACUAUUUAACAAUUUUUAAUGUGGUUUGGUUUUAUUACUCAACGAUUAGAAAGAAUAAACAUUACCUGUUCUUGAGGGCACCAACUAGUGACCAUGCCUCUCUCUUUUGUCUCGUCAACAAACUCUUGUGGCAUCAUGGCCUCAUUGCCUCCAACAAUGUCGGGUCUUGUAAUCCACAAGAAAUCUUUCUUGCUAUUCGCCAGUCCCCACCCAAACUCGAUGAGUUGUUCUUUUGUCAUGACUGUAAUGCUUCCAAAGUUAACGUAAACAACUGAGCCAGGGUCUUUUGUGUCAAGCCAACUGAUGCAACUCUCAUCUUCCUUCCAGAGGUUGGACCCAAUGUGUUUGACCUGAUCAUUUUCAAUAUGUUGUUGCAUCAAGUGUAGUGGGCCUAUGGUGAAGGUUCUUGGAUUUAAGGUAAUUAAAGGGUUAACACUAUCUUGUUCUAAAGCGUCGAAAGUGUUUAGCACCACAGCUGAGCCUCUAGGGAUAGUUGCAGCCUCGGUGAUGAGAUAAUUUAACAUGGUGUCGUUUAUGUCUGUGGUUCGAAUAAAACUGGGGAAAUCCUUUAAUUUGAUGUUAUUCAUUCCAGGAAUCCAAUCUAAGCUUUUCUCCAAAUACCCAUUUAAUACCUCGCUCAUAUCUGUAUCAUUUCAAUCGUUACGUUUCAUGAGUAUCUAUAUGUAGAAAGCUAAAACUAGAUUUAUUUGUAGGAAAAUAAAUAACUUAUACACAAACUUAAUAAAAAGGUAACUAUGCAUAUAAAGAGACUAGAAAAAUACACAUAUGCAGAUUUUAAAAUAAAAAGCGUUUAUUAACAUUUUUAUAAAAUCUAUUCACAAUAUAUAUAUAUAUAUAUCCGGUAAGAAUUUUUUUUUUGUAGGAAAGUAAGAAGCUUUUUUCUACAUAUCUUUUUAACGAACAAAACAAAUAAAUCACUAAAUGAAUAAAAAAUAACAUGAUUCACAAAAAAAUUGUCAUAAAAAAAACAUCUCGAUGAUUAAUUUAUACAAUGAUUUUAUUCUUAUUUACUAAAAUUGUCAUAAAAGUGAAGUUUUUCUUAAUUACUUAAAAAUAAAUCAUAAAUAUGUUUUUUUGGGAAUUUUUUCCAGUGAAUCAUCUAAUGAUUUAUUUUGUUUGUUUGCUAAAAAAAUAUGUAGAAACAUAAUUUUUUAUUNNNNNNNNNNNNNNNNNNNNNNNNNNNNNNNNNNNNNNNNNNNNNNNNNNNNNNNNNNNNNNNNNNNNNNNNNNNNNNAUAUGGCCGUAAUCAUAGCCAUUCAUUUUGGGAAUAAAAAAAUAUUUCUAAAACACAAAAUAAAUGAAAACUUUUGAUUUUUUUUAAAAUAUUAUUUUCGUUAUUUAUAUUAUUCUAAAAAAUAAGAAUAAAUAAUAAAUAAUAAUAAAUGACCAUUGAUUCUAAAAUAUACAUAAAGUAUUCUAAUAUAAUAUUAUAUUAUAAAUAUUCAAAAUGAAUUUUUAGAAUUUAGAAUAUUCUAGUAAAAUAUUAAAUUAUAAAUAUUCAAAAACUUCUGAUAAAAAUAUUAAAAUAUUCUAACAAAUCUAAUAAUUAAAGUAGAAUAUUAGAAUACUUUAACAUAUUUAUCAAUUUUAGUAGUAUCUAAAAAUAUUCUAAUAUUAUAAAAUUUCGAUUUGAUUAUUUAUAGUGUAAUAUUCUAUUAACAUAUUUCAUGUAUAUUUCGAAAAAACAUAAUUUUAUUUAUUUGUUUGGAUAAAUUAAAUAACAAAAAUAAUAUUUAAUAAAAAGUUUUCGAAUUUUUCUUUUAUUUUGCAUUUUAACAAUUUUUUGUCCUAAUGUCUAACAAUAUUAAUGUCGUCUCAAUUUAUACUAUAUCAUACUAUAUUAUAAAGAAAAUAUUUUUUCUUUCACAACAUUUAUUUGAAACUCAAAACUCUUCAUAUUUCGAUAUAAUAUAUUUAAUUUAUUAACUUAAAUAUGUUUUUAAUUAUAAACAUUAUCGUAAAUGGAAGACUUUGUGACUUAUCAAUAUGAUAUGUUUAAUUUGUUAACUUCAAUAUAUUGUUAAAUAAAUAAUCUAUAUAAAUAUAUUAAAUAAGAUUAAAAAUUUAUUGUUAUAUUAUAAAUGAAACAUUUUUUUUUCUUUCACCACGUUUAUUUGAAACUCCCAACUCUUCAUAUUUCCAUAUAAUAUAUUUCAUUUAUUAACUUAAAUAUUUUUAUUUGUAAACAUUAUCACAAAUGGAAGACUUUAUGACUUAUCAAUAUGAUAUAUUUAAUUUGUUAACUUCAAUAUAUUGUUAUUUAAUCAUCUAUAUUAAUAUAUUAAAUAAGAUUAAAAUUUUAUUGUAAAAUUGAAAACCUAAAGUAAAAUAUCAAAUAAUGUUUUAAAAAUAAAUCAAUAUNUAUAUAUAUAUAUAUAUAAUAGUUUAAAGGAAAACAUUAAAUAUAAUAAAUAUAAAACAACCUAAUUCUUGGAACCGAAUUAACAAAAAUGUGUCUGAAAACUAUAUUUUAAAAUAACUAAAAUUCAAUUCAGUUGUUUUUAAAUUAAUUUAUAAUAAUAAUAGUUAAAAAUAAUAGAAAUUUCGAAAUUAAAUUAUAUUAGAUUACAAACAGUUGUUGAAAUAUGGAUGAACAUUUAUUGUGCGGACGUAUGGACAGUGUUAUUCUGUGAGAAUGACAAAGAAAGUAUGUUGUUUGAUAAUAUGAAUAUGUUCACUCUUACAUAACUAUUGUCUUUAUCACACAUUCUCAUUUAUUAAAUCGUUUAUAAGGUUAUUAUAGACUUCUUAUUAUUAUUCUCAUUCUGUCAGAAUGUUUAUUGAGUCAUAUUAUGUCUGAAUGAAAAUGAAUGAAAAACGAUUUGUGAGAACAAAAAUAAAGAAGAAUUAGUGAGAUUGCGUGAAAAUAACAAUAUUUUUGUAACGUUGAACAUAUUUGCAUUACUAAACAACUUAUUCACUUAGUAAUCCGCAUACAAUCGCAUUGUUCAUACGUCCGCACAAUAAUUGUUCAUCUNAUAUAUAUAUAUAUAUAUGGAUGAACAUCUAUUGUGCAGACGUAUGGACAGUGUUAUUCUAUGAGAAUGACAAAUAAAAUAUGUUGUUUGAUAAUAUGAAUACGUUCACUCUUACAUAACUAUUGUCAUUAUCACACAUUCUCAUUUAUUAAAUCAUUUAUAAUGUUAUUAUAGACUUUUUAUUAUUAUUCUUAUUCUGUCAAAAUGUUGUUAGAUUAUUUAUUGAGUCGUAUUCUGUCAGAAUGAAAAUGAGUGAAAAAGGAUUUGUGAGAACAAAAAUAAAGAAGAAUUAAUGAGAAUGCAUGAAAAUAACAAUAUUUAUGUAAGAUUGAACAUAUUCGUAUUACUAAACAACUUAUUCUCUCAAUAAUUCUCAUACAAUCGCAUUGUUCAUACNNNNNNNNNNNNNNNNNNNNNNNNNNNNNNNNNNNNNNNNNNNNNNNNNNNNNNNNNNNNNNNNNNNNNNNNNNNNNNNNNNNNNNNNNNNNNNNNNNNNNNNNNNNNNNNNNNNNNNNNNNNNNNNNNNNNNNNNNNNNNNNNNNNNNNNNNNNNNNNNNNNNNNNNNUAUAUAUAUAAUUUGGUGCUCGAAAAGAAUUUAUGUAUAAAAAUACAACAAAUAAAACAAAUGACAUCGCUAUAUAUGCAUUAUUUUAUUAGGUUGUCUCCUUUGAUAAAGUUGAUUCGGUGUCCUUUCCAAAAGUAGAAAUUUAAAUAUAAUAAAACUGUUGUAAUGGUCAAAUAGAAAAAUAAUAAUAUGAUUGGAAAAGAUAAAAGAUUCAAUCAUUUCACUGGAAAAGGCCAACGAUCAAAGUGACAUAAAUAUGGUUUUGGCAAGUUGGAACUCCAGAAAACAAGAACAAGGACAGUAAUUUCACCUUUGAGGGGAGUAUACCCCUUUCAACAAGAUCACGAUAGUGAGUGUAAGCUAAAACUCCGCAAGUACUCGGCGUCCAGAAUAAUACAUCUUUCAACCCAAACCUUUGGGCAGCUUUAAGCGUAAAGCUCAUGCACCCAUCGGAAACUAUACAGCUCGGAGGUGGCACGCCAGACUCCUCGCCACCUUUAAGCCUACUGAUCAGCUCACAGAAAGGUUCUAAACUGUGCUUAGGAACAGAUUCACAGAGGGCCGGGAUUGACUGGGUCGCUUCGACAUCAGACGGCGGAAGACCAUCAGGGAUGGAGUAGAAAUGAAAAUCGGGCAGACCAUCAAGGGAGGAAGGGCCUCGGGAUCUGAGCAAGCGCUUAUGGUUGUAGUGGGUGUUGACGAAGGAGAUAUGGAAUCCCUUACAGUGAAGGAGCUUCGCAAGUUUCAUCAUGGGGUUGAUGUGGCCUUGUGCUGGAUAGGGGAUGCAUAUGGCAUGUGGCUUCUCCAUUUCUGCUAUGGAACCCAUCUGCUGCAGUAUUUAUUUAUGUGUCUUGAGGGAGAAAGCAAACUGGUGGUGGUAGUAUUUAUAGGAGAGGAAGGGCAUAAAUGGAAGGUUAGCUUAAUUACCGCUUGGACCUAUUUCUAUUCGACAUGUGAUAUCUUAUAUUUUUCGGAAAUGCCAAACGAUUAAGCGGAGGUCUCACUUCAACAUUUCAAGGCCCGUUCUAGAGGGUGGACGAUAGGACGACCGUUCGGGGCCCAUGCCCAAAUUAUUUAUGUAAAUUGUUAUAUUUAUAAGAUAGUACAAAUAAAUUUCCUUUAAUUAUUGAGUUAUUAUAAAAAACUUGAUCACAUUUAUAUAUUUUAAGGGUCCAUUUUUUUUCUCUCGCUCUAGGCCCAAAAUAUGUUUAAAACAACCCUGAAUAUUUCAUUUUAGUGGUGACCGUGAGUUCUAGCUUUUUUAACGGACAAACUUAGCCACCAAAGGAGUAUCAUGAAAAACUUCUCACACAUAUCACCUGAUUACAAGAAACAAGUUUAACAUAUUUAAAUAAUUGAACUUCUCACCUCAAACUCACAUAGGUAUCAAACCCGGUGCAUCAAUAAAACUAUGUUCGACAUCACUUGCAUGUGAUAUCUUAUAUGUCCAACGAACAUUUAGCAUGUUUCACUUUAUCGAAAUUUUUUUAUAAUUAUUUGUAGAAUAAGUUAUUUUUUUAGUUACAUUUUUAAAAUUUUAACAUUUCUUGUUGAUAUGGUUUUCAAAAGUUGUAUGUCUGGUCCUGAAGACUAAUUUCAUGAAAUCUUAUCAGAUAAAGUUGCAUGUGUGGUAUUGCAUGCGUGGUGGUUAUUCUUGAUAACGAUUCACUAGGUUAGUGGCUGAUGGUGGUUAGUGAAAUUAAAUCGUUAGUUCCAAACAAUAUUUCAUAUACGUUUGUCUAUGUGGUGGUACGAAAUGUUGUGUAUUAUAUGACAGCUAUUGUGUUGAAUAAUUUUUGUAAAUAUUUUUAAAAACAUAUUUGUAUGGUCAAUUUUGUCUUGUCCAUGUAUUGUGGAACAUGUGUUGUGUUCUGUACAAUAACCAUAUUGUACUUUUUGUUCAUUGAACAUAUCACUACAAGGAAAAAUGUAAUUAGCAACAACAAAAGUCACCGCUAAAGGGUCUUCAUUGUCACUGGUAAUGGUAAUCGCGGCGACACGUCGCUGCUACUGCUUCAUCGCUAUUAAUCACAUUGUCGCCGCUAAACAGAAUUGCCACCGCUAAUGACAUAGUCGCCGCUAAAAAGUGCAGUCGCCAAUAAUAACAUUUUCGUUAAAUUAUUUUUUAAUCUACGAUCACUAAUAGAAAACAGCCAUUUAAUAACGCGCAAACAAUGACACGCGGUGAUUUACGAUACGCAAAAGCAUGUGCCCUAAAAAUAAUGUCAUAUCUUCUAAAAUUUGAAGGAUAGAAGACACGCUUUUGUGCGUGCCCUAAAAUUAUUGUCCAACAAAAAAAAUUAAAAACACGGAGGGCACCGAUUUAAAAAUGGGUGUCGUCUAGGAAUGUCGCUUUAUAUUUUUUUAUUCAAAGGCGCGCUCUCUUCUUUUGCAGCUGGGGGGAAACGAAAAUGCCAAAAGUUUGAAAAGCCGCCAUUGUUAUCCUCUUCCUUAUUUCCAUCUUUCUUUUCUAUCUCUCUCUCUAUCUAUCUCUAUCUCUAUCUCUCUCUCCCUCUCUCUCUCUCUCUCUCUCUAUAUAUAUAUAUAUAUAUCACUCUAAUACCCAAAAAAAACCCUAAUAUCAUCACCAAUCCUAUAAUUUUGUUGAUUUUAUUUAGUUAUGCUAUUGAUGGGUUGUACAGUCGCCGAAAGGGGGCCGACGAUAUCUUGCCUAAUGGUUUCAAACACCCACCUGAGAGACAAUUGUGUAAUUAACGUAAUUUUGUUCGGAUUAAAUGGUUUCACAGCUACUCGAGUGUUACAACUCAAUUGAGGAGUUUCUUUUUCCUUAUAAGCCCCCAAUUUCUGCUUGAUUUAUAGAAUGUAGUUAUUGUAAUCUACUCGGAUGUUGAUAAAACCCUAAUUCUACAUCGAUUACCCAGUGUAAGGGUUUUCUGUUCUUGUCUAUGUGAAGAUUUCUUACCUAAUUUCUCCUUCUAGGUUUCAUACUCGCCUUGAUGCUACUCGCUUGGUUUCAGUUUCAGGCCUGUACCCGCUGUUCUCUGUCAACUCCGAUCAAAACCAACCGGCCAUCCACCCUCGAUGUCACCUCCUUUGCCGGUCACCAAGAAUAAGCAGACACAGAUAGCUGACAACAAGAAAAACACGAACAAUAGAGUGGGAGAAAAAGAAAGAGAAAUUUGAAAUUCGACUUUAGGUGACCAUUAUUUCGUCGUUCCCUUAUUUUUUUUCUAAACCGAUUUGUUUUUCAACUAUGGAAUUUUGGGAAAUUUGAUGUUUUUUCUCCAUCUUCAAUUACUAUGUCUUUCUUAAUGAUACGUUAAUUUGUUUGAUUGAGGGUUCAACAUGAUCAAUUACUCAGACCAUUAUAGGGUUCGACAUGUAUAUCAUCGUUUAUUUGCGAUAUGCGACUAACUGGUCUUCAUUAGCGAUUUGCACGUAAGUACCUUUGACUGAAACUUUAUUGACUUUUCCUUUGACUUUCUAUAAUCAUUUUUCACAAGUUUAUAUCAUUCAUCCUAUUUUCUGUUUCUUCCAAAUACUCAUUCUAUUGUCACUUAUAGGAACGAAAAGAGAGGCAUUUGUACCCCCUUCUUAUUCACAAUCUAGUUUAGUGACAAGAAUUUGUUCAUUACCAACUUGAUGCAUUGAUGUUCAAUGAUCAACCACGUCCAGAUUAUGGGGUCGAAGUCAUGUACAGGGUAAUUACUUCCUAUUUCUUGAAUCUAAUUCUUGCAUUUUUCUAAAUGAUAAACCACGUCCAACUUGUUCUUGUUGAAGUUCCUUUAAAACCCUUCUCAUUCACAUUGCUUGACAUGCAGCUGCAGUCAAGGAAACAUAUUCAGCUUUGGUACUUGAAAGUGCAGUUCACUCUUGUUUCUUUGAGCUCCAUGUAACAACUCCUAUUCCCAAAGUGAACACACUUGCUGAGACGCUUCUUCUAUCAUCAUUAUAACCUGCCCAGUCACUAUCCGAAAAGCCACAGAGUUUGACUUGAGUUGCUUUGGCAUACCAACACUCAGGCGACUAUGAUCCAAGGCAGGAAUGUAUUGAACAUCAUGAAGGCAUCAAGCCUUAUCAUUCUCAAACUGAAUUCUUACUGUACCUUUUCCUUCUCCAUGUAAUGUUUUUCCAUUUCUAAGUUGCAGAGUCAUUUUCUUUGAAUCAUCAAGUUGAGAGAAGGCAUUUCGUUUACCUAUUGGAUAAUAGCCAGUGCCUUAGCAUCUUUUCUUCUAUUUUCUUGUAAGUUUGCUUCUUCAUUCUUUGCGGGAAGUCCAUGCUCAACUAGUUCCCACAGAUCUUGUGAUCUUAGUAUUCAUAGCCUUCUCCUUUGAACCCAGUGCUAAUUUCUCAACUUCUUUCACAGUUCUUCCAAUUUCCAAAAUUUCAAUUCCAACCAUAUUGAAAUUCGAAAGCAAUUGCUUCAAUCGAUUUCCUGUGGGUUAGCUCGAUACCCUUGAUUCGUCCGGUUGUGCCGCAUGAGUAAAGUAUCCCCACCCUAUCAGACCGCUAUACAUCUCUGCUUCAAGAUAUCCCAUCUCAAUGAAAGUGAUUCAGGCCUCACUCCUCUCUCAUAGCGAUUUAGGGUUUUUUGGUACAAGUUAUCGACUAAGACACCGGCGACUUAGGGUUUUUUCAUAAAAGUUGUGUAUGUGCACUUCGAUUGAUCCAAUGACGAAUCCACAAUGUUUGGUUUGGAAAAUGUAAAACAGAGGUAACGUUUGUUUCUUUUUGAGUUCAUACAGAUGAGAGAAUCACGUCAUCUGUCGAUUCUAUCAUCUCACAGCGUUGGUAGCCCCUUCAGGCGGUUUCUCCAGUCAGUGGCUCACUCCUUAACACAUAGGUACAAUUUUAUUCUGAUUUCUUCUUCUUAUAGUGCUUCAGUCUUUUGUAAACACAAUUUUGAUUCAUAAAAUAUCUGUUAUUCUUUCUACUCAAUUUGCAGUUACAGAUUCUGCUCUUUCAGCUCACAAUCGUAAGUGGUAUACAGUUUCACUGAAGCCAAGUUCCCUGUAGUGAAUAUGAUGCUUGUUAUCAGAACUUCAUAAUCACAAAAGCCAAACAAAUUGUUAUAUUUUUACAUAUCUAUUCAGGGCACAAGAAUUGGGUUCUUUGUGUUGCAAUGGUGAGAAUUAGAAAACAGUUGAUUUAUUAGUUUUACAUAUUUAUGCUUGCUUGUGCUUUGUUCAAUGAUUGGUGUAUCCUAAUAAAUUCAAAAAUAUAUUGAGCUUUGUAGUCGUCAUCCAGAAAUUAAGUGGGCUCAGAGAGAGGAUAAAGUUUAUGUCACAGUUUUAUUGGCGGAUACAAAAGAUGCAAAAGUGAAUCUUGCUCCUAAAGGUGUUUUUACAUUAUCUGCUUCAGCUGGUCAGCAUGAGUAUGAUCUUAAGCUUGAGCUUUUUGACAAAGUUAAUGUAGAGGUAAGCAGCCAUUUAUAUUCUAAAUUACUUUAUUAUAUCAUUAUGUCAUUUUACUAUAUACUAUAUCUAGAUUCAAAUAUAUUCAUAUUUAAACUCCAUUUAUAUUCUAAAUUACUUUAUUAUAUCAUUCAUUAGGCAUGGAGGGUACCUAAAGUCUUGCGUCCUUUAUAUGAUCUCCAACUGUUCUCGCUCAAAAAAACAACAAUGAUGGUAAUACAACAUUUUAAAUCCAUAACGUUUCCAAAUAUACCCUUAUGUCAUUUUACUUAAUUAAUAAAAAAUUGAAUAUGUGACAGGCUUUACGCCAGCUAAGGCAGAUCGCUCUAGAAGCUUCAAAAACCUCAUUGAUUUCAACAUCUUCUGAUUCUUGUGAUUGCAGCUAAGACAAUCAGGUAUAAAUAUAAUUAUGGUCUUUCUUAUAAUCUUUUGUACUUUACUGACAUAUUCUUGCGAUUGCAGCUUGUUGAACAUGUUGCUACAUGCUUAAUUAAAAUAGCAAAAAGAGUACAAGAAUCCAGUGAAAUGCUUGAUGAACUUUCUAAACAUGGAUUGAUUCAUCAAGUGGCAUAUCUUAUAGACCUGAUCAACCAUACCACUCUAUCUUAUUAUGUUCAUACUGUAUGUGCAUCUUCUUCUAUUUUUAGCAAUUUUUGUUUUUUUUCCAAUCUUUUUUAAGAACUCUUGUGUAUUGAUAUGUAGGGUCUAAUUUGACUACUUGUUAAACUUGCUUCUGGUUCUAUGGUGGCUGUGAAGACACUUUUUGAUCUUAAUAUAAGUAGCAUUUUGAAAGAGAUCUUGUCAAUAUAUGACCUUUCACAUGGAGUCCCUUCCCCUCGAACAAUUGAUGGACAUUAUAAUCAAAUGCAUGAAGUUUUGAAGUUGUUGAUUCAGCUUCUACCCGUUGUAUCCAGAAAUCAAGAAGUUCCAUUAGCUGCAGAAAAAGAAGCUUUCUUGGUGACUCAUCCUGAUCUUGUAGAGAAAUUUGGGAAUGAUUUAUUACAUGUCUUGAUCCAGGUUGGUUAUCAUUUGUCAAUCAUGUUGUACUGAUUUCUUGCUAACUUUUACAAUUUCCCUGAUAUACCCUUUCUUUUCUUCUCAUUUCUGAACAGGUUGUUGAUUCUGGGGUGGAUUUAUAUAUCUGUUAUGGGUGUCUAUCUGUUGUUGACAAGUUACUUUAUUACAGUAACUCUGAUAUGCUUCUUGAUUUGCUUAAAAGCACCAACAUUUCAAGGGGACAUAAUCUUGAAUUCUUGAUACUCAACUAUACUUUUUUCUAUCAAAUUUCUCUUCAGUUUUAAUGGUUUCAUGUUGGUAAUUUCUCAGGUCAAUUGCUUAUACAAUCCAGAACUUAAAGCUGAAUGGGAUUCAGCCAAAAUGGCCAAUAAAUAGAGAUUAGCACAGUACAUAUCGAAAGUAACAGGCGAAACAAUUGACCCAAAUACCCUUUUUGACAUUCAAGUGAAGCGCAUCCAUGAAUAUAAAAGACAGGUGUUGUAUACAGGAGAAGCAUGAAGAAUCCAAAGUGGCAAUCUUGUAAUUAUGCAUACAUAUCAUUCUGCCUUCUAAAUUUGGACCUAAUAGUUUCUUUUUUUUGUGUAAAAACAGAUGAAAAGAUAGCAUUAUUGGGUGCAAUACAAUCUUUAUUCGAGGGUUCAAUGUACACUUUUGUGUUUCUAUGGACACCUGCUUUAAGCCCAAAUGGUGAAGACAUUCCACAUGGUUUCAUUUUUGCUACUUUCAUGUUAUCUUCCAUGUUAGGAAGCUCUUUAGCUUCUCGGUUAUUAGCACACACACUGACAUACAUUGAUAUUGUGUUGUGUUGUGUGUGUGUGUGUAUAUAUAUAUAUAUAUAUAUAUAUAUAUAUAUAAAUGUAUAAAAUCAAGAUUCACUUUCCACUCGGACAAAAAUACUCUUCCGGAUUGUUCCGAAUUAUUAUGACCAUUUUGCCCUCAUAGGAAUUUUGACAUUAACAUAUAUGCACACAUUUCUUUUAGUGUAGAUUUUGUCGAAGAGAAAUGACAACAAAGAAGAUAAGUAUCUCUUGUUGUUUGUAUAUAUACACUUUUUCUUCUUGUUUAAUAACUUAAAAACUAUAUAAAUGUGAAAAUUGAAGGUUCACACACUGUUAAAAGGAUUGGAAAAGAUAAUUGCAAGUGCAGAUAUUCCAAUGUUCGUCUGUGGUGACUUCAAUUCAGUUCCAGGAAGGUAUGUGUCAUUUCUGCUACAUUUGUUAUGUGUGUUGUGUGGCCAACAAACAUAUGUUUUCAUUACUUUGGUGUAUGUAAUUAUUGAUCCACAAUAAGUCCAUGGAUUUACUGUGUUUUUGGAUUGUCCUAUAGGUAGCAUCUCAGCUUCUGAUUAAUUUGGUGUACUAUUUUGGCAGGUUGAUCUCUAGGGUCUGCUAGAAGGAUUGGAUAUUGCAGUUAAGCAUCUAUCUAAGACUUCACGGCAAGGACUUGAUGAAUAUAAGUUAGCAAUGUUUUACUUGAUUUGGACAUGAACAAGACUCAAGCAAAAGCAAGACUCAUACGUUGGCAUGGCUAGAAGCUUUGGAGGAAACAAGACUCAAGCAAAAGAAAACACACAGAGAGUUGUUAGCACAUAGUAAGCUAGAUAAUGCGAUUGUAUAUAAAUUCUACUUCUCUUGAGUUCAUUUCCUUUAUUACAAUUACUAAUUAUUGGAAUAAUUAUUUGUAUUUGACAUAUUAGUGAAAUGAAUUAUUUUUGUUAUUUAUGGUAUUUUAUUUUGUAUUAUGAGAUUUUUAAGGUAUUAUUUAAUUUAAAAAUUAGUAAAUCAAUAAUAUAAUAUUUUUUUAAAACAUUUAAAAUUAUGAUACGCAAAAAUGUGUGUCAUCUUCAUUUAUGACAUGGCCUUUCUUGACAGGGGCUUUCUUGAUACGCAUUGCGUGUCAUUAACACGCGCGUCGUAAGGUUACGACUUGUGAAUGCGUGUCGUCUUCCUUUAUGACAGGGCCUUCCUUGAUACGCAUUGUGUUUCAUAAAUGCGCGACGUAAUUGUGCGUCGUAAAUGAGCGUCGUAAAUGCGCGUCGUUUCUCUUUAUGACAGGGUCUUCCUUGACGCGCAUUUGCGCGUCGUCUGAGCCUUUUACGACACGCAAUGAGCGUCGUAAAAGGCUGUUUUUCUAGUAGUGGAUUUUGGUUGUUGGUAAUAGUGUCGUCGGUAAUUACAUAACAUUCAAUGAAAUAUCAAAAAUAAUAGUGUUGCUGGUAAUUUCAAAACAAACAUCCAAUUAAUAUCAAAAGUAAUAGUGUCACCGGUAAUAAUGUCGCCGAUAAUUACCGAUCCGAUUAAAUAUUAAAAGUAAUAGUGUCAUUGUUAAUAAUGUCGCCGGUAAUUAUAGAAAACAACCAAAAGUUUUACAAUCAAACAGGUAGAAAAAUGUGACAAGUGUAAUAUGCAAAUAAAACUCCUCCCAACAUACCAUUAUCUUCGUUCCUAUCGUUUCCUCGAUUAUUCUGUGAUUGAAAAAACAAAUAAAGCUCAUCUCUAAAUACCGGGUCGUUGAGUAUUGUAUGAAGAUUUUCCAACUACAAAAUAAAUAACAACAUAUGUAAAUUUAUAAGUUAAAUUAUAAAACAUAAACAAAAGCUAUGAAACUACAUUGCUAUUUUUAAACUAAGUAAAAAAGCCAAAGUACAUUGCAUCAAACACACAUACAUUGACAUAUAUACACCAAAUUUACAUAGAUUCACAUACAAAUAUCAAAUAUGCAUACAUAUGGCAAUUUUCAAAUAAUUGCUACCACUACACAUAUUUUGCAAUUAAACUAAAAUUUCACAAUAAAUAGAAGUAAAUAGAACCUGUGGUAGCGGAAAUCAAUGAAAACGGUCCAGUGGUGGCGGUAGUUGCGGGUGGUGGUCGGGAACGUAGCAACACAAUCGACAAAACUGAAAAUGACAAUUUUUUUGCAAUUAACCAUUCCAAUAAGCAUAUCGAUGUUACAAGAGAAAAGAGACCGAAAAUUGACAUGGGAAUAGCUUGGUGUCUCUGGAAAAAGGUUGAUGUCGCCGGAAAAAGUUUGGUCCUCACCGUAAAAUCUUUCUCUACUGGUGGUAUCUUCUUUGUGGACAAUUUCACACACCCAAAAUUGAUAAAUGUCACUAGUAUCCCACAAUAAUCGGCGAAGUAAGAUGCAGACUAGAGAAGAGAAACAGGCGAAGGGAGUGAAAUAGAAGAGCAAAAGGAAAAAUAUCGAGUUUUUGGGGUUAACUGCGUCGGUCUUUAGCGGCAACGCCUUUAUCGGUGACAAAUUGGGCUUUAGCAGCGACAACUAUCAAUAGCGGCGACUAUUAGGAGGAAUUAUUGUGGCUUCAUUUUUUUAUCUUUAGCAACGACUAUUUUGGAUCUUCAGUGGCGACAAAAGUCGCCUGUAUUUCCUUUAUGCGUUCCACAAGCACUCUAGCCGUUGGAUUAGAACCACGAUCAAACGAAUCACAUUUACCAGAAUGUCAAAUAGCGGAUUGGUGUCAUUCAGCCUUUAACGACGACCAUUUAAUUUGUCGCCGCUAAAACUCCCUGUCACCGCUAUUGAUGUCGCCGCUAAAGCCUCUAUUUCUUGUAGUGUAAUUAUAUGUUAUGCAUUCUAUGAAGUUGAUUUUUGAGGUAAAAUUGACACCCUUUGUUUCAAUACGUGCUAAAUCUAAAUUUUUAAAAAACUAUUUUUAAAAUUAAUAAAUAGGUGUUCGUGUUCAUAAAGAUCUAAUUUUUAAUACUUAUUAUUAUUAUUAUUAUUAUUAUUAUUAUUAUUAUUAUUAUUAUGGAACAGCAUAAAAGGUAUUAAAUUUUUAAUAUUUAUUAUUAUCACUUGGUACAAGAAAUUAAAUGAUAUAUUUUGGUAUUUUACAUUGUUAAAUAAAUAGUUAAUGUUAUUUUGAUACGACUGAACCAUUUAUUGGUUUUUACUCUCUUUGAAGGUUUUUUAUAGUCUAGAUUGGUCAACUGGUUAUUUGCCUUUUUAGCAGAAUUUAUGAGAAAAUUGCAAAUGACCAUGUAGGUUGAGUUUGAAGAAAACUAGAAAAGAAUCCCGCGUUGCGGGGUUGGAUACGCACUUAUGGUUAAAUAAAUGCAAGAAAUAGCAAUGAACUUUCAUACAUAUGUUUAUUAUAUUUAUGGCAUAUCCUACUUUAAUGAGAUCUACCAUAUUAUAGCAAUACAAAGUAAGUUUAUGUGGUAAUUUUAAGGUAUAAUGUCUUAAUAAGAUAAAAACUGAAAUUACAAUGCUAUAAAAAAAUCUGUCAUAUCGAUUCCAUAUUUUUACUAUUUUCUCCUCAUAAUGUGGCACCGGUUGCUCUAUGCACAAAGUAUCUCGUUGACACUAACACCAAUUUCAUCCAGCGGAGGUGGUGAGCCCGUAUCUCUAUAUUAAAAAAAUGUAUUAAAAUAUGUGAGCUUGUAUUCAAAGAAAAAAUAUCAUAAUAAAUACUUGUAGAAGUACAUAAAAUAACCUCUUGUUCUAAGUAAUUUGUCAAAUUCCAAGAGUAAAUCCCAUAUAUAUUUCUCUAUAAGAAAAAAAAAUACAACUGUAUACAUUAUGUGGGAUCAAAAAAUGAUUAAAUUUCAUGAUUCUAUCAUUCAAUUACUUAUUUUUUUUAAAUAGUUAUAAAAUUUUGGAAACAAAAGUAUGGAAAGAAUCAAAUAAAUGGAGCUUUUAUAUAUUCAAGAUUUUCAUAUGCUAACCUUCAGUUAUUGAUGUGGGGUUCCCACCAACAAAUAUCUUUUUGUUUUAUAAUCCCUAGAAUCAGCAAAGCCUUUGGGAAUGGUUCUUUUGAUUUCCAACUAUACAAAUAUACAUUCAAAAACUAUGCAUUAUUAGAAUGAGUAGAAUGUCUUCAAGAACACAAACACUUUUAUAAAGUAUGGAACUUGAUUCAUAUUUGAUCUCCAAAAACUUUGUUAAGCUGGAGAGGUCCUAAAGAAGAACAUUUUGGUAACUACAUGACUCGACUAUUCGAGUCAUAACCAAUAGGGCAAAAUCGACCAAGCAAUAACGUAAAUGUGAUUAAACAAUGCAAACUAAUAGUUUGUUGUUCUUAGAAUAUUUGUUGUCAUAUAAGAAAAUAGUCUCAUAGUACAGAUAAUCUAAGUGAAUAUUGAAUUGCCAUGCAACUUCAACGCAGGUAUUAGUUUCUUUGUCUAGAGAACAAUGUAACUCACCUUUUUUCCAUUUAUGAUAUGUGUCUCAACAAUUACAGUGUCAACGACGGAAGGAUCUGCAUAUGUGAUGACCCCAAAACCCCUAGGCCGACCAGUUUAUCGAUCUUUCAUGAUAACCGACUCCGUAAUAUCUCCAUACUUACCGAAGUACUUAACAAAAGUGUCUAUAUACAUGCAACCAUAAAGAAAUUAGAAGAUGUAUAGAAAGUGUAGUAAUAAAAAAUAAAUAUAUAUGUGUAUAGGUAACAGGAAAUUGUGUUCACCAGAAUGGGAGAACCGGAUUACAUUGACAACUGAUCCAUGGUAAGAAAGGCUAUUUUGGUAAGUUUAUGUAAUAGUUUCUUCUGUUUUUGAGUUGGCCUAAGAUGUAAUAAGUAAGUCAUUAAUCAUCAAUAUGAAAUCUCUUGUUACCUUCCUAUUUAAUAUCCUGGGGCCUUUUGUAAAGAUGCGUUUGUUUCUCUUUUUAGGUUUUUAAUAAUAGUAUUAGGUGUCGGGAAUUUUGUAAAGAUGACUCAAUAGAACACCUUUUUCAGAGCCAAAAAUAUCAUCUUCCUCAUCAUCAAGCUCUCAAAAACUCCUCUUAGUGAGUGCAAUGACGUUACAGAAGUUGAACGUAAAAGGAAAGAAAAGUUACAUGAUAAUAAAUCAGUAAAUAAAACGCAACUGGCUGUAACUCUGAUAAUUGAUCAUAACCUGCGCUUCUUGCGUGGUCGGUUCCAGGAAAAUCACUAUCGAAAUCAUCAUCCUAUGAUUGUAGUUAAUAAGAAUCAAUAAACAAAACGCAUACAAAUCGCUUUCCUCGAGUUCUUCAUUGUCAAUCGGAAUCAUAUGAUCGGUGCUAUAGAGCUGCACUUUGUGUAAUUGCAUCUGAAUCGCGGGUUGGACGCCACCCCUGCAUUGUCCGCUGGUAGGCACCGUCACCAUCUGCCCCUACGGAGGGAAUCAAAUCCCAAAAUAGAAACCAAAAUAAUUUUUGUUCCAAGCAACUCAUCUUUUUCAUUAACUGGACAACAACACAUAAAAGCAGAAAAAAGAAUGGAGACGGGUCACACAUGGAAGAAUUUGAUUAAAAAAUAAAUGAGAAAUUAGGAUAAUUUUGUGCAAAGAGAUGAAAAACAUACCACAAUGCCAAUGGGAAAUUGGAAUAGGUGAUCGACCUUGCUAAAAUCUUCACUCAAAUUUGAACUAUUGAACUACCGACCUAGUGAAGAUGAUUGAGUUCGUUCAUGAUACAUUAGUGGUGUUGAGGAAGAAGGGCAAGUGGAAGCUGGCAAGGGGAUUUCCUUUUUAGGCGAGUGAAUUUCGAUGAAGUAAUCAUAAAAGGAGAAGGAGUCAUCACCAGUGUCAACAGCUUCGACCUGGCGUUCGAUUGAAAUGAGCGAAGCGUGAUGCUAGAUGAUAGAUAUAACAAAUUCAUACCUUGGUUGCGAACUAGAUCGUGUUUUACAGAAAAAGCUUCAUAAAACCUAGCUAUGGCGGCUAGGGAAAAGAACCCUAGGUGUUGACGGGCAUUCUCUAGUUUAGAAAAAGUAGCACCCUUCCUCCUCCUUCGAACAAUCAAUCUGACACAGACACAAGUAGAAAUAAAAAACCAAAAAACACAUACAUACGUGCAUCCCUGAUAAAAGAUCUAAGUGGGUCAAUGCAGGCUCACAUCUUAGAUAGAAGGGAUGUGGAUACGUUCAGAGAGAAUGGGUUGUUUGAGAAGAUGNGGCUCCCAUCUUAGAUAGAAGGGAUGUGGAUACGUUUAGAGAGAAUGAGAUGAUUGAGAAGAUAAGCAGUCAAAGAAAUAAAACAUGAGGCGGUGAGUUGAGGCGGUGGAGUUUUUGUUGUGCGUAUUUAAUUGGCAGCAGGUGCAGGUGGGAGUAGGGAACAACAUGUAUCAAAUAUAUAUAACAAAACAAACGUAGCAAAAAAAAUCCAACAGCCGAUCAAAAGCCAGAACUGUUCAUCAUGUAGUUUAGAAUUAGUAUAUAUAUAAAUGACCACAAAAAUGAAGAUUUCAGAAAAUGAACACAGGUUCUGCAGAGGGGGUUCUGUGGAACCAUAAAUACGUCUGCGGAAUGUGAACACCUCUGCGGAUCUUGGUUUUUUUCAUUUUUUUUUUUCAUUUUUUCGUUUUUUUUUCGUUUUCGUUUAUUAAUAUGUUUUUUUAAUCACAUAAGGUAUUAUGUGUUUAUUAUGUAAAAAAAAUUCGUUUUUCUUUUUUCUUAUUUAAUUACCCGUUUAUAAAAAUUGUGUGUUUAAUAAAAAUUAUACAAAUAUUCUAUGUUUUUUUAUAAAAUUACACACACUUGUAUUCUGAAUAAUAAACAUAAUUUAAGUAGGUUACAAAACAUACUUUAGAAAACAUAAACAUACAACCUUCAUAAUAAACAUAUUUUGAAAUAAACUUAAAGUCUCUGCGGACCCUAUACAGCUCUGCGGAAUCUUUGUUCUUUGAUUUUUUUUUUCGUUCUUUUUUUUUGCGUUCACUUUCGUUUCUUAAUAUUAUUUUUUUAAAUACACCAAUACCUUAUGUGAUUAUUAUGUAAAAAAAUUGACAAAAAAAAAAGUUAAAAAUAAUGAAAUGUUUUAUGUAAUACGUUUGCCACUGAUGUAUGUUUUCCAUGUAUUUUUACUGGUUUGUAUUUUAUGUUCUAUGGAAUAAAGUAGAAGUUAACUCAACUGGUUUCGUAAAUAACCUAAUACAAACCAAAUACAUAUAAAUAAUGUAAUACAAACCGGUGCAUAUAAACACCCUAAUUAAAAUUAUACAAAUAUUCCAUGUUUUUAUAGGUUACAAAACAUACUUUAGAAGACAUAAACACACAACCUUCAUAAUAAACAUACUAAGAAAUAAACUUCAUUCAUUCAAAUCGAACCACGAAAACUUUGAUUUGUUUUCGUAUUUUGUCCAUGGGUUUUCUGUUGCUUGUGUCCCUAGGUUUACUGUCGCUUACGUCUAUUGGUUAUCUAGUUGUUGCUGCCAUUGGUACUCGGUGCAACCCUGUCAUUUGUUACAUUGGCUCUUCCUGCGGUUGGUAUUCGGUCCCUUGCGUCCAUUGGUUAAGUGGCUCCUAUUGGCAUUGAUGUUCGGUCUUUUGUGUCCAUUGGUUGUCUGGUUACUGCUGUCAUUGAUGUUCAGUCUGUUGUCAGUCUGUUGUGUCCAUUGGUUGUCUCGCUACUGCUUCCAUUGAUGUUCAGUAUGUUGUGUCCAUUGGAUUCAUCUCAACCAUCCUUGAUUCGAGUACAGAUCCUCUGCUUUCAGUAGUACGGACCUAUACUACCUUCCACAUCUAUCUAUACUUUCCUCAAGAACUGUCUCGACUCCACCAAGUCCCUUCUACUACUACUAUUGAUCUCAUGUUAAACUCAUCCUAGGCUUGCCUUAGGGUAAUCACCAACCCACUCUCCGCCAUCAGCUACAUAAGAAGUCCCUACUAUCUUCCCGUAACUAGCUCGUGAAUACUAUUACAUAUCACUCAAACUAGAUAAUUCUUCGAAUGAGAGGUUCUACCCUACAACGGUUAGACUCAAACGAGAGCUGCGAAAUAAGGCUAAACCUAACCUUCUGAAAUUAUUUAGUCCUUGCAAUAUGUAACUUAGUACAUAUUCGUUUACUAGUUAGUAAAAGAUAACUAGAACUCCUAAAAGCACAAAGCAAAAAACAUUCGGGCAUUGUGUAACCAUAAUCAAACAUAUACUAAUCUGGCUAUCAUACUGACUGAUCUAUACUAGCAUGCAUUUCGCAUAAAGUUGAUACACAUAUAAUAGACACAUAAGGCAUCCUUCCUAGAUCCUUAUCCCUAAUCUAGCAUGUUGUUCUCAUAAAGCUGAUAAACAUAUCAUAACAUAAACUUGUAUGGGUAAUUUGGGAGUACUUACUUGAGCUCAAUUGAUUGCGUGCACCAGACCCUUUUUCUCUUUCAAAUUCUUUCCACUUUUCUAAAAUUCUUUUCUUUUUCUUAAAGUACUUUUCAUAAAAAAUGAUUUUCUUUCGAAAAAGUUUCAUACCAAUUCCUUAGUUUGAGUCCAGACACAGUCGAGAGUGUGCCCGAAUCCCUCAAACCAAGGCUUCGAUACCAACUUGAAACAUCCCAAAAAUACAGUCUAAAAAUUUCAUUUUAAUUUAAUAAUAAAACCAUAUUCAUCGAACAUCAUAUAAAAAUUAUAAAUACUAUAUCUCAAAAUAUUAUAACAACUGAAAAAAAUAUCAGAGUAUAAACAUCCCAGGCUGAACAGAGGGUGUGUGCACUGCAAUCAUCCCGAGCUUCUCUUUUGAAAACAAAAGUACCUGAAACCAAAAUUGAAAACCGUAAGCACAAAGCUUAGUGAGUCUCCCCAAACUACCAUAUACCAUACAUAUACUCAUGCUACUGAGAGAUACGGGCCCCACCUAUACUCAAGGAGAUACGGGCCCCACCUACACUCCGCUGACUAGGAGAUACGGGCCCGGCCCACACUCCACCGACUAGGAGAUAUGGGUCCCGCCCACACUCCGCUGACUAGGAGAUAUGGGCCCCACCCACACUCUGCUGACUAGGAGAUACGGGCUCUGCCCACACUCAACCAAUCAUGAGAUAUGGGCCCCACCCACAUUCAGCUAGUCGUAAAAAUACAUACAAGUACUACACAAACAACAAGUAUCACUAAUCAUAUAAAUUUGUACCAUAUCAUAUAACGCUCUGUUCUAAAAUUAUUCGUUCGUGGAUUUCAGAAACCAAAGCUAAGGGCGUUUUGGUCAUUUAUGGGAUUGGAGUUUAUUUUGAGAAGGUUUUGGGGCUGAGAUAUGCUGCUAGAAGUUUAGGGCUUCUCGCCACCUUUUCGUGGACAUAAAGUUCGUCGGAAAUGGACUUAGAGUGAAGGAGUUAUGACACUUUAAAGAUUUUGGCAAUAAUGGCCCUUAUGGAGAAAAGUUCGCAUGGAACGCCAUGCAUGCAUUUUUGGAACACGCAUGGGUACGCGCAGUGUAAGCUAGGUUACGCCCAGCAUAGUGGAGCAAGGAUCGCGGGUGCUAAGAGGCGUUCGCCUAGCAUACAACAGGUACACCCAGCGCUCGCUCAGAACCUCAAAACCCUAUUUUUAGAGUUUGCCAAUAUAUAAGGAACAUUAUGCCCCAAGCCUUAGCCUUCAUUUCAUCCCUGGACAACUCCCACAGAAACCCUAAUCCUCUUUAGUGUUCUUGAAGCUUGUAAUGUCAUUCUGAGUACAUCUUAGUGUUCUUGGAGUGGAGGGAUCAUCUUGAAGUCUCGUAGAUCAAGGAAGAGCUUUUGGAUCCAAGUUCUCUAGCCCAUCUGCAAGCCCAAAAAGGUAUGAAGCCUCUAACUUUCCUUAUAGAAGCUUAGAUCUAGAUGUAGGAAAUUUUGGGAUCCUUCUAGGUCCAAAGAUUGCACCUUUACAGUGUAAAUUCAUCUCCAAGCUUGGGAUUGCCACCCUUAGAGCUAAAAAUGUCCAAUGAGCAAUAAAGUCUCGAUUUUAAUGGUCCUUAUGAGCUAUUGCAUGAGAUCUAGCCUUUGUUAUGGAAGUUGGUUGCCACCUUUUGAGUUUAGGUUUGUUUGGUGGAUUGCAGUCACCAAGUUAGUGACUUUAUGGAUUAAGACGUGGAAAUGGACCAGGAUCUGUGAUUGUAGCUUCUAUAAUGGAGUAAUAAGCACUUAAUGGAAAAGUGUCUUAACAGAGCGAAUUAAAUCGAGCGUACGCGUAGGUACGCCCAGCGUACUCGUCACUUGGCCUGUACGCUUAGCGUACAUGGGGAGUACGCCCAGCGUAUUCAUCAGAGUGGGAUUAUGGUGAUAUUGGGCCUUGGUGUGGGAUGUGCUUGGGACUUUGGGCCUUUGGGCCUUAGUGGGUCAGCAGAAGUCAGGUUAUUUUGGGCCAAGGAUAUGUUUGGGCUUAGGAUAAGGCCCAGUAAAGGGAUUGGGUCCAAUGUAGCAAAGUGGGCCACUAAUGGACUUGGGGAGUUUGUUUAGUGUUGGGCCUUAGUUUUGGACCAGGUUGGCCCAGGGGUAGAAUGGUCAUUCUACCCUAUGAUAGAUUAUUGGACAUGACUAAGUGUAUUGUGGUAUGGAUAGCUCGGAGAGCUGUAGGAUCAGCAGGCCGGGGAUUUGUCAGACAGCGGCCGAGGGAUUUUAACAGGACAACAACAGUGCAAGGUGAGUUUCCCUUUGUGUGGAUGGGUCUACGGCCACAAUGCCGACCCAUGUAGUUAUGAGUAGGAAGACUUGGAGGUUAUCCCUAGGCACCGUAUGCUAGUAUGAUAUUUAGGACCAAGGUCCGAUAGCGGGCGGGUGCCCAAGGUAUGGUUUGCAUGAUAGAGUAUACUUGUUGUUUGUGUGAUACAUGUAUGUGCCUGGUAGGGAGGUGAGUGUGGGCGAGGUCCCGUAUCUCACCUAUAGCAGAGUGUGGAUGGUGUUCCAUAUCUCAUUAGCAGCAGAGUGGGGGCGAGGCCCAAGUUACGGAAGAAGUGAGUGUGGGCUAGGCUCGUAUCACACUAUCAGUAGGAGUGUGGAUGGGGUUCCAUGACUCAUCAGUAGCAGGACAGGGGCAGGGCCCAAGAAAGGCGAGGCCUUUAGAACAGGAUAUAGUAGUGUAUGUUAGGUAUGUAUUAUGCAUUAUGUUACAUGUUUGUAUAUGUCUAGCGGGCGAGGCCUAGAGACAGGAUAGGCCUAAGAGAAACAAAUAUGUACACCGAGCGGGGCUCGAAGCCAGGCGGGGCCUGUUGUAGCGAGCGAGGCCCGAGGUAGUGGGUGAGGCCCAGUAUUUGUAGUAUGCAGUAUGUGUAUGGUAUAUAUGUGGUAGGUUUGGGAACUCACUAAGCUUCGUGCUUACGGUUUUCAAUUUUGGUUUCAGGUAUUUGCGGUAGCGGAGGGAAGAGCUCGGGAUGAUCGCAUGGCACACACCAUUGUUUAGUCAGCCUGGGAUGUUUACUCUGAUAAUGAAAAUAUGUUUUGGAAUUAACAUUCUGAUUUAUGUUAUGAUUUUAUUUAUGUUUUGACAAUUAUGUUUUAAGUAACGUUUUAAAAAGAAAUUUUUAGUCAUGAUUUUGGGGUCGUUACAAGUUGAUAUCAGAGACUUGGUUUGAGGGAUUCGGACGUACUUUCGAGUGUGUCUAAACUCAAACUAAAGAAUUGGUAUAGAAAUUUUCAAAAGGAAAAUCAAUUUUUUUUUUGUGAAAAUAGAUAUUGUGAAAAGAAAAUGGUUUUAGAAAAAUGUGGAAGGAACUUUGAGAAAUAAAAGAAGUUUGAAAAGAGAAAAGGGUGUGGUGCAUGCAAUCAGCCGAGCUCAAGUAAGUACCCCCAAAAUACCCAUACAAGUUUAUGUUAUGAUUAUCAGUUAGUAGAACAACAUGCUAGAUUAGGACUAAGGAUCUAGGUAGGAUGUCUUAUGUGCUUUUCAGUUGCAUGAUAGUGUUGGUUAGACAAUAGUAGGAUAGCCUGUUUAGGUUAUGCCUGAGUUUAUGAACUUAUGUUGCAUGCUAGUACAGAUUCUUGCUAUGUGAAUGUGAUUGCUUGAUUAUGUUAUGGUUAGAUUUUCCUUUGUCUGAAUGUUGCUUGCUUUGUGCCUUGUGGGAUUCUGAGUGAUGGGAGUUAGCCAAUAGAUGAAUACGUUAAGUCACAUGUGAUCAGGGUUGAAUAUUCUCAGAGUUCUGGAUUUGACCCUACUGCGCAGCUCUUGUUUGAGUCUAACCAUUGUAGGGACGAGUCCUUUACUUGAAGGAUUAUCUGAGUCUCGUCACAUGUGAUAGUAUUCAGGUAAUGGCUAAUUGGCAUUAUGAAGAUACCUUCAGUAGCUGAGGACUGAGUUCGGGUUGAUAGUUACCCUAGGGCAAGGAUGAGAGUAGUAUUGGGAGCACUAGUAGUAGUGAAAGGGACUUGGUGGAGUCGAGGGAAUUCUCGAGGAAAGUACGGAUAAAUGUGGAAGGUAGUAUAGGCCUGUACUACUGAAAGCAGAGGAUCCGUACUCGAUUCGAGAAGGGCUAAGAUAAAAUCGGGGACCUUGUAGUGAAUGUGUGAUCCCUCAGUAGUGAUGAGUAUUUGAUGAUAGUUAUGUUAUGACUCAUGCAGUAUGGUGACGCUACGGGGUAGGCCAGUGAGCAGUUCAGGUGCCAGUAAGGAGUCAGGCUCGGGUUUAGGAGUCGAGCAGCUCGGGGAGCAGAUGAGAGAGUUUAUUUCAAAAGACAUUAUGUGCAAUAUUCUAGACCAGACUCCUAUGAUCUUUUGUACGGUCAAGGAGGGUAUAUUGGAGAUUUUGGAUGAGAGGCUGGGAGCCUUUCACGCUGAGAUGGUGUCCAUGUUAGGGGUUCCUCUAGGGCCCAAUGUUUAUGGAUCUCUAGGAUCCCUCGGAAGGGAGGAUCCCGUUAUUAGCUCGUGUCAUCAGUGAUCGAGGAGGUGGUUAAUUGUGGAACGUUUCCUGGGAAGGCCAAUAACGCACAAGUAAAAAGGGGCAGAACCCCUAGGACGUCCAACAUAAGUACCCAGGGAGUACCGAAAGGAUUGUCAGUUGAGUGAGUUGUGUUCUCAGGAUUGUUGGGGAUUAGAGUGCACUUAAGGAUUGUUAUCUAUAAGGAAUAGCUUUAUUCUGAGUGACCGGGCGAAAGGUCAAUGAAAGUGGUCGGCCGGAAUUAUAUUCACCAGGUAGGGAUGUAGCGAGCAGGGUGUAGAAUAGUGGGCUAUAGCGGACUUCGAGGACGAAGUCUAGUUUAAUUAGGGGAGAGUUGUAACGCCCUGUUCAAAAAGUAUUCGUUCGUGGAUUUCAAAAACAAAAGGUAAGGGCGUUUUGGUCAUUUAUGGGAUUGGAGUUUAUUUUGAGAAGCUUUUGGGGCUGAGAUAAUGCUGCUAGAAGCGUACGGCUUCUCGCCACCUUUUCGUGGAUAUAGAGUUCGUCGGAAACGGACUUAGAGUGAAGGAGUUAUGACACUCUGAAGAUUUUGGCAAUAAUGGCCCUUAUGGAGAAAAGUUCACAUGGAAGGCCAGGCAUGCAUUUUUGGAACACGCAUGGGUACGCGCAGUGUAAGCUAGGUUACGCCCAGCAUAGUGGAGCAAGGAUCGCGGGUGCGAAGAGGCGAACACCCAGCGUACGCUCAAAACCUCAAAACCCUAUUUUUAGAGUUUUCCACUAUAUAAGGAACAUUAUGCCCCAAGCCUCAGCCUCCAUUUCAUCCCUGGACAACUCCCAUAGAAACCCUAAUCCUCUUGAGUGUUCUUGAAGCUUGUAAUGUCAUUUUAAGUACAUCUUAGUGUUCUUGGAGUGGAGGGAUCACCUUGAAGUCUCGUAGAUCGAGGAAGAGCUUUUGGAUCCAAGUUCUCUAGCCCAUCUGCAAGCCCCGAAAGGUAUAAAGCUUCUAACUUUCCUUAUAGAAGCUUAGAUCUAGAUGUAGGAAGUUUUGGGAUCCUUCUAGGUCCAAAGAUUAUACCUUUAUGGUGUAACUUCAUCUCUAAGCUUGGGAUUGUCACCCUUAGAGCUAAAAAUGUACCAUGAGCAAUAAAGUCUCGACUUUAAUGGUCCUUAUGAGCUAAUUCAUGAGAUCUAGCCUUUGUUAUGGAAGUUGGUUGCCACCUUUUGAGUUUAGGUUUGUUUGGUGGAUUGCAAGUCACCAAGUUAGUGACUUUAUGGAUUAAGACGUGGAAAUGGACCAGGAUCUGUGAUUGUAGCUUCUAUAAUGGAGUAAUAAGCACUUAAUGGAAAAGUGUCUUAACAGAGGGAAUUACACCGAGCGUACGCGAAGGUACGCCCAGCGUACUCGUCACUUGGCCUGUACGCUUAGCGUACAUGGGGAGUACGCCCAACGUAUUCAUCAGAGUGGGAUUAUGGUGAUAUUGGGCCUUGGUGUGGGCUGUUCUUGGGACUUUGGGCCUUUGGGCCUUAGUGGGUCAGCAGAAGUCAGGUUAUUUUGGGCCAAGGAUAUGUUUGGGCUUAGGAUAAGGCCUAGUAAAGGGAUUGGGCCCAAUGUAGUAAAUUAGGCCACUAAUGGACUUGGGGAGUUUGUUUAGUGUUGGGCCUUAGUUAUGGACUAGGUUGGCCCAGGGGUAGAAUGGUCAUUCUACCCUAUGAUGGAUUAUUGGAUUUGACUAAGUGUAUUGUGGUGUGGAUAGCUCGGAGAGCCGAAGGAUCAGCAGGCCGAUGCUUUGUCAGACAGCAGCCGAGGGAUUUUACCAGGUCAACAACAGUGCAAGGUGCGUUUCCCUUUGUGUAGAUGGGUCUAUGGCCACAAUGCUAACCCAUGUAGUUGUGAGUAGGAAGACCCGGGGGUUAGCCCUAGGCACCGUAUGCUAGUAUGAUAUUCAGGUAAAAGNNNNNNNNNNNNNNNNNNNNNNNNNNNNNGUGGGGGGGGGGGGGGGGGGGGGGUUCCCAAGGAAUGGUUUGCAUGAUAGAGUAUACUUGUUGUCUGUAUGGUACGUGUAUGUGCCUGGUAGGGAGGUGAGUGUGGGCGAGGUCCCGUAUCUCACCUAUAGCAGAGUGUGGAUGGUGUUCCAUAUAUCAUUAGCAGCAGAGCCGGGGCGAGGCCCAAGUUAGGGAAGGAGUAAGUGUGGGCUGGGCUUGAGAUCAGUAGGAGUGUGGAUGGGGUUCCAUGACUCAUCAGUAGCAGGACAGGGGCAGGGCCCAAGAAAGGCGAGGCCUUUAGAAUAGGAUACAGUAGUAUAUGUUAGUUAUGUGUUAUGUGUUAUGUUACAUGUUUGUAUAUGUCUGGCGGGCGAGGCCCGGAGAUAGGCGAGGCCUCAGAGAAACAAAUAUGUACACCGCGCGGGGCACGAAGCCAGGCGAGGCCUGGAGCAGGCGGGGCCUGUUGUAGCGGGCGAGGCCCGAGGUAGUGGGCGAGACCCAGUAUUUGCAGUAUGCAGUAUGUGUAUGGUAUGUGGUAGGUUGGGGAACUCACUAAGCUUCGUGCUUACGAUUUUAAGUUUUGGUUUCAAGUAUUUCUGGUAGUGGAGGGAAGAGCUCGGGAUGAUCGCAUGACACACACCAUUGUUUAGUCAGCCUGGGAUGUUUACUCUAAUAAUGAAAAUAUUUUUUGGAAUUAACUCUUGGAUUUAUGUUAUGAUUUUAUUUAUGGUUUGACAAUUAUGAUUUAGGUAACGUUUAAAAAGAAAUUUUUUGUCAUGAUUUUGGGGUCGUUAUAUAUCAGCUAUCUAUGAGAUACAGGCUCCACACAUACUUAGCUACUAUGAGAUGCGGGCCCUGCCCACACUCAACUACAAUGAGAUACGGUCCCCGCCCACACUCACAUUCCUAACAACACAUACAGGUAUCACACAAACAACAAUUAUAGCAAUCCAAUAAUCUGACUGAUAUCUAUACUCAGAUAUUAAUGAGAUACAGACCCCGCCUACACUCAACUACUAACAUAUCACAUAUAUGGGCCGACUUUGGUGCCUUAGACUCGUUCCUACUUGAAGAGGACUCACCUCACACUGCUGUAGUCCCGCAGAUAAAACCCUAGUUGUUGGAUGACACAUUCCCGAAUAUGUCAACAUCAAAAUAUUACCCAAUUAAUAAAUGGGUCCGAAUACAUAUCCAUAAGUCCAUGCUUGGGGUAAAAGACUGCUUUACCCCUAUCUUAGCUGGAUUCCAACCCAAGGCCCAAACCGAAGGCCCAAAAGUUUAAUAAUGAACCAAGGCCCAACUAUGGCCUAAUUUUCCAAAUUGGACCCAAUCCUCUACAUGGCCUUAUUCUAAGGCCCAACCAUUUAGUCCAAUCUAAACAUUUAGCAUUUCUAAUGGCCCAACAUCAUAUAAGCAUCAAGGUCCAAGCUAUGUCCCAUCUAUGGCAAAAUUUUACAAAUUGGGCCCAAACUCUGAUAUGGGCCUUAUCCUAAAGCCCAUCAACAUAUUCUAGUCCAUAUGAUUAUUUUUGGAUGGCCCAUUAUUGGCCCAAACACCAAAGCCCAAUAGAAAGGACCAACACAAAGCCCAAGAGAAUAUAGGGUUUCACAUAAAAUGACAAUUAUGGUUAAGUGUUUCUCACUUAACCCAUUAAGGACUUAAUCCAUUAAGUCCAUCACUCUAUUAGAUAAAUCAUAUGGUGUGAUUGGAUGUAAUUUACAACUCCAUUCCCAUGUCCCAAUUGUGGGUCUCAAUAAGUCAAAGGACCAUAAUUCCAAUAUUAGGGUUUUGUAAACCCUAAUUAGGGUUUCCACCCAAUCAUAGUGCAAUAGGCCCAAAACUAAAUCUUUAGGCCCAUUAGUAUUUCCAUAGGCCCAUUAGUGUUUUGCGAGUCGGGUACUACCCACUACCACGUCGGGUAGUGCUAGUCAUCAGUGGCUCAUGGUGGCGGCCACCACCCCACAGUGGUGGUUAUGGUUCUUUUUCAUUAUUCUCUUGCUAAUUACAAUUACAAUGCUUUAAUUCUAAUGAUAAACACACAUACACCAACUAACAGAACACACACAGCCACCCUAGUGGUGGCCGGCGGUGGCACGUAGUGGCAGCCACCACCUCACAGUAGUGGUGGUGGCCUUCUUGGUUUUACAGCCACACAAAACAUACACAUACUACACGAACUUGGAACAGCAGCACUCUCAUACUCACAUGAACACAAACACGGCAUCCCCUUCGGGGUGGCAACAAUGACUGGAGCAAACAGGGGCAAAUCAAUGUCAGCGGCGGUCGGGAUUGAAAAAUGGCAACAGGAGAAAAGGGGGAUGAAAAGUGACUCAAUCCUCCACCAAGAGCACACGACAACCAUCAACUUGUUUCUUCUGGUAGCUCAUUGCCAUAGCUUCAUCGGCAACCUUCUUCCUCACUGGUUGUAGAAGUGACGACGACGACUAGUCUCGACGGUUCGGUGCAGCAAAGGGCAUGGAGGCAACGGUCAUUCAACGCAACAACCGCGACGUUCGUCGUUGGCCCUCGUCUUGGCGGUCCUCAGGUCCUACAUUGGCAGCAAUGGAACAGUGGGAAGUACGUCUUCACCGGCAGCAAGGUCAUGAUGGCAUCUCGAUGGUAAGGCAGCAGGCGUUGGCGUUCGAGACUUCAUCUGGUCGAAAAAACAAGAGAGGCAUCGAGUGGCGUCCGGAGAAGAUAAGAACGAGGUGGCGGUUGAUUCCCCACUAGGGUUAGGGUUUGGGAGUAAUAAGGUGACGGGAAGGAAGGUCACCGGGUAUAUCCCGCUCCCAUACAAAUUCCGUUCACUUUUGUCACAUGUAGCCUCUCCUUAUCAGUUCUUCUCCAAAUUAAGCCCCAAAUUUUACCUUUUAGCCCCCACCCCUAAUAAUCUAUUCAAUCUAAGUCCAUCAAUUACCAUUUGUACCCUGCCUUAUGAAUUCCCUUUCAUAAUAAGUCCUAUUUAUUACCAAACAUACCACCACUUCUAAAAUCAUUCUCAGAUUAAAUCCGUAAUUUACUAACAACCUUCAACCAUCAAAAUUUUCACAAAUUAAUCUGGUUACAUUUUAACCUCCAACAACCACGUCUUGCUAAAUUAUUCUGCAUUUAGGGCCACUAUUCAUUAAUAAAUGUUUAUCUAUUUAUUUAUUUAAUAAACGGGGCGUGACAUGUGUAGUAUGUUUGAUUAGUAUGUGGUACGUUGAGUGAACUUACUAAGCUAUGUGCUUACAGUUUUCAGUUUCUAUUUCAGGUAUUUGUAGGUCGAAGGGGAAGGGCCCGACUUGAUCGCACCGUAUCACUCAAUGGUUUUCCGUAGUUAGUGAUUUUGGGAUUUGUACUCUGAUAAUAUGAUACAAUGAGAUUCCUUUGAAUACUUUGGUAUCAAUUUCUUAUGAAUGAAAUGAAUUAAAAAAAAAAUUAUCUGUAUUUUUGGGAUGUUACAAAACUAAGGUAUAAAAUAUUAAAAAUACUGAAAUUAAUUAAAAACAUACAAAAAAAAUUUUGGUACAAGAUUUGAUGCAUAACAUACGAUAAAUCAUAGCAUGAAAAGAAGUAGCAAAAUAAAGAGAAAAGUAGGUUGUGUAACCCGCUAAAUCCUCUAAAUUAGUAGUACCACAGGGGCAGGAUACCUCAUCUUAGAGGUACCCCCAGUACCUCCAACCUAAACCAAAAAAUUACCCCAUUCAGUCCUCCCUUAGAGUUUUGAAAGCGACUAAAAACAAAUUACAACAAACCAUGUUAAACAUCAAGCUCAAAAAAUGCCCACCUAUAACAAAUUACACCUAAAAUCUAUAAGUCCAAGAACAAACAUUGUUGAAGUAAACCCUAAAGCUUGUAAUACCUUUUUAGUGGGCGAUGAGGUAGCUGUAUGAAGAAGGUAAAAGAAGAGAAUUGGUGAAGGUUGGAGUUGUAGAGUAUGCCAGAGAAAGGGAGCAUAUGAAAUGAGCAGCAGUCGUUUUUCAAUUCAAAAUGAAAAUAUACAUCGAAGUAGGGUUGCAAUUUAGGAUAUCAAAAGGUUAUAACGACGUAUAUUGGGGGGUGGGGUGCAAAUUGGGUGGAGUGGAAAUGUAAAUUUAGGCCAGCUAGAUUGAGAAUUUGGACGAGUAUCAAACAGUGAUGAAACUAAAAAUUCAUCGGAAAUGAAAAUUUACAAAUUAGAGGUAGCAUAUAGCCCAGUUGAGUUAUAAAAACGUGUUUCAUAAAAGAAAUGUCAAAGAGGACCCGAUUUACAUUAAAUGAAACCUAAAUUUCUUUGAAAAGUGGAAUGGUUAUAUAACAAUCUAAACUUUAAAUAUCUGCAUAUAUGAACGCAUAAAGGAGCCGAUUAAAGUAUUUUAUUGUAUUGUACAACUUUACAAAGCAUAAAUUUAGGACCGGUCCAAGCCAAUUAGAGGCCCGGGGCAAAUAAAAAAAUGAGGCCCUUUAAAAUUUAAAACAUUAGUAUUUUUAUGAACAUCAAGGGACUUUAUAUAUUAAAAGGCUAUCAUAUACCUAGAACCUAGCAAAUACAAAGACAAUAAAAUGUGAAUGUUUCUUCACUACUGGAAAAUUGGUAAUAGAGUACACCCCCAUCUAAUACGGUUGUAAAAAAAACCCGUAUUAUAAAGGGAUAAAUAAAUAUAAUACACACAAUUGCAGCAUCUAAUACGGUUAAUUGCAGCAUCUAAUACGGUCAAUAAGAUGUACUAGAAACAAAACCAAAUAACUAAAAAAAUACGCUCCCAUUUUGAUUAAGUACGACUAAUACAUAAACAUGAUCAACUUCCUCUUUAGUUAGAAAUCCAACUUUAAUGCCUUUAUCCUUGCUGCUACAACUUUGAUCCUGUUUUCAACUAUUAAAGUAUUUGUCCCUGGAAAACCUCCUGUUGACUACCAAGGAGCUAGAGAAGCAAAACCAAUCACAGAAUUUGCACUCAAACAAGUGAAGACACUCCUUAAAGACAGAUUAAGUUGAAAAACUACAAUUACUGAAACAAGUGUACAGGUUUGUAUGAUGAUAUAAAACCAUUAUUCUCAAAGGAAUGGAAUUGAUAGGGGAAUGGAAUGACUGAUUCCAUUCUUGUCAUAGAAAAGAAAAGAGAGGUACAUAACAGAAACAUAUAGAGAUGUGCAUCAAAAAAGUGUACAAGUUUGUAUGAUGAUAUAAAAGUACAAUUUUACCCUUGGGGUAAUAUAUUUUUAAUUUGACCAUUUUGCCCCUUUAUAGGCCAUGAAAGCACAAAUAGGCGAUCUUGGACAGAGCUUAGGAAUGACCCAAGGUUUGGGCAACCAGUUCAAGCAAUAAUCGAAUUCCCAUUUUGCCCUCAUCCUUCANNNNNNNNNNNNNNNNNNNNNNNNNNNNNNNNNNNNNNNNNNNNNNNNNNNNNNNNNNNNNNNNNNNNNNNNNNNNNNNNNNNNNNNNNNNNNNNNNNNNAAUGAGUAAAUGACCAUUUUACCCUUCUGUAAAUAAAAAAGAAAAAUGAAUAGGAGAAAAGAUUUCUAGAUCCCAAAUUCAAUUCAUCUUCUGUGGAAUCUUCAAUCACAUUGAUCCUUUUGAAAUUUUCUGUCCAGGACCAAAAGAUUCAGAGACUAUUCCAAUCUCAUACGUAUAUAAUUGUUUUAGUGCAAUCAACAAUCGUCCAAUUGGGAGUGUGGUUACUACGUUAUGAACUGGAUGCAUGAGUUUGUACUUUUUCGACAACAUGGAUUUCCGAAUGUAAGUAUAUUGUUAGUUAUUUUUCUUGCAUUUUUGUUUAUUGUACUAAAAGCUCACCUUUGUUAAAUAACAAAUUUUUUAUCUUAAUUUGUUUGUAGAACAUUUGGAAGGACAAAAAACCAUUUUCUAGUGAGGAAUUGGACGAACGAAUUAAAACAUGGCUGAGAACUUUUGGAGAUAAAGUGAAGUCUUUUCAAGUUAACGGUUAGUUGUUCUAUAUACAUUGUUAUAAUUGGUUAUGUUUUUCAAAAACCAUUUUCUAGUGAGGAAUUGGACGAAAGUUUUUUUAUGGAAAAUGAGAUAUAUAAAAGUAGGAUGCUAUAUUUUGUGUUUUAUUGUGGAAGUUUGCAGAUUUCAAGUUAGGGAGGUUGUUGUUAUGGAGGUACACAAACAUCCCUUGUAUUUCAUGUUGUAUUUGCUCAUAUUUUUUAUGUUGUGGAGAAGUUUUCACCCUUGCAUUGCUAUAGAUGAAGUUGUUAAUGGCAUGAAUGUCCAAUAAUUUGAGUUUUCUUCAUUAAAAGUUAUUUGAGAUUUUGAAUCCUAAGUUUUCUUGUUUUUGUAGGCAUACACUGAAUUAGCCACAAAGGGUAAAUAGAGGUCAGAGGUGUGACAUUAAUAAAUUUAAGAAUGUUUUUAUGUUUAAUGAACUAGGUAUACAACUUUUAGAUUGUAUAGACUGUAGUCUGAAUUCUGAAAGAAUAUUAAUGUUUUUAUGUUUAAUGAACUAAAUGGUUAUUGUAAUUUUUUUUUCUGUUUCUUAAAAUGAAAACAUGAUCAAUGAUGUCCCACUUCUUAUGAUUGGAAUGGAAUCAUAUAGUAGGUUUGUAUUUUAUAGAGAUUGAUCAAUUGGUUACAAUUCACAUGGUAAAAGCUUUGCAGAAAUUAAAGAGUUUGUUUCAGUUGGAAUAGUUGGAAUGGUGAUCCAUGUGUUCCGCAGCAUCCAUGGAGUGGAAUUGGCUGAUUAAUAAGGCUGGAAUGCAAAGCCAGAAUGGGCUGGAAAGGCUGCUUGAAAGGCUGGAAUAAGGCUGGAAUGCAAAGCCAGGAAUAGGAAUGAAUAAGACAUCAAGUACGGUUGUUUAUUGGUGUAUUAGAUGUGUAUAUAUGGCGUAUUAGAUGAUACUUGAGACACGGUUGUUUUGGUGUAUUAGAAGUUUAUAUAUGGCGUACUAGAUGAUUGUAUGGGAUGGUAUAGGAUACAUAUAAUACGGUUAAAUAGCCGUACUUUAUUAUGCAUGUAAUCUAAUACACCCCUCUACUAGUACGCCUGCUAUGUACGUACUAUAUUCAUAAUUUCAACCGUACUCUAUUAACCUUUUUCUAGUAGUGCUUGUGUAGUGUAGGUAAAAUGUUUGAGAAAGUAUCAAUAAACUUUAGGCUGUAAAAUUCAAUCAUCUAAGGUAUUUGAAAAGAAAAAUUGAAGCAAAAGCAGACUUAAUUGAACAUGUGCAUAUCCAAAACACACCGGUUAUUGUCUUACACUUACAAGUUUAGUUCAGCAAUUUAUAGUGCUUUGAGAUCCUAAACAACAAAAAAGUUGAGAAAGAAACCGUUGUUAAACAUCCAUAAGGAUCCAAAUUUUGAGCCAUAACUAUAUAAUUUAGGAAUUCAAUCUACCCGAAUUGUUAUAAAAACAUCAAACAAACAGCCAAGAGCUUAACUCUAAAUUGUAUAAUUUUCCUUGGCAUUUUAUCAAACAUGUGGCGCCCAUACCCAUUAAAGGGAAGAACAAGCUUCAAGAUGUCAUUCUAUCUUUCCUCAAUGACAGUUAUUAAUCUCUCAUUUACCGUAUUCGAGUACCUCUGCCUCUUUACAAUUUUCAAUACCUAAAAAUUAACAACUUCAUAAUAUGUACCGGUAUUCAUUUUCUAUACAAACAGACGAACAAAGAAAAACACAUACACAAAAGUGAGCUUCAACAAUUAAACCCAGACUAUAACUCUUUGUAAACAAAUUCAUCUUAAGCAACCGAAAAUCAAAACCAGGUUUGCAUAAAAAAAUUAAUAAACAUACGAUCAAUAUCGUUGAAAGAAGGAUCAAACAAGAUGGAAGGUUGAUUGAAGAUUUGAGGACUUUGAUUAAACUCGUUAAAUCUUGAUUCUUGAAGGAUGACCUAUGAACAAAGAAUCGACAGUGUAGUGAAAAAAAAUACAUAGAACUCUAGGUAUUUUCGCUACAUAGUACUUAUGUAUUUUCUAAAACUAUAUAUAUAAAUAUUAACCACACCUCCUAGAGGGGCCUGAUAUUUGGUAAGGCUCGGGGCGGUCGCCCAGCUUGCCCGCCCUCUAGGGCCGACCCUGCAUAAAUUCAUAAACAACAAAUUUUUUCAAUUUGUAUUAAUUUAUGCAUUAAAAUUGUACAUUGUACAAUUCUAUGAAAAUAAAUUAUUGUUUGUAGAAAAAAAAUUGUUGUCUACAAAUUACUUUCCUACUUUAAAGUUCCAUGGAAUAGUAAAUAAGUAAACAUAUUUUUUUAAGUGAGAAAUUUUUUACAUUUUAUUAUGGCUUUUGUGUCCCGUCCUUUUACGGAUAGUUUAGUCCCGAGUUCUACAUUCAUUUCAGUUUAUUUAUUUAUUUAUUUAUUUAUUUAUUUAUUAUUAUUAUUAAUAUUAUUAUUAUUAUUAUUAUUUAAAUGACAAACGAAUUAUGGAUUGUUGGCUAUAUAUAUUAGACCUUUCCGGUGGAAGGUGAUAUUGUAUCAUGAUUCCGAACUCACUACAAGAAAUCUUGGCAUUACUGGCGACAAGGAGAAAGAGCGGUGACAUGUAAUUGACGUGUUAGAUAUCGCCGCUAUUGCUCCAUGUCGCCGCUAAAAGUGUCGCCGGUAAUGCUCGCAAACGGCGAUCUGCGUCAAAUUAUCCCCAUCUGUCUGAUUUGUUUUGAAUCCAAAGGUUGUAGAAAAGACGCUGACUUUUCCCUCCAAGGAGUUGCCGCUAAUACACUUGCGUCGCCGCUAUUGCGUGUCGCCGCUAAUACUCGUGCAGAUAACCCCUUUCCAGUUCCCUUUUCCGCCACUUUUCCUCUUGUUGUUUCUUUCCUUCUCUCUCUCGUUUCUGGGUUACAACUUCUUUCCUUCAUCAGUUCACAAGUAGAUUGAGUGGAGGACAAAGAUUUAAGCCGNNCCCCCCCCCCCCCGCCACAAUACCACCACACCUUCCCCAAAACCGGCGACCCUUAGCUCAUUUCGGAAAUUCCCCACAUUCAAGGUCAAGUUGCUCCUAUUUCUUAUUAUUUUUUUUGUUUUGGAUGAUAAAUUGGUGCUAUAUAUAUAUAUAUAUANAAUAUCCCUCCUGCAGAUGGCUCUUUCUUAACAGGUUUUUAUUUUAAUCCUUACUUGUAAUUGAUUUCAUCAUUUUUAACUUUUUGUAUUUUUAUCUUAUAAAUAUAUUGGGUGAAGGCUUUAUUAUAUCAGGUUUGUUCCUAAAAAGGUUUUUACUAUGUUUCUUUAAUGUGUUAGCUUUGCAGGUUCAAAGAACUCAACCAAGAAGGCCAGUUAGAGCAUUGUAUUAUCAUUAGUUUGUAUAAUAAGCAGGUUCAUUCCUUCUCUCGCUCGUUUCUUGGUUGCAACUUCUUUCCUUCAUCAGUUCACAAGUAGAUUGAGUGGAGCAAAGAUUUAAGCCGAUGCUAGCCCUCCUACCGCCACAAUACUGUCGGUGCUAGCUCAAUUAGGAAAUUCCCCACAUUCAAGGUCAAAUUGCUCCUAUUUCUUAGUAUUUUUCUGUUUUGGAUGAUAAAUUAGUGCUAUAUAUAUGUUGGAAAUUGCCUCUUGAAUUGUUAUUAGAUCUCAGAUAUACACAAGACCUUUCGUAUUUUUUUUCUUGCUAUCUGCAUGAACGAUCGAUGAAGGAAUCAGGAGGUAUCAAACCUCCUGAUUUAACCAAACUCCAUUACAAAAUAUAUAUUUUCAGCCCCUUAACUUCGGAUUUGUACGGUUUUGGUCCCUUUCUCUAAAAAAUAAUUAAAAAUCUAGUCUUAAACAAAGAAACUUCAAUUAAAAUCUUUAAAGUUUACCCUAUUAUGGAAAAAUCCUUUUAAUUGAAUCCAAAGUUUUAAUGUAAAAUUUAAUAAAUUUAUUUCUAUCUUUUAUAACAUUGAUUUAUUUUAGAUUAACCUUAACUUCGGAUUUGUACGGUUUUGGUCCCUUUCUCUAAAAAAUAAUUAAAAAUCUAGUCUUAAACAAAGAAACUUCAAUUAAAAUCUUUAAAGUUUACCCUAUUAUGGAAAAAUCCUUUUAAUUGAAUCCAAAGUUUUAAUGUAAAAUUUAAUAAAUUUAUUUCUAUCUUUUAUAACAUUGAUUUAUUUUAGAUUAAGUAAGCCUUAGAUUAAUUAAUUUUUUUAGAAAUUAUUAAUUAUAUUUUUACUUAAAUAAAUUUCAGAUUAAAUUAAAUUGUUAGAUUAAAUCAAGUUAAUGUUAAUAUUAAAAUAAAAUAAAAUUAGUUUAAAAAAUUAAUUUAAAUUAAUAGCAACAUACUUUCUCUUUGCUCCUCGGGUAUAUAUNNNNNNNNNNNNNNNNNNNNNNUUUAAAACUUUAUCCAUUUCUGAUUAUUUGUUAAUGUGUUCCCAUGUUGGGAUACUUUUUGAAUCAUUAACUUUAUGAAUACUCUACUUGAUUUUUGUUUCCCGUAGAGUAAACUUUAAACACUAAAUUAUGUUUUAUUUGCAUCAUGUCUAUUGAUUAAAGUUGGACUACUAAUCCACAUCGUCAAUCUCCCGAGUUGCAGCUAUGACUCGACUCUUUUUUCGAGAGAUCCAUGUUACACCUAGAUUGUAAAGGUGAAACCAGAUGUCCAUGUGAGAAAUGUGAUAAUCGUUAUUUCAUGGAUCUGAAAGCAAUGAGAUGUCAUGUUCAUAUAUAUGGUUUUAGUCAAUCAUACAACACGUGGAUAGAUCAUGGUGAACCUUUAAUCCUUCCACUUGUAGAUGUCGUAUCGCCAAGCAACGAGAUGGUUGAUGUUAUUGAUGAUGUUAUGUGGGAGUCGAGAGAAAAUGAUACAAACCUCGAUGAAGGAACCUAGAAUACAGGGGGUAGCGGUGUCGAGGAUGAUUUUGAAGAGUUGUUAGAGGCAAUCAAAACCAAGUUAUAUCCUGGUUGUACGUUUUCUUUCCUUUAUUUUUUAGCAAAGCUGAUGCAUAUGAAGGUUAACAACAAAUUGACUGAUAGUUCAUUUGAUCAACUUCUUGAGUUGUUGCAUUCUGCAUUUCCACCAGAAAACAAGGUUCCCCGUUCAUAUUAUUUAGAAAAAAAAAGAAACAGAAGAAGUUAGGUUUGGGGUACGAGUCAAUACAUGUGUGCAAAAACGAUUGUCUUCUCUUCUAGAAGGAACACAAGUCAUUGCAAGUUUGUCCCGUUUGUAAAGAGAGUCGGUGGAUUAAUAAAAACACCAAGGGUAAGAAAGUGGCUCAUAAGGUGUUACAGUACUUUCCAGUAACCCCUAGACUACGCCGUGUGUAUUAUUCAUGGUACACAUCUAAAAAUAUGAUAUGGCAUAGUACUGGGAGAUCAGAAGAUGGUGUGAUGCGUCAUCCCGUUGAUGGAGAGUCUUAGCAAAAAUUUGAUGUAGAUUACCCUGACUUCUCGAGCAAACCUCGCAACGUACGUAUAGGGCUGGUAGCUAAUGGCUUUAAUCCAUUUGGUAACAUGUGUAAUCUGCAUAGUACGUGGCCGGUUGUGAUCACCACAUACAAUUUCCCACCAUGGAUUUGUAUGAAAGAGUCAUCAUUCAUGUUGGCCUUGUUGAUUCCCUACCCUAAAGCGCCUGGAAAGGACAUAUAUGUUUUCCUUAGGCCGUUAGUGUAAGAGCUUAAGUUUUUGUGGCAAUCAGGUGUACGUAUUAAAGACGCAGCGACAAACACAUUCUUCACGAUGAAAGCCAUGUUGUUAUGGACAAUAAACGACUUUCCAGCUCGUAGUAGUUUAUCGGGCUAGAGCGGAGAAGGGUAUAGAGCAUACACGACUUGCAAUGAAGACACUCCCUCAUACCGUGCAGUAAAUAAAGUUGUUUAUAUCUGUAACGCCCGUAGAUCAGGGCUAGUUAAUUUAGAGACGAUAAGCGUCAAAAAUGACCUUUUGAUAGAAUAUUAUUUUGAAUGAAUAAUCUUAACUAAGUUGUAGUAUAGGUUACAAGGAUUCCGUACAUAUAAAGAACACCGAAAUCCAAGUUAUAACAAAGAAGUUAUGACCUGUCGAAGUUUCGCGACAGAACCAUAACGACGUUGAAUGACGUAAAAAGUGAAUUUAUGUUAGAGCGAUAUUUAGCCUUAGUGAUUUAAAAAAAAUUCGUAGAGUUCUUUAAACCGAGAGCGUGCAUAAAAAGAACGCUCAAAUCUGACUUCGUAUGAGGAAGUUAUGAUUUUUUAAAGUUUCAGCUUAGCAAUAUGCAGCCUGAAACUCGAAUAUGAGAUAGAGCGAUUUCUAGCUGAAACAAUCUAAACGAGAAUCGAAGGUCUCGUUGAUAGUAGUGCAACGGUAAAAAGACAGAAGGGAACGGACGUCGGAGGAAGAAGUUGUGAAUUUAUAACGGAGUUUUCCUGUCCUGACCUACUAAAAAUAAUAUAAUAAAAAUAAAUUGAAAAUUAGCCGACGGAGUCUAAAUGAAAGUCGUAGAGUAUAAUCUCACCUACGCGUGGAUAUAAAGAAAGUCGAAAACGGAGCUCGUAUGUGAAAGAUAUGAAUUUCUGAAGUUCGGGGCGUGAACCCCAAGGUUGUGUCAGAACUCACGAGGUGAGCAUUAGUGGCUCACGAGGUGAACAGAUGAUGGACGUCUUCCAGGGAAAGUGGUCAUGACGAAUGUAAUUACGUAUCAAGCUCAUGAGGUGAGCAUAUGUAGCUCACAAGGUGAGCCUAGCUCACGAGGUGAGCAUAUGUGGCUCACAAGGUGAACCUAGCAUUUUUGCCCUAUAAAUAGAAUUCAAGGGGGCGCCGAGUUUGGUUACUCAUCUCUUGCUCUCCCACUCCCAAUACUCUCUCUAAGCCCUCUUUUAACCGCCCGAAGCCCCAGUAUUAUCCCGAGACCCAAAGCAAGUCCCGAAGUUUUAAAGAUCCCGAGAAGAAAAGAGUUUCCGAGCCGAAGCUCUGCCCGCGAGAGGCCCGGUGUGUGAAGAGAUCAUAGUUUCACCAAAGAAUACUACUUUUACAAGCCGUAGUGUUGUCCGAUCAUCUUCUGAUCAAGUGAGUGUAUAGUCACUUUCUUCUUACACAUAAAUAUUAAGUAUUUGCUGUGAAAUACGUGUUAUGUGUGUAUAUGUUGUUGUCUAUUUGAGAUAAUUGUGGAAUGGAUAAAUUAUAUAGGUUUUAAUGAGUUAAACUGUAUACGUAUUUUGUAUCUACGAAUAUGUUGGGUAGAGCAUGGGUAGAUGAGAUUGUUGGUAUGGGAUAAAAGAUGAUUUGGAUCAUGAGAUAAAAGGAUAAAGAGAUAAACUUGUUAUAGAUUCGGGAGUAUGGAUUAGACCAAGAGGUUAGUUUUAGAUCCGGGAAUAUGGAUUAGGUAAUAAGGUAAAUUUUAGAUCCAGGAGUACGGAUUAUGUAUUUUUGAACUAAGUGUUCAUCCGAUAGGGUAUCAUGUGCAUAGUCCCUUUCAUGGACAUAAUUUUAAUACAAGUAUUGAUUAAAGUAUUAAUUAUAUAUGUAUGUGAAGUAUUUGUUAUUGCCCGAAAUACGUGUUAUAUAUAUAAUUGAUGAUAUACAAUGAACGAACCAGUUAUGGUCCAAUAUGUGUUAAGAUGUGUAUAUAUGAUAUUAUUACUUAAAACUUUGUGUUAAGUAUACUCAUAGUUAGCAUUUCCAAACGGAGAUAGUAUCGAAAAUUGAUUAUAGGCAUCGUAGGCUUGCCUAGUGAUGGGGUAAGACUUAAAUAGGGAUGUUUAGUUCCAUUAAGUUUGGACAUUGGGUAGCCUCUUAUUAAGAGUACGUGUGUUGUGAGAUUGAUGAUCGGUGGAGUACGUCCUACGUACAGAAGUACAUUUUAUGUACGAAGUCCUUUUCAAAGCUCUGUGUCUUGGGUGCUGCUUGUGCCAGGGUACUAUUAUGUUCUCGGGUACGAGUCUUUCGCAUACCAGAGUACUAUAAUGUGCCAGAAGUACUAUCAUGUACAAAGUCUUUUUGACAAUUUUGUGUGUCGGUUACGGGAGCGUACAGGAGUACUCUAGUAGUAUUUCCCCAUACUUUUAUUUUGAGAGAGCUUUGGAGUCAGCGUUUCUUUUAUGAGGUGAUCAACCGAGCUUCAUAUGUCAGCGUUUUCUUUCACGAAGUAAUUAAGGGAACUUCGUAGACUGCCUAAUAAAGUGUGUCGGUAGUAGACCACUGUUAGGUAUUUCUGGUGUUAUAUUGCUGGAUAGGUUGCAUCUGGGGGUGAAAUACCUCAUGUAUUCAGGCCACUGCUAGGCAAAGUUCGAUGUUGGAUAGGGAGAGUCUGCGGGUAUAAUACCUCACGAUAUUCGGACUACGCCUAGGCAUUGUUAUCAAGAUAACUACCCCUGACUUAAAAUGUCUUGUGGUUCUUUCUUUUACGAACAAAGGUUCGUGGUGAAACUUAUUCCAUUCCCCCCAUUUGAUGUCUUUAUUGAUCCUCGUUUGCUGCCAGGGAAUUUCCGAAGCAGCUUCGUCAGUUUGUUGUUCAUAUCGAUUCCUUAGGCUAGAUCUCGUAAGAUCAUAGUAUAGGGUCAGUAGGCGGGGAUCGAUUUUAUCUGUGUUAAUAAUAUUAGUGGUUUUGUAGGAUCGAGAUAUACAUUAUUAUCACGUGGUUUGAACUAAGAGCUUUCGUACUCUGUGUUCCUUAGGUGAUUGAGUUCACCAGGGAUAUUUGAACUAAGUAUUCAUUAGGUUUUUUUGAACUAAGUGUUCACUAGGUGUUUUUGAACUAGGUGUUCAUUAGGUAUUAUUGAACGCAGUGUGUUCAAUGGGUGUUCUUGAACUAGGUGUUCAUUAAUUAUUUUGAACUGCUUGUUCACCAGAGGUAAUCUAAGAACCAUGGCAACACUAGACUUUGUGCCAAUUCCUUAGGGCAAUUCUUACGAAUGAAUAGGAGAAAGGUAAUCGGUUCUUAGGGUAAAUCUUUAUGAAAUAAAGGAAGAUAAUGGGGGUGGGUAAUUGGAUUGAUUGUUUGAUAAUUAAAUAUAAUAAUUAUAUUAUUGUGGGUUGAAAACCCAAUAUGCUCACCAGGCUCCCAAGCCUGACCCUCUCAGUUUUCUUUGUAUUACAGGUUAUGGCACGAGAGCAUAAGUUGGCUGACAUAACGAGAGAUUUUGGAUUAUAGGCCAAUAGUUAUGAAUAACUGUUGUAAGGUCUACUUUGUUCUGUUUAUGCUUUUGGUCUGUAUUGAAAAUGACAUCCCGAGAUUUUGUUAUAUAAUGAAAAUACAUUUCUUUAAAGAAAUGCUUUGAUAAAUUCUUAUCAUAUUUUAUUUUGGGAACAAAUUCCGUAACUGUUUUCUUUGAAAGAUUACUCUGAUUUUAAAAACAAAGCAUAAACAAAUCGGUCUUUUCUGGCCGUGAAAUUUGGGAUGUCACAAUAUCGGUCAUCGUCGGUUCUUAGAUGUUGAUGAUCCAUUAAGGAUGAGUUUGAAAUUUAAUGGGCAGCCCGAGACAAGACCCGCUCUGAGAAACUUUACUAAUGAAUACAUACAAGAGCAACUAGGUCGUCUAAUACUUCAUAAACCGGGUAAACAUCCUAACACUCUCAAGGAAUACAUGGAUCGGCAAGGAUUCAAGUUGAACUAGUCGAAACGUAGCAUAUUUUUCGAGCUCGAGUAUUGGUCUUCUCUACAGCUGAAGCACAACAUAGAUUUGAUGCAUGUCGAGAAAAAUGUGGGUGAGAGUCUUUUUGGGUACUUCUAUGAUGAAUGAUAAGAGUAAGGACACAUCAAAUGCACGUGAGGACUUGAAAAAUCUGAAUAUCCGACGUAAUCAAUGGUUGCAAAAAAGGUAACAAGUUCACUAGAACACAUGCAAGCUACUCAUUCAAGAAACUUGACCGCAAAAUCUUUUGUCAAUUUAUAAGAGAUGUUAAAUUUCCUAAUGGGUUUGGAUCUAACAUCAGUAAGAAAGUGGUAAAUAAUGAUACUAACAUUAUUGGGUUGAAAUCUCAUGACUAUUACAUUCUUAUGCAACGUUUGAUAUCGAUUGGAGUUAGAGCGUUAUUGGACAAAGAAACUUCUACACCAAUUGUAGAUCUUUGUACGUUUUUCAAGAAAAUUUGCUCCAGAACACUAAAGGUGGAUGGUAUGAGGAAACCAAAAGAAGAUAUUAUUAGAAUCUUGUGCAAGUUAGAGUUAAUUUAUCCUCCAACGUUUUUCGACUUUAUGAUUCAUUUAGUUUUGCAUUUACAUGAUGAAGCGAUUGUCGGAGGCCCGGUAUGUAUGAGAUGGAUGUAUCCGUUCGAAAUUUAUAUGGAAAAACUAAAAAACUAUGUUAGAAAUAAGGCGAGGCCGGAAGGUUGUAAAGCUGAAGGUUAUAUUGCUGAAGAAGCUUUGUCAUUUUGUUUGAUGUACCUUUGAGAUGUCAAUCGCCUUGAAAGAAAUGAGGACGUUGUCAUUGAAAAAACAAAGUUUUGGAUGUUUGAGUCCAAGUGUCAACCGACGAGAGCAACGCAAAUCAAACAUCUUGAUAUAAAGAAACAUAUUAUAUAAUGGUUUAUAUUGAAUAGUUGUCAAGAAGUCAGACAAUACAUCGAGUAAGUGUUCUUACUUUUAAUUAUCUUUCAUUAUUUAUUGUUACUUUUUUCCAUUCAUCAAUUNNNNNNNNUAUAUAUACAAAUUCAUCAAUGGGUUCAAAAAUGGAUGUUUAUACUUACACCGCGUGCAUAGUCAACGAUGUUAGGUUUAUGGUACUUAGUCGUGACGCACAAUGCAAAACGCAAAACUAUGGGGUUCUAGCGGUUGGUGGAAAUGGAGAGAAAUAUUAUGGCCAGUUAGAAGGGAUUGGGAGAAGGCAGUCGAACAUUUUCAAACACCAUAAUUUUUAAGGCGUUCGACGUUAAACACAGAAUGACGUGCAAAACAAGUAGUUGUAAAUAGAGGGGGGUCGAGCUCAUACAACCAUGCAUGUUUCAAAGAAGUAAGUUAUGACAUAUUUAAAUAUUUAUUUAAAGUAUAAGCAAUCUAAUUUUUAAUGUUAAAUAGGAUAUCAGUCGAAUUGAAGUUUUUCGUAAGGCUAAUUCUAAUCGACAAGGGGUAUUUUAUAACCCUGCAGUCGAGCAACAAUACGUAAGUGGUUAAUUUGUAUUUUCAUAUAAGUGUUUAUAUCGCCAAGUGUAUUUAGUAAUCUAAUUUUUAUGAUUUUUAUUAUUUUUUGAAAAGAUAGAAUGCUUUACUCCAGGAGAUCAACCAACGAACCCAAGCUACUUCUGAAGUAAGCGGUCUAACACCCACUGAUAUAAAAAACUGUUUUGAAAGAAUAUUGAGUGUUCUAUGCAGACAUAUCAGAGGCAUUGGGCGUAAACCACCAACCGUUGUGUCCAUGUACGAUCAGGAACAACCAGUGACACAAGAACAACCGCAAUCACUAGUAACUGUUAGUUUAAGUACAACCACAAUCACUGGUAAUUGUUAGUUUAAGUUGAAAAGUAUAAUGAUAUAAUAGAAAAUACAAUGCUAUAAUGGAAAGUAGAAUGUUGUAAUGAUAUGUUGAUUAUGGUUUGAUAUGUUGAUAUUUUGUAGUAUGGUAAUUUUUGGAAAGUACAAUGCUAUAAUGGAAAGUAGAAUGUUGUAAUGAUAUGUUGAUUAUGGUUUGAUAUGUUGAUAUUUUGUAGUUUAGUAAUUUCUGGAAAGUAAAUGCUAUAAUGUAAAGUAGAAUGCUAUAAUGAUACGUUGAUUAUGGUUUGAUAUGUUGAUAUUUUGUAGUAUGGUAAUUUUUGGAAAGUACAAUGCUAUAAUGGAAAGUAGAAUGGUAUAAUGAUAUGCUGGUUAUGGUUUGAUAAUAUGGAUAUUUUUGUAGUUUGGUAAUUUUUGGAAAGUAUAAUGCUAUAGUGGAAAGUAGAAUGGUAUAAUGAUAUGUUAGUUAUGGUUUGCUUUGUUGAUAUUUUGUAGAAUGGUAUAAUUAUAAUGCUAUUAUCAUAUGUUGGUAAUAUAUUUUGUUUUCUUUUUAGUUGGAAAUGUUGCAAACAAUACUAAAGGAUCGGGCUUGUUCUGCAGCAUUGGAAGAGUGGUUUCGCUCAUUGCUGCCACCAAAUAAUGAAGGAAAUGAUGAGGACGAGUAGUUACUUUAGGAUUUUAUGAAAUGUUUUGUAAUUUGGAAGAAUACUUUAGAAUAAUUGUAACAUCCCAAAGUCAGAAUCAAGAGUUCAUGGGGUAAAGUGUAAGUUUGGAAAAGAGGAACUCAGCGAGUAGGAGAUGCAACUCAUCGAGUAUAAGUGUGUGUCGGGCACAUGUUAAGUGACCUGACUCGCCGAGUCGGAGGCUGGACUCGACGAGUCCAUGCUGGAAUGAGAAACCCUAAUUCCUGGGGUUUGCACCCUAUUUAAAGAAUGAUAUGCCUUCAUUUCAGCCUCUAUUUUCCCUAAGUGUUCCAGAGAAACCCUAAAUCGUGAGAGACUCCAUUGUUGAGAAGAUUGAAGCUUGGAAGAAGAAAUUAGUGAAGAGAAGUUGGAGGAAUUUGAGGAUAGCAUUAAGAGAGCUCGUGGAUCUGAAGUCUACAUCAGUUUAGACUCAUCUCUAAGGUAAGAGGACCUUACCUCAAGCUAUUUCCUUAUUAUUUCAUCCAUGGUGUGUGUGAUUCGGAGUUCUUUAGCAUGUGGGAUCCAUUUCGGGUAUAGAGACUAGAUCUGAGGUUGCAACUUCAGAUCUAGGUUGGUUUGGAGCCAUGUGAUCAGAAAGUGAUAACUUUGGGGCGUGAUUGAGAGUGUCCUUGCCUUAAACCUUCAUUUUAGCUUGAUUAGAGCUUGUUGAGCCUUGCAUGCACGUAAAGUUGGAAACUUUACGUGUGAAUCUGGCCCUAGGAGUCCAAAUCUAUGUAUUGGAAGCAAUGGAAUGGCAUGUGAUCGUCUGAAUGAAGAUAUUAUGAAUGGACUCGGCGAGUUGUAUGGGUGGACUUGGCGAGUUUUAUGGGUGGACUCGGCGAGUUGUAUGAAGAUGGGCAGGAACUCGACUAGUUGGAAGAACAACUCAAUGAGUCUGUUGAAUAUUGCCUUGGACUCGACAAGUCUGUUCGUGAAGUCCUAACCUCUUUGGUUGAGCUGUGAAUCAAUGAGUCUUGGGGUGGCUCGGCGAGUUGAGUCGUGGCAUGGGAGUUCCUGAACAUAGGAACUCGACGAGUCAACGGGUUAACUCAGCGAGUAGGGUCAACCAGGAAAGUUGAAUUUGACUAAGGGCUUUGACUUGGACCAAGGGUUGACCAGUUUGACUUCCAAAGGGUAUUUUGGUCAUUAUUGGUGUUUAUUGGUGUUGGUUAUUUGGUAAUGAUUAGUGGUGGAGUUCGUGCUGGUAGCCGGAGCAGCGUGGUCUUAUUUCUUUAAGUCGGCAGUUACCGGUGAGUUAUCCUCACUAUAUCAAUAGGGUCUAAGGCACCAAGGCCGACCCUUUUAGUUGUUAUCUUGGUUGCAGGAUGCUACAUGUGGUUAUGAUCUAUUAGAUUGGUAUCAGAAUAGACAGUAUGUUGUUAGCUCAUGUGAUUCAUUAGGAUUGGUGUGUUAGUGACCUGGUUAGGUCGAUGCCUUGGUCAUGAGAGAUUGCUAUGAUCGAUGAUCUGUGAGAUAGUUAUAUCUGAUAUUUGUACUUGUACUGUUGAUGUGCUUAUUGAUCUAUUAGAUCGGCAUCCUGGUAAUAGGGACAGUAUUAUGUCAGUGACCUGGUUUAAGUCGGUAUCUUGGUAUAUAGGAUGAUGCUAUGUUAGUGACCGGUUAGGUCGGUAUCCUGGUUAGGAUAUUGCUAUGUUAUGUGAUCUGCUAAAUCGGUUGAUUAGUUGUGAAUUGCUAUGUGAUUAUAUGUUUAUGUGCACAUGGUUGUUGGACUGGGGUUGGGUUGAGGCGGGUCCUGCUUUGUGCUGUAGGCCAACAUACCCAGGGCGGACCGGUUAGACCGAAGGCCCGGCGAGCGGUCCGGAUAGGCUGAAGGCCCCAAGAGGGGGGAUCAGACGUGCCGAGGCUCGGAGAGUGGACCAGACAGACUAAAGGCCCGGUGCGGCGGACCAGUCAUACUGUGGACUCAGAGAGAGUGUGGAUCGGGUGGACUGAAGGCCUGGUGCAGGCGGACCAGUCACACUAUAGACUCGAUAUGCAUGACUGUUCUGUUUAUGGUAUGAUAUGAUAUGUGAAUGGUAUUGUGGUUGGUAUUUUGGGGGUAACUCACUAAGCUUUCGGGCUUACAGUUUCAGUGUAUUGUUUCAGGUACUUCAGGAGAUCGUGGCAAGGCAAAGGCGUGAUCGUACCGCUCCUCAGUUUUAUGUUGAUGUUUCUGGGAUACUCUGAUAAUAAAUGAACCGAAAACCUUUUUGUAAUAACUUAAUGAAUAUGGGUUGUUUUUGAAAAAGUUUAAAUUGGUUGUAAAUUUUCAUGGUGUUGCAUUUAGAAUGUGGUAUGGAUUAAUAUUUUAGAUUGAUUGUAUGGAUUAAUAUUUUGGAUUGGUUGUGUAUGGAUUAAUAUUUCUAUAAAAAGUUAUCAGAUUUUAUAAAUGUUAUAUUGUUUUUUUAUAAAUUUAAUGUUAAAUACAUAAAUAAAAUAAAAUUUAAAAAAAAAAAAAAACAAAACUGUUUUAGCAACGACGACUUUUGUGGCGACAUACACGUAUUAGCGGCGACGAGCAGUAUUGGCGGCGACAUAUCAUUAGCGGCAACUCUCAACCUUUAGCGGCGACUACAGGUGCAUUAGCGACGAAACAAUACUGGCGACGCAUUUGCAGCGACGUGUCGCCGCUAAAGGUAUUAGCGGCGACUUCUCGAUCCUUUAGCGACGACAGGCGUCGCUGAUGUUGCCCAGUCUUCUUGUAGUGACUUACAAAAUUAGAAAGGAAAACAUAUAUUUUAUUAGGAUUUUUGUAGUGCAUAAUUGCUAUAUAUCUUGAUUAUAGGUGUAGUAAUAUUCGACAAAUGCAAGUUGAUCCCAGUCAAAUUUGACCUUAUUUAUGAUAUCAUCUAUAAAUAAUAUUGUAUUUAAUGAUAAGAAUACACAAUUAUAUUUAUUUUUCAGAAUAUUUACCGUUUGUGUGAACCAAAGACAUACACGUUGUACCUAGUAAAUGUCUAGUUACAUUGACAUCUUUUCUUAAGUCAACACCAACUAAAGUUUGCAAUACGUUUUAUGACAAUAUUAAUAACGACUAGAAUUGAAUAUUGACUUCACUUUCUCAAGAGAACCUCAGUAACUAAUUUAUCAAAGUUGAGAUAAGACGACCCCUCAGUAGCAACUGCUUCUUCCGCUUUCUUCUUCCAUUCCAAAGCCUUACAUUUCAUCAUUUUCCCUUUCUUCCCAUCCAUCAUCUACCUCACCUGCUCUCCCUUCACAUUGGAAUCUAUUUCCAUUCCAAUCCCCCACUCUAUACAACUAUAACGACAAUUCGUUUGUUGCUCUGCAAAAUACGGCCAGCUAGCAAAUCACUGGAACACCGCUGCUAAUACUCUCAAUAGUCGAGUUCCGUCCACUGUGAGUCAGGAUUGCUCCAAUUGUUGGGUGCUUUAAAACCUUCAAAUAUAGACCAAUAAAGAAACUUUUUAGUGACAGAUUUAAAUUUAUGUAUGAUAUUAGGGUGAACAAAAACCGAACCGAAAACUGAAAAACCGCGAAAUAACCGAAACCCGAAAAACCGAAACCGAACAUAAAACCAACGGUGCACUUCUAAAUUUUUAAAAAACUGCAAAUUUCAGUGCGGUUUGGUUUAAAUCCCUAUAACCGCACAAAAAACGGAAAUAACCGCAAUAUUUAUUUAUUUAUUAUAUAUACCGAAUUUAUUUUGUUAGCGUAGUGGCAUAAUAUGAUCUUAAAUAUAGACUAUUUUGAAAUAAAGUUUACCAACCAAUUUGAAUGUCCAGAAAACUAAGAAUUUAGAAUUAACUAAAAUUUAGAAUAUUUUAGUUACUAAUUAAAUCCGCAAAGAAAUGGUAAGAAUAUUAGAAUAAUGAUAGAAUUUAUUUCCAUCCCACCAACCGUACUAAUAUGCUAGAAUUUUAAAUAAACAUAAACCAACCCAACAUCCUAUCUUUUGAUGGUCUCAAUUUUAAACUCACAUAAUAGCCCACAUUCACCAUACCAUUUUAUAUCGUAAGUCAUAACAUAACGCUCAAUUUCGCCACUGGUUUUAAUAUUUCAAGCUUUUGGUAUCUAAUGAUCUUAAUUAUAUAUAUAUAUAUAUAUAUAUANNNNNNNNNNNNNNNNNNNNNNNNNNNNNNNNNNNNNNNNNNNNNNNNNNNNNNNNNNNNNNNNNNNNNNNNNNNNNNNNNNNNNNNNNNNNNNNNNNNNNNNNNNNNNNNNNNNNNNNNNNNNNNNNNNNNNNNNNNNNNNNNNNNNNNNNNNNNNNNNNNNNNNNNNNNNNNNNNNNNNNNNNNNNNNNNNNNNNNNNNNNNNNNNNNNNNNNNNNNNNNNNNNNNNNNNNNNNNNNNNNNNNNNNNNNNNNNNNNNNNNNNNNNNNNNNNNNNNNNNNUAUAUAUAUAGCAUUACAGUAAAUUAUGGAUAGUAGGUAGGGGUGACCAAAACCGAACCGAAAACCAAAAAAUCACACGACCUCAUUUUGCAGUUAAAAACCGAAACUACACCCAAAUAACCGAAAAACCACACCGAAUCAAAACCGCAAUUUUCGGUUUUUCACUAUAAAUAACCGCAACUUGCGGUUGCGGUUGCGGUUACGGUUUGGUCCAAAAACUUCACCGAACCGCACCAUGCUCACCACUACGUAAUAUGGUAAGCAUAUUUUCAUCAAGCCUAAAGCUUGAACGCCUUCUUAAAUGAUGUUUCUAACUAUUUAAAUAUUUUGUAUAUAGUUUUGGACUUUUGGUUUUGUAUAUACUUUUGGACUUCUUAAAUGAUUCACAGAGGGCCGGGAUUGACUGGGUCGCUUCGACAUCAGACGGCGGAAGACCAUCAGGGAUGGAGUAGAAAUGAAAAUCGGGCAGACCAUCAAGGGAGGAAGGGCCUCGGGAUCUGAGCAAGCGCUUAUGGUUGUAGUGGGUGUUAGACGAAGGAGAUAUGGAAUCCCUUACAGUGAAGGAGCUUCGCAAGUUUCAUCAUGGGGUUGAUGUGGCCUUGUGCUGGAUAGGGGAUGCAUAUGGCAUGUGGCUUCUCCAUUUCUGUUAUGGAACCCAUCUGCUGCAGUAUUUAUUUAUGUGUCUUGAGGGAGAAAGCAAAACUGGUGGUGGUAGUAUUUAUAGGAGAGGAAGGGCAUAAAUGGAAGGUUAGCUUAAUUACCACUUGGACCUAUUUCUAUUCGACAUGUGAUAUCUUAUAUUUUUCAGAAAUGCCAAACGAUUAAGCGGAAGUCUCACUUCAACAUUUCAUUUUAGUGGUGACCCUAAGUUCUAGCUUUUUUACUGGG
rnacentral:lncRNA from 1 species